ACCCAAAUUGGUGCGCUUCAGGUCAGCGAGUGACUCGUGGCACAAGUCGCGGCGUUUCGAGACAUUUCGAGGGUCUUGGGGACAUCCCGGUGCUUUUUUCAGGAUUCCCGACGAGUUCGGGAAUCGAUUUUAGGAAACCUAUUCGGCGAGUGGUUUGGGAUUGUGAUCGAUGUGUAUCAAGUCGGUAAGAUUAGAUCCUGACUCUGUGGACCUAACUUAGGUCCAGUCGACGAUCCUCGACCACGGGAGCUAGGUGCAGCUGCAGACACAGGUGGGUAUUUUGAUCGAAAGUCGGUAUUGUGGUGCACGCUCGGUGAUGUUCCCUUCACUCUUACUUGUUCUUGCAUAUAUCUAGUCUAUUCUAGCUUGACACCAUAUGACUUCGCUAUACAUAUGCUCUACUUAGUUAUGCUCUUGUUUUCCUAUGUCAUAACCUAGAAGUAGAGCAGUAGUGGUUACUUUUACAUGAUCGUGUACAUUAUUGUUGACCUAAGUGGUUGGUUCUUGUGGAUACCCCAUUGUUGACCUGAGUGGUCGGUUCUCGUGGAUGCAUCAUUGUUGACCUGAGUGAUAGGUUCUCGUGGAUAGGAUGACCUGAGUGGUCGGUGCUCCUACACUCAUGUUGUUGAUGAACUCGUACUUUCUUAUUGACCUGAGUUGUCGGUUCUUAUAGAUACAUCCUAAAUGACCUGAUUUGUUGGUGCUCCUAUACUCAUGUUGUUGAUGACCUCGUACUUUCUUGUUGACCUAAGUGGUCAAUACUCUGUUGAUGACCUUGUACAAUCUAGUUGACUUAAGUGGUCAGUGCUCAUAUACCAGUAUUGUUUCAAUGACCUAUUGGUCGGUGCACCCUAAGGGGUUAGAUUGUCAGUAUUCGCCGACGAACAGCUAUUGAUCAUAUUCGCAUCGAUCGCCACAGCUCGUGAGCAUUUCACAUACACCAACGGUCUGAUCCACUGCAAGACGGUGUUCUUUUCCAGUAAAGUAGUCCUACGUCCAACCCGUGAGCCCAGUGCUAGGGUUAUAUGCCAGGUGUGCAAGCAGAACGUGGCUUUUGCCUGAGUUCUUUAGACCGACACGGCGAUGCAGAUUAAGUACUUUUGGACUUCGUUCGGUUGACACAUAUUGGUUACAAUAGCGGUCGUUGCAUUAUAGUUCCAUUUCCUCUCACUUAUAUUGCUACCAUAGACUCUCCUUUAUAUAUACUCGGUUACCCGUGAGUACACUUGCCUUCAUCGGCUUGGGGUACCCACUGGAAAACCCUUUGUUGGUUUCUCACCCCUCUGUCUACAGGUUGUUAAGUCUUGUGUGUUGGCAAGUUUCAUGAAGUGAGUCGGAGUCUUGAAGGAUCGGUGCGUAUCGUCGAAGAUCGAAGAAUCCAAGACUUCGAAGAAAUCGAAAAAUAACUCAUGACGUGAAUCACGAUGUCCAGAUAAGUUUUUAAUUCAUGUUAUAAUGAUUCAUACUUAGUUAUAGGCAUUAGAAUCAUAAACUCAAAGUUUACUCGAUUAGAAAGUGCGUCGGAACUUUGCGAAACUCGAAACUGUGAAAAAAAUCAGAUUUAUGCAAAGUGUACCGGUACAACAUCGGAAGUGUACCGGUACAAAAUGUGUUCCGGUACAACCAGCGACUUGUCACCGGUUACAGUGUUGCGCAGGUUUUCUCUUCCGUCAUCGUGUAACCGAUAACAGCUUAAAAGUGUACCGGUACACAAUGUAAAAAAUCCGAAAAGCUUUCAAUUUUCAAAUCCAACUCUAAUUGAUUCUAAAGUCUAUAAAUAAGCUAUUAGAGGUUCUCUAACAAAUUAAGUAUCAUGAGAAUACAUGUUUGAGAAACCCUAGAGGCUAGGAUUUCGUUCAUAACCUAUUUUCUACAAAAUAACCUCUUUUAGGUCAAUUCGAGAUAUCGUAAUUCGAGAUCUUAAUGUCGAAUUGAUCUAAGACUUCGUUUAGAGUUUGGUCUCUGGUUCUUCAUCAACAUUCUAAGCGAAGGAUCACCAUAGCAUGAUGUUUUUCAUGGAUGGCGUCGUGGAUUCGGCGUGAUUAAAGGCGGUUCGUGGAUUCGGAUCGUAGGCUCGUGGAUUCGAGUGGCGUUCGUGGAUUCGGACGUGUCCGAGGCAUUCGUGGAUUCGAACGUGAGGGCGUGGACAACCUGGAGGAUUGCGCGAGAUUCGUAAGAGGUUAAGAGAGGUCGAGUCUGUGGAGUCGGUAAUCACCUUAUAAUCUUUUCUCUUAGUGAAUUAUUUUUUUCGCGUGUUGGUCCCGUGGGUUUUUCUCCAAAUUGGAGUUUUCCCACGUAAAUCUCGGUGUGAUUUUUAUUUUUCACACUUAUUUUUAUCGCAUUAAGAUUUGUGGUUUUUGGGUAUUACACCUAUUCACCCCCCUCUAGGUGUUGGAUACAAUCUAGAUAGAUCCUUGGGCUCCUUUAAAACUUACACAGGUGACACGGGUUGGAGCUAUCGAGACGGUGCGUGAGGCCGUAGAUAGCAUGGGAUAGAGGUCCCAGCCUUACAGUAUCAGUUUUUGUUUGAUUCAUAAUGUAUACAUGUUAGUAGAUGGACUUGACAGCUCAAAUUCUUGGCACGCUUAUACUUGUUAGUAGUUAGACAGUAUUGUGGUUCAAUAGAUUUACUAGUGAAACUUUGGUUACAUAUGAGGUUUUGGACUUAGAUUUCGAAAGAAGGUUUUAAAAUAUACUAGUGGUUUUCGCAAAUAAUGGAUUUCUACUCCUCGCGGUAGCUUGUUUUUAAAAUAAAGGUUUUCAUGCGGAAAACGGUUUUCAAAAUGGUCUCCGGCUUUUCGAGGCUUUUCGAAAAGUUAAGAGUUUCAAAAUAAGGUCUUCGUGUGGGAGACGCUUUCAACUAAUAGGGUGAAUGUGGAAUGAUUGUGACUAAGGGCGGUAGCUGUAUAACGUGGAAACUUGUUGAAUGUUGAUCCUUGUACUUGUGGGUCUUGUGUGUGUGAGUGGUAUGUCAUGGUUGUCACUUGUACUAUGUGCUACGCCGUGCUAAUACAGGGAAGACUGUCCAUUUAAACAAAAAAUUUCUUGUAUUUGUGGCGGGUCUAUUACGUCCUUGGGUCAAGGUUAGAAAAAGAAGAAAAAAAAAAUUAGGCACUUUUUCACUGAUUCUCAGUUACUAAAUGGCCCGAUUUCAAAAUGGCUUUACAAAAAGGGACCCCGGAACGUGACACUAAGAUAAACAAUCAGGACCACACCGGAAUGUCGAUCGGGUGAUUGCAGAUCGUGAGAAUGUGUGAUGCUACCACUUCCACAGUAAGAAUUAUGCCAUAACAAUCGUACAAGGUACCACCGACAAGCCUAGGGUACUAAAGGAAGUGCCCUUGGGGCACACAAAGGGUCUGACGAAUGAAAGUGAUGCGGACCGGGUCCCUUGUCAGGUGUACGAACGUCGUUGACGCUGCAAAUGCAACUUGAGCAUGUGGCUCGAUCAAUCCGGACUGGGUUCGGAUUGAAUUGCACCCGUUAAUUUCUAGAAGUAUCUAGGAUUAUGCGAUUUUGUUUAAAAAUCUGUUUCUUUGGGUAAGUUAAGAUUUUAGUUAUUCUGUUAGAAUAGGUUGAGAUUUUUAUUCUAUUAGGAUAAGUGGAGAUUAUAUUAUGAUAUUUUUAUUUUGUUAGGAUGGUUGUUGAGAUUUUAUUUCGAGCUUAUUCAUCUGUUAGGAAAGCUCUUUAAAUAAGCCUAUGUAUGUAACGAUUAAAAUAGUGAAGAUGAAUAUUGCUAUAGCCAUUGAAAUGUGUUCUCUAGUAUCCUUCGCAUUUAUGCGUCGAUCAGAGUGAGUCCGUGGGGAGUGAGUCCCUUUAUCUUUCUUUUCUUUUCUUUUCUUUUCUUUUUCCUUCUGCCUGCAUUCAUCGCUGUCAACAUCACCCACCAUCGACGUCGUCUCUACCAUCGCAGCCACCGUCACCUGGAGUCGCGACCGCCUACAACGCCGCCCUGUCAUGACGUCUCAUUGCCACCUGCAAACAUCACCACUGUCUUGCCUCGCCACUACCGAUCGGUACGCUCGAGCCACCUCCCGAUCAUUUCGACGUCAAUGAUCAAACCAAUGCCAUCUAGCUUGUCCACCAAGCACAAUCGGUUUUCUUUUCUUUUAUCCUUCUAAUCAUCUUAUCUCAAUCCUCUCAUUUAUUCUCCCUCUCCCCAACCCCCUUCCUUUAAAUAACUCCCCUUUGCUUUUUGUCCAUAGAUGCUGCCCAAAGAGAGACUUGGAUCCGAUAGAUUAAGAACGGGCUGUCCCUUUUCAAUUUGGAGUUACUAAUAUCGCCUACAGAGCGUUGACAGAUUAGAUCGAAUGUCACGCCCCGAGCCCGCCUAUUUGGUCGGUUCGGGCACGCCGACAGACCGCCAAACGGACAGAGUUUUCCCUGUACGUCCAAGGCGUCGCAAUCAUUACAAUCACAAGAGGUUCCAAACAGGAACAAUAUUCAGACAACGAUUGCAUAAGGAAGGUAUCAAACAACAUAAAUCCUAUGCUAUUACAAGCAUUCACAUUUAUGUUACAUUAUUUGCAAUACAUCCUCAACUUCCAAAUACAAUCAUAAUUAUUACAAGUUUAUUUCUUUCAUCUCUAACCCCUAAGCUAGGCCACUUUGGGGUACCGCUAUCUCUGGUCUCGGUGGUAAGGCGCUAUCUACGGAGCUACGCCCUCUCCUUGCGCCGCCGCGCCGCUCACGUGCGAACCUGUAACCCCCAAAACCACACGGGGGUGAGAACUAUAUAAAUAUAGUUCCCAGUGGGUACGGCCACCCAAGGGAAGAGCUCGACCCACCAGGUCCGAAGGAGGCAAGCUGCAGGUUAGUUCAAUAAACAGAUAGAUAUGAUAGUAAAAUUAUGCAACUAACAAUACCAUGCAUUGCCUCGCGAUAUGCAAUAAUGCAACUAUAUAGCCAACUAGUAGUUCAAUUGAUACUACUUUCAAUCCUGCUAUCCAUAGCUCAUCCAAUUGACUUCUAAGUUUUCCUCUAUCUUAGAUUCAUGUCAAUUACCAUUCUAAUCAUAAGGUUUCAUUGACCUUUACUGUUUGCUCACAAGGUUUUUAUCUACCUUUACAAUGCACAUAAUUCUCAUGAAUUUAUUACCCAAUCCUCUAGCUGGCCCAUAGGCGCGCCCUCAACUCACAUCUCAAAUCCGUCUAUGGAAGGGGACUCGAACCCCCGAGGGACCGUCUGCGGGACCCCAUAUAGGCUAUCCCUUGGGACCCCAAAUAGGCUAUCCCAAUCGUUUCACGUGCCAAGACUCCGGAGCUCGCACUACUUGUGCGGGGCGACCGCCACAAGCGCUGAACAGACUGUGUGAGUAUGAUCAAAUCCGUUUCCAACGAAGGUACCCGGUCACUAUGACCAACAUGCACAAGUGUUCUUUUAACACUACGUUCUAAUGCCACUCGUCAAGUUGUUUACUUGGUAUACAUAUGCCACUCGUCAAGUAUGUACUUGGUUCACAUGUCACUUGCCAUAAUGCAAUUGUCCCGACUAUACUAGUCAUAUAUCAUCAUAUUCAUCAAUACAAGAUCAAGUUAUUGUUUAACUUAUCUCUAUAGGGUUCUAUGUCACCAUUCCUCUAUUCUCAUGCGUCCUAACUCAAGUGCCAACUCAUGUUGCUACACUACUAUGGAUCAUGCAAGAAUAGAAAUGCGACUAUCUAAUACCCUAUCAUGUAUAUGUAUCAACUAGCAUCUCAUGAUAUGUCAACAUCAUUUAGUAUAUGCCUCAUGUCAUCAUGCAUUUACAUUAUAUGCAUCAAGAAGUGUUAUACUUUCGCUUCGACAUGGAAGUGAGCUAAUAACUUCGGUGAGCACAACCCACCUGUUAGCGCAUUCCGAUUGCUUGUCGACACUUGCAAUCGGCCUCCCGCAGCAUCCGGUGCCCGGUUCUGCCGGAACUUGCAAUUGCGCACCGACCGCGCAUCGCUUCGCAACCUCGGGCAAAAAGGGUCUUCGUUUUGUUGUUACGGUGCCUCAAAUCAGAUUCCAUGAUUUUACGACGUCGCCUCGGCCCUCCCGGCGGACCCGAAGCCUAAACGUCCGUUUCUUUAAUAACUUCGCACCGGCUCCACGAAUCGCCGAACCGUCUUCGCCAACGCGUUCGUUUACCUAUCAAUUAGGUUUACGAAGGGUCAAAUUAGAUCAAACCCCACCUAAUUUGCAAACCCCCAUUUUCACACCUUAGCCUCAACAUAUGCUCCAAACAAUCCAAAUAUUAAGGAUUUAACAAGCUAACUUCACAUUAGAGGCUAUUAGAACCCUUAAAGCUAAGGAUUAAGCCAAAUCCCAAAAGCUUACCCCAAUGUGAACGCCGCAACGAAAACACGUCGCUCCAACGGGCGCACGAAAGCUCAAUCCGUCGCCUCCAACGCGUUCGCAAGCUCGAUCUCCACCAACGCCGCGAAUUUGGGCGAAAGAUCUAGAGAGAUGAGAGAGAUAUUUAGAGAGAGAAAGAGAGGGUUUCUCUCUCCUUCACCAUGAACGCAUGGUAGUGGUGAUGGUGGUCGGCUGAUGGAGAGGGAGAAGCCUAGUAGCUUCUACUUAUAGUCAACCCUCAAUAGUAGCAUACACUAUUCACAUCAGGCAGCUCCAAAUCUGAUAUCUUUCGCCGGAGCUCCCUGAAUAUCCGUUUGAGCUCAAAUUUGACAGUCAUAUUCGGUUUUACUUAAAGAGUCCAAAGAAAUUUUAAUAUUUCAGUUUCGACCCCAUUUGGUCACCGAAAACUGUGCCGAACUGCAAUCUUUAUCAGAUGGCUUUCGGAUUUUAUUUCUCACUCUACGGGGGUCAGAAAAAUAUGAAACUUUAAAUCUAGCCUCAUUAAAAUAUUUCCGACUUAUCCUCCAAUUUUUAUAAUUUUAUGAGACUGUGCAUUUUCUGCUAAUUUAUCUGUUCCGUUUCCAACAGAAAAUUCUAGAUCUUCUGUUUUCGCUCCGAUUUCAGCACAAGUCACUCCUGACUUAUGUUUUACUCCUCUAAAUCCAAUAAAAAUAGUUUCUCAUACUAUUUUUAUUUAUUUUUAUUUUAUAUUUAAAAAAAAUCCAGUAUGUUACAUUCCACCGCAACCUCACCGGAACCAUUUAAAUGUACACCGUAACUUCAUAGUUUUAGAAGUCCGGUACCUUACAUCGAACAUCCCCAAUUUCUUAAUUAAUUUUAGCUUCGCGUCAUCUAUCGGCCCCCUUCUUUGUUUUUGGUCUAGAACUAUUUUCUUUUUCUUUUUCUUUGCGAGUCCGGAUUGUAGGUCCCGUUGUGUUGCAUUCAACUUGCAUUAGAGAACCUUUUAAUAAAAGGAUUUGAUUGCAUACAACAUUUCAUGUUUACAUUCAUCCUACAUAAGAAGGUGCUACUCCACUGGAGUAUGUGUGUAAUUAAAAAUUAAAGUCAAUCCGCAAAAGAAUAACAAGAAAUUCUUAUUCGGAGGCUCCUUUGGCAGUAGAGCAGCGAAGCAAAAGACCAAAAGAGGGGGCAGGUUGAUAGCAAAAAUUAUAUUACACUCGGGGUAGCUCAGUGGAAUAUACAACAUACAGGGCACUACUGGAACCUAUUGGACUGUGUAAAAGCAGAACACGUCCCAACGGCAAAUCGGGCACCAAACAAGAAUCAAAACGAUGGCCAGAACAUAAGCUACCUAAAUCGAUCGUCAACCUUGUAUCUCGUCCCUCGACGAAGUAAACAAGGCAUGUCAUCUGUCUCAUAGAAGAAUCUAAUGAGCGGUAGGGUAUAUUACAUAAAUUGAUACUCAUAGAUGAACAUGAGCUGAGCAAUACUGAGCCACUCCUUACAAACUACAUGUAACGAAUCAGAGCCCUAAACCUAAUCUACUUCUCUUUAAAAAAAAAAAAUUUCAAUUUUUCAUCCCUUCUUUCCUCGUUUUCUUGCCUUGGGAAGCCCAUGACACACGUAGAUUCAGUAAUAGUAAAGCAAAAAAUUAUGAUGUGUAAAACAAUUCCUAUAUAAGACAUGGUCUAUGGCAGUAGUUUAUUUGACAUUAGAUGUUAAUAGUGCCCCAAAAGUUGCAUUCCUGGCAACAUUUAAAUACAUGCAUUUUAUAAUACAUUUUGAUGCGGGACAAAUUAGGAUAACUCUAAUCUAUCUUGCAAGUGAUGAGUCCAAAAUCAAUUUAAAACCAAAUUUAGAAUUUUCUAAAAAUCUUUAGAUUAAUUUUUAGUUUUUUUAAUUUAUAAAAGAAUUAAUGAAGUUUUAAAUUAAUUUUCAGAAUUAAAAAAAAAAGAAAAAAUAAAACAAGUAGUACGGCUCUAAGAAAAGGUUCAAAUUUUUUUAUUUUGUAAUUUUUUUUAAUAAAGUAGCCAAUAAUAGGGGAAAAGAAAAUUUAGAAGAAGGAGAAGAGAGAAAUAGAUGAAAGGAGAAAAGAAGAAGAGAAAGAGAAUAUAGAAUCUCGUAGAAAGAAGAAUCUUGCCGGCGCACACAGCAGAGAAGAGGAAGGGAAGAAGAUACCAUGAUCGCAGUCAAAACACAAAUCCAAAUUUUAUUCCAUCAUCACUCAUCUCUCCAAAUUACAAGGCAUAGGCUAUAUUUAUAACCUUCCAAACAUAAUCCUAAUCUAAUUCAAAUUCCAUUAUUUUAGGAAUCUUUUCUAAUUCGAAUAUAUCUAUAAAACACCUAAACUAUAUCCCUAAUUUUUAGAGAUUUAUUUCAUAUGAUAAAUCCUAAAAAAAUCUUUAAACCAACUAAAACAAAUUAACAAACAAAAUAAUUCCAAAAAUUAGAAAAAAUAAUUAAAAACCUAAACGAAUAAAUAAUAUUUGCAUCCAAUUCUGCAUCACAUUCCUUGUCACUAUUUCAAGAACAACUCAGGGAUUGGCUAGUAUUUUACCAUCACAAUCCAAGCCUCAAAUGCAUAAACAAGAGGAGACCACAAAUUAUCAAGAAGCUUAUAGAUGAUACCAGUGGUGGAUCCAAAAAAUUUUCAUAGUAGGGUAAUAUAUAAUGAACAAAAAUAUAAAAUAAAUAAAGAAUUAGUGUACUAAAUAUAUUUUUAUGUACUAUAACAACUCAAACAACUACUAUUUACAAACAAAAAGAAUAAAUUCACAAGUAAUAAAAAGCAAAUAGAAAUCAAUACACAUAUCUAAUACUUUGCAACCCAGUUAAAAAAUUGGGUGGAAAGAGAUUUAGUAGGCACGUAAGUGGUAUUGGGUUUGGUCUUUGGAGUCUUAAUAAUACACUAAUUAGAUUAUCAUGUGGUUAAAAUAAGCGUAAGAAAAAGAUAGGAUGAAAAAAAGUUUGGAUUUUUUAUUUUUUAAAGAUGCUGCUACUGCUGGAUCCACUACCCUUUUUUGUGUUCGACUUUUAACCCUCUGUCUUCUUGGGGGCCCACUACCACAUGGGCCCACAAGAAAUAAAGAGAUGGCACUGGUACACAGCACCAUCUUUUUUAUUGACCUCACUUUGGGGCCAUUUAUGUUAGGGUCAACUAGCCCCAUAGUAGGGUCAAAGAGACAAUGGAAGGCCUUUCAUUAGUUUACAUUAGUGGGGUCAAUAGACCCCACUGAAGUUAAGGUGGAUUUGCCACUACAUGAUAGUUCAACUAAAGACACGCCAACACAAAUAUCACAACCUUCGAAGGCAAUAAUAAUUCUAAUAAAACUAUGUGAUUCUAAAAUGCAGAGUGUUGUGAGAACCGAUUUGGUAUAAAAGAGAGGACCUUUCUUACAAAAUAACCUCUAAAAUUUUAUAAUUUGCGAAAUAACCCAAUCUAAUUGAUAUUUGGCAAACUAAUUCUCGAAACACGGUGAAUCGUUCACCGCAUUUUGAAAGAUUUCAAGGUCAUUUAAAGGCAGUGAAUCAUUCACCGCAUUCAUUAAGGCGGUCAAUGAUUCACCGCCUUCUUCAUAAUUUUUUGGAAAGAGAAAAAAAAGUGAGGUUGUUAAAAAUUGUACGUAGAUUAUACGGGAAAUAAAAAAAGUGAGGUUGUUAGGAUUGUAUAUGGAUUAUUAGAAUUUUUUUUUGAUUGUUAGAAUUUGUAUGGAUAGAUUAUUAGGAUUUUUCUUAUUGCUAGGAUUGUAUGGAUAGAUUAUGAGGAUUUUUAAGUUCUUAAGAUAUGUGAUGUUUGAUGAUUAGGAUUGUAUGGAUAGAUUAUUAGAAUUUUUUUGAUUGUUAAAAUUGUAUGGAUAGAUUAUUAGAAUUUUUAGAUUGUUAAGAUACAUGUGAUUUGUUGAAAUAUUUAUGUGAUUGCUAGGAUUAUAUAUAGGAUAUAGAAAGAAACAGUAAAUAAGUGAAAGACAGUGAAUUAUUCACCGCUUUUGUGAGGAAUACGGAAGGCGGUGAAUCGUUCACCGUCUUUAUGAAGGCGGUGAAUCAUUCACCGUCUUUAAGAGAAAAUUCCAACAUAACUCCUACAUGGCAAAAAAAAGGAUUAGUUUUUCAAAUAUAAUUUUAGCAGGUUUAUUUCGCAAAUACCAAAAUUUUAGAGGGUUAUUUUAUUUAAAAAAAAGUCCUAAAAGAGAGGUUUAAGGGUCAGAGAUUCAACCAACGUCGAAUUAGGGUUUAACCAUAAUUACAGCAAAUAGUUUUUUAAUAAAUGUAUGUUAAAAAAAUUAUACAAGAUUUGUUGUGUUCAAUGCCUAAGUGGUCAACGAACAGUCAACCUUUUACUUAAAAAGGUUUGAUAUUCAAACCCUAUAACACCCAAGAAGUGGAAUUUUCCUUUCUAUUCUUUUCUAUUCUCAAUAGGGGCUAAUAUGACUGCCCAAUUUAAAUUGUUUACAGCAUAAAUUAGCCAAUUCUUUUUACGAUUUUCUUCAUGAAACGAUUUGUAAGCUAGGAUGAAAUAGACAAUACCAAAUUGGCAGUCGGACCAGUUCCUAGUUAAGCUGUUCCAACCAGCCCGUCAGUUCCGGCUUUCUAAACCUAGAAAAUAUACCUAACAAUAACAGUUCCAACCUCCUCUAGAAUAGCAUUAUUGAUGCACUUCGGAAAUGAGCCUUCUCAUAUUUUUAGCUCUUUAAGUUCUAAUUUUUGUUUAAGAACUUAUGUUUUAAUUGUGAUUGAUUAGUCAUUUUCAGAUUGUUAGUGGUGUGCCAUUCCGAUGAUGCACAUGGGUGGGUAUUAAGAAGAUAUCUAUCUUCUCCAUAAUUGCUUUGAUUUAUUCACUGGGCUUUUAAUGAUUUUAGAAGCUGUUCGAGUCCGAUUCAAGUGCAAUCUUAAAUUGCCCAAUCAGUUUACUUCUAAUUGAGUUAAUUCUUUCAUCUUUGCACUUUUGGUUCAGAUCUGAAUAACUGGGGCUUCAUAUUUGGGUUUGGGUUUCAAUUAAUGCCCUAUGAUUCAUUAAACCCUAGCAGGUUCAACCUAUUUUCCUAAUUGCCAGACCCUUUUCCUUUGGAUUGCUUGUCGGACUAUUAUCGGUGUUGCCUGACCCUUGUCCUUUGGAUUUCUAGUCGGUCUAUUAUCGGUGGAUCUAAUUAAAAUAACUAUUUGCUGGUUCCGGCAUUGAGGUAAGAUGUUGGUAAUUUUCAGCUGAGGUUUCUGCAUCCUCUUGCGUCGUCUCUGCUUUGACGAUCUCCUCCUCUCUUUCAGCCAUGGGUUAGGCCCUUCUCUUCUCCUCUUUGCUGCCCCUGGAUUGGGCAUCCUCUUCUCUCUUCUCUCUCGCGCUCUCCUCUCGCUGCAUCCUCUUCUCUCUUCUCCUGCUGCGCUGGAUUGGGCUUUCUUUUCUUCCACACCCUCCCUUUGCUGCCAUUUAUACGCUACCAUCCUUGCUGCUGUUCUUCUCAAACCUGACCACUGUUAGAGCCCAAUUGAUGGUGAUUUAGAAUAAGGAUUGUUCCAGACUGAACUGCAUCUGAUCAAGGCUUCAGUAUUAUUAAUUCUCGACAGCCUUCUGAAGAUAAAAAAAGUCCUGAGCACACCAAUAGGUUCUUGGUUCCUAUUUUAUUGACUUUUUGCUCAAUUUUUAUUAGGUGUGCAUCGGAAUAUUUAAUUUCAGAAUAAUAUAGCUUUUCUAUUUGAGUUAUUAUAUUUCCAGCUGCCUCAGUUGUUCCAUGCUUUAUUCCCCACUUACCUCCAUAGUCGUUAGAGUUUUCCCUCAAAGCUAUAGUUAUCCCUGCAAUUAUCAUAGCUAUCACUUUGAUGUCAAAUUAAACAUGAAAUUGACUUUGAUCUUGGUAAUUCUGUAAUAAUGGGAUAAUUAGGGAUAAGAAUAGUUACUGCCCUAAAUUUACGCUCAAACCAAAUUGUACCAUAGAUAUAAAGGCGAAUACAUGUAAAAAUGACCAAAAAAACAAGUUAAUAUUCAAAAUGCAAAAGAAAUGUGCGAUACAAAACAGUUGAACAUGGGACAAGAAUCUGCUUCUGGCUUCUAACAAAGCCAAAGGGAGAAAACUAACCUCACAGAUAUAUUGAGUCCACAAGUCCUUUGAAACCAGUACCUGGCUUUGAACAUCACCAAGUUCUUCACUACAUGCCAAAGAACUAGCAUUCUCGCACAAAAAAGUUCUAAGUAAAUCAACACAAUCGCCCACAAUUUUCGUAUGCCAUAUAUCUCCUGCCUCGCCUAGCAAAACAUACAUUUGAUGAAAGGCAAAAAAGCAAAAAAAAAAACUAAGUAAAUGAUAAUUAUGAGGUAACUAGGUUUGAUCAAGAGCCAAAAGAUAAGAAAGCAUACAAAAGAACGCUUUUGUUGCGUCAAUAUAAUUCAAGUCCCACCCAAAGUCUUUUUUCAACCGAUGAAGUCUUCGUCUCUAAACAUAACAAAAAGUAUAAAUUAAAGUCAUAAUAAAUAGUACAUGAUUUAAAGGAUGCAACGAAAAGCAGGUAUUAGAGGAGCAGAAAGUGUUUACUUGACGGCGGACAAGCUUGCGCGUGUUGGCUUUUAGCUUGCCAAUGGCUUCAUUUAACAAAUUCUUCAGUUUAUCAUCAUUGGAAUUCAAAACAUCAGAAACAGCAAGUUUAUGACGCAAAUCAGCAUCUUUGUUGGCAAAGUAACUUUGAAAGAAGUCGUUAAAUUCACGAAUGCCAAUAGCCUGAAACAGCCCUCGAGUAUAAACAGCAGAUGGAUUGUAAAUAGCACGCACUUCAUUCAACAGACCAGAAUCAAUCAUGCAAUCAACUCUUUGGUCAACAUAUCGAUCCAGUACAGGAAGGGAAGCAUCCAGCCAUAUAAAAAAACAAUUGUAUCUGAAAUUGCUCACUCGACCCCACUUCUGUCCUGCCAACGAAAGAAUCAGAUUUCUUUCAGAAAAGAGCAUCACUAUUUGCAUCACAUAUUACACAGCUUUUAGCACAAGCAUGAAAUGGAGGGAAUUAUGUACACAAUAGUAAGGGAAACCAUAAUAAGGCAAGUACACUGCACUGGAAAAGAGGAGGCAUAGCAGAUUUAGAAUGAUUAGAAAGACAUUUGGAUGGAGUCAAGUACAUGUGCUAAGUUGCUACAUGAUUUAAAUUAAAAAAAGGGAUAAUUGCCAAUAUACCCCUCAAAACUUCGAAAAUAUCUCAUUUACCCCAACUUUUUUUUUCUUUCCAAUAUACCACUCAUAUGUUCCUCCGUUAUUUCAAAAUAUCCCUGCAGUUACCAUCCGUUAAGUUAACUUGGGUUAAACGUAAGUUAAAUAUCUACCAAAGUUAAAAAAAAUCAAAAUGUUUUUUUUACCUUAACUUAAGGGCAAAUAAGAAAUGUUGGUGAUGGUAAAAGAGUAUAUUUGAAAAGAUCAAAAGUUAAAAUACUUUUUGUGCCCCUAACUUAAGGGCAAAUAAGAAAAGUUGGUGAUGGUAGAAGGGUAUAUUUGAAAGGGCAAAAUAGUAAUUUCCUAGAGAUAACAGCUAUUGUUAACAGAAUUUAACUCUAGGGGUAUAUUAGAAAUAAGUUAGAACUUAAUGGGGGUAUUUUCAAUAUUAGCCUUCUAAGAGGGGUAAAUCAGAAAGUCGAAAACUUUUUAGAGGUAUAUAAGCAAUUACCCCAAAAAAGAACGAGUAGCAAUGCAGUAAACAUAUAUAUUUCCAUACUAAAACAUGAAGCAGCUGCAAUAAAAUAAGGAUGUAAAAUUGAAGAAAUACAAAAGUACAGAAUCAUGUUUCAAAGUUAAAAUAAAAUGCACAAAACAUAAAAUCCACUUAAAGGAAAAGGCAAUGCAAGAAGCUACACAUGAUCCAGGUGAUACAAGCAUAAUAAAACUAAACCAAAUUACCAAGUUUCACAUAGAUUUUCAUAAAUAUUCUAUGCUAUUGCCAGAUUUCAUAUUUACUCAUACAUGCAGAUGUGAUGUUUCCCAAAAUUUCCACAUAAAGAAAUACUAUUUACCCCUUAAAUGGAACAUACUCAACUUUUCUCAAGUAUCAUCCGGCUAAUUAAUGCAAAGGGCAGCUGGGUUGUGUUAAAAAACUAGUCAAAUAGACUAAUGGCAUAUUUGCCCUUGAUUCAAAAGUUGCAAAACUUCAUGAAAGAUACACCUUAAAGUUGAAAUGUUGGGAACAUCAUAUAAAGCUGACAAGUCUCAUAUUUAUCACACACACCUUCACCAUCAACAAAAACCUAUGGGGUUGCUGAAGAAGAUGACUGACCAUGGUUGGCUUAGAAAGAAAUUUUUUGCCCCCUCUUACAAAAAGCAAACACUUGUGCUAUAAUUAUUGUACUCAAGAGAAUUACAUUUGAGGCGAAAAUUUGUAAUAUAUUGUAAUAGCAUAUGUAAUGAGGGCAAGCAUUAAUAGUUAACAAGGUUCUCCAAAUCAGUUUAGUACAACUGCCUCACCUCUGCAGCCUUUCCUCGGUAUAAGUUACUAGGGAGAGCACCCGAGCUAGCAUGUAAGCUGAGGUACCGAUUUAUCUGCAGCAUGCGUCAGAAAAUGUUAGCAAGGAAAAGGAAUAACACAAUGUUAGAGAAAAAUCCAACAAAGGAAGCUUCAUAUGCCCGAAAGAUAAAUACACAUAGACCUCAAAGAAGCUAAAUCUUACUGCUAAUUGAUGAUUCUAAAGAUAUAGAGAAGCAAAAUAAAUAAUAAUACAAGCUAGUAACCUCUCACAGAACAUCAAAAAGGAAUAAAAAAACGAAACCUCAACUUGGAAACUUUCACGUGCCUCGUGUGAGAAACUUAAAUGCCUGUAACUACGAGCAGAUAGGAGAAAAAAACACAAUAAAGUGCAUAGCUGGAAGAACAUAUUUUUUCUUCAUAAAAAGCAGGCACUAUGUGAUGUUCUGUCCCUUGUAUCCAUUUCACAUAUUUCACAAAUGACAUAGCAAAAAUCUGUGAACUCACUAAGAAUCUAAGAUUAACCUUUCUUAGGGGCAACCAAUAUGGAAACCAAGCUAUGAAAGGUGAAUUGAGGAAGGGAAAAAGAAAAACAUAAUGUCCUUACUUUUCUCUGGUCAUUUGGGUGGAUCCUGUUUGCAGCAACUGGAUCGAUCUCCUUAAGGCGCUCAUACCCUCCGCUCACAUCAAAAUCUUUAAGAUCUAAAUCAACAGAUGAAAGGCAUAAAAACUAAAGACUCAGAGAUAAACUUCACUAGAUGCAGGGCACGUAAAUGUCCUUCACUGAUUUCACCUGAUAGGUCAGCGACAGAGCACUCAUGCAAGUCUUCUAACACAUCAUCGACAAGGAAUGGACUCACAAGAGCCUAUCACAACCAAGAAACAAAAAAUUUAACUAAUCAAUCACUGAGCUAGAAUCCUACUACAACUUGAGUAUGCUAAGAAGAUUAUUUGAAAGGAACUCAACCUGGAUAUAGUAAUUUGUGCCACCAACAAUAACUGGAAGGCCAUUGCGUGAUAAUAUGUCAUCAAUGAUCUUUAACAACCACAAAAUAUUGAAUUCAAUUCAUAAGAUACAAUCAAAAUCCCCUUCUAGAAACAUGAAAUAAAAGAAGAAUAUUUAAGUAGAAUUAUACCGGAAUAGCAAGAUUACGGAAAUCUCUGGAAGUGAACUCCAUAGAAGCAUCAAUCAUGCCUAAAAGAUGAUGAGGAACACCUGGAAUCGAACAAAUAUUGUUAAGACUAUUGUUGAACUGUUUCCUAAUAGACUGAUUUUCUGGCGACAAUAGCAAAAUUGCAAAUGACGACCUGAACUUUAAAAAGUAAGAAAAAAGGGGUAAAAAAAAUCAUUAUGCGAACUUACAAUUCAUCCCAAUCAGCUACCUCACCCCAAUUUUAUUAUUUUUGUUAAAUAAUCAAUGACAAUAUAAAGAUACAAUAUUCAUCUAACCCAAAAUUAUUUAGAAAUUCAGAAGCCAAAGAAGUAAGCAUAAACAUUUAACGAUCAAAUAACUGCCAUAUGGAGAUGUACUAUAAGUCUAUAAUUAGUUACGGAAUGUCACAAGAAGUGAGGAAAUUGGGACGGGUGGUUGAUUGAAAACAUACUGUAAGUUCCUGCAACAUUUAUAACUUUUCAAAGUUUGGAUGGGCAUGAAUAAUUGUUAAUGUUUAGGGGGAGUAUAAGUGUAUAACAUAUUUUUCCACAGUUAUGUUGUAAGCGAUAAGACGAGUAGAUCAAACGAUCUCUCUAAAAGCUAAAACUAAUAAAGAAAGGAGUUUUUAUUAAUUUAUAUUCAACACUCACCCUUGAGAUUUUUUGAUACUGAUAGGCCCAAAACGUGUAAACUUAAAUUAACGGAGAGAAACUAAUACUUUGUUUUGACAGAGAGAUAUGACAGCCAAAAAACCAAAAAAAAGAAAAGGAAAACGAAAGAGAGGGAAAAAUAAAAAUAAAAAGAGAGUAAUUUUUUUGCUUAUUGUUUGGACUAAGGGAGGGGGAAAAAAUUACACUUCUUCUCCAUUUUUUAAGGGAAAAAAUUUAACUGUUAUGAAAGAUUAUCUUCUCCUAUUUCUCUCCAUUUUUUCUUUUUUUCGUCUGUAGUUUUGAUCCACUUGACAGAAUAUAAUUCUUUUUUUCUAACUUUCUUUACAUUUUCUCUCCAUUCAAACAGAGUGCAAAUGAAUUUAUAGCUUCAUUUGGAUUGUUGGAAAUAAUAUGGAUGAAGAAAAAAUGAGUGAAUAGAAAGAAGGAAAAAAGAGGGAGGGGAAGAAAAAAAGUAAUUUUCUUUUCUGUUGUUUGCAGUAAAGGAAGAAAAGAAAGAAAAUAACUUUCUCUUCCUUUCUCUCCACUUCUCUCCACUUUUGGAGAUAUACGUUCCUCCAUAUUUCUCUUCUUUUUCCUCGUCUAGUUUUGGUCCAAAACGACAGAAAUUUUUUUCUCCUAAUUUUCUUUUCUUCCCUCUCCUCUUCUCUCUCCAACCACACAAAGUGUAAGAGUCUGAUAAUAACAGAAUUCAAACUCAGAAUCUCAACAGAUUAUUCUAUAGGGCGUGAUUGGUUCAUGAGUCGAAUGGAAAUGAGAAAUAAAAUUGGAUUGCGUUGGAAUGAAAAAUGGAACUACGAACGAUCCAAAAAUAUUUAGUUCAUUAUUAGAAUGAAAAUCAGAAUAGAUAAUUAUGACACCUAAAAUUUAUUCCGAGAUAGAGUUUUAGUUAGAGGAGAGGCGAUUAAUGAAGUGAGAGGAGGGGAGGCGUUGGUGAGAGAGAAUUUUGAGGAUCUGGAGUCAUCUCUAUUCUAUUCCAGAGUGGAAUGAAAAUCGAAAUCCCAUCCCUAUAAAACAAACACCGACUAUCAGUAUAGAAUCCACAGCUGAAUCAGUGGACGUCGGUCUUAAGUUUUAAUUUCAGAGUCUAAAAUAAGCGAACCAAGCAAGCAAGCCCUAAAUGUUAAGAUAGCAGACAAGAAGAGGAGACCGUUGCGAUCGGAGGGAGGAGGCUUGUUGGUGACGACGUCGAGGCCGUGGUAGACCUGCAUGGAGUCGGCGUUGACGACCUCCACACCAGGGAAGACGGAGGCCAGGUCGAUCGCCAGCCGGGACUUCCCGGCGCCCGUCGCCCCCAUCACCACCACCACAGCCCCCUUCUUCUUCUGCUGCUUCUGCUUCCUCCUCUUCUCCUGCGCUGCCGAUUCGCCGCCGUCGAAGGCGAUCGUCGUCUUCUCUUCCCCCAUGGGGUCUUGGCUGCACCGUAGGAUAGUUUCGCCGCGGAACGGCUGGACGAGUCUGGGUACGCUCUACAAAAUAAAUAAAUAAAAAUAAUGGGCUAAUUGCAUACAGGUCCCGCAAACAUAUUGAUUUAUAAAUAUUUCCCUGUAAAAUUUACCUUUCAUGAGUUACUAGGGAAAGACCCGCGAUGCUGCGAAUAUAAAAAUAUUUUAAUAAUAAAUUUUGAUUUAUAUUUAUAUAUAUUUUAUAUAGUUUUAUAAGUCUAAUUAUUGAUUAAGUAAAAGUUAUAUUAAAAAUAAUUUAAUAAUUAAAUAUGUUUAAAGAAAAAUAAUUAAAACUGGUAUAUGUGCAACAUAAAUUUAUAUAACAGUUUAUUAAUAAUUAAAUUAUUUUGUAAAGAUUUAUGUGAAAAAGAUUUGAGAUAAAUCUAUUCAAAUAAUUUAAAUAAAUCAGUAAAUAAAAGAAAAAUAAUAGUAGAAGAAAUUGUUUAUAAAACUAUAUUUAUAUAUAUACAGAGAAACACACACUAUGUUUAUAAAUUGUUAUUCCAGAAAUUUAAAUUUUGUAUUUUUUCAUAUGUCGACAUUUUUCAUGAUUUAGAUUGUAUCUACCAGAAUGGAUUUUAUUACGCAAUUUAUUAUGCGUAUUAUUAAUACAAUUAAUUAAUUAUAUAGGGUUUAAGCGUUUAAACUUUGAAGUUUGAAAUUUAGAAAUAAAUAUUAUAAAAUUUAAAAUCUGGAGCUUAAAAUUUGAAAUUAUAAAUUUUAAAAUUUUAAUAUCUAAAAUUUUAAAUUUAAAAUUUAGAACUAAAAAUUAUAUAUAUAUAUAUAUACAUAUAUAUAUAUAUGUAUAUAUAUAUAUGUGUGUGUGUGUGUGUGUGUAGAAGGAGAGAGAAAUGGAGGGUUGGGGGGACACGUGUCACUCUUAAGUCCCCUCAAACCCUCCUUUAAUGUAGUUAGAUAGAUUCCUAUAAAAGUACUAAUAUUUUUAUAUAUGUCCCUAUGAUUUGUUACAGUUGGAGAACCGUUAGAAAAAUAUUUAUAUUUUCAAUUUUGCCAUUACAAAUAUAUUCCUCUAAAAAUUAUAACAGUAUAAUAUAAGAGGGGUAAAAAUAUCAAAAAUUAAUCCAGGUAAAUUAUUUAACGUAUGGUUAACUAAACUUUUCUAACGGAUUCUAACGGCAGAGAUAUAUCUGAAAAUAUUAGGACUUUUGCAGGGAUAAUUUUCACGCCCCGCGACCGCCAAUUUGGUCGGUCCGGGCACGUACACAGAUGCCGAACAGACAGAGUCUCCCCUGUCCGCCCAAGGCUCUACAACAACAACAAACAUGUAUAAAGAAUUCGCCCAGAAAGAAUUUUGAUAUGCAUGGCUUGCACGAGGGUAAACAACAGGAGCAAGUAAAAUUAAACUAGCUAUUACAUCCAUAUAUUGUAUCUUGAUUAUAUUUAACAAAAUACAAAGCUUACAUUAAUCCUCCAUUACACAUGCUCUUUACGUCCAAUUCCAGGUAGUACAUAAUACAUCAUUCCUUACAUACCCUUUUUCAUCAAAUACAAAAGAUGAAACCAAAAAGGGCACAACUAAGCUCGAUGGAAAUCCACUACCUAGGGCGCGAUGCCAUUGCCGUGAUUCUCGACCACCUCGCUCGCGCUAGGAUCUGUAAGGUUAGUGGUGUGAGAACUAAUGAAAGUUCCCAGUGGGUUCGGCUGCCGACCCCGCCGACUCACGCACUAGGUCUAGUCAAGCAUAUAUAUGAAAAAGGAAUAGAUAGUAAACCAUACUAAAGCUACUACAAUGCCUAUUUAAUAACUGAAGUAAUAAGUAAUAUGCUCAUGAUGCAUGCAUUGCACUUUUACUGUCACGCCCCGCUACCACCAAUUUGGUCGGUUCGGGUACGUCCACAGACGCCGAACGGACAGAACCUCCCUUGUCCACCCAAAGCUCCACCCAACAUGUAUAGCAAUGUAAUACACUGGAUCUUAGCAAAUUGCAAGAUUCGAGUGUUUGAUCUGUGUGUGGGGCCUUUCCACAGUUUUUAGAGGGUCGUUGAUAGUGUUCCGACCCCUGGCACGCACCCCGAGGAUGUUGGUUUGAAGCUUGGUACCAAAAUCCAAAAAUUGGAUNAUGAUAGUUGGAGACUUUUACUUCAUGCAUAGUUGCUUUCAUACUUAUGCUAUUUAUGCUAAGUAGAGAUAUCAUGUCGUAAUAAGUUACAUUUUUUUUGCUUACCUAUCUACUUUUAUAGGCACUGACAUCUUUUGUAGCUUUGGGCCUUGUGGUGCAUUCACUGAAGUCAGUAAUUGCCCACUGGGAACUAUUUUUAAUAGUUCUCACGCCCUUGUUUUAUGGUUUACUUUUCAGAGCCUUCGGCACCGGCGGAGGCACGGGAUCGCGGCAAGGGAUCGCUUAACUAGCUAGCGAGGAGCGGUACUUUGCCUAGGUGGUUUACUCUUUCUUUUUGUAGUAGUGAGAGAGAGAUUUCUGUAUCCGUGUAUAGAGACCACCUAUGUACCUACUUUUAGCACUUGUACUUGGAGAUUCCUAUUGUAUUUACUUUAUGUUUUACUUAGUGGAUUUACAAUUUUAUCCUUAUUCCUUGCUGUAGCAUUUAGACAUUUAUUAUGCUCUGAUACUCCUAGAUGUCUUUUAUUAUUGCUUUACUUAUUGUUGUUUUUAGAUGCCUUAUGCGUUUUAGACGUAUGGCGGGUCUGGGCACGUGCCGGGCGGGCUUCCGCUGGGUCCCGGGGGGUGACAAGCAAGCCAUACAAAGAGAAUGCAACUAUAGAUGGCUUGCACGAGAGCAAGCAACAACAAGUAAGGGAAAGCACUAAUGCUACUCCAUACAUCCAUAUAUGUCAUUUGAUUAUAUUUAACCAAAUAUAAGUCAACCACAUAUUACAUUCUUUUCUUUUAAUAUACAUCACAUGAUCCAUCCACCAAAACAUAUGAAUUUACAACAUUUACAUCACCAUUCAUCAUAUACAAAAGAUGAUAAGAUACAUGGUAUGACUAUACUCGGGUAGCCGCUAUCUAGGGUGCGAUGCCCUUGCCGCGAUCCUCGACCGCCCCGCUCGCGCUAGGAUCUGCAAGGUUAGUGGUGUGAGAACUAAAGAAAGUUCCUAGUGGGUUCGGCCGCCGACCCCGCCGACUCACCCACUAGGUCUACUCAGGUAUAUGUAGGAAAAGAAGAGAUAGAUAGAAAACCAUACUAAUGCUACUUUAAUACCUGCAAAGAAAACUGACUCAACGAGUAAUAUGCUCAUAAUGAUAUAUGCAUGUCUUUCACAUUUACCUUGGCUUUUACCCAAUCGUCUCGGUUAACUCAUGGUUAACCCCAAAACUCACAAUCAAAUCCCUUUCUUUUGGGGAGAAUAUCGCUACAACCCGAUUGGACCGUCUGCUAGGGAGAAUAUCGCUACACCCAGUGGUGACAACUCCGGAGCACACUGCUUGAGGUGGAGCUACCGCCCUCAAGCCUAGACCGAAUGUGAGUAUAAUCCAAUCCUCAAUUUGAGGAUGCAUAGCCAUUCAUGCCAUUCUUGCCACUUGCCACAAUGCUCUUAAGGUUUUACCUUGUCUAGCAUACCAUAUCCUUGGUGUCAAUCAUGCCGCUAAUAUCAAUAUCACAUUUGUUUACUAAUGUCAUAGUCCACGUUCAUUUCACACAUUCAUAGGGUUCUAUAUGUAUGGUCCAAUUUCAAUUCAUACGUUCUCUUAUCUAGAAGCAUACAAGAGGUUCCCAACCAUAACUACAUGUCACAUAACCCUAAAUGCAUGAAUACCACAAUACACAUAUAUGCUCAAAAAGGCAACAUAGACAUAAUGAGAAAUUCGAUGAUUUCGAAUAGCACCACCCACCUCGUAGGGAUGCCCGUAAGCCUACAAUUCACGUCUCGCGAUUUAUGGUCGCUGAUUUUCCGCGACCCUCGGCAAACGAAGCCGAAAUGAGAUUUUUCUCCACUAACUCAACGUAGACCCGUCGAAAUUUCAAUCCGAGUCUCCCAACGCGUCAGAUUAUCCACAAAUUAGGGCUACAAGAGAUCAAACCCUAGUUAGAUCUCAAAGUUUACAAAACCCUAAUAUUAACCCUAGGAUUUCUAUCUUUACCAAAUACCCCCAAAUCUCAUGAAGAUUCAUGGACAAACCUACCAUAAUAGCUUCUAGAAACAAUAGUUAGAAGAAAACACAACUAAACCCUAGCUCAAAGCCACCAAAACUCACCUUGAGUUCUAAGCUUUCUCCUCAACCCUUGCACAAUUGCUAGCUUCACCCGAAAUUAGUCUUCUUCUCCACCAAGCCCCUCUCUUGGAGCAAACCCUAGUGAGAGAAUGAAAAAAAGGGAGAGAGAGAGUAAAGAGUUUUAGAGAGAGAAAGAGAUUUCUCUUUUGAUGUUGGUGUGAGGGAAAUGAGAGCUAAACCAUCAAGCCCCCACUUAUAAACACUCACACACAUACACAAUAGCACAUAGCCCCCUCACACAACAGAGGCCAACCAUCCCUGGCAUUUUCGUGUUCGGGGUCCGGACCUUACACUUAGGGUCUAGACCCCGAGAGCAUUUUCAGCACAUUUCGACUUGAAAUUUCCUAACUUGCUCUCCCAUGUCCAAAUGCCCAUUUUAUGCACUCCGAAACAUUCGGAAUGGCUAACGGACCAUUCUAACACAUCCACCACCACACUUCGGUCAAUUUGAUAGAAGUUCGGUAUAACUCGUCCGGGAUCCAAUAUGUUACAUUUACCUUUACCUUUACCCAAUCCUGUUGGUUAACCUUUUGGUUAAGACGAACUCACCAAACCAAAUCCCUUUUUGUCAGGAAGAAUACCGCUAUAACCCGACGGGAUCGUAUGCUAGGGAGAAUUCCGCUAUCGCCCAAUUGAUGACAACUCCGGAGCUCACCGCUUGAGGUAGAGCGACCACCCUCAAGCAUAUCAGACUACCUGUGAGUAUAAUCCAAUCCCCAACUUUGAGGAUACCAUGUCACUAUUGCCACAAUGUUCAUAUGGUUUUCUUUGUCUAGCUUUCCAUGAUUCUUGGUGCUAUUCAAUUCAUCUAGCCAUAAUGUCACCUUGUUUACUAUUGUCAUAGUCCAAUACUUUGUUCGUACAUUGAUAGGAUUUCUAUAUAUAUAUAUUUCCGAAGCCUUUGUCAUUUCAAAUGUACUUUUACAUUGAAAGCAUAAAAGAGAUCCACAUAUCACUUUAACCCUACAAUGCAUGAAGACAACACUAUACACAAACAAACAUACUCAAAGAGGUGACAUAGACAUAAUGAGGAAUUCGAAAAUUUCGAAUAGCACCACCCACCUCGUAGGGAUGCCAGUGUAAGGGAAUGAAUCCUCGCCGCGUAAGUCCGAACUUCGGUCGAAAUUGACCAAAGGUCACUUCGGAAUGCUUCGGAAAAGCCGAAAGCGCCAAAAAUGGCAUUUGUGGGUUGUAGAGGACCUUGGAGGGCAUGUGUGAGCAAAUAUGCAAAAAUGCAGAUUUUGUGUGCUCUCGGGGAGGGUCCGGACCCCGUAGCUGCGAACAGCCCAGUGUAGGCUGUGCACUAAUUGCAUUGUUUGAGGGGUUUUUAUGCAAUUGGUGCUAGUAGGAUUAAAAAGGGAGGUGUAGAGAGCUCAUUUACUCCUCUCUCUCACACUUGCUACCCUAAAUUAGAACCUCUCUUUCUCUCUCUCUAAGCUCUCUCUUUCUCUCUCAUCAAGGUAGGAAUCAAGAGGAAGGGUUGGUGGAGAAGGAAGCUUGAAGGUGGAACUUCAUCUUCUUCAUCUUCUUCCUCACAUUGGGAGAAAGCUUUUGAGGUAAACUUUUGAAGCUUUAAUGGUGGAUUUCUAGGGUUUGGUUUUUAUACUCUAGAAUUAGUUUAGUGGAACCCUUAGGUGCUAAAUAGAUGCUAUAUGCUUGAAUCAAGAGGUUCUAUGAUGUAUUCUUGCAAUAGUAGCAAUCUAGGGUUCCGGUUGGGGUUUUGCGAAAUGUUAGGGUUUGGUCUAAAUUAACCCUAUAUAACCCUAAUUGCUAGGUAAUAUGACGCGUUGGUGAACUCGGUUCGGUGAUCCGUCGAGUCCGCGCAGAGAUAUCGAGGAAAAGUACCGUUUCGGCUUUGUUUCCGCCUGGAGGGCCGAGGCGACGUCCAAAAAUCGCGAAACUUGGAAUCUAGAGUCGCGGCAUCACCAGAAGGUGGGGGGUGCCACCCGAAGCAGUUGAACUCCCUUCUAUGUCCAAGUUACAUUGUUGAUCAUAUAUUCACAUGUUGACAUUAUGCUUUAUAGGGUGAUUUGGAUAGUUUCAUUUUUAUUCUUUGCAUGCCUCCUUGGUAGUGUAGCAUUGUGAGCUUGACACAUGAACUUAGGAUGCAUGAGGAUAAAGUUUUGUGACAUAGAAUCCUAUAGUAAUAAAGUUAAGCGAUGAACUUGAUCUUGUGAUGAUGAAAACAAGUGACGUGAACUAAUGUAGUAGAGGCACUAUAACAUGAACGAGUGGCAUGUAAACUAGUUGAUACAACAAAAUGAUUUGAAUGAGUGGCAUUGAACCUUGUGUCACGCCCCGGGACCCAGCGAAAGCCCGCUCGGCGCGUGCACAGACCCACCGUGUACAUCAAACAACCAUAAUGCACACAAGGCGUCUACCAAAAACUAGAAAUGAACAAGAUAAUUUCCUAACAAGGCUAUCAGAGCGAGUAAUAUAAAAUCACUAUUGUUCUAGCAUAAAGAGAUCCACAAUAAAACAAAAGACUACAAGUAGAUCCAAAAGUCUAAUGUAAUCUCUAAACCAAAAUACAUAAUACAUCUUUCCACAAAGUACAAAAACAAAGAUGAUGUCGGGUCCCUCUAAAAUAACUCCGUAGGGCUCUAACUAGUCGCUAACCCCUUGCCACGAUCCUUAGCCACUCUCGAUACGGAUGGCUCUGAAACAAACAACAAAACAGAGGGCGUGAGAACUAUUGAAAAUAGUUCCCAGUGGGUAAGUCACCGAUCUUAGCGAAAUAGAUAUAUUUUAUAUCAAAUAAAUCUAUUUUGAGGUCCAAUACAACCUAAUUCUAACCGAAUUAACCCUAACCCUAACCAAACCCGCUCCACCCCACUGCACCCCUACCCAGCGAACGCCUCAGCCUCGCGAGGACCCCUUCUCUCCUCACGAUCCCUCCCCUCUUCCCCCUUUGAGCUCGAGCUCUCCCUCUCUCCUUUACCUCUACUCAUUUCCCUCUCCCUCUUCCUUAGAAUCUCCUCCAAGCUUUGAUCCCAUUCCAGAAUCGCCCUCGCUUUUGCCCUCAAUCUUCUCCACGAGCGGGUGCUUUGAGGAGAUCAGCCGCCGCCGGUGUCGCCCUCGGCCUCCUCCUCCACGAGCGUGGCGGCGCUCCGACGACCUCCCUCCGCCGCCACACACCAACGACGAGGUCGGUGCUCCGCUCGGCUCCAAGGGCUGGGCCGACGAGCCCGGGUUUCGCCAGUGGAAGGAUAAAGAGGCCGAGAUCCUCAUCGACAUCGAGCCCAUCAUCGCCCUCACCAAGGAUAUACUCCACUCCAAGGAAGCGGAACAGUGCUCUCUGGGAUCUUGCCAUGGAUCGAUCGAUGGGAGCUCGGGGGUCGGUGAUCUUGUUAGGGCUCGUGAUCACAGGUAACGUGUCGAUCUCGCGAUCAUCGAUCUGCAUGAUUCGCUUUCAUUUUUUGAAUAUCUUGUACUGGAUCUGAUUUGGUUGUAGGAUGCGUUUGUGAACCCUAGAUCGGCAAUGGCACCCCAUUGAUCUAUAGAUGUGAUGCUUAUUCCUCUAGUUUUCUGUUUUGUUUCUAGAUAUAAAACCCUAAUCGGUGGAGAUUGCAUGUGAAUCAUUAUCUAGUUUUGAAUCGACGAUGCCAAACAUUAAAUUGCAAUUCCCGUAACAUCAUAUUAUCAAAAUUAACUUAAGCUCUUCCGAAGAACUUUUGACGGCGAUGUAGCUCCUGUCAAGGUUCACCUUCAUGCUUCAGCAUGCAACAGGAAUUUAUAUGUUUAGUAUGCUUUACUUUAAAAUUGAUAUAUUGGCCUCUUCUUAGGAUUACGAUAGAGAGUUUCUGGUUAAAUUGAGUCAUGUCGCUGCGUGCGCGGAAAUAUGGAUCAGAUACAUUGGAGAAGGAAUGUGGAUAUCAUGACAUAUACUUUGAUCGAUUAGACAAAUAUUAAAAACCAGAAGAAUAAAGUGUUUAGUAUGAAUGUAAAAAUUGUAUGAACGGAAAAAAAUUGAACAAAUUUUAUAGGCAUAACUACAUCAUGGAUAUGUGAAGAACCUACUUGGAUAUUGUAAAAACUAACUUGUGUGGUAUGGGUGUUUCUUUUAUGAUUGCAAGCACAGAGCUUGAUCUUAUUCUAUUCUGCAUGUGAUGUGAUUUAUCAUGUGCCUAAAUUGGUGCUAAACAACAUCCCUGAUUUCGUAGAAUCUCAUUUAAUUAUGAUGAUGACAUUAAAUCAAAUAUUAGGGAAUUGGAAAUCUGUUGUGAAAUAGUGAAGUGUCAACCUUUAUCUUGCGAAGACAUUCUCUAGAUCUACCUAGAAUGUUGAUAUGCACAGAGUCGAUUUAACUUGCUCAUGAGUUGAGGUAUCCAUGAGUUAUAGACUCAUAGUUAAUUGAACUAGUUCUAAAUUGAUCUAGAAGGUUAGAAGAUGAGUGCAAAAUUGACAGUUGCUUUUAAGAUGUAGAUAUUUAAAACUACAAGAGCAAAAGUAGUAAAAAUUAGAAAAGGCAUAUGAAGAUUGAAUUUAGAGAUUAGAAAAGAGAAACUAAAUUUCAAGUUAAUGGUACCUUAUUCAUUACCUUGGAGGACCCUACCAAAUGACGUCUACUUUAGUGCCAAAAUGUUGUAAUUCAUAUGGGUUUCUCAUCGUGCCUUCAAUGUGCAUAAGACCUUUCCUAAUAGUACGGGAUGAGACAAAACCUUUAGUCAACUUGAUUAUCUAGUAUUGCACAAUUUUUUUAAAAUUUUUUUCCAAAAGUUCCGACACUCUGCUCUUUACAACGCAUCUACUGCACUCAUUUCUUUUUCUGUCCAUAUGGAAUACUUUCAGGCAUGGAUCGAGUAAACUUGAACAAGUGGGCUUUGCUUCUUUGACAGUUUGGAAUAUGAAAACAUGGAAAGCUAUGGUAUAUACGAUAUCUUGGAUAUUUUUUUGACAAUUGUGCAUGAUUUAGGCAAAUAGAGCACUUAUAUUGUUUUUAUAUUUUAUUUUGUGAAGACAGUCCUUCCGCUUGGUGAGGAUCCUUCAGCAAUCACCUCACUAUCAUUCAAUCAUAACGGAAAAAUCUUAGCAGCCUCUGCUACUGAUGGAAUGAUUCAUAUGUUUGGUAUCCUUGAAUGCUAGCUAAUUAUACUCAUCAAGAAUACGUUCAAGGAGUUAUACAUGACUGUUAUCUUUUUGUUUCUGCGGAAUUGUUCUAAAGCAUUUCUCUUCAUGCCAAUGGAGUGAUUGGAUGCUUUGCAUUUAGUUUUGUAACCAUGAAUUUUCUACAACAUUCAUGUCAAGAUAUAUGUUGCUUUGUGAAAGUACAUUUAAGAGCUUAAGCUAGGAGUUCUCAUGGAUUGUAAGGUUCCUUAACUAUCCAAAGACAUGUCUGCUAGCCUGCAAAUAACAGGAUGGCCUGCCCAUGAUUCAGUAGUAAGUUAAGUUCUAUUUGGACCUGAUGAGACCAGCAUUUUCAGUUUAGGCUCCGAUGGGAAGGCAAGUAAAUUUCAGUUUCCUGAUUUAAUAUGCAAUCUCUUAUGGUGCUUGUUCCCAGAAGAAUCUCAUGGUUCAGAACAAACCUUAAUCAUUAUGGUAUUUCUUCACAAAUUUGCACCUUGGUGUAUAUCUUUUGAAAUCACUGCAUACAAUUAUCUCCUCUUCAUCUAUCAAAACUUUCAUCGGUUCUUUCCUCUAAUGUUGAGUUUGCAUUGUAUAAAUGGAGUAUUAGACUAAGUUGAUUUAUACUGCACUAACUUCAAAAGGCACUUUGCUUUUCAACAUAUCUUGUAUAAUAAAAAGAAGCAUUGGUGCUUCAAGCUUGAUAACUUAGUAGCUGGAACGAAUGUAAUUUUCUCGCCUAAACUGAAAUAGAACACUAAGUUGCAUCUUGCAUUCUUGCAUCGCACCCAUUAUCUUAGUUACUCUUUACACGCUUCAUUAAGACUAAAGUUCCUUCCAUGUUCUUGUGCCCUAAUUGGAGAAGUGAGAACCUAAGCUACAAGCAUCUAUUCUUUCACUUUAAAUAUUAUUGUCUAAAAGUACCUUCUCAUCAUGUAAUAAAGCAUUGUAGAAUUGCGAGUAUUUUAUACAAUCUAUAAUUCUAUAUAUUGUAUUCCCCGAACUUAGCUAUUGAUGGGAUGUUUAUUUUCUUAGCUCAUAAGAAAUGCUUCAUAGAAAUCCUUUGUGUAAAUAUAGAAUUGGUAUGAAUGUCAAAUUAAAUGCCUUUUAAGAGUUAGUCUUUUUUUCCUACUAUAUCAUUUACUAGUUAAUGCAUUUGUGAGGAAAGCUUUGAGGCCAUCACUUGCUGGGUUGUGUAAACAGCCUUUCCUGUAAAGGGAUUAGGCUUUCUAUAGCACACUUCUACACUUACAUUAAUGGUUGAUUUGCUUCUAAACUCCCUAGUUGUCUUAUUUUACUCUUUUUGCUAUUAUUGGUUAAGCAGAGAACAGGCUUUCAGUUUUAUGUGAAAAGGAGCGUUGAGCAGAAAGACCUACUUGCACCUCUUCCAUAUCUCCCCGCAGUUCAACCUGACAAUGUAAACCAAGUAUCUCAUUCAAAUGGGUCUGCUGCUGCAACACCCUUAACCAUUUCCCCUGCAAAAUCUUCACCAGGAGGCAUUUAGAGAAUCCUUGAUACAACUUCAGAUGAAGGGUUGGUAAUUCUUCCAUCACCAAAGGUAUGUAUCAUGCUUUCUCCUUUUCAUGCUUUCUCAUUUUCUUCUUGUUGGUACUUGUUAAUGCAUCUUUAUAUUGAUGUCAUAUUCCAGGUUGGUUAUUGUUGGCAUUCGGUUAAAUCGAAUCGGGUACGCCCAUAAGCGGGUUCGAUCCGACGGAUAUUAUGUUAUCUAAUUGGAUUGGAAUUAAUCUCGCUUUCAAAUUGGAAAGCUAAUUAGAGAUAAAUCCUAAUCAUAUUAGGAUAAUAAUUAAUAACUGAUUUGGCCUUAUCUCUUACGCUAUUAGGAUUUUGAAAUUUCAUAUAAAUAUACGGGCGAUCCCACAUAAAACGAUGAACGAACGUAAAAAGAGAGAGAAUAAGAAAACAAUAGAGAGAAACCACAUCCUCCAUUAACCUAUUAUUCUAGAGGGACUUGCACGGUGGAUUUGCGAUCGUGCUCGUUUGUAGUUCGAUCCACUGCGGGUUCGGAGCUUUAGAAGAUCUUCAAGGACGAUCCAAGGACACGUGAAUCAACAUCUAUGAUCUGGGUUCAUCGCAUUGUAACGCGAAUCGCUUCCGCAAAAAGGUACGAACGAAUACUUCCGCUUCAUUCUACAUUGGUAUCAGAGCCUUUUUUGGUUAAUUUCGUGGUCUUGAUACAUCCUUUAACGAGAUUACAUGCGAUAUAUUAAAUCUAUCAUGUUUUAGAUUUUUUCUUACAUGUAUGUCAGCGUUAAUGGCGGUUUUUUCAUAAGUAGAUAUCUUUGCAUGAUUUUUACACAUCUUGAAGCACCAAAAUUGUAGAUUUUAUCUACAAAGUUUGAUUUGAUAUGGUUUUGUAUUUUAUGAGAAAAACGAAACACUAUAUCGAAUUUUUUUGGGGGUGGCUUGUUUGAUGUGUGAUGUAUAUCCCAUUGUUAAACUUGCAUGAUUUGGAAGAGCUCAUCACAAGCUUUCUAUCGACAUAUUUCUUGCAUAAAUCAGAUUUCUAAAUCUCAUGUUAUGAUUUUUUAAAGAUUAGCUAUCUUUAAAAUAAAAAAAAUUGAAAAAUACUGUUCCGGGUGCGUGGGCGCACACGCGGACAGCACGCAGGCCGCCGGCCGCGCUGGCCACGCGGGUCGUACGCAGCCCUGAUGUUGGGCGAGGCCAAUCCUUUAUCGCCUCUACUUUCUUCGGGUCUACUGACACUCCGUCGCCCGACACCACAUGGCCCAAAAAUGUGACCUCCUUUAGCCAAAAGUCACAUUUCUUUAACUUCGCAUAAAGCUUCUCUUGUCUGAGUAUCUGCAACACUGCUCUCAGAUGCUCUUCAUGCUCCUCUUCACUCUUUGAGUAAACCAACACGUCGUCUAUAAACACCACAACGCAUCGAUCCAACAACGGCCUAAAGACUCGAUUCAUCAAGUCCAUAAAUGCUGAAGGGGCAUUAGUAAGCCCAAACGGCAUCACCGUGAACUCAUAAUGGCCAUACCGCGUACGGUACGCCGUUUUGUGUACAUCCUUUGGCCUGAUCUUUAAUUGAUGAUACCCCGAUUGGAGAUCAAUCUUCGAAUACACCUUAGACCCUUGCAACUGAUCGAAUAGAUCGUCAAUCCUUGGCAACGGGUACUUGUUCUUUAUCGUUACUUUGUUCAACUCGCGAUAAUCUACGCAGAGUCGAAGUGUGCCAUCCUUUUUCUUCACAAACAGCACCGGAGCUCCCCACGGUGACACACUCAGUCUCACAAAGCCUUUAUCAAGCAAGUCUUGCAAUUGGCCUUUCAACUCCUUUAGCUCCACCGGUGCCAUUCUAUACGGAGCCUUCGAAACUGGUUCCGCCCCGGGAAUCAAGUCAAUUACGAACUCAACUUCCCGGUCCGGUGGCAAUCCCGGUAACUCCGCCGGAAACACGUCCGGAAACUCACACGCAACCCGGAUACUUCCAAGGUCUGGGUGCUCCCUACGGCCAUCAACCAUAGUUGCCAAAUAGGCCUUACAUCCACCCUUGAUCAUCCUCUUGGCCCUCACUGACGAUAUGGUCGCCGCAAAGCGCGCACCCUUGCACGCCCGGUACACAAAUUCUUCUUGGUUAGGUUCACGGAAAGUGAUAACCUUACUUUCGCAAUCGGUACACUUCGGAAAGUCCGAAGGUGUUAAAAUGAUUAAAGGUGAGUUACGGGAGGUUUUCGAGAGCUUGAGAAUUAAAUUCUGCAAAACUGCAGAUUUUGAGCUCUCGGGGACCGGUCCCUGGUGGGAGAGACCGGUCCCCGAACGCGUGCAGAAUGAGACAGCCGAAAAAUCGGCUAAGUCCUGAGAAACCAGCUCUCGGAGACCGGUCCCUCCCCGAGAGACCGGUCCCCGAGAGACCGGUCCCCCAAUGAGAGACCGGAUGCAUUGCGCGCAGCAGCUCUGGCUGCGCUGGGAGAGCUCUCGGAGACCGGUCCCUAGUCGGGGAGACCGGUCCCCGAGCCCGAAAUUUGCCCAGUCCAGGCAGUUGAAUAAAGUAAAAGUUGAGGGAUUUAUUAGCAAUUUUGCAACCCAAGGGUUAAGUGGGGCUGAGAGAGAGCCUUCCUCUCUCAUUCCCUCACCCUCUCACACUCUCUUCUCUCUCUCUCUUUCUCUAGAAGACAAAGAAGAAGAAGGAGAAGAAGAAGAAAGGAAGAAAAGAAGGAAAGGAAGGAAAAGAAGGUGAAGAAGAAGCUUUUGGAGCAAAGAGGCUUCAUCUCCUUCUUCUCUAGUGCAAGAAAAGGAAGCUUACAAGGUAAGCUUUGAACCCUAAUGUAGUAAAACCCUAGAAAGGGGUUUGAAUGAACCUAGAAAUGGUUUUAAUGGAUUGUUUGGAGUUUUUGAAGCUUUCUUUUUGCUUCUUUAGAGAUCAAAACCUAGGUUUACUAUAGAGGUGAGCUUGGACCACCUCUCAUGGUGAAAUCCAAACUAGGGUUUUGGAAAGCCUAAGAAUGGUUCUAAUGGACUAUUUAGAGUAUAAUGAAGCUACUUUUGCUUCCCAAUGAGAUCAAACCCUAGGUUUUGUAUAUGCAAUGGAGCUAGGGCACCAAAUUGGGGUUUUUGCUCAUGAGGGUUUCUAAGUGCAAUUGACCCUCCAAAAACCUAAUUGGGGGUAUUUCCGACGCGUUGGUGCGCUCGGAUUAACGUUACGAAAAGUCAAAGUAAAGUUAAGAGCAAAAUGGCCUAAUAAGGGUUCGUUUUGCCGCAGGUAAAGAGCGAAGCAUCUAAAAAUCCCAAGAAAAUCAUCGGAGCACCUUUGAAAGCCUACGAGGUGGGUGGUGCUUCUCAAACUCAUUGAACUUCUCUCUAUGCCUAAUGUGUCAUUCAUUUGAGCAUAUGUUACAUACUUGUUGCAUGCAUUUUAGGGUAAAGUAUGAUGAAAAUGUAAUGAUGCAUGAUUGUGAGUACAACUUGCAUAAUAUGAUGAAUGAGAACUAUGUGAUGUCAAAACCCUAAGUGUAUGCAUGAGAGAAAUGUGAGCACCCAAAGUGAGCAAAAGAACAGAGUGGCACAAUGACAUAGAUCGAGUGGCAUCCGAUAAAGCUAAUGUGAAAUGACACUAGAGUUAGUGUGAUGUAAAGAACUAAAGUGAUAUAAAGAACUACAGUGACGUAAAGAAUGAUGAAAAUGACAAUGUAUAAAGUUAAAGUAAAGUAGGGCAAUAAGAACAAGAAUACUAGAGUUAGCAAGGGUAAAGGAAAUGUAAAGAAUAUGAUUGCAUGAGUUUGCAACGAAAAAUGAUGUAAAGAACACUAGAGCUAGUGUAAAGUCAUGAUUGAACUUAUAAAUCCUUUGAGUUAAGGAUAUGAUCAUGCUUGCUAUGAGUUCCGUGCUCGAGGGCGGUCGCUCCCCCUCGGGCGAUGCGCUCCGGAGUUAUGCAUCCGGGUUGGAGUAGACCCGUAAGGACGGUCCUAGCUGGUGAGUACCUGCGAUGAUGGACUUAACGUGAGGCAAGUUAAUGUGGCGAAACCCCCGGGUUAGCCUUAAUGAUUAAAGAGCAAAGAACAAAGAAUAAAGAACAAAGAGUAAAGUGAAAAGAACUAAAGAACAUGCAUAAUCUGCAUCUAUUAAUGUUGAGCAUAUUCCUUGCUUUUGUUCAGGCAUAUUAGCAUCAUGUUAUAGAUUGGUUAUUAUAUUCAGCUUAUCCUUUCUAUUAUGCCUGAGUUAGUCCUAGUGGGAAAGUCGGUGAUGUUGAGGCCGAACCCACUGGGAACUUUGUUGUAGUUCUCACCCCACUAUUUCCACAGAGCCGGGACCGAGCGAGCCGGCGAGCGACCGCGGUAAAGGUAUCGCACCGUAGUCAGAGGCCACCGGAGUUGGGUCACAUUUUGUUAGUAGAUACCCUUUUAUCAUCUUUUGUAUUUGAUGAUUUAAGAUUUUAAUGUAUAAAGUAAAGAAAGGAAUGUAAGCUUAUUUUGAGGUAAAUGUGAUGUAAGAAAGAAAUGAUGAAGUGAUGUAAUGAAAUGAAAAGGAAACCAAAGUGUAAGACAUGAAUGCAAUGUAUAUGAUCUAAAAUGAAUCAUGUUACUUGUGUAGAUGUUUAGUUUCCUUUCUUUCACUAAUGGCUAUUGCUUACCUUCGUGUAAGCCGUUUGUGUAUGUUUCCGCUAGUGCUUUUCUCUAUUGAUGAAAAUGUGCAUGUGAUGAGCCUUGGGCGGAUAGGGGAAACUCUGUCCGUUCGGCGUCUGUUUGACGUGCUCGGGUCGAACCAAAUUGGUAUCGGUCCCGGGGCGUGACAUUCAGGGCCGCGCGUGGACUGCGCGGGCUAACAGGCCCGGUGCGGGCCGCGCGGCCCAGCGCUUGCCGAUCGCGCAGGUUGACCCGCGAACGGGCCCGCAGUUGCUCGGACCUGCUAAUUUUUUUUGGUUUUCUGCACCAUUUUUUUUAAUAAAUUUUUAAUAUGCAUUUUUUAUGGCUAAAUAUGCUUUUGUGAUAUAUAUGACGCAUGCAUUUAUUAUGUUUCAUGCAUAUUAAAAUAUUAUAAUGCCUGUUAUGAUGUAUAGAUGUAACUUUAGGCAUAAUAUAUUUUUUAUGCAUGCUUUGUCAAGUGGGAAUCUUUUAUUUUUGGUUGAGUAAAUUAUAUGCUUUUACUCCCAAAUAUUUUUGUGCAUCUUAAUUAUAUAAUUUAAAAAAUUUGACAUAUGGUGCGUGAUGAGAUUACGAGCAUAGCGAAAUUUUCCUUUACGCAUGUAUGAUCUAUUUUUAAUUUAUUUAAUUAGAGAUGCGGCAAAAUUGAAUACAUGUUUCGUGUACUAAUUUUAAAAUAUCUUUUCUGUGCAUUGCAUGAACAAAGUGAGAUUUAAUGGCUUCCAAACAAAUUAUUGCCGAUUUAAACAAGGGCGAGAAAUUGGAUGGUGACAAUUAUGAUAUUUGGCACCGUAAAAUUCAAUAUGUUCUCGCUGAGCAAGAGGUUUUGGAAAACUUGAGUAAUAAAAUGGACUUACCCACAGAGGACACCAGUGCUCAGGCUCGCCGAGAUAUGGAAGCCUACAAUAAUUGGCUUAAAAAGGAUCGCAUUGUUCGCAUCACGUUGCUGAGCAGUAUGCAGAAUGAUCUCUUGUGCGAGUGUGAGCAGUAUCCGACUGCGUAUGACAUGUGGGAGGCUCUCAAAGAAAAAUUUGGUGCAACUUCGGCUACAAGGUUGCGCAGUCUGACUAUGCGGUUUGAUAGUUAUAAAAAGCGUGUCGAUUAGACUAUUAAAUAGCAUGUUAGAACAAUGUCAAACAUGAUUCGCGAGUUAAAGUCGGCUGGCGGCACCUUGACUGAUGAGCAGCAAAUCCAAGCUAUGAUUCGCUCCCUUCCCAAUUCGUGGGAACAUAUGCGAGUAAAUUUGACCUAUAAUGACAAUAUCAAAACUUAUGAGGAUGUUGCGCGUCAUUUGGAGUUGGAGGAGGAGCGCCUUGAGGCUGUUAAAACUCCAACUGCCAAUGCUGCUCGGUCAAACUUUCGCAGGACAUCUGGGUUCAAGCGAAAGAGGACUACUGGGGCUCAAAAUCAUAGCGAAUUCGCGCCUAAGAACGCGAAGAGCACUAAAAGAAAGAGAAACAAACGAGGUGGCAAGAAGGACAAGUCAAAGAUGACUUGUUUCAACUGUAAUCAGCUGGGACACUUCGCUCGUGAUUGCACUGAGCCGAAGAAGGUACAUCUCUAUCCCGAUUCUCGUUCUUUUGUUUCUUCUAACAUGUUUGUUGCUGAAUCUCUUCCUGUGUGGAUUGUAGACUCAGGAGCAACAGUGUAAGGUACCGGACUUCUAAAACUAUGAAGUUAUGGUGUACAUUUAAAUGGUUCCGGUGAGGUUGCGGUGGAAUGUGACAUACCAGAUUUUAAAUAUAAAAGUGAAAAUAAAUAAAAAUAGUAUGAGAUACUAUUUUUAUUGGAUUUAGAGAAGUGAAAUAUAAGUUGGGAAUGACCUGUGCUAAAAUCGGAGCGAAAAUAGAAGAUUUAGAAUUUUCUGUAAGAAACGGGGCAGAUAAAUUAGCAGAAAAUGCACAGUGUCAGAAAAUUAUGAAAAUUGGCGGAGAUGUCAGAAAGAAAUAUUUUUAUGAGGCUAGAUUUAAAGUUUCAUGCCAUUCUGACACCCGAAAAGUAAAAAAUAGAAUCCGAAAGCUAUUUGAUAAAGAUUACAGUUCGGUACAGUUUCGGUGACCAAACGGGGUCGAAACUGAAAUAUUAAAAUUUAUUUGGACUUAUUAAGUAAAACCGAGCCUGCUUGUCAAAUUUGAGCUCAAACGGACAUUCAGAAGGGCUCCGGCGAAAAAUAUCAGUUUCUAAACUGCCCGAAGUGAAUAGUGCAUAGUUAAGGGACUAAGUUGUAAAAAGGGGUUUAAUCCCUUUUCUUCUUCUCCUUCCUCAGCUGCAGUAGCCCCAAACCGCACACACACAUACGCAUACACACACGCAUGGAAGGGAGAGAGCAAACUUCCAUUUCUCUCUCUAAAUCUCUUCCAAAAUUAAAGGAAUUGGUGGAGAUUGAAGCUUGUAGGUAAAUCGUCUUCAUCUUCUUUAUCUUCUCCAUGGUUUGGAGCUAAUUUUGAGGUGAGCUUCUUGAGCCCUCUCAUGGUAGAUCUCUAGGAUUAGCUCUAUAUGCUAUAGAAAUGGAUUUAGUGGCAUUCUUAGAUGCUAAUUAGAUGUUUUAUUGCUUGAAUCCAAGGUUAUAUUGUGUAUUCUUGUAAUAGAUGAAACCUAGGGUUCAAAGUGCAAUUUUUGGAAAUAGUUGGGUUUGAUCUCAAUUUACCCUCCGUAAACCUAAUUGCUAGGUAACGAAACGCGUUGGCGAAGACGGUUCGGUAAUCCGACGAGCCGUUACAAAGUUAUUAAAGAAACGGACGUUUAGCCUUUGUUUCCGCCUGGAGGGCCGAGGCGACGUCGUAAAAUCGUGAAAACCGAUUUGAAGCACCGUGGCACAUAACCAAAGACCUUUAAUUUUCGGAUCGCAAAUCGGAGAUCGUUUGAGUGGUCGCGUGAGAGUUCGAGCCAAACCGGGUCGCGGGUGUCGCGGGCGGCCGAUUGCAAGUGCUGACAAGUAAUCGGAACGCGAAUUGAGGUGGGUUAUGCUUACCGAAGCGACUAGGUCGCCUUUAUGUCUAAGAUGAUUAAGAAUCCAUGUUGAUGCAUAUAAAUAUAAAUAAAGCAUGUGGUUGACUCAUGUAGCUAAUGCGUGUUAAUAAUAUGAUGCAAAUGCUAACUAGGUGCAUAUAAAAUGAUAUAGAAAUCAUAGGAGACAUGAUUAGCAUUAUGAGAUUAUGUAUGCAUAAUGACAUCAUAGAAUGUAUGCCAGAUGAAAUGUGGAUAUCUAUAGUACUCGAUAUGACAAGUAGGAUGUCAAGUAGAUCGAGUGGUAUUAACUUAGUGUUAAUAAACAUAGGUCGGACAUAGAUGACAUUGAACCUAGUGUUAUUGAACCUAGGAUAAAUAACGAGUGGCAUCUAACCUAGUGUUAAAGAACUUAGGUUCAAUAUGAAUCUAGAGUCGGGACCUAGGUGUGUGGCAUCUAACUUAGUGUCAAAGAACAUAAGUUGAGAACUGAACCUAGAGUUAAAGUAAACCUAGGUUGUGAAAUUGAGCAUUAGACCUAGAGUCAGUUGGACCUAGGGUGAAAAGGACAUUGGACCUAGAUAGGUCGAUACUAUAGGGUUUGAGACUAACCCUUGAGUCGUGAAAUGGAUUCCAAAAUCCCUAGUGAAGUCGCAGCAAAGGAAGCGGUGGCACUUGUGGUAAAAGAGAUGGCAAGCGAAUCAUAACUGCAGGUAUGUGUGGUUCUCCUCGCCUGGCAGUGAUUCAACGGGUAUUUGUGGUUCUUCUCGCACGGGAUGCCAUGAGAAUAAGCUGGAAUUGGGUAUGUGUGGUUCUCCUCGCCUAUUAGCUUAUCAGAUGAUGCCGCCUAGAUUGACUUGAACCAUUGCUGGGUGAGAGCGAGUGGCCGCUGCCAGAUGACUAAGCCAUGACUUGAGCCAUUGUUGGGUGUGAUGCGAUGAGUUCGCCGCCAAGUGGCUAAGUCAUGACUUGAGUCAUUGUUGGGUCGAUGCGAUGAAUUCGCUGUCAGAUGGUUAAGUCAGAGGUGCGGUAGGCUGUGACGGCAGCCGGAAUGAGAUGCAGCCAGUGCGCGAACUAUCCGCGGAUGAUUGACUCGAGGCCGAGUCGAGUGGUUAGCUUGAUUAGGUUAAUAGAAACCUUAUAAGCUAGUGAUAAAGGUAAGAGUUAAAGUUAGCAAAGUAAAUGUAGAAUUAACAUAUCUACUAGUUGUUUAUACAGUUGCAUAGUUGCAUAAUAUUCCUGUUGCAUAUUGUGAGGCAAAGCAUGAUAUAUGUUAGUUGCAUUUAAAUUAUGAUUUCAUAUCUAUCUAUUGAACUAACAUGUUGUUGCCUCCUUGGACCUAUUGGUCGAGCUUCUCCCUUGAGUGGCCGUACCCACUGGGAACCAUGGAGUUGGUUCUCACCCCACGUUGUUUUGGGGUGUUUCAGGUUCGCACGUGAGCGGCGCGGCAGCGCGAGGAAAGGGCGUAGCUCCAUAGAUAGCGCCCUACCCAGAGACCAGAGAUAGCAAUACCCCGUCGACAUAGCCUAGGGGUUUGGGAAAUGAAAAGAAUACAAUGUAUCAAUUUGUAAUAAGCAAAUGAUGUAAUAACUUAAUUGCAUUUGGGAGUUAGAUGUAAAGUAAAUGUAUUAUUGUGAAUGCAUGUAAUAACAUAGGAUAUGUUAUGUUGUGAUACUUUCCUUAUGCAACCAUGAUUGAUAUCUGUUCCUGGUUGGAACCUUUGUAAUGUUCAUUGUAUUGAUUGCGACGCCUAGGACGUAUAGGGAAAACUCUGUCAGUUCGGCGGUCUGUCGACGCGCCCGAACUUGGCCAAAUAGGCGGGGCCCGGGGCGUGGCAAACAGACCACGUAGCGAGGGAUCGGAGGGGAUUCAUCGAGUACCGUUGUGUGCCUGCUGGGAGUAGAAGAGUAUACAUGGGGAAUGAUUCAAGUGUCGAUGUGUUAGGCGUUGGCACAUACAAGUUGAUCAUGCAAGGUGGUCGAACUUUAUACCUACAUGGUGUACUUUGUGCUCCAGGAAUUCGGUGGAACUUGUUUUCUAUUCUUGCUAUGCUACAGUUAGGCUUUUCUUUUUGUUUUGAGAGUGAUGUAGUUAAGAUUCAUCUUGGAACUAUUUAUUAUGGGAGAGAUUUUAUGUCAAAUGGUUUUAUGAUUUUGGACAUUGAUUAUAAUAUUAAUAAUAGUGAAUCUUUUUCCCUGCUAUCUUCUGUUGAGAAUCAUCACAAUGUUUCAAUUAAAUGGCAUGCACGUCUUGGUCAUAUUGGGCAGGACAGAAUGACUAGAUUGGUUAGAGACGGGUUAUUGAGCUCGCUCAGUAAAGUCGACCUACCCACAUGUGAACGUUGUUUAGCAGGAAAAGCGAUCCGAAAAUUAUUUAAUAAAGCUUCUACGAUAGAAUUUUCUUUACAAUUGAUCCAUUCCGACAUUUGUGGCCCAAUGAGUGUGAGGGCAAGACAUGGUGUUUUUUACUUCAUCACAUUUAUAGAUGACCAUACGCGCUUCGGUCAUGUUUAUCUGAUCUCCCAUAAGUCUGAAGCAUUGGAUUGUUUUAGACGUUAUAUAAAUGAGGUUGAGAAUCAGUUAAAUAUGAAAAUUAAAUGCUUAAGAACUGAUCGAGGUCGCGAGUAUCUAUAUGAACAAUUCAAGGAAUUGUGUGAUGAAAAGGGAAUAAUCAGACAGCUGACAAUUCCUGGCACUCCGCAGCAAAAUAGUAUAGCGGAGAGAAGAAAUCGCACCUUGCUUGACAUGGUUAGGUCAAUGAUGGCGCCAGCAAAUUUGCCUGUCUUCUUUUGGGGAGACGCAUUGUUAACUGCUGCCUACAUUCUUAAUCGUGUACCCUCCAAAACAAUAUCUUCCACUCCUUAUGAAUUAUGGACAGGCAGGAAACCAAUUAUUGCAUUAGUUGAAGUGUAUAGAGGGGUUGGGCCCUCUCUUCUCUCUCAUUCCCACCCUAAACACACACAGUUCUCUCUCUCUCUCUAAGCUCUCUCUCCUCUCUUGAAGCAAAGAAGAAAGAGAAGAAUGAGAGGAAGAAAAGGAAGGAGAAGAAGGUGGAGCAAGCUAGGAGAAGGCCUUAGUUCUCUUCCUCUUCCUCCUCACACUAUUGGAGCUAGCUUAGAGGUAAGCUUUUGAGCUCAACAAUGGUAGGAACCUAGGGCUUGGAUUUCUAGCUUUGUGAAUGGGUCAAAUGGACUCCUAGCAUGCUUAAUAGUUGAUUAAUACUAGAAUCUAGAGUUUUGUUGGAGCAAAUUGCAUAAAUGCAAACCUAGGGCUCCAAUUUGGGGUUUUUGGAAAUCAAUGAGAUUGAUCUCAAUUGAGGGCAUCUAAACCUAAUUGAUAGGUGUCUAAACGCGUGGGCAAAGACGGAUUGAACAUUCGUUGAGUCGGUGAAAAGUUAUCGGCAAAACAAGACUGAUCGAGCUUCGUUUCCACCUAGGAGGUCGAAGCGGCAUUAAAGCAACUGCCGAGUAGUGUUCUUAGCACCCCGACAUCGUCGAAAGGUGGGUGGUGUCAUCCCGAAGCAACCGGGUUCCUCUCUAUGUCUUAGUAGUUCAUGAUUUGUAUCUCUUGCAUGUAGCAUUGUAGAAUUGCAUGUUACUCCUUUCCUUAUGCUUGAUAAUGAUAUCUAUGUAUGAAAUGAAUGCAUAAUGAUAGUUAGAUGAGAAUUGGGUCUUGACAUUGAAUUCUAUAGUGCUGAGAAGAGAGAUGACUCGAUGAUUGUUAAAGACGUAUUGAGUGGCAUUGAUUGUUAAACAUACAAAAACGGGUGGCAUAUAACUUAGUGUAAAUGGCACUAGUGGCAUGUGAACUUAGGAAUAGGUGGAUUCCCUAGUAAAUGACUCGUUGGACAAGGAAAUAAUGUAACCAAACACUCAUAUUUGGACUUUGGGAUAGGUGGAUUCCCGAGUGACUUGUAACCCUAGAGUUGAUAGGGUAUCCUCGAGUUGAGAGGAUUGAUCAUACUCACAGUCUGUUUAUACUUGUGGUGGUCGCACCACCCAGGUCUUCGUGCACUCCGGAGUUUGGUUCCGGAGGGGCAGAGUUGAUGCCCUGCAGGCGGCCUCGGGUUUGAGAGCGAGGUGCGUCUCCUUACCAUACGAGGUUUGAGGUGAGUCGUGGGCAAACCCAAGUGGAUCGCCAAGGAUUGAUUGAACAUGGAAAUAGCAUUGUUACUUGAACAUUUGCUUGUUGGAUAUGGAUAGUGGACAUAGUGGCAUGUUAGUAAACCUUUUACUAUAUGAUGCAUGCAUACAUUACGGAUGAAUGGGCAUAGUAGCAUAGUUUUCCUACUAUUGCAUUUGCAGUUUUUCAUAACUAUCUAUCUAUCUGCUUUUGCUCACUCGGACCUAGUGGGGAGAUUGGCGGAGUCGGCGGCCGAACCCACUGGAAACUAUGGACAAUAGUUCUCACCCCACUUUGUUGCAGGGCCUAGUACGAGCGCGCCGGGCGAGGACCGCGGCAAGUGUUAAGUCUUGUAUGUUGGCAAGUUCCGUGGAUUGAGUCGGAGUCUUGAAGGUUUCGGGGCAUAUCGUCGAAGAACGAAGAAUCCAAGACUUCGGAGAAGGCGGAGAUAACUAACGACAUGAAUCACGAUGCUCAGGUAAAGUCUUUACUUCAGUUAUGGUGAUUCGUACUUAGUUAUAGGCAUUAGAAUCAUUAUUAUCAAUGUUUAGUUGAUUAGAAAUUGCUUCGGAACUCUGCGGAACCCGAAACAGUGCUAAGUCUGAAAAAUGCACUGUGUACCGAUAUAGCAAUUGACCCGUACCGGUACAGCCAUCGACUUUGGCUUUACAGAUUUUUGUUCCGUCAUCGUGUAACCGGUGACAGCCUCACGUGUACCGGUACACAGUGUAAAAUUGUGAAAACUUUCGAAUUCGACUCCGAUUGAUUCUAAAGUCUAUAAAUAAGUUAUUGGGGUUCUCUAACAUAUCAAGCAUCACGAAAAUAUAUGUUUGAGAAACCCUAGAUGUAAGAUAUGGAUCCCGAGGAUCUAAAAGGUAAGUAACACCUAGAAGGGGGUGAAUAGGUGUAAAAACGGCAAACUCGAAAAUCUCGAUGCAAAUAAAAAUUAAAUAGCAGAAAAUUAAAAAGCACACCGAGAAUUUAACGUGGGAAAACUCCAAAUCGGAGUGAAAAACCCACGGGACCAAUCACGCAAAGAAAAUCCACUAACAAAACAUGAGUACAAGUGAUUUANGUCGAGCUUUCCGAAUGAGUCUUCGUUCUCCAAUUUGAAUCUCUUCUUCAAAACUUCUGCGAUCAACUCUUCAAGACUCCAAACAACUUUACGAAAUUCGCCAACCUAUAAAAUCCUUAACACUAGAGGCUCGGAUUUCAUCUAAAACCUAUUUUCUUCAUAAAGCCUCUUUUAGGUCAAAUCGAGAGAUUGUAAUUUGAUAUCAAUAUGUCGAUUUGAUAUUCCCUUUGCUUGGAGAUCUAUUUCCUGGUUUUCAUCGAUAUUCUAAGCGAAGGAUCACCAUAAUCAUGAUGCUCUUCAUGACGGCGUCGUUGAUUCGUCGUGAUUGACGGCGGUUCGUGGAUUCGGAUCGUGAGCUUCGUGGAUUCGGAGUGGAGGCGUUUCGUGGAUUCGGAACGUGGCGUUCGUGGAUUCGAACGUGAGGGCAUGGACAACCCGGAGGAUUGCGCGAGAUUCAUAGGAGGUUAAGAGAGGUCGAGUCCGUGGAAAUGGUAAUCACCUUAUAAUCUUUUCUCUUAGGGAAUUAUUUUUUCGCGUGUUGGUCCCGUGGGUUUUUCUCCAAGUUGGAGUUUUUCCACAUAAAUCUCGGCGUGAUUUUUAUUUUCCGCAUUUAUUUUUAUCGCAUUGAGAUUUGUGGUUUUUGGCUAUUACACCUAUUCACCCCCCUCUAGGUGUUAGAUACAAUCUAGAUAGAUUCUUGGGCUCUUUAAAACUUUCAGCAAGGGCAUAGCGCCCGAGCAGUAGUAGAGUACCUUCCCUUUUGCAUUAGAGUACCCUUAUGUAUCUAGAUGCUUUUUAUUUUGGGAGAGCCACUUAUGUAUUUGAAAGGAUUGUGUAUUCAUUUUGGGAAUGAUGUAAAAAGAGCCUUAAAAUGUAAUUGAAUGCAAAUGGAUGUAAUAGCUAGUUAUGUCUCUCUUUAUCUCACUUGUGAAUGCUUGUGGAUUCUUGCUUUUAGUUGUUCGCACUUGUUGUGCCCUUCGUCGAUUAUGUAUAUUGAGAAUUUCAUUACCUGGGCAAAUUCUUGUAUAUGAUCUGGUUGUUUUGCCUUGGGCCGACAGGGGAGGUACUGUCCGUUCGACGUCUGUUCGACGUGCCCGAACCAGACCAAAUCGAUAGCGGUCUCGGAGCGUGAUAGAGGGAAAUGGUAUCAGAGCAAAUAAGAGCAAGUAAAGAGAGAAAGUCUAGGAGCGACCUAGGAGACCCUAGGACAGCGAACCCUAAGGCUAUAGGUGCGUGAGUGGAACGUGAACCUAUAACGGUGACGGAAGUGAUUCGAUUGGGUCGAAGUUGGCGAUAUGUCUCUAGUAGUUGCUAGAGAUGAAUUCAAGUGGUAUGAGUUCUUGACUUAAGGUGGUUGUGUCGGCGGCCGACAACAUGAUGCCAAGAGUCUAGAGCGAGUACACUUGUGUGCUUCCGCCCGACUUCGUUGUUGAACCGUUUCGAGUCGUAGUUGCGACGAAGUAAAUGGGUUAAGAUGAUUAACCAAGUACUUGCGUUUCAGGAGCCAAUGGCCUCGAAGAGACGCUACACGCGCCGAUUGGCUCCAGCACUGCAUUCCAAGGUGCCAGAGCAAGUUGAACCUGCACGAGCCUCAGAGCCUCCUGUGGUGCCUGCACAAGCCGGACCGAGCGAGAUGCAGGAGUUGCGGGCACAAGUGACCGCACUUGCUGGUCAAUUCGGGCUGCUCCGAGAGUUGAUGGAGCGGCAAUUAGCAGCAACGACUGCGAUGGCGACGUACGGUCGUGUUCCACCCGCACCUUCGAUGCGUGAGCCCGAAACGGCUGAGGGUGAGGGUAUAGCGGCAAUUCCGGUGGCGGCACAUCCCCCGCCGAUGGUUGCUUCUCCUGCGCCGUCGGGAUCGGCGACACCGGAUGCGGCGGCCGAGGAAGCGGAAAAGGAGCGCGUGUUGGCGGCUCUAAUCAAGUUUAACAAGUUUCAUCCGCCUAUCUUCGAGGGGGAAAGUAAAGCCGGCGAUGGUCGAGUCAUGGGUCGACUCGAUGGAGACGCUCUUCGAGGACCUGUCCACCUCGGAAAGGGACAAGGUGUUUCUCGCCACACACUGUUUGGAGAAGAUGGCGAAAGUGUGGUGGAAGAGAGUGAAGCGAGAUAGGCGUUCGAAACUUCCACCGAUGCUGUGGGAAGAGUUCAAGAGGGCGAUGUUCGCCAACUACUUCCCUGAUACUCAGAAGCGGAAGUUGCAAGAGAAGUUCCGCAAGUUAAGACAGGGGGACCGCACUGUGGCGGACUAUGAGCAAGAGUUUUCCCACAUCAUUGACUGUGUCCCGAAUGUGGUGAAGGAUGAUAGGGACAGAGUCGACUGGUUCUUGAGGGGACUCCGGUCGGGAAUCUACAAGGCUGUGCAUAUAUUCAAGCUCACAACCUUUGCGGAGGUGUUUGAUCGGGCGCUGUGGGCAGAGCACGGAGAUGCCCAUGUGCGCGAGGAGCGUGAGCUUUUAGCCAAGUCCAAGGAUAAAGGCAAGAAACGACAAUGCGGCAGUUUGGGGGAACCGACGAGCUCCAAGAAGCCCCCGAAGUAUCCGCGGACUCAGUACAAGGGCCGUGGAGCGCGGCGGUGUGUUAUUUGCAGCGGAGACCACCAACCGUCGCAUUGUGAUCAGCGCCAAGGCAAGUGCUUCAAGUGCGGACAACCGGGGCACUUCAUACAUGAUUGCCGGGAGGUGGAGCCUCGCCUGUUCCAUCCAUUGCAUCGGCGCCGGUGAUUCCAGCUCAUUAUGGGGGAGCUCCAUCGACGGCGGUGUCAGCGGGACGCGCGAUGGCGUCGCGUCAACCUGAGGUGACACGAUCGGCACCGAGCGGGCUGGUGUUCGCCGCUCAAACUCAAGUGGAGGAACCUGCCGAGCCCGAGGAGCGCCAUGUGGUGGUAGAUAUGGUUUUAAUUAACGGAGUUCGCUCCCGAGCUAUGUUUGAUACAGGUGCCAUGCAUUCAUUCAUAAGUAGGCCAUUUGCACAAAUGCAUGGUAUUGAGUUUCAAUUUAGUAAGAGCACUUGGCAUGUGUCUGGCCCUGGGCGAGAUUUUCUGAUCCGCAAGGAGUGUUUAGCGUGCCCAGUACAAAUAGGCGAUUGGAUAAUGCCGAUUCGCAUGUUGGUGCUCAAGAGGCUGAAGGAGUACGAUGUCAUAUUGGGCAUGGAUUGGCUCUCGAAGUACUACGUGACGAUUGACUGCAACAGCAGGGUACUUACCUUUCUUGAGCCCGGACAAGAGGAGUUCACGUAUCGGGCUUGUCGAAGCUCAUGCUUCGUCGCGACGGUGUCGGCGACAAGAGCGAGGAAGCUAGUUAACAGCGGUUGCACAGCAUACUUGGCGACCGUUGUGGAGGUGGACCGAGUGGCUCUGACCUUGGAGGAGUUGUCGGUAGUACGGGAGUUUCCAAAUGUGUUUCCCGCGGAGUUACCGGGGAUAUCGCCAGAUCGGAAGAUUGAGUUCGUCAUAGACUUGAUUCCCGGUACCGCGCCGAUCUCGAAGGCUCUGUAUAGAAUGGCCCCGACGGAACUAAAGGAGUUGAGAAAUCAAUUACAAUACCUCCUCGACAAGCAAUUUAUCCGGCCAAGCGUAUCACCGUAGGGAGCCUCGGUGUUGUUUGUGCGGAAGAAGGACGGAUCAUUCCGACUCUGUGUGGAUUAUCGUGAGUUGAACAGAGUCACGAUCAAGAAUAAGUACCCAUUCCCCGAAUUGACGACUUGUUCGACCAGUUGCAUGGAUUGUGUGUAUACUCAAAGAUAGACUUGCACUCCGGCUAUCACCAAUUGAAGAUUAAGCCGGAAGAUGUUCAGAAGACCGCGGUUCGUACGCGGUAUGGGCACUAUGAAUUCACGGUCAUGCCUUUUGGACUUACGAAUGCCCCGGCGACGUUCAUGGAUUUGAUGAACUAUGUUUUCAAGGAGUUUCUGGACCGAUUUGUCGUGGUCUUCAUAAACGACAUAUGGGUCUAUUCUCGCAGUGACGAGGAGCAUGCCGAGCAUUUGAGAUUAGUGUUUCAAGUCUUUCGGGAGGAGAAGCUAUAUGCUAAGCUAAAGAAGUGUGACUUUUGGCUCCGAGAAGUCGCAUUUCUGGGGCAUGUGAUUUUUGAGGGUGGAGUUUCUGUAGACCCGAGGAAGGUUGAGGCAAUCAAGGAUUGGCCGCGCCCAACAAAUGUCACAGAGGUCCGAAGCUUCGUGGGCUUGGCGGGCUAUUAUAGACGGUUUGUGGAGGGUUUCUCGAAGAUCGUGAUUCCACUUACCCGUCUGACUCAGAAGGGCACCAAGUUCGUCUGGAGUGACGAGUGCGACUGGAGUUUCAAAGAGUUGAAGGAAAGAUUAACUUCGACUCCGGUGCUCGCUUUACCGGUGCAGGGUGAAGACUUUGUGGUGUAUAGCGACGUCCUAUCCAGGACUAGGGUGUGUUCUGAUGCAAGGCGGGAAGGUGAUCGCUUAUGCAUCCUGUCAGUUGAAAAACUACGAGAAGAACUACCCUAUCCACGACUUGGAGUUAGCCGCGGUGGUAUUUGCUCUCAAGUUUAGAGGCAUUAUUUAUACGGCGCACAUUGCGAGAUAUAUACCGACCACAAGAGUCUAAAGUAUCUGUUUACACAAAAAGAGCUGAAUAUGCGGCAGCGGUGGUGGUUAGAGCUACUGAAGGAUUAUGAUGUUACAAUCCUCUACCAUCCCGGGAAGGCGAAUGUAGUCGCCGAUGCCCUUAGCAGAAAGUCGGUUGAGAACCUCGCGCAAAAGGUCACAACUCAGAGUCCUCUAUGCAAGGAAAUGAAGCGAUUGGAUCUCGAGAUAGUGGCUCCGGGGGUUUCGGCUAUAUUAUCGGCUCUCGUUGUUCAACCGACCUUGUUGGAGAAAAUCAAGAACCUGCAACCCGCAGACCCUAGUCUCCAAAAGGUGCGGCGCGACAUCGAGGGUGGACGUGGUGGCGACUUCAGUAUAGAUGCUGACGGUGCACUUCGGUUUCGUAGCCGUUGGUGCGUACCGGAGAACGAAGAAGUCCGAAAAUUGAUUUUGUAAGAAGCGCAUCGGACUCCCUAUAGUAUCCACCUGGGCGGCACCAAGAUGUACCAGGAUCUAAAGAUGCAGUACUGGUGGCCGAGAAUGAAAGCGGAUAUUGGACGCUUCGUGGCGCAGUGCCUUGUAUGCCAACAAGUUAAGGCGGAGCGCCGAUUUUCAGUAGGGAAACUUCAGAGCCUGCCCAUUCCUAUUGAGGACAUAGUGAUGGAUUUCGUGGUCGGCUUGCCUCGCUCGACAGGCGGCCACGACGCGAUUUGGGUUAUUAUGGACCGCAUGACUAAGUCAGGCAUUUUCUACCAAUCCACAGUACCUAGUCGGGUGAUAAGUUAGCGCAGGUGUACCUUGAUGAAGUGGUGAGGUUGCACGGGGUUCCGAAAUCAAUUGUGUCAGAUCGAGACCCCCGAUUCACUUCACACUUUUGGAAGAACCUGCAGGAGGCACAUGGCACAUGGCUCGAUUUCAGUACUGCAUUUCAUCCUCAGACAGAUGGGCAAUCGGAGAGAACCAUUCAGAUUCUGGAGGAUAUGUUGCGAGCAUGUGUCAUUGACUACAAGGGAGUUGGGCAAGUCACCUACCUAUGGCCGAGUUCGCCUACAAUAACAGUUACCAAGCUAGUGUUGAGAUGGCAUCGUUCGAAGUCCUUUACAGGCGGAAGUGUCGAUCUCCUAUACAUUGGGGUGAUGUAGGUGAGCGUGCGGUGAUAGGCCCCGAUGUCCUGCGGUAGGCGGAGGAGAAGGUUUGCCUUGCUCGCAAGAGAUUGCUCACGGAGCAAUCAAGACAGAAAAGCUAUGCAGAUAAGCGCCGGAGAGAUUUUGUAACACACUGGACCUUUGCAAAUUGCGAGGUUCGAGUGCUUGGAUGUUUUUCGAGCUUUUCCACACUUGGUGGAGGGUUGUAGAAUGUUUUCCGACCUAAAAGUUCGAAAAACUGGAAUUUUGGACAAGUCCUGAGAGUUUUUACUCUCGGGGACCGGUCCCUGGAAGAAGAGACCGGUCCCCCAGUGAGCAGUGUUGAGGCAGCCUGAGGCAACCGGUCCCUGGCGGGCGAGACCGGUUCCCGAACGCUGGUUUUUCGGGUUCGCAGCGAGAGACCGGUCCCUGCUGGGGAGAGACCGGUCCCUCUGGGCGAAAACUGCCCAGACCGGGCUGAUGCAAUAUUGGAUUUUUGAGGAGCCUGGUUGGAUUUUGUUGCAAUAGAGGGUCUAUAUGACCCCUCCACCCUCUCUACUCCUCAUUUCUCCUCUCUCAACCCUCUCUACACCCUUGGUAAAGAAGAAGAAGAAGAAGGAGAAGGAGAAGAAGAAGGGAAGAAGAAGAAGAUUAAGAGUUUUUGGAGGACUUGGAGCAUCUUCCUCAUCCCCUCUUCUUCCUUGGUGCUUGUUGCUUGGACUUGGAGCUUACCAAAGAGGAGAUCUUCAUCCUUGGAGCUUGGAUGGGAGCUUCUAAGGAGGUUUGUUGCCCAUUUCCCUCCUCUAAACCUUGUUUUGAUGGUUUUUGUAGUUGAAACCCUAGAAAUGAGAUUUAGGGUUUGAUUUUGGGCAUUUUUGAUCUAGGGCUUUUGAGGCCAGAUUGAUUGGAUUAGAACCUUCCUAGGGCUUGGAUUGGAAGGGUUCUAGCUCUCAUUUGGAGCUUUGGAAGAGUUUCCUACUCUUGAGGUAAGUUUUGGCCCUUUUGCUCCUAGGUUAAUUUUUGAUGUUAUAUGAUGAUCGUGAUGCCCUCGUAUCUCUUCGCUGAUUACUUUUAGGGUAUUUUGAGACUCGGGGACAACUUGGUUCGGCGAGACGAGACCCUACGCGACGGUUCGGUGGGUUUGACCUAGCCACACAAUGAGAAAUUCUCAUUUGUGCUUAAUUAAGUGUUGUUAAAUGAAAAAGCAUGCAUAUUCUUGUUAUAUGUAUUUAUUGUGAAUUUUAGAAUGCUUAAAAGGCCUAUGUUAUAUAUGAUGAAAUUUUGGACCUCUAUGUAGUAGAGAGUAGCUUAUUAGGCCAUAGUUGCAUUUAGCAUUCUAUAUGAGACGUGGUAUUUGCUUCGUAUGAGUAUAAAUGGUUCGGGAUUCAUGCCAUUUAACACCUAAGUUUACUUAGUGACAUGAAAAUUGACAAGAUUGUCAUUUUAGAAGUAUUGAUGUAUAGAGAGAGCUAAUGUCAUCAAGCUGGCAUUGGAGCUCGGGACAUGUGGGAACUAGUGGAUAGGGGCAAUCAAGAAUUUUGGAAUAAUAUUGAACAUCAAAUUGCCUAAUGUCAUCAAGGGGCACUAGGCGUAGCAAAGGUUGAACUCUUCACAUUGGACAUAAGCUAGAUCUUGUGGAGCUUAGGGACCUAUACAUGUUAGAGACAUGAGGAUUGGAUACUUGAGACUUGGAUUAAUGCUUGCUUGCCAUUUGUGCUCAUUCGCACAUGCUUUGUGGAGUCGUCGCUCCCUACAAGCCCGGCACUCCGGAGUUAGCUACGCGACUUUUGUUCGCUCGGUGCGGUAUUGAGAGCCACGGGUCGAUGUGGGACAGACACAUCCCAAGAGUAGGGAUGUUGGGCUACCACAGGCACUUAGGCGGCACAAGCUGGAUUAUACCUUGGUAGGUCCUUGAUUGGAAAAUGGAAAUCGAUACGGGUUGAGAGUGGUUAAUCACUACUAGAUAGGUUUAGUGUUGGAUUACAUUUACAUGCUUUUAGCAUAGUGUUGAGGACAUGAGUACAUUUGAUAGUGCUCCUGUUGCAUUAGAGCAUAUGGUUGCCAUGAUAGAGCUUAUGGCAUCAUGCAUUGAUAAAGGUUAUUGACAUUGAACUAUUACCAUUAGACAUUAGUAUUUUGAUAUCGUAGAUGUAACAUCACCAUGACAUCGUUAUACUUGAGUUUAGUAAGUUAGCAUUAAUUAUGCCUUCAUUUAUUGCUAUCUUUAGUGUACUUACCCUUUUCUUUUGGGCCUAGUGGUGCAUUGAGCCUGAGGUCAUAGAUUGCCCACUGGGAAUAUAAAUUAUAGUUCUUCAUGCCCUCUUUUUCUUGAUGUUUUCAAGCUUCCUCAGAGUGGCCAGGGACCGCGGGAAGGGAGUUGCUUCGAGCUAGCUUCCUUUGAGGACGAUUCGCUAGGUGGUCUACCUCUCGUGGUGUUUUAUUUUGGAGAGGUUGAGGUGUUUACCAGUGUACUAGAGACCACCAUUUUUGUAUUAGAGACAGAUAUUGUACUACUUAUGAUUUCUUUUAUUGUCUAGCUUUACUUCUUUACCUUGAUGUAGAUGUUAGAACCUUACUCGCUCUGAUAUCAUUAGCUGCUCAUUAUUUCACUUCUUCUAUUUGUUCUAUUACUUGCUUUUACUUCCGCUUUUGUUGUAGACGCCUUAUAUGUGUUGACAUAUGGCGGGUCUGGGCACGCUACCAGGAGGGCCUCCGCCGGUCCCGGGGCGUGACAGAUUUAGAAUUCGCGGUGGGCGAUUGCGUGUUCUUGAAAGUUUCGUUGAUGCGAGGGGUGAAGCGAUUUGGAGUGCGAGGAAAGUUAAGUCCUCGAUAUAUUAGACCGUAUGAGAUAUUGGAACGAAUUGGUACAGUAGUUUAUCGGCUAGCCUUGCCGCCGAAGCUCGCAGACGUUCACAACGUGUUCCAUGUCUCCAAUCUUCGCAAGUACGUUCAUGACCCCGAACAUGCGAUGCUAUAUGAGCCAUCGGAACUUUAAGAGGACUUGAGUUAUGAAGAGUUUCCGGUGAUGAUUAUCGCCUGAGAAGUGCGAAAACUGAGAAAUCGCGAGAUUCCCUACGUCAAGAAACGGUGGAGCAAUCACGACGAUCGCGAAGCCACCUAGGAACUCGAGGAUCUGAUGAGAAAGCAUCAUCCUCACUUGUUUGAGGAAUAAGGUAUGAGUUUAAGUUUGAGUUAAGAAUUGGAUUAGUUUCGAGGACGAAACUCCUUUUUAGGAGGGGGGAAUGUAAGGAAGUGAAUUCUCGAAAUUCGAAAGUUGGACUUCGUUCAGAAUCGACUAAUUGUCGAGUGGAUAUGCUUCGGAAAAGCUGUAAAGGUCUAAAACCCAAAAAGUGCGUUGGAGUUGGAGUCCAAGAGAGCAGACAUGUAAUACACUGGACCUUUGCAAAUUGCGAGAUUCGAGUGAUUAACUGUGCUCUGAGUUUUUCCAGAUUUCCUGGUAGGUCGUUGACCGUGUUGGCACGUGUCCUGAGGAGUGUGGUACAAAGCCUUGCAACAAAAUCCAAAAAUUUGGAUUUUGGUCAGCUCUCGGAUUGGCUGUCUGGCGGGCUUGUACCGGUACAAGGUUGUGCUUGUACCGGUACAGAGCCGAGAACUCGCACAACCCGAGCCUCGGGUUUGCAUUUUCACAGGUCUUGUACCGGUACAAGGAUGGUCUUGUACCGGUACAAUGUUGAUGGUUGUACCGGUACAGCCAUCGGGCCUGUACCGGUACAGUGCCGCAGAACAGCGCAACCCGAGCCUCGGGUUUGGAUUUCGUGGACCUUGUACCGGUACAAGGGCCCGUGUACCGGUACAAGGCGGCAGAUUUUGAGCAGUUUGAACUGCAGGGGGCUUUUUGCGAUUGUGGGCUUCUUAUAUCAGCACCCAUGCCCCUAGGGCUCUCCCCUCGGCUGAGAAGAGUGGAGAACCAGGUAAGGGAGCUCCCCACACCAUCUCUUUGGAUUUGAUUUUCAUUUUGCAUGGUUUUUGAUGGAUUUUCCUCUCUUUUUCCCUAUUGGAGCUAUUUNNNNNNNNNNNNNNNNNNNNNNNNNGUAGGAAUGUCGGGCUACCACAGGCACUUAGGCGGCACAAGCCGGACUACCUUGGGUAGAUCCUUAAUUGGAAAUGAAAAUCGACACGGUUUGAGAAUGAAUGAUCACUACUGGAUAGGCUUAGUAGUUGGAUUACAUUUACAUGCUUUUAGCAUAGUGAGAGACAUGUAGUAUACUUGGUUGCCAUGAUAGAAUUUCUACAUCAUGUAUUGACAAAGGUUAACAACAUUAAACUAGUGCCAUUGGACUUAAUUGUAAUGAUAGAAUAGAUGUACAUUUUGGUUGACAUCAUGCUUACUUGAGACACAGUAGACUAGUUUUUCAAUUAUGCUUUCUUUCAGCAAUUUAUUUACAUGCCCCUUAUUAUUGUUAUUAUUAUUACCGUUACCUACCCUUGUUUUUGGGGCCUAGUGGAGCAGGAGCUGAGGUCAGUAAUUGCCCACUGGGAACUAUAAAUUAUAGUUCUCACGCCCUCUUUUUCUCGAUGUUUUUCAGAGCCUUCCAGGGAGAGGCCAGGGAUCGCGGAAAGGGUAUCGCCUCGGGCUAGCGUGCUUACCGGGGGAUCGUUCGAUAGGUGGUCUACCUCUCGUGUUUUCUUUUUGGAGAGGUUGAGAGUUUUACCAGUGUACUAGAGACCACCAUUUUUAUAUUAGAGGCUGAUACUGUAUCACUUAUGUUUACCUUUAUGUUUCUGUUUUGUUCUUUCACUAUUGGUGUAGAGGUUAGAACUAUACUCGCUCUGAUAUCAUUAGUUGCUAGUUAUUUCACUUCGUUGUUUGUUCUAUUCUUGCUUUUACUUUCGUUUUUAUUGUAGACGCCUUAUAUGUGUAGACAUAUGGCGGGUCUGGGCACGCUACCGGGAGGGCCUUCGCCGGUCCCGGGGCGUGACAGGGACAGGUCCCUGACGGGAGAGACCGCUCCCCGUACGCGUAGAAGCUGGCAGAAGAGCUCUGCCCGCGAAGGUUGUUCUCGGGGACCGGUCUGUCCAUAAAGGGACCGGUCGCCGUGCGCGAAAACUGCCCAGGCAGAGCAAUUUGAAAGAAGCAAAGUGGAGGGGUUUGGAUGCAAUUGUUGCAUUAGUUGAAGGGUAUAAAGGGGUUGGGCCCUCUCUUCUCUCUCAUUCCCACCCCAAACACACACACUUCUCUCUCUCUCUCUAAGCUCUCUCUCCUCUCUUGAAGCAAAGAAGAAAGAGAAAGAGAGGAAGAAAAGAAAGGAGAAGAAGGUGGAGCAAGCUAGGAGAAGGCCUUGGUCCUCUUCCUCUUCCUCCUCACACUAUUGGAGAGGUAAGCUUUUGAGCUCAACAAUGGUAGGAACCUAGGGCUUGGAUUUCUAGCUUUGUGAAUGGGUCAAAUGGACUCCUAGCAUGCUUAAUAGUUGAUUAAUGCUAGAAUCUAAAGUUUUGUUGGAGCAAAUUGCAUAAAUGCAAACCUAGGGCUCCAAUUUGGGGUUUUUGGAAAUCAAUGAGAUUGAUCUCAAUUGAGGGCAUCUAAACCUAAUUGAUCGGUGUCUAAAUGCGUGGGCGAAGAUGGAUUGAGCAUUCGUCGAGUCGGUGAAAAGUUAUCGGCAAAACAAGACCGAUCGAGCUUCUUUUCCACCUAGGAGGUCGAAGCGGCGUUAAAGCAAGUGCCGAGUAGUGUUCUUAGCACCCCGACAUCUUGGAAAGGUGGGUGGUGUCAUCCCGAAGCAGCCAGGUUCCUCUCUAUGUCUUAGUAGUUCAUGAUUUGCAUCUCUUGCAUAUAGCAUUGUAGAAUUGCAUGUUACUCCUUUCCUUAUGCUUGCUAAUGAUAUCGAUGUAUGAAAUGAAUGCAUGAUGAUGGUUAGAUGAGGAUUGGGUCUUGACAUUGAAUUCUAUAGUGUCGAGAAGAGAGAUGACUCGAUGAUUGUUAAUGUCACGCCCCGGGACCGAUACUAAUUUGGGCCGGCCGGAGCACGUCAAACAGACGCCGAACGGACAGAGUUUCCCCUGUCCGCCCAAGGCUCAUCACCUGUACAUUUUCAAACAAGAAGUGCACUAGCGAAAACAUACACAAACGGCUUACACGAGGGUAAGCAAUAGCCAUGAGUGAAAGAAAGGAAACUAAACAUCUACACAAGUACUAUGAUUCUCUUUUGAUCACAUACAUUAUAUUUAACCUUCAUAUUCAUAAUUCUUUACAUUGCUUGCAUCAUUUCUUUUUACAUCACAUUGCCUCAAAAUAAGCUUUACAAUCUUUUCUUUCUUUGCUUUACAAUCUUUAAUGUCACGGUUAACCCGGGGGUUUCGCCACAUUAACUUGCCCACAUUAAGUACAUCAUCGCGGGCCCUCAGCUGCCUCCCGCUAAGACCGUCCUCGGGUUUACUCCAACCCGUGAUGCAAAACUUCGGAGUGCAUCGCUCGAGGGGGAGCGACCGCCCUCGAGCACGGAACUCAUAGCAAGUAUGAUCGAUCCUUAACUCUAAGGAUAUAUAUAUAGUUCAAUCAUUGUCUUUACACUAACUCUAGUGUUCUUUACAUCACUUUAUUUUGCUAACUCUAGCAAUCAUUAUUCUCUAACUUUACUCGAUCUUUAUGCCACACCUUGCAUUAACUUUAACCAUUAUUAUUGUUCUUUUCAUCACAUUGAUUCUUUGAUGCCACACACUAACUUUAGUGUCGACUAUAUACUUUCGAAUGCCACUCAAUCUACGCUCUUAUGUCACCUUGUUCUUUUAUCUCAUUAGGUUCUCACAUUACCUCUCAUGCAUAUAUAGGGUGUUAUAGGUUCUCGACCAACUAGAAAUGCACGUGUACUCAUAUCAUGCAACAUUUACAUAAAUAUCAUCACAUUCUACCGUACAAUGCAUGCAACAACAUAAACAUAGAUGCUUAAUUAAAUGACACAUUAGGCAUAGAGGGAAUUCCAACAAGUUUGGAUAGCACCACCCACCUCGUAGGCGUACUAGGAUGCUACGGUGAUUUUCUUGGGAUUUUUUAACUUCUUAGUUUGUCACCUGCGGCAAAACGAAACCCUAUUAGGCAAUUUUGCUCAUAUCUUUACAUUAGCUUUUCGUAACGUUAAUCCGAGCGCACCAACGCGUCGGAAACACCCCCAAUUAGGUUUCUAGAGGAUCAAUUUCACUUUGGAACCCUCGUAAGCAAACGCCCCAAUUUGAGUGCCCUAGCUCAUAACAUAUAUCAAACCUAGGGUUUGAUCUCAUUGGGAAGCAAAAGAAGCUUCAUUCUACUCUAGAGACUCCACAAAAACCAUCUUUAGUUCAAUCCAAACCCUAGUUUGGAUUCUACCAUGAGAGAGGUUGAAGCUCUCCUUCAAGCUUCACCUUCCACACCAAUCCAUGGUUUUGAUCUCAAAAGGAAGCAAAAGAUAGCUCCAAAUACUCUAAAGGUUCUAUAAAAACCAUUCUUAGCUUCACUCCUUCACCUUUUUCUUUAGCUUCCUUCUCUUCUUUGUCUUCUUCUUCUCCUUCUUGUCUAGAGAGAGAAAGAGAGAAGAGAGUGUGAGAGGGAGAGGGAAUGAGAAAUGAGCCCUUACAAUCCCUCAACACAACCCAUAUAAUGUAACUUUGCAUUUAGACCCUCAGCUUUCAUUUUAUUAAACUGCUCAAACUGGGCAGAUUUCGGGUUCAGGGAGCGGUCUCCCCGACUUGGGACCGGUCCCAGAGAGCUCUCUCGCAGCUCAGCGGGGGCUUUCGCACGAGGCAACCAGUCUCUCCCAGGGAGACCGGUCUCUCGGGGACUGGUCUCUCCCCGCAGGGACCGGUUCCCGAGAGCUAGUUUUCUAGGACUUAGCCAAUUUUUCAGCUUUCUCAGUUUUCACGCGUUCGGGGACCGGUCUCUCCCACCAGGGACCGGUCCUCGAGAGCUCAAAAACUGCAGUUUGCAGAUUUUUGAUUCUUAAGCUCUCGAAACCUCCCACAAUGUACUUUUACUCACUUUAACACCUUCGGACUUUCUGAAGUGUACCAACCCCGCACUUUGGUCAAUUUGACUAAAGUUCGAUAUUUAUUUUUCGAAUUUUCGGUAUAUUACAUUCUCCACCCCUUAAAAUAAUUUUAUCCGCGAAAUUACGCAUACCUUAACUCGUCGACUCAAAUAGAUGUGGAUACUCUCUCCGCAUGGUCUCCUCGAGCUCCCAAGUGGCUUCUCGCACCGCAUGGUUGCUCCAUUGGACCUUCACAUAUGGAAUUCUGCGACUCCGCAGCUUUCUUUCUUCUCGAUCGAGGAUGCACACCAGGUAUGUAGCACAUUGGACAUUUGCAAAUUGCGAGGUUCGAGUGUUUGAUAUGGAUUCCGAAUUUUUCCACACUUGGUGGAAGGUCGUAGAUGGUAUUCCGACCUAAAAGUUCGAUUUCUGGAGUUUUGACUUUGUCCUGAGAAUUUUUACUCUCGGGGAUCGGUCCCUGAAAUGAGAGACCGGUCCCUUCAGAACAGUGUCGCGGCCAGCUUGAGGCAACCGGUCCCUGGCGGGGAGAGACCGGUUCCCGAACGUUGGAUUUUCGGGACAGGUUGAGAGACCGGUCCUAAGUCGGGGAGACCGGUCCCUCAGUCCGAAAACUGCCCAGCCCGGGCAGUGCACAGUGUUGAUUGUUGAGGGGCUUAUCAGGAUUUUGUUACAUUAGAAGGCUUUUAGACCCUUUCUCCUCUCUCUUUCUCUCAUUUUCUCCCCUUCACACCCACCCUUGAGAGAAAAAGAGAAGGAGAAGAAGGAGAAGUAGGAGAAGGAGAGGAGAGGAGCUUGCUUGGAGGCUUUAGAGCAUCAUCUUCUUCCUCAUUUCUUACCUUGGUGGCUUGGAGCUCGCCGUUGAAGCUUUGUGGAGGAUCAAACUCCAACCCUACUUGGUUUAGAGCUUGGAUUGGAGCUUCUCUUGAGGUUGGUAGCUUGUAUUUUUCAUUUAAUACAAGUUUUUCUAAAUUUUACCAUUUGAAACCCUAGAUUUUGGGAUUUAGGGUUUAUUUUGGGGAUUUUUGAUUUGAGGGCUUUGAAACCUAAUUGAUGGGUUUAGAACCUUCAUUUAGGUUGGAUUUGAAAAACUCUAACUCCCAUUUGGAGCUUGAGAGAGGAUUUCUUCACCUAGGUGAGUUUUCUCCACCUUAGCCUAUGUUGCUUAUUGUUUGAGCUUAGGGUUGAUCGUAAGGUUUGUUUGACCCUUGUUCCUAUAUCUUUAGGGUGCUAGGAGACUAGUCGACACCUUCGUCGAAGCUUACGAAGGGUUUCGGAAUUUUCGGUGGGUUUGACUUCAUGAAAACGGGGCGAAAAGGUCCCUAAGUAUUUUAUACUUGUCGUAACAUCAAUUUGAUUGCAUAUUCAUGUUAAAUGGGACUUAUGUGAAUUUUAGAACACUUAAAAUGCAUGCCUUAUGUAUCAUAAAAUUUCACUCUAUAUAGUAGGGCCUUCUGGGCAUUUUUGCAUGCAUAUGGGAAGUGUUUGUGUAGCGACUUGGUGUUGAAGCAUUAAAAAAAAAAAGGAAAGAAGAAGAAGAAAAAAAAAAGAGAAAAAAAAAGUGGAAAGAGAGAAAAUUUGAAUAAUGGUGUAUGAGACGAUCUAUGCACUAGGUGCGUGGAGAAAAUUUGAGUUCAAAUUUUGAACGUGGUGCAUAGGUUAAUCCAUGCACCAGGUGCAUAGACUACAAAGAGAAGGAAGAGAGAAUGCUCUCGUAUGGGUAUUACACAUAGCAAAUUAGUCCUUUCCCUUUCAUAUAUUUGCAUGAUACUCCACUUCAAGCAUAUAAUAUGUUUUUUAUUUUAACUAAAGUAUAAUAUAAGCAAAUGAGAAGGGCUAAUAUGCAAUACCAUACCCAUGAUCCCAUGACCAAAAUAUCCUAACUACCCACAUCCCACUACCCCUAUCAUCUGCACGUUCUAAAAAAAAAAAAAGGGGAAAAUGAGAGAAAAAAAAAAUCCAAGCAGUUAUAACCUAAGUCCAUAAAUAUCUAUUUGGACCCCAAUUGGAACACUUUGUUUUUUGAACUCUCAAACCCAUUCCUAAAAAAAAAAAUCCCACUGUUUACGAAAGAAAAAAGAAAGGUAAUUUUCUCUUCUCCAUGGAUGCUACAAUCAAAGCUCUCUCUCUCUCUCUCUUUCUCUCUCUCACCAUUAACGCCGUAAAUCGCAUCGACACUCUCCAUUAACGCCUCAUGGCGGAGCUUGGGCGCCUCUCCGACGACUUCCGCAAAGACUUCCACCCACGAGUUCGGCCUCCGCCUCCUUGACGCACACCUCGUCUUCGUGCGCCGCAUCGGUGGCAUCGCCGCGUGCGGGUGCAACGCCCAACGCGAUUUCGUCCUCACCCUCACCUUCGUCGCUUACCACCCGCCGUCCGCCUGGGCGCUACUCGACCCCCUUUGCGUCGCCCGCCUCGCCGACUACGCCGUACCCGAUGCCUCCCGCGACUACCGCCGCCUCGUCGUCGAGUUUGCACGCGCCGGCCUCUUCGAGAAGAAGGGCCGCGGCGCGCUCCUCGUGUUGGCCGCCAUGCUCCUCAUGCUCGCCGACGCCUUCUACGGCGUCGUCGCUUCCUCCAGCCCCGCCGUCGACUUGCUCUCGGCGGCCCUCAUGGGCGCUCUUUGGAUGCAGCCUGGCUUCCUCGACCACGACUCUGGCCACUAUAAUGUCCUGCUCACCCCCCCCCCGCACUAAAUCGACUCGUGCAGGUGGUGGCUGGAAACUGCAUGGCGAGGAUCAGUAGUGAGUGGUGGAAGUAGAACUACAAUGCACACCACAUCGCCUGCAACAACCUGGACUUCAACCCGGACGUCCAGCACAUGCCGCUGUUCACCGUGUCCGCCAGGCCCUUCGCGUCGUUGCUGUCGGCCUUCUACGGGACGCCCUCGACACCGGCCUCUUCUCCGUCAUGGUCGGCCUCGUCACCGCUCACCAGGUGUUCGCUCUGUGUCCACAGCCUUCUACGGGACGCCCUCGACACCGGCCUCUUCUCCGACAUGGCCGGACUUAUCACCGCUCACCAGGNUUCUCCGUCAUGGUCGGCCUCGUCACCGCUCACCAGGUGUUCGCUCUGUGUCCACAGCCUUCUACGGGACGCCCUCGACACCGGCCUCUUCUCCGACAUGGCCGGACUUAUCACCGCUCACCAGGUGUUCGCUCUGUGUCCACAACGAACAUCGGUUCUUUAAAAAGAGGUUUCUAUUAGUCUACUCCCCCUCCGGCAGCAGCCGUUGUAUCUCGCUCGCCACCAGCGGAUCCUUGAUCCCCCACGACGAAGGCGAUAGUAUGUUGAAGCUGCAAGCUGCGGGCGAGGUGCGGCGGCUACAUCGCGCGAGCCGCGGCGUCGGUCCAGGCUGCGGCGCUCAAGGCGGAGCACGUGCAGGCGGUGGUGGCCCCAACCGUCGAGAAGGUACUGCAGAACGUCCUGCAGUCGUGCCGCGACAGCUAUGGAUCGGCGGUGGACGCGCUGCAGAAUGCGCCGACGAUUGGUGCGCGACGGCGGGCGGCUCGCGGACGUCAACAGUGAGCUCUCGGCCGCCGGCACGUUCUUUGACACCUGCUAGAACUCGUUCGACGAGUUCCCGGACGUCGACGGCUCACCCCUCGCAAACGUGCAGACCAAUCUCAGCAGGCUCGCCAGCAACAGCAUCAGCCUCGCCACCUACAAGGCCUUCUAGGAUGUUGCUCUGACGGAGUUGGCGCCGACGAAUCAUGCCUACCAAUUGUUUGAUGAAAUGCCUAAGAUGUAUUUUUGACGGCGAAUCCAAUCUGUACAUGAAGAGCGAGAGCGGUGCUUUUCUCUUUAUAAAAAAUAAUGUCUUAUCAAAAGAGAGUGAGCGGUGUUCUUCUCUUUAUAAAAAAAAAUAUAGCAUCAUCGAAAGAGGGAGAGAGCGGUGCUCUUCUCUUUGCAAAAAAAAAGUAUAUUAUCAAAAGAGAGAGAGAAAGAGAUUACUUCUCUAAUUACCAAAGAGAGAGGGAGCUUUGUUACAAAAAGGGAGGCAAGGAAGGGAUUUUUCCACCUUAGUUGUCCCAUGAAUAUAAAAGAAGACAAGAAGGAUUAUCCAUCUUUGUUGUCCUGUAGUUUCAAAGGAAAUAAAGAGAAAAAUACUCUCUUAAUUCUCCUAUAAUGAGGAGACAAAAGAAAAUUAAUCGGGUUAUCGAUUAAUAUUCUUUUGAUCGUCCUUUUAUUGGAAGAACAAUGGGAUGUUCGGAAAAUCGAACUCUUUGAUUCUAUCCAAAGUCGAAUCUUUCGAUUUGGCCAAAUUAGACUAAAUUGAGAUUUAAUCGCAUUGGACAUUUUAUGUGAUUCAUAAAAAAAUGCAUUCGAAAUUUUUUUAAGUGAUGAAUUUGAUUCUGAAUCAUACAUUUAAAUAUUUUGAUCUCAUAUGAUCCCAAAUUAACCACCUCAAAACAAUGGAUCGAGUCUAUACCCACCUCAAAUUACACAAUUCAGGCUCAGCCCAAAUGUGAAUACAUAACUCAGGUUAAGCUCAAACAUAAAUUUGGGCCCAAUUCUAUAGCUUGCCUAAAGAAAACUUUGACUUAAGCCAUGCGGGCCUAAACUGAGCCCAAGCCUAUAUCUAGAAUUUAAAUUCAAUUCAGGCCUCAACCAUAUGGGCUUAAAUUUAGUCCAUGCCUGAAUAUAAUUAUAUGGGUCCGAAUUUGGAUCAUACUUGAAUCUAUAGCAGAAUUGAACCAAUUACAUGAAGCCAUGGAUUUCCUCAUAUGGACUAGCACCAAAUCCAAAUAUUUAAUCCAAAUCAAGAUUUGAAAUUAUGCUUAUCGAUCAAAUCCGCUCUUGAACCUAAGCCACAUAGGCUAGGUACAACCGGAAUAUGAAACUAGGUCGUACCAACUUUUUAAUCCAAUUCUCUAGCACGUUAAGCUAGAGUCAUGUUGUUACCACAUUCAUAUUAGAUCAAAUUCUAAAUUAUUUGUUUAGAAUUAAUCAAACCAUCUAUUUAUCUUAGUAUAUAUGACUAAGAUAAAAAUAAUAAAUUAGGUUUCACCUAAUCAAAAAUUUAUUGAACUCUAAUACAUUUACUUAAGAGUUCAAACAAAUGAAAAUGAAUUAAACUCUAAUACAUACACUUAGAAUUUAAUUUAAAUUAAAUUUUGACUAAUCCUAAUAUAUAUAAUUAGGAUUUAGUUGAUAUUUCACCUCAUGGUGAACCCAAAUGAAACCGAAUUAGACUCUAAUACAUACACUUAGAGUUUAAUUUAAAUUAAAUUUUGACUAAUCCUAAUAUAUAUAAUUAGGAUUUAGUUCAUGGUGAACCCAAUGAACCUGAAUUAGACUCUAAUGCAUACACUUAGAGUCUAAUUUAAAUCAAAUUUUGACUAAUCCUAAUAUAUAUAAUUAGGAUUUAGUUAAUAUUUCACCUUAUGGUGAACUCAAUGUGAGACAUAAUUAAGCUCUAACAUAUAAACAUAGAGCUUAAUUACACUGGACUUUGAGAUAUUAAAUUGGAGUCUAAUCCUAACACAUACAUUUAGGAUGAAGGCUUAAAUUGAAUAUCAAAUCAAAUCCCAUUGGACUUUAUCACAUAUAUUUAAAGUUCAAUUAACUAAAUCAAACUCUAAUUCAUUUAAUUAGAGUUUAAUUUGAAUCAAAUCUGAUUAAAUCCCAAUGUAUAUACAUGGAAUUUAAUCAACCUUUCAUCUUAGGGUGAACAAUAUUGUUGAGCACUGAAACAUAUAGAGCCCAACCAAAUCAAUUUAAUCAUACACUUUGAUAUCUUCGAAUAUAUAUAACUAAGGUUCAGAAUCAAAUUCAAUCAAUCGUCAUAUUCAUGUCAUUUUAUUAUAUUCAUGUACAUUAGGGGGAUGCCCCUGGUUAAGCCAUGUAAUUGUAUACCGAAUUAUGUUAUUCAAUUUCAGUCCAUUUCGGCAUUACAAAGGUCUCUCAAUCGAAGGUGCCCUAACACUUUGUAGGGGUAAUUAACAAUAAACGCUUGCGUUUAUUGAAAGUCAUGAAUCCACAAUACCUGAUAACUAUAUAUAAUUAAAUAUUAAUCUGAAUCAUGAAUACUGCCCCACGGUAAAAAUCAAAAUAAGAUAGACCGUGCGAGGUGCGUCAUUCAUGGUCGCAGACAAAAUGGCACGCUCGGUGGGACUUGGCUUCUCCUUCCAUCUUUGAGACCAAUGUUAUGCGGAUAGAAUUAGAUGAUAGAUGUUUAAUCUACACUCGUUAUUCUCUUGCAGGAGAAAUGGCACUGAAGAACGCUGCUACUGCUACAGGUUCGAUGAUGAUCAAUGCAGGUCAGGUUUGCCUACCGGCAUCUGUCCUCACCAUUGGAGCUGCCGGUGCUGCGAUCCAGUUCGGCACCAUCCCAGAAGAGGCUCGGGCUGCGGCGAUGGCCCCUUUCAAUGCUAUUACAAGCACGAAUGAUGUUCCACCUCUUCCCUCUCGUGGGAGGCGUCCGAAUGUCGUCAUUCCCAACCCCCCUCGCGUUCCUGUGAAGGAGAGGAGACUUCUAUUAGUGCUUCAAAGAAAAUGGAAUUACAAGGAAGACUGGUGUUCCAAAACCGAAUUGACGAAACAUCGCCACUUGAUAUAGCACCUAAAGCUUCAGUCUUCAAUAGGCUGACAUUCCCCAAGGAUACUGUGACCAAGGCAUUCAAGAGAAAUCUUCGUCGUACUUUGAAGCGGCAAGAGAUGAACAAAGAAAACAAGUCUCAACAAACCCAACUUAAUAGGUUUAUCGCCGGGCCCGACGUUUUGGCCCAUAACCACUAUGCACCCUUGAGAUUUGUGAGAAAAAACUCACCUACUGCCAUUCUGCUCCCCGAGUCAGAAAUGGCCCAUUUAAAACCUUCUUUUGCAUGUCCUUGCUUGAGAAACAAUGACAAGAACUCUGUCUUCAAGCAGAUAUAUAAAACUUUUAAGGCUGCAAAAGGAAGAAUGAACCUAGAGAAGAAAAUUGAGAAGUCGAAGUGGCAACGAAAGUCAACACUAUCAUGGGAAGGAAGAAAGACAGAGUGGAAGCCUAAAACUCUUGCUCAGAUUAAAGAAGAAAAAUCUAAAAUAGAGAAUUUGGAGAUUCACACUGUGAGAGUUAUUGGACACACGCCGUCAAGUGAGGCCGUUGAUGAAGAAGAAACUAUUCAGCAAAUUCUUACGAGAGCUGCUGCAAGAAAAGCCGCGGAAGAGAAAGCAAGAGCUAAGGAAGCAAGCUCUUCGCAAACACAAAAUAUGGAGAAUAAAGAUGAUAUGCCUAGUGAUCCAUCUGACCCCCGAGAGGAAGAGGAGGUUGUCUACUUCUCAAGGGAUCCAAAGGAUGUUAUGAUUGCAUCCUUGAAAAAGAAAGUUGAUGAAAAGGAUAGAGAUAUCAUAAAUCUCUAUAAGAAGAUGGAGGAGGUCAUGAGUUUGAUGUUGAAUGUGCAGAAGCAAUUGGGGGAUCAACGGCGUCAAACCAAGAUUCUAACCCAGCCGGAAGCACACAUACCACAAGUCAUUGAUGAACAGGCUAAAACAACUGUUCUUAAAGAGACUACCUCUUUGACUAAGGAAGAAAUUCAUGAUUUGAUCACUUCGCAAGUUAAAGAGACGGUAGCAGGGGCACAUCCAAAACUGAAAGGGAAAGGACACCCUUACCUAUCGGAAUACGAUAACGUACCUUUUCCAGAAGGGUAUCAGGUCCCUAAGUUCAAGAUGUUCUAUGGUGUUGGUAACCCUGAUCAGCAUAUAGCACAUUUUAAGGCCAUGUGUGGAAAUACGGGGAGUAACGGACCUCUACUCUUGCGACAAUUUCCACAAAGCUUAUCAGGUAUAGCUUUUGAAUGGUACUACUCCCUCGAAGAUGAGUCCAUUAAAACUUGGGCCGACAUGGAAGAAGCUUUCAGAGCAAAAUUCGCCACCGUUAGCGAUAAGAUUACUAUCGCUGAUCUGGUAGCCACCAGACGAAGAAAAGAUGAAACAAUGCUAGAUUACAUUACAAGGUGGCGGAACUUAAGUAUAAGGUGUGAACAACCUCUAGACCAGUCUCAAGCCGUUGGUCUUGUCAUGGGCAAUAUUGAUAAUUGGAUGGCCCCUUUUCUCUGCACAUCUAGUUGUUCCACUUUUCAUGAAUUAAUAUCAAAUAUUUCUAGAUUGGAGAGAACCGAUCCCCAGGUCCUCUUAAACUUACAAAAGAUAAAAAAAGAUGAUAACAAAAGAGUUGAGGCGAAGUUGGCACAGGCUAGACCGGCCCGCACAAAUAUGAUAGAGAAAGGAAAGAAGGCAAUUACCUCUACAGUUGAACAGCCCCCUGUAAAACCUGUGUUAGGGGGUAAUAAUCCAAAAGGGAUUUCUUUAGAGGAGCGAAGAAACAAAGUAUACCCUUUCAAACGGGACAAAGUUAAGAAAAUAUUUAACGAUGCUGUUAAAAAUGGUCUUCAACUGCCGGAGCCAAAGAAGCCAGAGGAUGUAGGGAAAACCAGUGAUCCGAACUAUUGCCUAUAUCAUAGAUUAAUCAGCCAUCCAAUUGAAGACUGCUGGGUUUUCAAAGACUGGGUUGAAAAACAAUAUAGGAGCGGUGCAAUCACUCUUUCACAAUCAGUGUUAUCAGAAGCUCCAGUCGAAAAGACCAAUCUGAUUGAUACUGAAAAUAUAGAAGAAGUUGAGAAUGCAUUUCCUCCCGAGUUUUGGAAUAUAUUCUUAUCUAAGAAAACUCGAAAGAUGUUAAAAUAUUUAAAAGAUGUUCCAGGAAUAAAAUGGCGAGGUCCCUUAAACCCAGAAGUGCAAUCUGAGGAUAAGCCCACACCUCCAAUCAAAAAGAUUAAUACUUCAGCCAAGUCAAGGCGCAGAAUAACUCGGGUAAAGAAGAAUAAAAAAUUUGUUGAGCCGGCUCAACCACAACAUAAGAAGCGGCCUAUUGAGGAACAUAUCGACUCAAUGGAAGAAUAUAAACAAGUUGAAAGAGAGCCUCUUAUGAUUCAUGAUUUUAUUUUUAAAGCAAUAGAAGAGGUUAAGAAAAAAAAAGGACUCUGAUGAAAGAGAAAUUCCUGUCGAGGAGUGUAAAGAGAAAUGAGAGCCUUUUUGGGGAGAGACUUGCAUAGUCAUCACCGCACAACGUGACGAUGAAGAAAUUAUCUUUCCUUCUAGCCACGUUAGGGAACAAGAAAGGAACCUCAGAGAAGUUCAUAACUAAUUGGCAGAAAUAAAAGAAAUGACGCGCUACAACUUUCACAAGGCGAAUGAUAAAAUAUUGGAUAUGAAAGCACAACUGAAUGUAAUGUUCUCUAUGUUGAUCGGGAUCGAAGCCAGAGUGGAACAAUUAAUGAAGAUUACUCCUCUCCCUCAACAGACUCAGUCGCAAAAUAAUAGAGAACGAGAUAUCGAGCCUACAAGUGGAUCUUCAAAACAGCUCCCACUCGAAACUCCUCAAAAAGAUAAAGGAAAAACUCCCCUUAUAGAAGCCAAAAAUAAGGGUGGAGUCAAUAAAAAAUUUAACAAAAGGGAAUGUUCGAGAACGACGCCGACGGGAGGCGUUAAUUCUUAGUAUUCUGACAGCAAAAAUACAUCUAUAUAUUACCCUUUUCAUCAAGUGAAUGUCAUAACCUAGAAAACUGUCGUGUCAUUACGACAUCUGAUGACGUGCUAGAAAGACCUGCGCCGACCUUGAGAGCAAAUCAACAGACAUCCACACCAAACUAUAAUGCUUAUGUUGAUCCUUUGGAAUUAUACGACACUUCAACUUAUCAUGAUCCAAUGAAGAAAUUAUAUAGAAUGGAGUGUUGCUUAAUCAGAAUGGAGGGAGAAAUGAGGAGGCUGCACAAUGAAAUUAACGUUAUGAAGAUGAACGUGAACGAAAUAAUCGAUGGUAUAAAAGGCAUAGAUAUUCAAAUGAGAGCUAUCAUAGAUAUGCUCAAAACCGAUGUUACUGAAGUAUCGAAAAGAUAUCGGGUCGAGAUUUGUCGAGUCAUAACUAUGCAAGCUGAUUUAAAGGAAGAUGAUAAGAAGCAAGGCUCGGAGCAAUCAAAGUUAACAAAAGCCGAAUACGACGCAAGUUUCUAUGAAGCACACAUAAUUGCUCAAGAGCUUAAAAGAAUGUCGAUGAGAGGAAAUGCGGGGUCAUCUUUACUAAAAAAGAAGAAGAAUACAACCCUAAACCAGCAAUCAGAAGUUCACCAAAAUAAUAAAGCUCUAAUUAAAGGGAAUAACGAAGAAAAGAAUAAAGUUACGUUGACAGAAUUCUGUGCCUAUCAUAACAUAUGGGGACACACCCUGGAAAAUUGCCGCCAAUGGAAAAACAUGAAGAAUUUGCCUAUGCACAAGGCGAAGCCAAAGAUCGAUCAACCGACGGUUGCCGAAUCCAAAAGACAACGAUGGAAGAAACAUUUUCCACGAUUUGAGAAACAGCAAUCCAUUACUCCAGAAGAAUUCAGAAAAGCAUGCUAUAAUGCUUUGGAUGAUAUGAAAUUUGUUGUUUUUGGUGUGGAAUGAGAGGUCAUGCUUAUGAUGUAUGCGUGAAACUUCGGGACCAUAGAAAAAACAAAUUACAGUUCAAGGAGUCGUGUCGGGUAAUAACAAUCUCCGAAGAGCAAUCUGAAGACUCCGUAAAUCAAAGGAAUAUGGUUAGACAACCUGCUGUGGCAUGUGAAGAUAGUGAUAGUGCCUGGAUAGCAUACAAUACCCCCAGCAGGGAUAACGGUGCAAGGAAGUCGAAUAGUCAUUUCUCGAAAUAGACAAUGAUUAUGAGGGAGGAGUGCACAGAUUGAUGUAUGCACUCUAGCAACAACAUGACGUGUGUGGCUAUGGCAUAAAAAAUAUGAAAGAGCUAAAUAAAAGAGAUACUUUGAUAAGUUUGAAUAUUAUUGAAAAGACUAGAAUUCGAAGUGCCGAAAACUAUUAGCCUGUGGCUUGUCGAUUUUCUAAUAACGUGCUAACACACUGGAUCUGUCUGAAAUUGCGAGUUCGGGAUUGGGUAUGUUCGAGCUUUUCCAUAUUUCGUGCGUGGAGUUUGUAGAAUGUCUUUUCCGACCGUAAAAGGGGUCGAAACUGAAAUUCCUGGACAGUCCUGAGAGUUUUUACUCUCGGGGACCGGUCCCUGGAAGGAGAAGACGCGUCCCCAAUGAGCAGUGUUGUGGCGCCUUGAGGCAACCGGCCUGGCAGGGAGACGUCCCGAGAGGGUAUAUGUGAUUUAUACGUGACGGCUCCUUUAAUGGAUUGGGGCUGUUGGUUUUGAUGCCAGGACGGGAAAGUGAUUCGGUAGCAUCUCCGCAAUUGAAGGAUUAUGAGAGGAACUAUCCCUACUCAUGACUUGGAUUUGGGGAGCCGUAGUCUUUGAAUUGAGCGUUGGCGCCAUUACUCUAUGAGCGAGCGAAUGCGAAGUAUAUACGGAUCAUCCAAAAGUUAAAGUAUCUAUUUCACUCAGAAGGAGUUGAGGACCAGCAGCAGAAUGCGUUGGAUCUAAUCAGGAUUGAUGACUUUGACGAUACCCUUGACACCGGGCAAGACAACGUGGUGCGGAUGCGCUAAGUAGAAAGAUCGGCACUUGAGAACUUAGCGAUGCGUGGUGGUUAUCAACCGCCGUUGAUCGGCAGAUUGAAGCGGUUGGAGUUGGAGGUGGUGCGCUCCUGAACAACCUUGGGAGACGGGGAUUGGCUUUGGUGGUCGUGCAACCUACACCUUUUGGAAAAGGAAUUUAAAGAAAAGCAAGCUUCCGACGGGUUGCAAUAAGAUUCGAGCUAGGGGGUUGACUGUUUUGCACCGAUGACUUCACUUUUAGACUGUGUGGAUUGAUGCGUUUCCGCGGCACCGAUUUGUGUACGGCGGACUUGGGCAUUAAAGAGCGAUAUUCUUUAAGAAGCACAUCGGAGCACCGUAUGCUUUGCAUCGGGAGGCACAAGAUGUACAAGGAUUGAAAGUUGCUUUAUUGGUAGCCCGGGUAUGAAAAGGAUGUGGUGCAGUUCGUUGCUAGAUGUUUUAAAUCUUGCCAACAGAGUGAAGCGGCUGCAGCAGCCGAGCUUCUGCGGGGAAGCUGCCAGCACCUUACCGGUUCAGUGUGGAAGUGGAAAAGGAUCAUGAUGGAACUUCUGAGGGAUUGCCUCGCUCACAGGCUCCUGGGCAUGAUUGCAUUUGGGUGAUCGUGGAUACGAAUUGCGCGAAAUCGGGCACAUUGUCAUACUCUAUCCGCCCCCCACCACUACUUGGGAUGGUGAUGAGACUCUGCACAGGUUUUUUUGACGAGAUUGUGCCGAUGCACGGGUACCUACUUCUAUAGGUUCGGAUCGAUAGAUACCCGUUUUGUAUCCCACUUGGUUGGCGGAGUUACAGGACAACGUUUUGGGUACACACUUGGAUUUCACCACUGCUUUCACCCCCAGAGUGACGGGCAGUCAGAGCGUACUGAUUCAGACUUCUCAGGAGGACAUGUUUCGCGUUGUGUGAUUGACUUUCAGGGAGGAUGGUGCAGCCUCAUAUCCGAUGGCAGACGUUUGCUAUGAUAACAAUAGCUUUAUGAAGGCAAGCAUCAAGAUGGCACUGUAAUCGAGGACUCUAUGGACGAAGUGUAGAUCGCACUUAUUGGAGUGAAGUUGGUGAGAAGAUUGGCUUUUGCCCUGUAUGUGGCGUCCAGGAAGCAGAGGACAGGUUCGCAAUUGCUCGGGAGCCGAAUUGUUGACCGGCCAGAGUAGGCCAAGCAGGAGUUAUGCUGACAGGCGGCGACGAGACUUGGAGUUUCAGAUUGGAGAUCACGUCUUCUUGAAAGUCUUGUCGACUCGAGGAAUUAAAUGAUUUGGAAUCCGGGGCAAGUUGAGCCCUCGAUUUAUUGGACCGUUUGAGGUUUUGGAGCGGGUAGGCCCGGUAGCGUAUAGACUUGCUCUACCGCUGAACCUAUCGGGUGUACACAACGUAUUCCAUGUAUCGGUCCUUCAGAAGUACAUCCACAACCCGGCUCACGUGUUGGAUGCUACGCCUUUGGAGCUGAGGGAUGAUUUGAGCUUUGAAGAGCAACCCUUGAGGAUUUUGGCUCGCGAGGUAAAAAGAUUGCGGAACCGAGAAAUUCCCUACGUGAAGGUGCUUUGGAGCAACCACGAAGAGCGCGAGGCAACUUGGGAACUGGAAAGCGCGCUGCGGGAGCGCUAUCCUCAUCUUUUUCAGAUGGAGGCUUGAGGUAUUUGUCAUUUCGAGUUUCGCGGACGAAACUCCUUUUUAGGAGGGGUGAAGUAACACACUGGAUCUCUGCAAAUUGCGAGGUUCGAGUGCUUGGAUGUAUUUCGAGCUUUUCCACACUUGGUGGAGGGUUGUAGAAUAUUUUUCGACCUAAAAAGUUCGAAAACUGGAAUUCUGGACAAGUCCUGAGAGUUUUUACUCUCGGGGACCGGUCCUUGGAAGGAAAGACCGGUCCCCCAGUGAGCAGUGUUGUGGCAGCCCUGAGGCAACCGGUCCCUGGCAGGCGAGACUGGUCCCCGAACUCAUCUUCGCAGUGAGAGACCGGUCCCGCGCAGGGAGAGACCGGUUUUCGAACGUUGGUUUUUCGGGUUCACAGCGAGAGACCGGUCCCUGCUGGGGAGAGACCGGUCCCUCUGGGCGAAAACUACCCAGACUGGGCUGUUGUAAUUUUGGAUUUUUGGGGGACCUAGCUGGAUUUUGUUACAAUAGAGGGUCUAUAUGACCCAUCCACUCUCUCCUCUCCUCAUUUCUCUUCUNAUAAGGCGUCUACAAUAAAAGCGGAAGUAAAAGCAAGAAAUAUAACAAAAGAAAGGAACUACAGCUAAUGAUAUCAGAGCAGUAAGAUUCUAUCUUCUAUAACAGUAGUAAAAGAACAACUAAACCAUAAAAGUAAACGUAAAGUAAUACAAUGCCUGUCUCAAAAGUACAAAAAUGGUGGUCUCUAGUACACUGGUAAAACUCUCAACCUCUCUAAAAAAGAAACAAAGAGAGGUAGACCACCUAUCAAACGAUCCCUCGGCGAGGAAAGCUAGCCCGAGACGAUACCCUUUCCGCGAUCCCUAGCCUCUCCCGGCGUGGAAGGCUCUGAAAAGCAUCGAGAAAAAGAGGGCGUGAGAACUAUAAUUUAUAGUUCUCAGUGGGCAAUUACUGACCUCAGCUCAAUGCACCACUAGGCCCCAAAGAAAAGGGUAAGUAAAAAGAGGGCAAUAAUAAUGAAUAAACUGCAUUUAUGAAAGCAUAAUUAAAAUGCUAAACUACUACACUGCAAUUAACAGGAUGUUAAUAUAAUACACCUUUAUUUUGUCAUAACCAAUAUGUCUCUACAUGGCCACAAUUAAAAGUCACGGUUUACUUAAUGAAGUUAUGAAGAUCAUGCUUUAUCAUGGCAACAAUGUAUAUAUGAAUGCAAUAAGCAACCUCUCCUAGCAUGCUACAUGUAUGUAUGUAUACUCAAAUAUCCCAAAACUAUGCUAGAAGCAAGUCCAAGUAAUCCAACUACCACUCUCUAUCUAGUAGUGAUUAUAACACACUCGACAUUGUGUCGAUUUCAAUUUCCAAUUAAGAACCUACCAAAGGUAGUCCAGCUUGUGCCGCCUAAGUGCCUGUGGUAGCCCAACAUUCCUACUCUUGGAAUGUGUCUAUCCCACUCGACCCCGCAGGCUUUUCAAUACCGCACGAGCGAACAUAGGUCGCGUAGGCUAACUCCGGAGUGCCGGCUUGUAGGGAGCGACCCUCACAAGCAUGUGCGAAUAAGCACAAAUGGCAAGCAAUCAUGGUCCAAGUCUCAAGUAUCCAAUCCUCAUGUCUCUAACAUGGUAUAGUCACUAGCAUCCCGAAGAUCUAGUUCUAAGUCACAAUGUGAAGUUUCGACAUUCAUUACGCCUAGUGCCCCUUGAUGACACUUAGACAAGUUAAUGUUCAACAUGUUUCCAAUCCCUCAAUGGCCCUAUUUACUAGGUUCAACCAUGUCCCGAGCUCAAUGCCGCUUAAUGACAUUAGCCCUCUAAAUCACAUAAUAACCAAGUUCGGUGCCUCUAUAUGGCAAUUUUGUUAUCUCUCAUGUCUCAAUUAAACUUAAGUUUGAAUGCAUGUAUCAAGGCUCAUUUACACAAUAGAAACAUGAAACCAAGUCUCAUAUAGAACGCUAAUGCAACCCUAUGUCUCUCAAGCAACUCUCUACUACAUAGAGGUCCAAAAUUUCAUUACAUGUAACAUAGGCAUUUUAAGCAUUCUAAAAAUCAUAAUAAAUGCACGUAACAUGAAUUUGCAUGCUUUUUCAAUUAACGAUACUCAAAUCAUCACAAAUGAGAUUUUCUCAUUGUGUGGCUAGAUCAAACCCACCGAACCGUCGCAUGGUCCUUCGUUUCGCCGAACGGAGUUAUCCACGAGUCUCAAAAUACCCUAAAAGUAUUGAGCGGAGAGAUACACGGGCAUUACGAUCAAGUAUAAGAUCAAACAUUAACCUAAAAGCAAAAAGGGCCAAAACUCACCUCAAGAAAAGAAAUCUCUUCCAAAGCUCCAAAAGAGAGCUAGAACCCUUCCAAUCUAGCCUAGAGGAAGGUUCUAAUCCAACCAAUCUAGCCUCAAAAGCCCUAGAAUCAAAAUACCCAAAAUAAGCCCUAAAUCUAUAAUCUAGGGUUCCAUCUACCAUAAGGCAUCAAAACCAAAAUCUAAAGGGAGAGAAUAAGCUACCAACCUCUUAGAAGCUUCCAACAAGGUUCAAAGUCUCCAAGGUCCAAGAAUCUCUCCUCCAACAAGCUCCAAACCCAAGCUCUAAUAGUGGAAAUGCCUCUAAUAAUCCAAAAAGAGCAAAAGAAGGGUUUAAUCUCUUAAAAACCUGUAAUAUACCGAAAAAUUCGGAAAAUAAAUAUCGAACUUUAGUCAAAUAGACCAAAGUGCGAGGAUGGUACACUUCGGAAAGCCCGAAGGUGUUAAAAUGACUAAAGGUGAGUUUCGGGAGGUUUUCGAGAGCUAAAAUUGUGAAAUUUGCAUUCUGCAGGUUUUCAGCUCUCGGGGACCGGUCCCUGGUGGGAGAGACCGGUCCCCGAACGCGUAUGAAAUGAGAUAGCCGAAAAAUCGGCUAAGUCCUGAGAAAUUAGCUCUCGGGAACCGGUCCCUACCCGAGAGACCGGUCCCCGAGAGACCGGUCCCACCAGGAGAGACCGGUUGCACUGCGCGCAGCAGCUCUGGCUGCGCUGGGACGACGUUCCGGAACCGGUCCCUGAAGGAGAGACCGGUCCCCGCCUGCGUGAACUGCCCAGUUCGGGCAGUGUAUUAAAGUGAAAGUUAAGGGGUUUAGCUGCAAUUUUGCAACCCAUUGAGUAUAGUAUUGGGGUAAAUGAGAUAUUUCUCUCAUUCUCACCCUCUCACACUCUUCUCUCUCACUCUCUCUCUCUAGAAGACAAAGGAGAAGAAGAAGAAAGGAAGAAAAGAAGGAGAAGAAGGAAAAGAAGGUGAAGAAGAAGAUCAAGGAGCAAAGGAGCUCCAUCCUCUUCCUCUCUAGUGCAAGAAAAGGAAGCUUAUAAGGUAAGCUUUGAACCCUAAUGUGGUAAAACCCUAGAAAUGGGUUUGGAUGACCUAGAAAUGGGUUUUAGUGAAAUGUUUAGAGAGUUUUGAAGCUUUCUUUUGCUUCUUUAGAGAUCAAAACCAUGGUUGGGCUCAAGGUGAGCUUCAACCCACCUCUAAUGGUGAAAUCUAAUCUAGGGUGUUGGAAAGCCUAAGAAUGGUUCUAAUGGACUAUUUGGAGUAUAGUGAAGCUACUUUUGCUUCCCAAAGAGAUCAAACCCUAGGUUUUGAUAUACAUUGGAGCUAGGGCACCCAAAUUGGGGCUUUUGCUCAUGAGGGUUUUUAAGUGUAAUUGACCCUCCAAAAACCUAAUUGGGGGUAUUUCCGACGCGUUGGUGCGCUCGGAUUAACGCUACGAAAAGUCAAAGUAAAGUUAUGAGCAAAAUGGCCUAAUAAGGGUUCGUUUUGCCACAGGUAAGGAACGAAGCAUCUAAAAAUCCCAAGAAAAUCGUCGGAGCACCUUUGAAAGCCUACGAGGUGGGUGGCGCUUCUCAAACUCAUUGAACUUCUCUCUAUGCCUAAUGUGUCAUUCAUUUGAGCAUGUGUAAUAUAUAUUGUUGCAUGCAUAUUAGGGUAAAGUAAUGAUAAGAAUGUGAUGAUAGCAUGAUUGUGAGUACAACUUGCUUAUAAUGAUGGUAGAGAACCAAAUAAAUGUCAAAACCCUAAGUGUAUGCAUUAGAGAAAAGUGAGCACCCAAAGUGAGCAAAAGAACAGAGUGACACAAUGACAUAGAUCGAGUGGCAUUCGAAAAUGUAAAGUUAAGAGACACUAAAGUUAGUGUGAUGCCAAGAACUAAUGUGAUGUAAAGAAUAAUGAAAAUGACAAUGUGUAAUGUUAAAGUAAAGUGGAGCAAUAAGAAUAAGAAAUGUAUGGACAAGAAUGCUAGAGCUAGCUGAAGUAAAGAAAUGUAAAGAAUGUGAUUGCAUGAGUUUGCAACAUAAAGCGAUGUAAAGAACACUAGAGCUAGUGUAAAGUCAAGAUUGAACUUAUAAAUCCUUUGAGUUAAGGAUAUGAUCAUACUUGCUAUAAGUUCCGUGCUCGAGGGCGGUCGCUCCCCCUCGGGCGAUGCGCUCAGGAGUUAUGCAUCACGGGUUGGAGUAAACCCGAAGGACGGUCCUAGCUGGUGAGUUUCUGCGAUGAUGGACUUAAUGUGAAGCAAGUUAAUGUGGCGAAACCUCCGGGUUAGCCUUGAGAUUAAAGAACAAAGAGCAAAGAAUAAAGAACAAAGUACAAAGUAAAGUCAAAGAACGAACGAGUUUGCAUAAUCUGCAUAUAUUUAAUGUUGAGCAAUAUUCGUUCAGGCAUAUAGCAUCAUGUUAUAGAUUGGUUAUCUAUAUCCUGCUUGUCUUUUCUAUUAUGCUGAGUUAGUCUAGUGGAAGUCGGUGAUGUUGAGGCCGAACCCACUGGGACUUUGUUGUAGUUCUCACCCCACUAUUUCCACAGAGCGGGACCGAUGCGAGCCGCGACGACCGAGGUAAAAGUAUCACGAGGCCACCAAAGUUGGGGUACAUUUUGUUAGUAGACACCCUUUUAUCAUCUUUUGUAUUUGAUGACUAGUAAUGUAAAGAAAAGAAUGUAAUGUGUAUUUUGAGGUAAAUGGGAUGUAAGAAAGAAAUGAUGAAAUGAAAUGUAAGGAAUUCGAAAAUGAACAAGAUGAAUGCAAGGUAUAUGAUCAAAAGUGAAUCAUAGUACAAGUGAAUGUUAGUUUCCCUUUUCUUUCACUAAUGGCUAUUGCUUACCCUCGUGUAAGCCGUUUAUGUAUGUUUCCGCUAGUGCUUUUCUCUAUCGAUGAAAAUGUACAUGUGAUGAGCCUUGGGCGGAUAGGGAAAACUCUGUCCGUUCGGCGUCUGUUUGACGUGCUCGGGUCGGGCCAAAUUGGUAUCGGUCCCGGGGCGUAACAAAACCGAAACAAAAUCAAAGAAAUCAAAGAGGAGAGUGUGGAGGGCUCCCUUACCUCUCCUCUUGCUGCUGGUGAGCACAGGGGAGUCCUCAAGGGCGUGGGUGUUGAUAUAAGCAGUCCACAAUUGCAAAAACACCCCUGCAGUUCAAACUGCACGAAAUCAGCCUCCUUGUACCGGUACACGGGCCCCUGUACCAGUACAAGCCCUACGAAACAUCACAACCCGAGGCUCGGGUUGGGGGUUCAACGACUCUGUACCGGUACAAGCCCGGUGGCUGUAUGUAGUAUCUUGAACUUUGCAAAACUAUAGAAGUUGGAAGUGGGGCUGAGGAGUGGCAUGUAACCACAGGUCCUAAUAUUCGUAAAAGUGUUUUGGGUCAAUUUUGAGAGCUAUUAGACUUUUGGAUGUAAGAAAGUGCGUCGUCGAAGCGACCCUGAAACUUAUUAUAUUAUAGUUUACUGAACUUCAACAGUUUGCACAGUUCGAGUGAGGAAUGACAUUUGGAACCUUCCCAUAUGUUCAAAAGGGUUCAAAGAUGUUUACAAAUUAGUUUGAGAGUGGUCGGAAAGCUAGAAGUGAGAAAGUGCAUUGCAAUUGCGAAAUCUGCAAUUUCUGUAUUGGUGUACCGGUACAAGCCUAAUGCUGUACCGGUACAGCAAGCAGCAGAGUCAGCUGCUGCGGGACAACAGGGUUGUUCUGGUCUUUUCACAUCUUUUUCUCAUCCUUAUCUUCCCAGCUCGACCCCUGGACCUCUCUAGAUGGUACUGGAGCUCAGAGAAGACCCCUUCACCUCCUCCACACUCUCUCUCUCUAGGGUUUUCUCUCUCUACAAAGAAAUCGCCGAUUUCGCUCGUGUUCGUCACAAUGUUGGUUUUUCGGCACGUUGCGAGCGUUGCUGAACCUACGAGGAUGUGUGAGGGAGUACUUUGGAAGGAUUUUCGCAGCCCUAGACCCUCAAAGUGCUGUUUGUAGGCCUAAUAAGGUAAUCGACUCAGUCUCUUUGUUAUUAACGCUCUAUUAGUCGAUUUAAGUAUCGAUUAUGGAUUUCUGCUUCCAACUAGGUUAGGCUGAGGUUUCAGCUGUUAGAAAGGAGUUGAUUACCUGUGAGUUAACCUCCUUAGACCUGGGACAUGUUACUUUUAAGCUGAAUAGAGAUGUUUAGCUAUUUAUGAUACUAAUUCGAGCUAUAUACAGGUGAUUGGAUCUAAUUGACGCAGUUUGAACUCUUCCUUUCGCAGCAGGGUUGUGAAUUAAAUUGAGCUCAUUUGGUGACUGUGGGAACUUGUUUAAAAGGUGUUCUAACUCAAGGUAAACAAGAAUUUCAGUUAGGAAGCUGAAAUUGCAAGAAUUCGACUAUAGAAGCCUGCAUAAGAGUAUUCUAAUGCCGUUUUGACGUUGUUCGCAGCAGGAGUGUGAUCGACUCUUGGAGUGAUUUUAGCUGACCGGUGGAAGCUCUUGAAGACUCGACUUGAGGUAUUAAACUGUUGAAGCAGGGGGAUUCAAGCUAUUACCUUGUACUAAAUGUAAUUUAGGCCGAAAUCGGACAUUUCGGUCGUCAUUUUGACGCGGUGUUAAUGUUUGUUUUCAGCAGGGUUGGAGCCUUGUGGAGCUGAUUAUUGCGGCUUCUUGUGACUAUUUGGAGCUUAGUACUAGGUGGGUUUGACCUAACCAGAGCAAGUGAAGCUCCCCCUAUGUUCUAUAUGUAUGGAAUUAAUAUAGUUGGGCGAUAUUGGCGCAAUAUGGUUGUUUGGUACUUCUUUGCCAUAACCUUGAAUAAGACCCUCUAUGAAAUAGAGAGAACUCAUGCGUAAUUGUACUUAUGCUUAUGUUUAUGUUUGUCGGUAGUUAAGUUAAAUAACUAAUGGGCAUGAUAAUUAUGCUUUUGUAAAGUAGAGAACAAUGAUAUUCUCGUGACUUUAUCGAUUAUAAAGUAGAGAACAAUGACAUGCCACGUGACUAUAUAGAGAGUGUCAUAAUGGUGGAAACAUUUUAAUGCCAUAUAUUAACUAGCCUUACUCUCACAUGUUUGUUAAUCUAGUGGAUGCUAGUUGUUGUCAAUAUUGGUUAUAUUGAAAUUCCGAUCAAAGGAUCGAGAGUGAGAAUACUGUGAUAGUUAAGACAUGUCGGAAUAUGGACCUUGCUUGCUUGCCAUCGUGCCCAUUCGCACUUGCUUGUGAGGGUAGCUCCCUACAAGCCGGCACUCCGGAGUUGGCCUACGCGACAGUUGCUCGCCCGUGCGGGAUUGGGUGCCGAAGUGGAUUGCCGUGGGGAGUGUACACUACCACGGGGCCAUUAGGCGCGGCGCAAGCUGAAUUACCCUGGGAAGAUCUCUAUGAAUGAAAGGAAAGUGUUAAAGGAAAUGGAACAGUAAUGAAUGAUUAUCAGUUACAGUGUACCAUAGUUACUUACACAUUCAUACUUAUGAUCAUGCUUAUCAUAGUUGCUAUGCUUUUAUUAUUCACUCGAUUCAUUACUGUUGAGAUUAUGAUUACACAUUGCUUUCGUACUCAUUACCUGUUGGCAUUGCAUAGUUGUAUAUCAUGCAAUUACUGCUUUUACUUUCAUCCAGUACAUCAUGAGCCUAGUGGUGUAAUUCGCCGAGGCUGGCGGCUUACCCACUGGGAACUAUUGUUUAUAGUUCUCACGCCCUUUUUGUUGUUAAUUUUACAGAGCCAUCUACAGAAGAGGCUAGGGAUCGUGGCAAGGGAGUCGCGUCUAGCUAGACAUUGCUAGGAGCGUGCUAGUCGAUCACCUUGCUACUCGGGCUACGGCCGAGGGUAAUGUCCAUUGUAUAGAGUGACUACCAUUGUACAGAUGUUUUGUGUACCCUGUGCUGUAUAUGAGUUGUAGAUCCAGAUAUUAUAGUUCCUACUUCUUCUCUUUUUGCUGAGAUUUUGGAUUGUAUACUCUUUGUUCUUUUACUGAUAGUAUAUCGACUUAUACAUUGCUCUGAUAUCAGGAUAGGACUCUCUCUCUUUUAUUUCCUAUCGACUUGCUUUCUUCGUAGACGCCUUGUAUACUGCAGGUGUAUGGCGGGUCUGUGCACGUACCGGAUAUGCUUCCGCUGGUACCCGGGCGUGACACUGUACCGGUACAACCAUCAACCCUGUACCGGAACAACCAUCAGCUUGUACCGGUACACAGCCCUGAAAACAGCAAUCCGAGAGCAGCCUAAGUCGAACUUUUUGGUGACCUUAGGGCUACUUUAACUACCUCAAGUCUUGGGAUACGAGCCAUGGGUCGGAACUCUGUCAACGACCUACCAGAAAAUCUGGAAAUGCUCAGAAUAUAACUCAGACACUCGAACCUCACAAUUUGCAAAGGUCCAGUGUGUUACACAAGGCUAACGUGGUGGCGGAUGCGCUAAGUAGGAAAUCAACGAAAAAUUUAGCGAUGCAUGUUGUUACUCAACCGCGGUUGAUCGAGUAACCGCGGUUGAUCGAGUAGAUGAAACGGUUGGAGUUGGAGGUAGUGACUCCUGACACACCUUUGAGAUUGAUGACGUUGGUAGUUCAACCUACACUCUUGGAUAGAGUUAAAAAGAAGCAAGCUUCCGAUGUGGAGCUGCAAAGGAUUAAAGGUAAAAUGGUUGAUGGUUGCACCGGCGACUUCCUUGUGGAUGACAAAGGAUUGAUACGUUUCCGUGGACGGAUUUGUAUACCGGCGGAUUCGGGAAUUAAAGAGGAUGUCCUUCAAGAAGCGCACCGAGCGCCCUAUGCUAUUCAUCCAGGAGGCACCAAGAUGUACAAGGACUUGAAGUUGCUUUAUUGGUGGCUCGGGAUGAAAAAGGACGUUGGCGAGUUUGUAGCUCGUUGUCUAACUUGCCAGCAAGUAAAGGCUGAGCAUCGAUUACCCGCGGGAAAACUUCAGAGUUUGCCGAUUUUCGUGUGGAAGUGGGAGAAGAUCACCAUGGAUUUCGUGACUGGAUUGCCUCGCUCUCAGGCCGGGCAUGAUGCUAUAUGGGUGAUCGUGGAUAGGUUGUCGAAGUCCGCGCACUUCAUACCUAUUCAUACUACUUAGAUCGGAGAGAAGCUCGCACAAGUGUACCUUGAUGAGAUUGUGCGACUUCACGGAGUGCCUAUUUCGAUCAUAUCGGAUCGAGACACUCGAUUUGUGUCUCAUUUUUGGAAGAGUCUGCAGGACGCCUUGGACACUCGAUUGGACUUUAGCAUUGCUUUCCACCCUCAGAGUGAUGGGCAGUCGGAGCGCACCAUUCAGACUUUAGAGGAUAUGCUCCGAGCAUUUGUGAUAGACUUUCAGGGAGGAUGGUCGCAGCAUCUACCGAUAGCGGAGUUUGCUUGUAACAACAGUUAUCAAGCAAGCAUCAAGAUGGCGUCCUUCGAAGCACUUUAUGGACGGAAGUGUAGAUCGCCACUUCAAUGGAGUGAAGUUGGCGAGAGAUUGGCAUUGGGCCCUGAUGUGCUCCAGGAAACUGAGGACAAGGUUUGAAUUGCUCGGGAGCGACUUUUGACGGCGCAGAGUAGACAGAGGAGCUACGCCGACCGACGACGGCAAGACUUGGAGUUCCAAGUUGAAGACCAUAUUUUCUUGAAGGUCUCGCCGACUAGAGGGAUCAAGAGAUUCCGGAUUCGGGGUAAGUUGAGCCCCCGUUUUAUUGGACCAUUUGAGAUUUUGGAGCGUGUAGGCCCGGUGGCGUAUCGACUUGCUCUACCACCGAACCUAUCGGGCGUGCACAACGUCUUUCAUGUAUCGGUCCUUCGGAAGUACAUCCACGACCCGGCUCAUGUGUUGGAUGCUACACCUUUGGAGUUGUGGGACGACUUGAGCUUCGAGGAGCAACCAGUGAGGAUUUUGGCUCGCGAGGUGCGAAAACUGCAGAUCGGGAUAUUCCGUAUGUAAAGGUUCUUUGGAGCAACCACGGGGAGCGGGAGGCCACGUGGGAGCUAGAGAGCGCGCUGCGGGAGCGCUAUCCCCAUUUUUUUCAGAUGGAUUCUUGAGGUAUGUGUUUGCUUUCGAGUUUCGCGGACGAAACUUCUUUUUAGGGGGGGUGAAUGUAGCACAUUGGACCUUUGCAAAUUGCGAGGUUCGAGUGUUUGAUAUGGAUUUCAAACUUUUCCACACUUAGUGGAAGGUCGUAGAUGGUAUUCCGACCUAAAAGUUCGAUCUCUGGAGUUUUGAUUUUGUCCUGAGAGUUUUCACUCUCGGAGACCGGUCCCUGAAAGGAGAGAUCGGUCCCCUCAGAACAGUGUUGCGGCCAGCUUGAGGCAACCGGUCCCUGGCGGAGAGAGACCGGUUCCCGAACGUUGGAUUUUCGGGGCAGGCUGAGAGACCGGUCCCAUGUCGGGGAGACCGAUCCCUUAGUCCGAAAACUGCCCUGUCCGGGCAGUGCACAGUGUUGAUUGUUGAGGGGCUUAUCAGGAUUUUGUUACAUUAGAAGGCCUUUAGAGCCUUUCUCCUCUCUCUUUCUCUCAUUUUCUCCCCUUCAUACCUACCCUAGAGAGAGAAAGAGAAGGAGAAAAAUGAGAAAUAGGAGAAGGAGAGGAGAGGAGCUUGCUUGGAGGCUUUAGAGCAUCAUCUUCUUCCUCAUUUCUCACCUCGGUGGCUUGGAGCUUGCGGUUGAAGCUUUGUGGAGGAUCAAACUCCAACCCUACUUGGUUUAGAGCUUGGAUUGGAGCUUCUCUUGAGGUUGGUAGCUUGUAUUUUCCAUUUAAUACAAGUUUUUAUAGAUUUUACCAUAUGAAACCCUAGAUUUUGGGAUUUAGGGUUUAUUUUGGGGAUUUUUUAUUUGAGAGCUUUGAAACCUAAUUGAUGGGUUUAGAACCUUCAUUUAGGUUGGAUUUGAAGAAUUCUAACUCCCAUUUGGAGCUUGAGAGAGGAUUUCUUCACCUAGGUGAGUUUUCUCCACCUUAGCCUAUGUUGCUUAUUGUUUGAGCUUAGGGUUGAUCGUAAGAUUUGUUUGACCCUUGUUCCUACAUCUUUAGGGUGCUAGGAUUCUAGUCGACACCUUUGUCAGAGCUUACGAAGGGUUUCGGAAUUUUCGGUGCGUUUGACUUCAUGAAAACGGGGCGAAAUGGUCCCUAAGUAUUUUAUACUUGUCGUAACAUCAAUUUGAUUGCAUAUUCAUGUUAAAUGGGACUUAUGUGAAUUUUAGAAUACUUAAAAUGCAUGCCUUAUGUAUCAUAAAAUUUUACUCUAUAUAGUAGGGCCUUCUGGACAUUUUUGCAUGCAUAUAUCCUUAUCUCCAAAAAGUGCGGGGUGAUGUUGAGAGCGGGCGCACCGGUGAUUUCGGCGUAGGGUCUGAUGGUGCACCUUAUAGUGUACAUCCGAGCGGCACUAAAAUAUAUAAAGACUUAAAAGUGCAUUAUUGGUGACCGGGGAUAGAGAAGGAUGUUGGAGAAUUUGUGGCACAGUGUUUGACAUGCCAAUAAGUUAAAGCGAAGCGCCAAUUUUCGGCGGGAAAGCUUCAAAGUUUAUCCAUACCCGUUUGGAAGUGGGAAGAUAUAGCAAUGGACUUUGUGACCGGUUUACGCCGAUCUCAGGCCGGACAUGAUGCUAUUUGGGUGGUAGUGGAUCGUUUGACGAAAUCGGCUCAUUUCUUACCGAUCCAUAACACUUGGUCCGGAGACAAGCUGGCGCAGGUUUAUCUCGAUAGGGUUGUGAGACUGCAUGGGGUUCCGACGUCCAUAGUAUCGGAUCGAGACCCCCGGUUCACAUCCCACUUUUGGAAAAGUUUGCAAGAGGCGUUGGGCACACGGCUCGAUUUUAGCACGGCAUUUCAUCCUCAAAGUGAUGGUCAAUCGGAGAGAACGAUACAAAUCCUUAAGGACAUACUUGGAGAGUGUGUACUUGAUUACAAGGGUGGAUGGCACGAUUAUUUGCCGAUGGCGGAGUUCGCAUUUAAUAUUAACUAUCAAGAAAGUAAUGCGAUGGCGCCAUUAAUUCGAGGCUUUUUAUGGAAGGAAGUGUCGCUCCCCUAUUCAUUGGAGCGAGGUGGGUGAAAGAGUUACCCUUGGUUCGGAUGUGUUGCGGGAGGCAAAAGAGAAAGUUUGCUUUGCCCGCCAACGGCUUGCGACAGCACAAACCUAACAGCAAAGUUAUGCCAAUAAGUGUAAGAAAGUGAAUUCUCGAAAUCUGAGGAUUGUACUUCAUCCAGUAUCGACUAAUUGUCGAGAAAAUACCCUUUGUGGGAGUUAAGAAAGUCCACAACGCAAAAAGUGCUUUGGAGUUGAGUCCACGAGAGCGAAUGAUGCAAACUGCAUCAUGGGGCUGAUGUUGCUCUCGGGAACCGGUCUCUGGAGGUGAGAGACCGGUUCCCUUGGCUGGGUGUUGCGGGGUUGCUUGAUGCAACCGGUCCCUGGCAGAGAGGGACCGGUUCCCGAAUGUUGCCUCAGCGAGAAAUGCCAAAAACUAGCUAAGUCCUGAAAAUCAAGCUCUCGGGGACCGGUCUCUCAGGUAAGGACCGAUCUCCCGAGGACCGGUCUCCCGGGGAGAGACCGGUUCCCGAAUGCGUGCGCCCGAGGGAAGCUCUCGAGGCCGGUCCCAAGUCGGGGGGACCGGUCCCUCCGUGCGAAAACUGCCCAGUAAGGGCUGUGCAACGGAUGGAAAGUUGAGGGGUUUUUAUGCAAAAUGGCCUUUAUUAGAGUGGGCUGAGCCCUCUCUCUCCCUCACACUCUCUCAUUCUCUCUCUUUCUCACACUCUCUCUUGCUCCCUCUCUCUCUCUCUAGAAAAGAAAGAACAAAAGAGAAGGAGAAGAAGAAAGAGAAGAAGAAGAAUGAGGAGAACAAGAUAGAGAAGGCUUGGAGCAUCUUCCUCUCUUUCUCUCUUCUCCAUUGGUGUAGCUCAAGAGGUAAGCUACAAACCCUAGCUUGUAAAACUUGGGUUUUUGGGUUUUUAUGCUUUGGAAUGGGUCAAAUGAACCCUAAGCUAGCUUCUAAAUAGAUCAAUCCCAAGAAUCUGGGGUAAAUAUGGGGUGGUUUGCUAUAGGUGCAAACCUAGGGCUCCAAAUUGGGGCUUUUGUGAAAGUAUGAGAUUGAUCUCAUUUGAAGCCUUGGAAACCCUAUUGGUAGGUCACAAAACGUGGGGGCGAAGUCGGUUUUAGCCUUCGGCGAGCCGGCGUGAAGUUCUCGGCAAAAUAGGGCCGGGAUAGCUUGGAUUUGGGCGAGGAAGGCUAAAGCCUUUUCAUAAAAUUCGCCGAGGAGCGUUUCCGAAGCCUUUACAUCGAUAAAAGGUAGGGGGUGCCAUCCCGAAGCUUUCGGACUCCUUUCUAUGUCUUAGAUUGCAUUUGAUCUCAUCUCUUCAUGUUGCAUUGUAGGAUUGAAUAGUAGCUCCAUUCCUUAUGCUUUCUAAAUGAUAACCUAGUGUACUUGGAACGUUUGGUAACUUAGAUAGGUGAGGAUUGGGUCGGAACGUGGAUCCUAUGAUGCUAAAGAUAGAGAUGAACCCGAUGGGAGUGUUGAUGACAUAGAAAGUAGUGUUAUCGUCAAAGAACAAACGAGUGGCAUCCAAAUGUUAAAUGAUAACGAGUGGCAUUAAUGUAGUGUAUAUGACACUAGAGGUUUGAGAACCUAGGGAUAGGUGGAUCCCUAAGAAAAUGCCUUGUGGACAAGAACUUAGUAAACCUAAGUAGCCUAACAUGGAGAGGUUGUUGAUGAGUCGAUUAAGACAUUGACCCUAGUGAUAGGGCAUCCUCACUUGGAGAGGACCUGAUUGGGUAUGACUCUAGUUGAUAGCAUCCUCACUUGGAGAGGAUUGGAUUUGGUUUUUGACCCUAGUGAUAGUGUAUCCUCACUCGGAGAUGAUAGAUCUAGCUCACAGUCUGCGUUUGGGAUGGUAUAGCCAUCCAAUCCCCACAUGGAGGGGAUGGUCGUCGAGUACUCCGGAGUGUCGCGACUAGGACCACUUGGAGGUCCGGACCACAUGGAGGUCCGCAGACGGUCCCGGGCUUGGGUGCACUUGGAGCUCCCUCCCCACUUUGGGAUUGAAAGGUGAGUUAUGGGCGAGCCCUAGGGCCUCGCCGCAGAUUGGGUAAAUGAAAGGUUAAAGGUUUAAAAAUGUCAUUGAACGUUACUAUUCGAACAUGGAUCGAAUUUGUUAGCAUGGUAGCAAACCUUUAUUAUAUGAUGCAUGCAUUCAUAUUCAUGAUUAUGGGCAUAGUAGCAUAGUUUUUCCUACUAUCGCAUUUACUGCUUUCAGAUACAUAUCUAUCUAUCUAUCUGUUGUUACUUGUGCCCACUUGGACCUAGUGGGGAGAUCGGCAGAGUCGGUGGCCGAGCCCACUGGGAACUAUGGAAGAUAGUUCUCACCCCACUCUAUUUCUAGUAGUAGGUUCAGGGCUGCAGAGAGAGGACCGCGGCAAGGGCACCGCGCCCGACCAGUGAGACCGUGGUAGUUAGUAGCUUUCCUUUUUGCAUUAGUUCACCUAUGUAUUGAGAGAGAUCCAUUGUAGGUGAGGAUUUGGGAGAGCUAUGUAUUUUGGAUGAAAAAUGUAAUCAUUUAAAGAAAAUGAUGUAAAUAAGAAUGAUGAAACUAUUGUAAUAGUUAGUAAGGUACUCUCUUUAUUUCACAUGCUUUAUCUUGUGGAUUACUUGCUCUUUGUCUUGUCGGCACUGUUUGUGCCCUUAUGAAUGUGUAUGUUUAGAAUUUAAUUUCUUGGGUAAAUUCUUGUACACAUUCUUAUUGUUGAGCCUUGGGCGGACAGGGGAGGUGCUGUCCGUUUGGCGGUCCGCCGCCGCUGCCGAAUCGUGCCAAAUUGGUAGUGGUUUCGGGGUGGGGCGUGACAAUAAGUGUCGGAAAGAUCUUGAGUUCGUGGUUGGAGACCGCAUUUUCUUAAAGGUGUCACCCAUGCGUGGUGCGAAGGGGUUUGGGGUCCGGAGGAAGCUUAGUCCCCGAUACAUUGGACCAUAUGAGAUUUUGGAGCACAUGGGUGUGGUGGCGUAUAGAGUUGCCUUACCACCAAAGAUUGCGGGAAUUCACAAUAUGUUUCACGUGUCUCAUCUCCGCAAGUGUGCCCAUAAUUCCUCUCAUGUCUUAGAGUAUGAACCGGUAGAGUUGCGCGAGGAUAUGACCUAUGAGGAGUAUCCGGUGUGCAUUCUUGCUCGAGAGGCGAGGAAAUUACAGAAUCAUACAAUUCCGUAUGUCAAAGUUUAGCGGAGCAAUAAUACGGAGCGUGAAGUCACUUAGGAACUCGAGGAGGCAAUGCGAAAGACCUAUCCUUAUCUAUUCGAGUAGAUGAGCUAAGGUAUGGAAUCGAGUUUCGCGGACGAAACUUUUUUUAAGGGGUGGAGAAUGUAAUAUACCGAAACUUUAGUAGGUUGUACCGAACUUCAACAACUCUGAGAAUGCCAUGUUCACUAAUGCCAUUACACAUAAGUGUUCCAUUCUCAUUCACUAGCAUUCUUUAUGCUCACUAAUACCACAAGGUGCUAUUUUACUCACUUGUCACAAUGUCACCAUGUUCUUUACCACAACUAGGUGCAUAUCUGUAAGGAAGUAAAUUCUCGAAAUGCGAGAGUUUGACUUCAUUUAAAAUCGACCAAGGGUCGUGUUGGCAUGCUUCGGAAAGGACGAAAGCAUCAAAGAGGCAAAAAGUGCGUUAUAGUUGGUCUCGAGAGCAAAUGGUGCAAAUCUGCACAAAUUGCAGAUUUUGCUCUCGGGGACCGGUCCCUGGUGAGAGGGAUCGGUCCCCAUAAGCAGAGAGUGCGGCAGAGAGGCUCUGUGCGCUAAUGUUGCUCUCAGGGACCGGUCUCUGGCGGGAGGGACCGGUCCCCGUAUGCGUGAAGGGCUGACCUGAGAGCUCUGUGCGAGAGGCUGCUCUCGGGGACCGGUCCUCCGGUAGAGGGACCGGUCCCCACACCCGAAAACUGCCCAGUCUGGGCAGCGCAAGAGAAGCAAAAUGGAGGGGGCUAUUAGGAUAUUGUUACAAGUGAGAGGCUAAAAGAGGGAUUUCCUUCUCUUCUCUCUCACUCUCCCUCACACAUACAUACUUUCUCUCUCUAGAAGGAAAAGGAAGAAAAGAAGAAGAGGAAGGAGAAGAAGGAAAGGAAGGAAAAGAAGAAGAGGAGGACCACCAUCAUCUUCUCCAUCUCUUCCCUAGCUUGUAGAGGUAAGCUAUGAACCUCUCUCAUGGUAAAUGGCUUAGGGUUUGCCUUAACCUCUCGGAACUCAAUUAAUUGGACUCUAGUGGACCCCUAGAGGUAGUUGAUCUCCUUGAUUGCAAGAAUAAAUGCUUGAUUGAAGCUAUUGCAAUAUUGGGGAUUCUAGGGCAUCCAAAAGAGGGCUUUUGCUUGUGAGGGGUUUUGAUCUAAAUUGACCUCUCUCUAACCUAAUUGUUAGGUCUACGAACGCGUUCGUGCACUCGGUUUGACUAUUCGUUAAGGCUACGAAGAGAUAUUGGUGAAAAACUCGUUUUUGGCUUCAUUUUCGCCUGGAACGCCGAGGAAGCAUCUAGAAAUCACGAAAUCGGAACCCUAGCCUUUUGGUAGCAUAAGAAGGUGGGGGGUGUCCAUCCCGAAGCAACCGGGUUUCCUUUUAUGUCUAAGUUCUACAUAUUGACAUUAUGCAUUAUAUGAUUAGUAGAUAGUUGCAAUUCUAAUUCCUUGCAUGCUUUCUUAGUAGUGUAGCAUUGUAGGCUUGACACAUGGACUAGGGAUGCAUGAGGAUUGGUCUUGUGACAUGGAAUCCUAUAGUGGCAUAAAGAGAUGAAUUUGGACAUGUAAUAGCCUAGAAGAGUGGCAUUUGGGUUAGUGUAGUAGAAACACUAAACAUGAACGAGUGGCAUGUCAACUAGUAGAAAACCUUUACUACAAUGAUUGAACGAGUGGCAUCAAAUCUAGAGUAGUAAACAUAACAUGAUUCUAGGGAUAGUAGAGUUUCCGAGUAAUGAAUUAUGCAUUAUGAACUGUGCAGCAGAGGCGCACUAUGGCCCUUGUAGAUAGGGUAUCCUCUUGUGAGGAUUGGAUCAUACUCACUAGUCUGUUUUAAACUUGAGGUAGUCGCUCCACUCAAGUAGUGGUCUCCGGAGUACUUCACGACAGUGGCAGAUGUAGUUGUCCCGCAGACGGUCUCGGUAUGCGAGUGCAGAUUCUCCUCACCUAUGAGAUUUGAGAGUGAGUCGAGGGCGUAACCUUCGGGUUAGCCAAGCAGAUUGGACAAAGAACAUGAAUGAUAUAGAAGAUUUGCAUUCAUACUUGAGUAGACAUAGUGUAUGUUGGUAGAUUGCAUAACUGUGUUGCAUAUAUAUUGUACUAGUAUAAUAGUAGAAUUAUUGCAAAAUGGACAUUGCAUGCAUUGCUUAUCAUUGAAGGCAUGGUAGAAUAUAGUUGCAGUUUAUUUCUACCUAUCCAUCUAUCUAUUUAUCUUUGCUUGUUUAGACCUAGUGGAAAAAUCGGCGGAGUCAGCGGUCAAACCCACUGAGAACUAUAUUUAUAUAGUUCUCACCCCACUUUGUUGUAGGGCCGAGUACGAGUUCGCCGGGCGAGGACCGCGGCAAGGGCAUAGCGCCUUAGGUAGUUUGUAGCUUCCUAUCUGCAUUAGAGUACCCUCGUGUACUAGAUGAUGAUGAUAUAUAUUUGGAUAAAUAGUAUGGAGCUACUUACGCAUUUUGGAGGUGAACUUGUAUUACAUUUUGGGAGAUGGAAAUGUAAUUAAAAGAAUUAAUGUUGAAUGGUUGUAAUAGCUAGAAUAUCUCUCUUUAUUCACUUGUUGUACACUUGUGGUUCUUGCUCUUACUUGUUAGCACUUGUAGUGCUCUUGUUGAUCGUGUAUGUAAUGAAUUUCUUUUCUUGGGCAAAUUCUUGUACAUGAUUUCGUUGCUUAGCCUUGGGCGGACAGGGGAGGUGUUGUCCGUUCGGCGUCUGUUCGACGCGCCCGAACCGGACCAAAUUGGUAGCGGUUUCGGGGCGUGACAAUAUCUCAAUUCAUACAUAUAUAGGGUUCACAAGCAUAUAGGUUCAUAAGCAUAAUAUACAUGUCUCAUAACCAACUCAUAUACAUCUUUAUACUCAAAAGCAUGCAAGAUAUAUCACCAUAUUGCCAUUUAGCCAUUUAAACCCCACAAUGCAUGAAUCCUACGUAUACAUACAUGCUCAAAAGGUGACAUUUAGACAUAAAAAGAGAUUCGAUGAUUUCGAAUAGCACCACCCACCUCGUAGGGUCGCUAAGGUGCUAGGAUCCAAAUCUGGUGAUUUAUAAGCGCCUAUUCCCCUCGACCAUGGCAAACAAAGCUGAAAUGGGGUUUUUCCUCGAUUUCCUUGCAUAGACUCGUCGGAACUUCGAUCCGAGUCUCCCAACGCGUCAGCUUACUCGCCAAUUAGGGCUACAAGAGAUCAAACCCUAGUUAGAUCUCAUAUCUACCAAAACCCUAAUUUGACCCCUAGGGUUUCCAACAAUCCACAUAAACCUAUUAAUUCAUGGAGAUUUACACAUGAAUCUACCAUACAAGCUUCUAGAUACCAUAACUAGAAGAAAUUAGCAUAAACCCUAGCUUAAUACAACAAGAACUCACCUUGAGCUCAACUCUUCUCUUCAAAACUUUGCAUAAGAGCUUGCACAAGAGCUUGCUUCUCCCCCAAGCUAGCCUUCUUCUCCACCAAACCCUCUCACACACCCUAGAGAGAGAAAGAGAAAGAGAGAGAGAGGAAACUUAGAGAGAGAAAGAGAAAGCUUUUCUCUUUGUUCACAAAAGAGAAAUGAAGAGGUGGAAGGGUGUAGAACCUUCAAAUAGCAUCUCUCUGCAACAAUUGCAUAUAGGCCCCUCUCCAAUUCAUUGUACAGGACUUACCCACGAAAUUGCGGGUACGGGGUCCGGACCCUACACAGUGUCCAGACCCUAAGAGCAAUUUCAGCUUGUUUCAAGCUGAAAAUUCCCAGCUUGCUCUCCAAGGUCCAAACCACUCACAAUACACUCCGACACGCUCGAAAUGAUCAACGGACCUCUCUAACUUGUCCCACUCCGCACUUCGGUCAAUUUGUCUAAAGUUCAGAACAACCUACCGAAGUUUCGGUAUAUUACAACAUAUGACAACUUUUGGUUGUGCUGUAAAUGUAUAAGUGAUGUAUAAAUGCCAUAUGCUGGAGGAUAUGAAAUGUAUAUCAUGUGAUGUAUAAAUAAAAAAAAGAAUGAAUGUAAAUUCUAUUAUGCUUGUAUAUGGUUAAAAGUAAUCAUGAUACUUGUAUGUAGUAGUUGUAGAACUUUCGCUUUUGAUGUUGUUUGCCCUCGUGCAAGUCAUGUAUAUGUAUGUUUUCGCUGUGUAAAAUUUAUAUACAUGUUGAUAUUGUGUUGAGCCUUGGGCGGACAGGGGAGGUGUUGUCCAUUCGACGUCUGUUGACAUGCACGAACCGACCAAAUAGACGGGCUCGGGGCGUGACAUUGGGUCAUCAGAUGCAGACAGUCACCGUCUCCUGCUGGAUCAUAUUCAACAUCAAGCCAAUGGGUGUCACGAUCUCCAUCUCCUACUGAUGCUGGAGUUAUGUUCGCCGCCCCUUCGACAUUUCCUUUUUUGAUGUUUGACUCGCUUCCGCCACUAAUUUCUCGAGUGUACUUUAGAUCUGUCUAUUCUCAUCGUCAUGGCGCGUCAUCAUCGCAGCCCGGCCCAGCAUCUACACCGGCCAUUGUCGAGGGUGAUUGACCUGAGCCAACGGAGACUCAGGCUGUAAGGAAGUGAAUUCUCGAAAUACGAGAGUUAGACUUCAUUUAAAAUCGACCAAGGGUCGUGUUUGUAUGCUUCAGAAAGGCCGAAAGCGUCAAAGAGGCACAAAGUACAUUAUAGUUGGUCUCGAGAGCAAGUGGUGCAAAUCUGCACAAAUUGCAGAUUUUGCUCUCGGGGACCUGUACCUGGCGGGAGGGACCGGUCCCUGUACGCGUAGAGGUGGGCAGACUGCUGUCUGCCAGAAGUUUUGCUCUCGGGAACCGGUCCCUGGCGGGAGAGACCGGUCCCCUUACGCAUGAAGGGCUGGCCUGAGGGUUCUGUGCGAAAGGCUGCUCUCGGGGACCGAUCCUUCCCUAGAGGGACCGGUCCCCGCACCCGAAAUCUGCCCAGUCUGGGCAGCGCAAAAGAGGCAAAGUGGAGGGGUGUUUUUUGCAAUUAGGCAAUGAGAGGGGUUAAGUGGGCAUUUCCUCUCUCUCUUUCUCUUAUUUCCCUCCAACACACACUCACACACUCUCUCUCUCUCUAGAAGGAAAAGAAGGAGAAGAAGAAGGAGAAGAAGAAGGAGAAGAAGAAGGAGAAGAAGAAGAAGGAAAAGAAGGAGAAGAAGAUCAAGAAGAGGACCACCAUUGUCAUCUUCUUCUUCUUUUGCUUGGGACAAAAGCUUGGUAGAGAUAAGCUUUUGGCUCUCCCAUGGUAGAAUGCUAAGGAUGAGUUUAUAAACCCUAGAAAUGGAAUUUAUUGAGUCUCUAGAAGUAGUUGCUCUCAUUUAUCACAUGAGUAAAUGCUUGUUCAAUGCAUUUUGCAACUAUGUGGAUUCUAGGGCAUCCAAAAGAGGGUUUUUGCUUGUGAGGGAUUUUGAUCUAAAUUGACCUCUCUCUAACCUAAUUGUUAGGUCUACGAACGCGUUCAUGCGCUCGGUUUGACGAUCCGUCGAGGCUACGAAGAGAUAUUGGUGAAAAACCCAUUUUUGGCUUCGUUUUCGCAUGGAACUUCGAGGAAGCUUCCAAAAAUCAUGAAAUCGGAACCCUAGCCUUUUGGUAGCAUAAGAAGGUGGGGGGUGUCCAUCCCGAAGCAAUCGGAUUCCCUUUUAUGUCUAAGUUCCAUAUGUUGAUCAUAUUCAUAUAUUGAUAUUAUGCAUUAUAGGAUUAAGAGAUAGUUGCAAUUCUAAUUCCUUGCAUGCUUUCUUAGUAGUGUAGCAUUGUAGACUUGACACAUGGACUAGGGAUGCAUGAGGAUUGGGUCUUGUGAUAUGGAAUCCUAUAGUGGCAUAAAGAAAUGAACUUGGACAUGUAAUAGUCUAGCAGAGUGGCAUUUGGAUUAGUGUAAUAGAAACACUAAACAUGAAUGAGUGGCAUGUCAACUAGUAGAAAACAUUUACUACGAUGAUUGAACAAGUGGCAUCAAAUCUAGAGUAGUAAACAUGACACGAUUCUAGGGAUAGUGGAGUUCCCGAGUAAUGAAUUGUGCAUUAUGAACUAUGCAGCAGAGGCACUGUGACCUUUGUAGAUAGGGUAUCCUCUUGUGAGGAUUGGAUCAUACUCACUGGUCUAUUUACACUUGGUGUGGUCAUUCCGCUCAAGUAGUGGUCUCCGAAGUACUUCACGAUAGGGGCAGACAUAGUUGUCCCGCAGACGGUCUCGGUGUGCGAGUGCAGAUUCUCCUCACCUAUUAGAUUUGAGAGUGAGACGAGGGCGUAACCUUCGGGUUAGCCAAGCAGACUGGGCAAAGAACAUGAAUGGCAUAGUAGAUUUGCAUUCAUACUUGAGUGGAUAUAUUGUAUGUUAGUAGAUUGCAUAACUAUGUUGCAUAUAUACUCAUAACAUUAUACUUGCAUGAUAGUAAAAUUAUUGCAAAAUGGACAUUGCAUGCAUUGCUUAUUAUUGAAGGCAUGGUAGAAUAUAGUUACAGUUUAUUUCUACCUAUCUAUCUAUCUAUCUAUCUGUGCCUGCUUAGACGUAGUGGAAAAAUCGGCGGAGUCGGCGGCCGAACCCACUGGGAACUAUAUUUAUAUAGUUCUCACCCCACUUUGUUGCAGGGCCGAGUAUGAGUUCGCUGGGCAAGGACCGCGGCAAAGGCAUAGCGCCCUAGGUAGUUAGUAGCUUCCUAUAUGUAUUUAGAGUACCCUCGUGUACUAGACGAUGAUGAUGUAUAUUUGGAUAGAUGAUAGAGAGCUAUUUAUAUAUUUUGGAGGUGAACUUGUAUUACAUUUUGGGAGAUGAAAAUAUAAUUAAAAGAAUUAAUGUUGAAUGGUUGUAAUAGCUAGAAUAUCUCUCUUUAUUCACUUGUUGUACACUGGUGGUUCUUGUUCUUACUUGUUAGCACUUGUGGUGCUCUUGUUGAUCGUGUAUGUAAUGAAUUUUUAUUUUCUGGGCAAAUUCUUGUACAUGAUCUUGUUGCUUAGCCUUGGGCGGACAUGGGAGGUGCUGUCCGUUCGGCGUCUGUUCGACGCGCCCGAACCGGACAAAAUUGGUAGCGGUCUCAGGGCAUGACACAGGCAAUUUUGGAGCAUCCUGAGGGCAUCAUCAUCGCGGAUCUCAAUCGGAUGGCCGGUAUCGAGCCACUUGAUGAUGUAUCUCCUACUAAGCUUGAUGUUGAUCAUGGCCGUAGCGUAGAUGUGGGCAUGCAUGAGGACGUGACCGAGAAUGUCGAGGGAGAGGAAGAUUGAGAGACCGUCUUUUUUUUUUUAUUUAAAUCGAACACAUUGUAUAAUAUUAUAUACCUAUUUAUUUAGUUCAUAUUUGUAUGUCUUUUUAUGUUUUUAUUGAUAUUCACCGCCUUUAGUGCAAAACUCAGAACCCCACAAAAAUUUGACUUAGUCCUGGCUGAAACAUAAAUAAGACGGUGAAUUUGAUUCACCGUCUUUAUAAGACGGUGAAUGAUUCACUGUUUUAUCUGUGUUUCAACACCAACUACAGGACUUAGAAAAAUUUUUAGUAAUUUUGGCGGGAUUCGCAGGUUUUGCACUAAAGGCGGUGAAUCGUUCGCUGCCUUAUAAAGACCGUGAACGAUUCGCCAUCUUAUCAAGGGCACAACAAUAGUUGAAAGACGGACUUGAAAGGCAGAUUUGCGUUGAGGCGUGGGAUUUGCAAGGCGAAUUUGCGUUGAGGCGUGAGAUUUGCACUAAAGACGGUGAAUGGUUCACCGCCGUCACAAGGAAUAUUAUGAAGACGGUGAACCAUUCACCGCCUUCAUAGGAAACUACUGACGUGACGCCCACGUAGCGAAAGUAGGGUUAAUUUUUCAAAUAAAAUUUUGACAGGUCAUUUUGCAAAUUUUAAAUUUUUGGAGGGCCAUUUUAUAAAAAAGUCCUCAAAUUCCGCUCGCUUCGUCUUCUCUCCGCUGUUUUUUGCGCGCAAGGCGAGAGCGGGGCUAUGGCGGAUAGGCGGCGCGAAAAACAGAAGCAUCGUGACCGAGAUCGAGAGCGGGAGCGGGACCGAGAUCGAGAGCGGGAGCGCGACCGAGACCGAGAUCGAGACCGGGAACGCAACAGGGACCGCGACCGAGAUCGAGAGCGCGAGAGAGACCGGAAGCGGUCCCGCUCCCCGUCCCGCUCCCCCUCCGGCUCGGGCUCCCGCUCCCGCUCCCGCUCCGCCGACCGCUCUAGCCGCCGCCACGGUCAUAACCACCACCAACACCACCACCAAAAUCGCCGGCGCUCCCCCUCCCCCGAGUCCCACCGCCGCAAGCGCCGCCGCGAGGGCAGCAAUGACCUCCCCCCCGCUGCCUCGGCCGAGCUUGCAGACGGCGUUCCCAAGAACCAUAAGAAGCAAGGAGGUGGCAGCGGCGGCCCGGCGGACGGCGAGGCUGCAGCUGUCCCAACGGACGCCAACACAGAGGAACUGGAGAUGAUGAAGCAGUUUGGGAUUCCGUUAGGGUUCGAUUCCACCAAGGGGAAGCCCGUGCCAGGGGCCGAUGUUAGCGGCGUGAGGGUGGUGACAAAGCGGCAGCCGAGACAAUAUAUGAAUCGCAGAGGAGGCUUUAAUCGGCCCCUUCCUCCGGAACGCAACCGUUAGCACCCUGUCUCAGUUCCAAAGGUUAGGGUUUUCAUGAUUCCCUAUGUUCGACUUCUUUUUUCCUUUUUCUUUUUUGUUUUCUUUUCCUUUUUCCUUGUUAUAUAUCCUUUGUAGUAGUUUUGCCCAUUUUCAUAAACUUCCAAAAUUAAUGCCUCUUGAUAUCUAAUUUUCACACCUUGAUGAGGAUGAAUCCGAGGGUGGCAUAAGAUUCUAGCUUUUGUAGAUAGGGGUGAAAAUGGAUCAGAUACAGUCGGAUAUUAGACGAAACCAUAUUUGCAUCUAUGUUUUCUUUCGAAUAUGAAUUUGGAUGUGGAUAAUAAUUGGAUGCUAAAUUUUUGUUACCAUAUCCGUUAAGAACGGAUUCGGAUAUGAUUAGAUAUUUCUUCGGAUUUGAAUAUGGAUCGAAUUUGUAUUCAUAUAUUAUUUGGAUAAUAAUACAUACUUACAUUUUUGUGAUGGCUCCUUUUAAUUUCAAAAUACCAGUCUAUAAUUUUGUAGUAUCUUCAACAAAUUUAGGGUCAAAUCGAGCUGGAAAGACUAUCCAUAAAGAGGCAAACUUUGUGCUUAACUUUCUAGAUUUGGAAGUUGCUUAGAUUGAAUUUGGUUCUUCUUAGCAAGCGUAAGUUUGUUGCCCAACAAAAGAAGUUGUCGGCUGUGUAGAUUGUCUUCCAUAUUCUUUAUGUUGACACUUGCAAAAAGUUAUGGAAGAUAAAUAUUUUUCUUUUGAUUAGCUUGACUUGUAAUGAAUUAGGGGCAUCUUUGGUUGAUGAUUGGAAUGAGAAUAAGAAAUGAAAUUGGAUUUCAUUGGAAUGAGAAAUAGAAUGCGGAAUCAUCCAAACAUGGUUGGUAUAUUAUUGGAAUGAAAAUCGGGAUGGACAAUUGGACACCUAAGAUUUGAGAGAGGCUUUUGAUUACGGGAGAGGAGAAUGUUUCUUUUUUUACUAUUUAAGCUGCAAAAGAGUGAAAUCAACGAAUAAGCAUAUUAAAUUUAUGCCGCAACAUAAGAAAAUAAAUCAUAGUUCAAGUUUAGCGGCUUAUGCAUUCGAGACCAAACAAACACACUCUAAUUCACUCUAAUUUCAUUCACAACAAGAUGCAUUACAAGAGAAAAUAAGAGUUCGAUCAAAAAAUUGUUGCAAGUUUGGCGUAAAAGAUCCAUACGAUCUCCACCACUCAGCUAUUGAUAUAGAAUAGAGUGAGUCAAUAGUUAAAUUUUGCUUUCAAUAAUUGAGUCCUGCUAUGGUGCUUUUAAAAUCACCAAACACUUGGUAUUUGUAAGUUUUCUGCCGUUAGAUCUACCCAUUUGACCAUUUUCACCCGUUAGAUUUUACUAUUUAACCACCCACCCACUCAACCCUAGGGGAUCACUAUCAUCCUAAUCGCACAUCACUUAAUCCAAGGGCCGAAAACCUACAAGCACCAAUGACUUGGUACUUUUAAGAGCAUAGAAUCUCAAUUCUCUAUAAUUGUAUCACAAUUUAGAAAUUUAGAAUUAAGAAAACUAAUAGUAUACAAGUAAUAGUAUAUGUGGUGACUUUGUAUUUCUAUGUCGGAUUGCUUAGUCAUGUCCAAAAAGGUCGCAUGCUCUACAACACGCUUAGUUGGUCUUUUAUUUUAUCUUAUUUCUCAAUUCUUGGAACCAAUCACUAUAGAGUCUUGUAUAGCCCCGACAUAACUUUGUCAUCUUGCUCGAUACUUGGAUUCGAGCAAAAAUAUGUGAGAUUCAAAUAAAAACCAGCAGCAUGCAUUGGGUGGAGUUGACAUUCCCACCUAUCAGCUAUGUUGAAAAUUUCAAUAUCUUUUUCUUCCUUCUCAUUGGAUGAUCUUGCAAUGGCUUCCUUUGCUUUAUCCAUGACCUUUUAGAUGUAUUUCAUUGAAGAUCGCUUCUCGCAAUCAGCUAAUUGUAAAACACGAACAAGUGGACCAAACACUUUAGAGUAUAUAUUAUAUUAGUCCAAAAUGUGCGGAUCAUUACUAUGCUAGUAAUUCUUGUCCGAUUGUUGCUUCGCUUAUUUACUCUUGGUCCAAUCUUCAGAUGUAAACAUCUUCCUCAAGUUAUCUUUUUGAUGGUGUGAUCGUUGAAGGUUGAGAAAAGAAGUGGCAAAUGUUGUUAUGCCGACCUAAGCAACUCCUUUUGGCCCGUGAAAUGUCUCAUCAUAUUCACCACACUUGUGUUGUUAUGAAUAUAGAGCUAUUCAAAGUCAUUGCUCUUUGUAUGGUUCUAUGCGCUACUGGCAUCUUUCCGAUAUCCUCAGGCAUUAAACCAAUGCAAUGGGCAACACAUGAAGUCCAACACAAAUUUGGUCUCUUGACUUCUAACAAUUUCCUUAAGGAAAAUUGGAAUAAAGAGAGAUUAUAGCUAUUAGUUAUAUGACUAUUAGGCAUAAUAUCUAAUAUACUCUCAAAACUUCAAAAAUAUCUAAUAUACCCUUGGUUGACCAAAAUGCCCUUAUUGAUUUCCAAAAAUCCCUUCAAAUGUCCACAAACUCUGAGGGUUACUAAUGGAAAUUGGGUUUAGAAGGGUAUUUUGGUAAUUUCAAGAUAAAUUUGAAAAUUUUGAAUAGUAAGGGGUAAAUAAGCAAAAGCCCCUAAAUAUGAAAUACGAAGCAUAAAAAAUUAGUAGUUAAAAACUGUGGGAGAUCGAAAUCUUACCAAUUGCUACAUUAGCUGAUUCGAUCAGUAAUAACUUGCACAAUAAUUGCUUCCCCAACGGGCUCUUUCAUUGUACAAUAAUUCAAACAUUCUUUCCCUAUUUUAAUGUAAUUAGGAGCAUCAAAAGAUCCAAGAAAUAUUGUGCCUAUUGGAGAGUUCACUAGAAUAUUUAUCAAGGGUCUUUCUCUUCUAUCCUUCCACGCAUCUGACAUUAAAGAGCAACCAGUUCUCGCCCAUUCCGCCUCAUAAGACUUCAAAAUAUUUCUUGUCCUCUUAACCUCCUUCAAAAAUAAAAAUUCGUAACUUACAUGCGAACGGUGGUUUUAUGGCGCAACCAUAUUGCCCAAUGGACUCAAUUGCUACUCGAAGACUAUCAUAAUUAAUGGCAUUACAAGGUAUCUCGGCAUCAUAAAUCUAUCGGGCAAAGUCUCUAGAAGCUUUCUCUAUCAACUCCUUUUUACACGCAUUAUUUAUUGUGGCUUGCUUCAGCUUCCCAUCCUUUCUUUCUUGAACCAUCUUCUCCUCAUUACAAGUGAAAUACCGAAAUGGCACAAAUGGUUAACCUUGGCUAAGUGGUGGUAUAAUACUAACCACCACACCUCCCUAGGGAUGACCCUAUUUCAGGCUUCGUAUGGGUACCCUCUGCCCACAUACGCAGUAACCAAUCUAAGCAUACAUAUGGCCUUUGGUGGAGGAAUGGAGUCGGGAAAGGGACAAGGUGAUAAAAAUCCUAAGGGAAAGGCUUAGCACAGAACAUGAUGAAACAAAAUGCUGAUAGGAGGGUGGACAAGGAGUACUAGGAGGGCGAAAUGGUUUACCUGGAGCUUCAGCCCUACCAAUAGAGCAGUGUCGCACUGCGGCGUAAUGUCAAACUUACCUCGAAGAACUACGGGCCCUUUAGAAUCUUGGCACGAAUAGGUCCGGUAGCUUACAGGCUGCAGCUUCCUGAAGGAUCAAAGAUCCAUCCCGUGUUCCACAUUUCACUAAAGCGGAGGAUCCCGUCCUCCUCCCAGAUGUCACCUACUGUACCGCUAAUAGGCAACGAGGGCUAGCUUUUAGCAUGACCAGAGAAGAUACUGGAUCGUCGGAUAGUGCGGAGGGGGAACAUGGAGACAACUCAGGCUCUCAUCAAGUGUAGCAACCUGGACGAGGCGGAGGCCACAUGGGAGGACUACUGGAGCAUCAAGGCUGUUCCCCGAUUUCGACCCUUGAGGACAAGGGUCGUCUUAAGGGGGAGGGAGCUGUAACACCCCGAUGUGAUCAAGACAGGCAGAGCGACCAGAGAGGUGAAGGAGGAAGAAGAGCGACCAGAGAUGGGGAAGAAAAGGGCAAAAUCCAACAUAAUCUAGCAUCAACCAAGGGCCAGUGGAGUAAAUAAAUAUCAGCUUAACGGGUUGGGCAAUAUAUAGGAGUGGAGUGGACACCAUGCGGGUUGGAUCCAUCUGCCAGAAGAAAACAAGUGUGGUAUGGGGGCGAUUGGUGAAGUUCCUAUAUUGCUUCGGAGGCUCUGGAAUGGUUAGAAGUGAGUUUUGGGAGUGUUCAAGUGUUUUCGGCGCAAAUUGGGCGCGAAAAUGGACUUCGAGGUGUUUAGUCUGCUGGAACUGCAGGUUUUGUGUUGAGUACCGGAAUUAGGAUGAGUUCCGGUACGCAAUACAAGUGCAGAAAAACCAGCUCUCGGGUUUUGCGGAAUUGAGCCUGGGGUACCGGUACUAGAGGCCAUGUACUGGUACUAGAGGCUGCAUGCCGGAACCCAAUAGAUGACCUAAAAAUCCAAUGUUCAGGUUCAAGAACCAAGUUGUGGGUACUGGUAUUGGGGGGCUCGUGUUCCGGUAUGCCAGUUCGAGUAUCGGUACUUAGCUCUGCGAAGUGCAAAAUCUGAACUGUUGCAAAUGUUAAAGGAUGGAGGGCUUGUUUGCAAUUAUGAGAACCUAUAAAUAGGCCCCAAUGCAUUCUCACCCUUUUGCAUGAGAAACCCUUUUCAUUUUCUCAUUUUCCCUCAACUUUUCUCUUUCUCUCUCUAGAAUCUCUCCAACAAAAGCACAUUGGAGGAGAUUUAAGGCGUUUGGAGCUUUUAGGGAGAGGAAGCUCAAGAACAAGUGGGAGCUUGAGGUGCAAAAGUGGUCAAGGUGAGUCUUUGUGAAAAUAUGAGUUAGGGUUUGAAUUAGCUCUCUUAUAAAUGGUAUUUUUGGAGUCCUUAAGAGAUGUUAAACUAGAUUAAUCCAUGAAUCCCCAAGAAAAUUGGGUGUUUGUUGAGGGUGUAAACCCUAGGGCCAAAAUUAGGGUUUUAUGGAAAAUGAGGUCUAUGGUGAAAUUGAUCUCUUACUUUCUUAAUUGAAGGGUAAAUUGACGCGUUGAGCAACUUAGAUUGGAGUUUCUACGAGCCUACAGUGUUCUAUUGGGAAAAUUUGCCAUUUUGCUUUCGUUAGUGUUGGGUCAAGCUAAAUCGGCGACGAUAAAUUGCGGGACUUGGGUUCUCGCAUCUUGGCAUCGACUCGAGGUGGGUGGUGCGAUCCGAAAUGGUUGAAUUUCUCUUUAUGUUUAAGUCACCAUAUUGAUCAUGUAUGUGCAUGUGUAGAGAUCAUGCAUAGUAGGGUUAUAUGGUAUUAUGUUGUGAAUUUCUUGCAUGUUCCUAAAGUAAAGUUAAUAACUUGAAUCGAGAAUUGAACAUUGGAUACGUGAGAACCCUAUAGAUGCAUGAACCAAAAUGUGAACCUAGACGAUAUAGUACACUGGUGACAUUUAUAACUAAAUGAGUUAUUUAGCACCUUGUAGCAUUGAAUGCUAGGGAAUGGUACAUCCCGAGUAGUAUGACCUUAGUUAGCAUGAUAUCCUCAAAGUUAGAGGAUUGGAUCAUCCUCACAUAUAGUCUCAUUAGCUUGAUGGUGGUCGUGCCACCUCAAGCAGUGAGCUUCGGAGUUGUCACAUCUAGGCGAUAGCGGAAUUCUCCCCAGCAGACGGUCUUAGCGGGUUGUAGCGGAAUUCUCCCCGACUAAAGGGAUUUGGUUUGGUGAGUUGGGCUUAACCUAUGGGUUGGCCGAGAUGAUUGGGUUAUGGCAUAGACAUGACAUGCAUCAUGAGCAUAGUAGGUUGUUUAUUUACAAUUUCAUGUUACAGGCAUAGUAAAUGCAUUAGUUAUGAAUUAUAUUUCCUUUCCUUACUACUUAUGCCCGAUUAGACCUAGUGGGAAAGUCGGCGGGGUCGGCGGCCGAAUCUACUGGGAACUUCUUUUAGUUCUCACCCUACUGUUUUGCAGAUCCUAGCACUAGCGGAGCGGUCGAGGAUCGUGGCAAGGGCAUAGUGCCCUAGGUAGAGGACCUCCAUGCUUUAGUUCUACCCUAUGUUGCUACCUUGUAAAUGAUGAGAGAACUUGUAGAGGUCAUAUUUUGAGAGAUGAAAAAUGUAUGUAAUGACAAUUGGAGAAAGUUGUAUUUUGGUUAAUGUAAUUAAAGGUUGGUUGUUUGGUUGUAAUGGCUAGUUAUUAUUCUCACUCGCUUUUGUAUUUUUGCCCUCGUGCAAAUCAUGUAUAUUGUUGUUUUGCCGGGCAAACUCUUUAUACAUGUUGUUUGUUGAGCCUUGGGCGGACAGGGAAGGCUCUGUCCGUUCGGCGGUCUGUGCGCGCGCCUGAACUGACCAAAUGGGUGGUCCCGAGGCGUGACAUCGUCAUCAGCGAGUUGCGACGGGUCUGGGAUAUUACAAAAAGCUGUAAGGAAUCAAUUGCACUAUGAUACUAUGGUAACCACGGAUUGAAGUGCCGGCCCGAGCCCUUCGCUUCCACCACAGGCAUCCACUUUUUUCCACAUUGUUUUUCCCAAAUUUGUUGCACUGUGAAGCUUUCAGCGAAUCAAGGGAAUAAUAUCGAACUUGAUAACCAAAUUUCAAGGCAUAUCUAGCAUAAAAUUCUAUUUUUUGAAUUAGAAGGUUGAAAAUAUUGAUAAAAUUAACUAAAUUAAAUCAAUUGAUACUUAAAUUUAUUUAAUUUAUUUGUCAUAUAAUUUAUUGCUAAAUUUUAUGGGUAGAUCUAACAAAUUUUUAUGAUCCACUGCAAUGAUCUAUAUAGAAUUAAGUAGUCAUCUUUCUGUAAAGAUGUAAAUUUAUAUAAUUAUUGUACUUGUGAAUUUUAUUAUUAUAUUUUAAUUUCUAUUCUCUAUANUCUGUAAAGAUGUAAAUUUAUAUAAUUAUUGUACUUGUGAAUUUUAUUAUUAUAUUUUAAUUUCUAUUCUCUAUAAGGUAUAGUUGUACUAUACAUAUAAAAAAGCUUAUCAUUAUGUUAAUUGGUGAGUGUAGUAAGUUAUAUAUAACCAAUAUUCGUAAUUAUUUGACUAAACCUUUCAAAAUAAUAUUAUAAGAGCUUAUUGGGACAAAAGAAAUUAAAAUAAGUCCAUGCCAAAGCGUACCAUUAGGAGGUCGUGCGUAUUCAUCGGCACGCAAGCGUGCCACGUGUUGGCACAGAAGCGUACUUGUUUUGUACCGUACUAGGCAAACAAUGGCAUGCCCCUGUGCCACGACACUUUAAUCCUUGACGAUAACCAUAAGCAAGGAGAAUUCAUCAUAAUACAACAAUGAUAAUAACGAAGUAUAUACUUAUGCAUUUAUGCCUCUUAAGUACUCCAACUAUUCAAUGGUAUCCAAUCUAACCAUCUGUUGGUCGCAGGGAUCCGACCUAAGCUUGCCAACAAAGCAUUGCCGAGAAUUCACUGCCACGGUUACCUCGUUGUGUACAAGGCCGCGUUGGCCAUCACCGCUUCUUGCCACGCAAGCGUGUGAUUGUCAUGUUCGCUAUAUAACGACUACCCACUUUGGAGGGACUUUGGGAACACGACCACCAAAAGUGUCUAUCUCAAUACCAUUGUGCCGCAAGCUAUAGUCAUAUACAAUGCUUAGGGUUAGUGGCAGAUCCAAUAAAUAUAUCAAUCUCGACGCCCUCUAUAGGCAAAUAUGUCAAUCACAAAAGGGUAUGCAUCAAUGCCCCUACAAGGUGAUAUCAAAUCAUGAUGCCCCUACAAGGCAAGGUCUGCUACUACACGAUACAUAUCCACAUACGAAGAUCCCAACUAGCAUGCCCCUAAUGUCAAUCAUAAGUGCCUCUACAACGCGAGUUGAAAUCUUGAGUUCUUCAAUGAUGGUUUCCUCUAUAAGGCUGAGUUCUAAUCUUGUAUGUCAAGUACCUCUACCAGGCGAUCAAGUAUAAUAUAAAAAUCAUGAACUGUAGAUAUCACUAGGUGUAAUGUCAACGCUAGUCAUGCUAGUUAACAACUGAAUUCAACAUCUAUCCUAUCCUCAUGCAAGCAUAUAUUAAGGGCAUCACGACCAUAUCAAGGGUGAAGAAAAGAGAAGGAUAGAAACAGUGGAACUAAAUGGUGGAGCAGGACCAUUCUGGACUGAGUACCUAGCUUGAACCAUAACUAGACGUCUACCACGCAUCUUUGGCUCAACCUUCACUUGGUCCUAAGGAGAAAUACAAAAACAUCAUAAACUCCUCUAGGGUUCCAGAACUCAACAUACUACUAGAUAUAUCCAACCAAGAGGCCUCAAGGCUUCAAAGCUUGAACUCUAGCUCAGACACACUAAAUACACAUUUGCCACACAUGUCUUGGGGUUUCCCAAUAUAAUCAAAACUCCACCAAUUUGGGGAUUCUCCAUCUUUUCUUAAGAAAAUUUUAGAUUUUUCCACAUGAUGCUAACACUACGUCUUCAACACAAAGGAACCCCAAAUCAACUCCGAAAUUCUCACAACAUGAAAUCAACAAGGUCGAUCCCAAGAAUUUAGGAGUUCAAGAGCAACUCACCUAGAUUCACAAGCUUUUCCCUUUCCUCCAAGAAAACCUCGCCUGUGUUGAGGUCGUCUUUUACUUCUCUCGAAGCUCCUACUCUCACCUACGCGUACUGAGGAGCAAGAAUUUGGCCUCCGUUUCCUUCAAAGCUAGAAGGAGAGGGAGCAAUGGAGUAGAGCGUGAGAGGGGGUUGGAGAGGGAAGAGAGCAAGAGAGCGAAGAGGAGAGGAGAUUACGGCUUCUUCUCUUAUGAGAUUUAUAUAAAGAGUGGUUGUAACAAUUGCAACUUAACCCAAGAGUUGCAACAUUUUGCAUGAAAGAGCCCUUUCCUAUACAUAGCUUCCCGCAGAGGAGAAUCCGCACUUGCCCCAGGAAAUUCGGAUCUCGAAGGUUCUCUAGACUAUUUUGCAGCCGAAGUUUGAAUCCCUCAAGGUCUAGACUUUGACGCCUCAAGGUCAGGACUUUCCAUCCAAAGUUCGGAUACUGAAUGUUUUCUUGCACGAAAACUGCUCAUGGUCCAGACUUCCUCUGCAAGGUUCAGAUUCUUAAGUUUUAGAAACAUAAAGGUUUGGACUUCCCAAUCAACGUUCAGAGUCGGACUCUGAAGUUUCAAUUUUCAGAAACUUCGUUUUUGAUCCUUUUUCAUCCAAACUUCGCCUUAGGCUACACAUCUAAAUUGUGUUUGCGUGGGUUUCAUCUGUACUUUAUCCUAUUUGAAAAAGUUUAGUAUAUUACACUGAAGUUCAGUAUAUAACAUAAAUUCUUGUAGUUAUUCCAAUUGAUGUUGUUGGCGCUUCUAAUCCAACCUAUAUAAGAGUUUUCAACCCAUCAUUCCAAUUAAAAACCAUCAAAUUGUAAAAUCUCAAUUUAAACCCUAAUUUUUCAUAUACUACCAAAAUCCCAAGGAUACCUAAAAAUCUCUAAAUUAGAGGCUCAAAUCAAGUGGACUUAUCUCUAAAACGAGAUUAAUCCACGUUCUAGAUGACGAGAUUGAAGAUUGGAAGCUCCAAGCUACUCUUCUUCAUAAUCCUAACUUCAUCUCCAAGUUGCGAGGGGUUGAAGCUCGUAGAAGAAAGAAAUAGGGAAGAAGAAGAUUAAUCAAAAAAAUGUGAGAAGUAAGGAAGAAGAAGAUAGAGAUGGUGGAGGAGGUAUUUUGCAAAAAUUUUCUUGUGAAGGAGAGAAUAAGGAAAAAGAGAGGUUGGGGUGUUACACCUCAAUCGGAGGCGCACUCGCAAGGAUGGAGAAAUCCUGAGCGGAAUGUCGUCGAUGACGAUCAGUGCCGCGGCCGCCUCCUGAGGUGCAACCGAUUAGGGAAUCCCCAACUGGAUGGCACCGAUGAUGAUGAGCCCUGAUCCGAGGCUCCCAGGGUGGGGCAUUCGUCGUGCCUUCUCGAUUUGACAAUGGUGAUUUCCCCACUACGGAGAUCGCCGGAGUGGCGGGGAAUUGCCAAUCAGGGGUAGCAAGAAAAGAAAGGAAGAGAAGGGAAGAGAGAGAACGAGAGUGAGGGAAGGGUGAGUGAGAGAGAGAGAGAGAUAGAAUGAGAGAAAGUGAAGAGAAAUUUUCAUUUUCAACUAACUCUGAAUUAGUUACACAGUUCCUAUUUAUAGGCCCACUGGGCCCAAGAGUAAAUGUAAAGUAAACUCAAAAGAAUGGGUUGGACUCCGGUGCCUCUUGGGGUUCUGAUCGCCUGGGCCUGGGCCACUGGAAGGCGUAGCGGCGGAAUCGGUAGAUGAACCCGCUCCAUCUCCUGGCCUCUUACCCACUCCGAGGUUCCGACCCUGGGUAACCCUAGAAUCGCCUCCUGUUCUCUCUUCCUUACUAGUUUCCUACUUGAAUUAGCGCCUUAAUUCCUCAUUAUUCCUUGCAGUUGUAACAACCCUACCCCCUUAAGCCGAGCCUUGUCCUCAAGGGUCGAAGUUUGGGAAUUGCUUCUUGAGGACCUUAUAGUCUUUCCAAGUUGCUUGCUCCACUGGGGUAUCCCGCCACCGAACCAAUACCUCUGUUGCCGCGCUUUUGUUUCUGCGGACCACGCGCUGAUCUAAGAUCUCCCCAGGCUCCAUCACUAUAUGUCCCUUCUCUGCCACUGGAGGUAAUUCCGGCGAAACGGGGGUUGAAGGAGCGAGGCCAGGCUUCAGUAACGAUACAUGGAACACGGGGUGAAUCUUUGCCCCUUCAGGUAACUUCAAUCUAUAAGCCACUGCUCCUAUCUGGGCCUCGAUCUCAAAUGGCCCGUAGUACUUGGCCGUGAGCUUGGAGUUCCUCCUGCGAGCAACCGUUACUUGUCGGUAUGGCUGCAGCUUAAGGUAGACCCAGUCCCCCACCUUCUAUUCUUUCUCCCGGCGAUGUCUGUCCGCCAGUUGUUUCAUGCGGUUUUGGGCCAUUAGUGUCACGCCCCAAUCCCCGCCUAUUUGGUCGGGUUCGGGUCAUGUCAACAGAUGCCAAACGGACAGCAUCUCCCCUGUCCGCCCAAGGCUCUAACAAUAAGUAUAAUUAAGCAAUCAACCAAAGUAAUUUGCAAUUAUACAAGGCUUGCGCGAGGGCAAGCAACAACGAAAGCGAAUGCUCUAAGCUAAACAUACAACCACACACAAUAUUUGAUUACAUUUAAACCAAAUACUUGUAACUAAAACUAUUACAUCUUUUUCCAUUCAAUCAUAAUUCUUUAUAUUUUUGUCAUUCUCCAAAAUACAUGAUAUGUUUUCAACUUUACAAUUCUAAAUCAACAAAAUAAGUUGAUACAUGUAGGCAAAAGGAAUGACUAAUGCAUAAGUCCCGGUGACCACUAGUUAUGGCGCAAUACCCUUGCCACGGUCCUCCGCCGCCCCGCUCGUGCUCGGACCUGUAGGGUUAGUAGUGUGAGAACUACAACGAAGUUUCCAGUGGGUUCGGCAACCGACCUCGUCGACUUACCCAAUAGGUCUAUUCAGGGUUAAGUAUUUUAAAGAAAUGGAAUAGGUAACCAUGCUAAUGCUAAUACUAUGCCUGUAAGAAAGAUGUUAGUGGAUAUAUAAUCAAAUAUAGAAUGCUCAUGCAUGCAUGCUUAAUCCAUAACUUUACUUUGGCUUUUACCCAAUCUUGCCGGUUAACCUUGUUAACCUCAAUAACUCACAACCCAAAAUCUCUUAAUAACGGGGGACUCGAACCACCCUAGGGACUGUCCUUUGGGGGGACUUCACCACGCCCAGUGGUGACCAACUCCGGAGCGCACCGCUCGAGGGGGAGCUACCUCCCUCAAGCCAAGACUUAUCGUGAGUAUCGAUCCAAUCCUCAACUUGAGGAUAUAUAGCCACUAGUCACAAUGCCAUUGUCAUAAUAGGUUUCUACCUAUUUGUUCAUGCUACUUUUCAAGUCAUACGUGUUACAAUGUCACUAUGGUUAAACUAUGUUUAACAACCAAUUCCUCAAUGCCAAUCAUAUCUCUAUUGUCAAUGUCACCUUUGUUUACUAUUGUUCAAGUCCAAGUCUCACAUUCAUACAACUUUAGGGUUUUACCAUACAUGUCCAUUAUGGUUCUAUCAUUCUCUAUGUUCAACUACGUUAGAAGCAUGUAAAUGAAAUCAAAUCAAGGUUCACAUGUAAUUUAACCCUACUAUGCAUGAAUGACUAUACAUCAAUAUACUCAAUAAAAGGUGAAAUAAACAUAAAGGGGAAUCCGAUGAUUCCGACGUGCACCCCCCACCUUGAAUAUUGUAGAAGGGUUGUAGUUCGACUUUCGUGAUUUUAGGACGCCUCUUCCGCGACCUAAACCCAAAAAUAAAGCCAAAUUAGGCCCUAUAUACAAGAUCUCAUAUCUACACUUUUCGUAACGUUAAACAGAGUUGUCCCACGUGUCGGGAAUACCCCUAAUUAGGUUUCCAAGAGGUCAAUUUACCUCGGAAACAACCGGAGGCAAAAGUCCCAAAAUCCAUGCCCUAACAAUGCCAUAAUGGGAUUUCUCCUAGAUUGAUCUUAUCUCUAAGCAAAUGAUAGCUUAGAAUCAUCUAGGAAGCUCUCUAAUACUAUUACCAAGCCUCUAGAACCAUUCCUAGGGCAUCUGCUUUGGAUUCUAACAAUCCACCAUGAGAGGGUUCCAAGAAAACCAUGUUUUCAUGGUGUUCAAGGUUCUAGCAUACCUCUAAAGCCUCUAAAGAGACCAAAACUCCAAAACUUAGGGUUAGAAUCCUAACCCUAGAGCUAUUCUUGCACAAAACUCACCUUGGCCACGAGCUCACCCAAGUCCACCUUGUUGGAGAGCCCCAAGAUCCUCCAAAGCCACCAAAAUCCCACUCCAAAGCUUCUUCUCCACCUUCUCCUUGCUCUAGGGUAUGCUUUCUAGAGAGAGAAAGAGAGGAAUGAGAGAGAGAGGAGAGUGUGCUGUGGGAGAGAAGGAGAGAGAGUGUUUUGGUUAUAAUAUGUUGCCACAAUAGCAACAAGACCCCCUAAAUUCUUAUAAUUGCAGCAGACCUCAAAGGUGCUGCCAGACCAAAGUGUACCGGUAUACGUGAUGCUGUCACCGGUAACACGAUUACGCAGAGGCCAACCCGAGAGCAAUUCUCCCAGGUUUUUCCAACGUGUACCGGUACACACCAGGGGUGUCAUCGGUAACACAGGCAAAAUUUCUCAAACCCGAGAGCUUCUCCUUCUCGGCUUGCAAUGCUGUACCGGUGACAACUCGAUGGUUGUACCGGUACACUUUGCUUCAAAAUGCAAUUUUGUGCCGUUUUCGAUUCUGUUUUGCGCUGUUCGAUGCUAAAACCUUUUUAACAUCUCUUAACUCAUUCUUAACCCUUCCAACAUAGUUGGUAUGCUAAUUGAAACUUGUCCAACUAAUUCUUUCGCGCACUUUAGUCGAUUUGGCUAAAGUUCGAUAAUUUCCUUCGAGGUUUCAACAUCUUACAUUCUCCACCCCUUAAAAUUAGUUUCGUCCGCGAAACUAACUUAAUUGCAAUCUAAACUCAUACCUCACUCCAGCUCCUCGAAGAGAUGAGGAUGACGCUCUUUCAUUACGUCCUCAAGUUCCCACGUUUCUUUCCGAUCGUCGUGUUCACUCCAAUGAACUUUAACAUACGGAAUUUCACGGUUUCGUAGUUUUCGCACCUCCCGAUCAACGAUGUACGUCGGGAACUCCUCGUAAGUCAUAUCCUCUUGAAGCUCUGGCACAUACGAGAGAAUAUGCUCCGGAUCAUGGACAUACUUGUGGAGAUUGGAUACAUGAAAUACGUCGUGCACCCUCGCAAGCCUUGGUGGUAAUGCCACUUUGUAAGCCACCGCACCAACCCUUUCCAAGAUCUCAAAGGGUCCGAAAUAUCGGGGACUUAGCUUCCCUCGGACAUCGAACCGCUUAACUCCUCGCAUUGGCGAUACUUUUAAAAAUACGCGGUCUCCAACCGCGAACUCUAUGUCUUUCCUUCGCUUGUCGGCAUAGCUCGUGUCCAGAUUGCGCCGUCGCAAGUUUUUGGCGGGCAAGGCGAACUUUCUCCUCCGCCUUCCGCACAACCUCGGGGCCAAGAACAACUUUCUCGCCCACAUCGCUCCAAUGAAUCGGCGAGCGACAUUUCUUUCCAUAAAUGGCCUCGAAUGACUCCAUCGCAAUACUUUCUUGAUAGCUAUUGUUGUAUGCGAAUUCCGCCAUCGGCAAAUGAUCUUGCCAUCCGCCCUUAUAAUCAAGUACACACGCCCGAAGCAUAUCCUCAAGUAUUUGAAUAGUCCUCUCCGAUUGACCGUCACUUUGAGGAUGGAAUGCCGUACUAAAGUCAAGCCGUGUGCCCAAUGCAUCUUGCAAGCUCUUCCAAAAAUGCGAUGUGAACCUCGGGUCCCGAUCCGAUACAAUAGAUACCGGAACCCCGUGAAGUCUCACAAUCUCGUCGAUAUAAACUUGAGCUACUUUGUCUCUCGACCAUAUAGUGUGGAUCUGCAAAAAGUGUGCCGAUUUUGUCAACCGGUCCACAACUACCCAAAUCGCAUUAUGUCCACCUUGGGAUCUAGGCAAACCCAUUACAAAGUCCAUUGCGAUAUUUUUCCAUUUCCAAACGGGUAUAGGUAGACUUUGCAACUUUCCCGUUGGAAAUCGACGUUCCGCCUUGACUCGUUGGCACGUGAGACAUUGUGCCACGAACUCUCCUAUGUCCUUUUUCAUGCCCGGCCACCAAUAAUGUAGCUUCAAGUCUUGAUACAUUUUAGUGCCGCCCGGGUGAAUGCUAUAGGGAGAUUGUUGCGCUUCUUGCAUAAUCGCCCUCUUAAGAUCGUCAUCCUUGGGCACGCACCAACGAUUCCGAUAUCGUAGUGCGCCAUCGGUCCCAAUGCCAAAAUCAUCGGCACUACCGCUCUCAACUUUACCCCGCACCUUUUGGAGAAAUGAAUCGGAAACUUGCAUAUCUUUAAUUCUCUCCAACAAGGUCGGUUGUACAAUCAAUGUGGCAAGUGUUGCCGGCACUCCCGGCGCCACAACCUCAAGACCAAACCGUUGCAUCUCCUUUUGCAAUGCCGGUUGGGGUGUAAUUGUCGUCGCCAAAUUCUCCGCCGACUUUCUACUUAGGGCAUCGGCCACGACAUUUGCUUUUCCGGGGUGGUAGAGAAUCGUGGCGUCAUAAUUUUUUAGCAACUCCAACCACCGCCGCUGUCGCAAAUUUAAUUCCUUUUAGGUGAACAAGUAUUUGAGACUCUUAUGAUCGGUGUAAAUCUCACAAUGCUCACCAUACAGGUAAUGCCUCCACAAUUUCAGUGCGAAGAUGACCGUCGCUAGCUCAAGAUCGUGAGUCGGGUAGUUCUUCUCAUAGCUCUUCAAUUGGCGCGAAGCAUAUGCUAUAACUCGGCUAUUUUGCAUCAAAACACACCCGAGACUGAUAUAAGAGGCAUCACUGUAUACUACAUAGCUCUCCCCCAGCGUCGGGAGAGCAAGCACCGGGGUCGAUGUCAACCUUGUCUUCAACUCCUCAAAGCUCCGCUCACAUUCGGGGCUCCAAACAUACUUCACCCUUUUGUGCGUAAGGCGCGUCAGUGAAGUAGUUAUCUUGGCAAAUCCCUCCACGAACCGCCAAUAAUAGCCCGCAAGUCCAAGAAAGCUACGAAUCUCCGCUACACUUGUCGGACGAGGCCAAUCUUUAAUUGUCUCAACUUUCUUUGGGUCAACCGAGAUGCCAUCACCGGAUAUAACGUGACCCAAGAAAGUAACUUCCGAAAGCCAAAACUCACAUUUCUUUAGUUUUGCAUAAAGCUUUUCUUUUCGGAGUUUCUCCAACACGAUCCUCAAAUGCUCCUCGUGUUCUUCCUCGGUCCGAGAAUAUACCAAUUCGUCGUCAGUGAACACCACGACGCACCGGUCCAAUAGCGGACGGAAGACUCGAUUCAUUAAGUCCAUAAAAGCUGCUGGGGCUUGUAAGCUCGAAUGGCAUGACUGUGAACUCAUAGUGGCCAUACCACGUACGGUAUGUCGUUUUGUGCACAUUCUUGGGCCGUAUUUUCAACUGAUGAUACCCCGAUUGAAGAUCGAUUUUAGAAUAUACCCUUGACCUUUGCAACUGAUCGAAUAGAUCAUCAAUCCUCGGCAACGGGUAUUUGUUCUUAAUCGUUACUUUGUUCAACUCGCGAUAAUCAACGCAAAGUCGAAGCGUGCCAUCCUUUUUCUUCACAAAUAGCACCGGAGCUCCCCACGGAGACACGCUCGGCCGCAUGAAGCCUUUAUCGAGCAAGUCUUGCAACUGGGCCUUUAGCUCCCUUAGCUCAACCGGUGCCAUUCUAUACGGAGCCUUCGAAAUUGGCGCCGCCCCGGGAAUUAAGUCAAUGACGAACUUGACUUCCCGGUCUGGUGACAAUCCCGGUAACUCUUCCGGAAACACAUCCGGAUACUCGCAUAUUACCCGAAUACCCUCAAGUUCCGGGUGCUCUCUUUGGGCUUCAACCAUUGUCGCCAAGUAGGCUACACAUCCACCCUUAAUCAUCUUCCUCGCUCUCGCCGCCGAUACGGUCGUCGCGAAGCGCCUACUUUUACACGCCCGGUAUACUAAUUCUUCUUGGUUAGGCUCACGAAAUGUGAUCACCUUACUUUCGCAAUCGAUGACCGCGUAAUACUUGGAGAGCCAGUUGAUCCCCAAGAUUACAUCGAAGCCCCACAUUUGCUUUAAUACCAAAGGGUCGAUCGGCAUGAUCCAAUCGCCUAUAUGUACCAGACAAUUCAAACACUCGUCAUGUACAUGGAACGAAUGCCCAGGUGUAUUCACCGUCCAAUAGUCCUCAUUAUGUGUGACCUCUAUGUCAUGAGCUAGUGCAAAUGAUGCCGAUAUGUAUGAAUGCGAUGCAUCUGUGUCAAAUAACGCUCUAGCUCGAGUGCCUUUGAUCAAGAUAAUACCUGCCACAACGUCGUCGGGAACUGGAAUCGGCUGCUCCUCCACCUGAGUGGCAAAAACCCGCUCACUAGGUGCUCGAGAAGCCUCCGGCUGACGAGGCGCUGAUGAACGUCCAGCUGAUAUAACGGGCGGUAGUCCGCCCAAUUGUCGGGGUGCAUACUGGACUGAAGCUGACGACGGAGCUGGGGAUGUGCCGCCCGGGCACUCUCGGCUCAUGUGCCCCUGUUGGCCGCAUCGGAAACAUCGCCUCUCCUGCUGUGGGCAAGUAGCGACUCUAUAAUCUCCGCUGCAUAUCACGCACGGGUAGGUAGUCGUCUGGCUCCUGCCUCCCCGCCACUGUGAUCGCUGAGGUCGCGGGGGUCGCUUAGAGCUCGACUGCCCCGCAGACCCGCUAGCUGCCCUUUUCUUGGACUUAUCCCUUUCCUUGUCCUUCUUGAAUGCUUCGCGCUCCUCUUGCGCAAUAGCAUUACCGUGCUCCACCCAAAGCGCGCGGUCAAGUACCUUCUCAUAGGUCUUUAAUCGGAAGGCGUGAAUGACCUUGAAAAUCUCGGGUCGCAACUUGCGCUUGAACGCCUCCGCCCGGUCCCUAUUGCCGUGAACCAAGCUCGGCACGCAAUUGACAAGGUGCAUGAACUCCCUUUCGUACUCCCGCACCGUUCGGCCCCCUUGCCUUAACUUUCGGAAAUCCUCCUUGAUUUUCCUUUUGUCGCUCUCGGGGAAAUACUCCAUCAAUAGCAUCUCCUGACACGCCUCCCAAGUGAUGGAAGAGGAAUCCAACGAGCGAUUUUUCUUCGCUUGUGUCCACUAUAACCUCGCCGACCCCUCGAAGCAAUGGGCCGCAAGGUGAAUCUUAUCCUUCUCGAGGGUGUAGAUAUCCUCGAACAAGGCCUCCAUCGCGGCCAGCCACGACUCCGCCGACCACGGAUCCUUCACAUUGCUGUUGAAGGGUGGUGGGUUGAAUCGCUUGAAUGCCGUCAGCGCCGCCAACGAUCGCUCCUGCUCAGCCUCAAGUACAUCGGGAAUAGGAGCCGAUGAACCUGAUGCCGUCGGAGGAAUAGCCGUCACCGGUGCCGCCGCCACCGCCGGAGGUGGUGCUACAGGAGCAACAAGUGCGGGCGGAUCCCUCGGCACAGAUGCUGUUGCCGCCGCCUGUCGCGCCACCAACUCAUGGAGCUAUCCAAUUUGCUCCCCCUGUUGCCGCAUAGCCCCGGCCAAUGCCGCUACUUGGGCUUGCAGCUCGCGCACUUCAUCCGAUCCGGUCUGCUCGGGCACUUUAUCAGGCAGUGCCGGAACAGCUCUACGCGUGUAGCGUCUCGGGGACGUUUGUUCCUGAAACGUAACACACGCAUUAGUUGUAAGGAAGUGAAUUCUCGAAAUCCGAGGAUUGUACUUCAUCCAGGAUCGACUGACUGUCGAGAGAAUACCCCUUUGUGGGAGUUAAGAAUGUCCAAAACGCAAAAAGUGCCUUGGAGUUGAGUCCACGAGAGCAAAUGAUGCAAAUUGCAUCAUGGGGCUGAUGUUGCUCUCGGGGACCGGUCUCUGGAGGUGAGAGACCGGUUCCCUUGGCCGGGUGUUGCGGGGUUGCUUGAUGCAACCGGUCCCUGGCAGGGAGGGACCGGUUCUCGAACGUUGUCCCAGCGAGAAAUGCCAAGAAAUUGGCUAAGUCCUGAGAAUCAAGCUCUCGGGGACCGGUCUCUCGGGUGAGGACCGGUCUCCCGAGGACCGGUCUCCCGGGGAGAGAUCGGUUCCCGAACGCGUGGACCCGAGGGAAGCUCUCGGGGACGGGUCCCAAGUGGGGGAGACCGGUCCCUCCGCACGAAAAUUGCCCAGUAAAGGCUGUGCAGGGGAUGAAAAGUUGAGGGGUCUAAAUGCAAAAUGGCCUUUAUUAGAGUGGGCUGAGCCCUCUCUCUUCCUCACACUCUCUCAUUCCACUCCUUCACUCUCAUUUCUCUCUUGCUCCCUCUCUCUCUCUAGAAAGGAAAGAAGGAGAAGAACAAGAAGAAGAGGAAGGAAAAGAAGAGGAAGAUAAGGAAGAAGAAGAAGAAGGAGAUCAAGAGGAAGGCUUUGAGCACCUCCAUUUCCCUCCCAUCUUCCUAUUGGUGUAGCUCUUGAGGUAAGCUACUAAACCCUAGCUUUGUAAACUUAGGGUUUUUGGGUUUUAUGCCUUGGAAUGGGUCAAAUGGACCCUAAGCAAGCUUCUAAAUAGAUCAAUCCCAAGGAAAUCUAGGGUUUUAUUAGUGGGUUGCUAUAUGUGCAAUCUAGGGCUCCAAAUGGGGGCAUUUUGUAAAGUAUGAGAUUGAUCUCAUUUGAGGCCUUGUAAAUCCAAUCGAUAGGUGCCCAAACGUGGGGGCGAAGUCGAUUUCGCGAUUCGUCGAGCGGGCUUGGAGCAAUCGGCGAAUUACGGUCGUUUCGGCGUUACCUUGGACCAAGGAGGGCUAAAGCCUUUUCGCAAAGCUCGCCGGGGAGCGUUUCUAGAGCCUCUACGUUGAUAAAAGGUGGGGGGGUGUCAUCCGAAACUUUUGAACUCCUUUCUAUGUCUUAGAUUGCAUUUAAUCUCAUCUCUUCAUGUUGCAUUGUAGGAUUGCAUAGUAGCUCCAUUCCUUAUGCUUUUUAAUUGAUAACCUAGUGUAUUUGGAACGCUUGGUAAUUUAGAUAGGUGAGGAUUGGAUCGAGACGUGAAUCCUAUGGUGCGAAAGAAAGGAGAUGAACCCGAUGGGGGUAUUGAUGACAUAGGAAGUAGUGGAUAGUGUUAAAGAACACGAGUGGCAUCCGAAUGAUAAAUGAUGACGAGUGGCAUUAAUGUAGUGUAAAUAACACUAGAGGUCGAUGGACCUAGGGAUAGGUGGAUCCCUUAGAAAAAUGCCUUGUGAACAAUGAAUUUAGAAAACUAAAUAGCAUUGCAUGAAUGUCGGGAGCCGAUGAUUCCGCGAUAGUCGUUGACCCUAGUGUAGGGCGUCCUCACUUGGAGAGGAUUCGAUUGGGUUAUUGACUCUAGUUGUAGAGCCUCCUCACUUGGAGAGGAUUGGAUUGGGUGUUGACCCUAGUUACAGUGUAUCCUCACAUGGAGAGGAUAGAUCUAGCUCAUAGUUUGCGUUAGGGUGGCAUAGCCAUCCGAUCCCCACAUGGAGGGGAUUGUCGUCGAGUACUCCGGAGUGUCGCGCGACUAGGACAACUUGGAGGUCCGGACCACAUAGAGGUCCGCAGACGGUCCCGGGCCUGGGUGCACUUGGAGCUCCCUCCCCACUUUGGGAUUGAAAGAUGAGUUAUGGGUGAGCCCUAGGCCCUCGCCACAGAUUAGGUAAAUGAAAGGUUAAAGGUUAAUAAAUGUCAUUGAACAUAGCCAUUCGAACAUGGAUCGAAUUUUUUAGCAUGAUAGCAAACCUUUAUUAUAUGAUGCAUGCAUUCAUACUUAUGAUUAUGGGCAUAGUAGCAUAGUUUUUCUUACAUUUACAGUUUUCAGAUACAUAUCUAUCUAUCUAUUUGUUGUUACUUGUGCCCACUUGGACCUAGUGGGGAGAUCGGCAGAGUCGGUGGCCGAGCCCACUGGGAACUAUGGAAGAUAGUUCUCACCCCACUCUAUUUCCAGUGGUAGGUUCAGGAUUGUCGAGGGAGGACCGCGGCAAGAUUAGUGAGGCCGUGGUAGUAUAGUAGCUUUCUUUUUGCAUUAGCACGCCUAUGUAUUGAGAGAGAUUCAUGUAGGUGAGGUUGGAGAGCUAUGUAUUUUGAGGAUCAAAUGUAUUCCUUUUGGAAAAUGAUGUAAAUGUAAAGAAUGCAACUAUUGUAAUAGUUAGUAAAGUACUCUCUUUAUUUCACUCGUAUAUCUUGUGGAUUACUUGCUCUUCUUGUUGUUGGCACUGUUCAUGCCCUCGUUGAAUGUGUAUGUUUAGAAUUUAAAGUCCUGGGUAAAUUCUUGUACACAUUCCUGUUGUUGAGCCUUGGGUGGACAGGGGAGGUGCUGUCCGUUCGGCGGUCCGUCGCCGCGGCCGAAUCGUGCCAAAAUGGUAGUGGUUUCGGGGCGGGGCGUGACAUUAGUACUCGACACACGUGACUCUUACACGUUCCAAAUAAUUACCCAAUUAAGUGAAAGCAAUAAAAAAUAAUUAUUUUCAACUCUCGGUGUUAUGUGGUCGGCCGCCCCACACAAUCCCCUUAAGUAGAAAACAAAUUAACACUUGAAUUCAUCUUUAAUUCCUUUUAGAGAAGUGCUAUCAUUAACCCAAUCAACUAGCUUUCGCAAGUACCAAGUUCACAUUAAACGUUUCCUAAGUCUCUAAGGUCUCCAAUCCUAGGGUUCUUAAGUCCAUCCUCUUGCUUUCUUCCAUCCGCUCUGAUACCAUUAUAUCUGUCAUGCCCCAAUCCCCGCCUAUUUGGUCGGGUUCGGGUCACGUCAACAGACGCCGAACGGACAACAUCUCCUCUGUCUGCCCAAGGCUCUAACAACAAGUAUAAUUAAGCAAUCAACCAAAGUAAUUUGCAAUUAUACAAGGCUUGCACGAGGGCAAGCAACAACGGAAGCGAAAGCUCUAAGCUAAACAUACAACCACACAUAAUAUUUGAUUACAUUUAAACCAAAUACUUGUAACUAAAACUAUUACAUCCUUUUCCAUUCAACCAUAAUUCUUUACAUUUUUGUCAUUCUCCAAAAUACAUGAUAUGUUUUCAACUUUACAAUUCUAAAUCAACAAAAUAAGUUGAUACAUGUAGGCAAAAAGAAUGACUAAUGCAUAAGUCCCGGUGGCCACUAGCUAUGGCGCAAUACCCUUGCCACGGUCCUCCGCCGCCUCGCUCGCGCUCGGACCUGUAGGGUUAGUGGUGUGAGAACUACAACGAAGUUCCCAGUGGGUUCGGCAACCGACCUCGCCGACUUACCCACUAGGUCUGUUCAGGCAUAAGUAUUUCAAAGAAAUGGAAUAGGUAACCAUGCUAAUGCUAAUACUAUGCCUGCAAGAAAGAUGUCAGUGGAUAUAUAAUCAAAUAUAGAAUGCUCAUGCAUGCAUGCUUAAUCUAUAACUUUAUCUUGGCUUUUACCCAAUCUUGUUGGUUAACCUUGUUAACCCCAAUAACUCACAACCCAAAAUCCCUUAAUAACGGGAGACUCGAACCACCCUAGGGACCAUCCUCUGGGGGGACUUCAUGCCUAGUGGUGACCAACUCCGGAGCGCACCGCUCGAGGGGGAGCUACCUCCCUCAAGCCAAGAUUUAUCGUGAGUAUUGAUCCAAUCCUCAACUUGAGGAUACAUAGCCACUAGUCACAAUGCCAUUAUCAUAAUAUGUUUCUACCUAUUUGUUCAUGCUACUUUCUAAGUCAUACGUGUCACAAUGUCACUAUGGUUAAACUAUGUUUAACAACCAAUUCCUCAAUGCCAGUCAUGUCUCUAUUGUCAAUGUCACAUUUGUUUACUAUUGUUCAAGUCCAAGUCUCACAUUCAUACAACUUUAGGGUUUUACCAUACAUGUCCAUUAUGGUUCUAUCAUUCUCUAUGUUCAACUACGUUAAAAGCAUGUAAAUGAAAUCAAAUCAAGGUUCACAUGUAAUUUAACCCUACUAUGCAUGAAUGACUAUACGUCAAUAUGCUCAAUAAAAGGUGAAAUAGACAUAAAGGGGAAUCCGAUGAUUCCGGCGUGCACCCCCCACCUUGAAUAUUGUAGAAGGGUUGUAGUUCGACUCUCGUGAUUUUAGGACGCCUCUUCCGCGACCUAAACCCAAAAAUAAAGCCAAAUUAGGCCCUAUAUAUACAAGAUCUCAUAUCUAGACUUUUCAUAACGUUAAACAGAGUUGUCCCACACGUCGGGAAUACCCCUAAUUAGGUUUUCAAGAGGUCAAUUUAUCUCGAAAACAACCGGAGGCAAAAGCCCCAAAAUCCAUGCCCUAACAAUGCCAUAAUGGAAUUUCUCCUAGAUUGAUCUCAUCUCUAAGCAAAUAAUAGUUUAGAAUCACCUAGGAAGCUCUCUAAUACUAUUACCAAGCCUCUAGAACCAUUCCUAGGGCAUCUACUUUGGAUUCUAACAAUCCACCAUAAGAGGGUCCAAGAAAACCAUGUUUUCAUAGUGUUCAAGGUUCUAGCAUACCUCUAAAGCCUCUAAAGAGAUCAAAACUCCAAAACUUAGGGUUAGAAUCCUAACCCUAGAGCUAUUCUUGCACAAAACUUACCUUGGCCACGAGCUCACCCAAGUCCACCUUGUUGGAGAGCCCCAAGAUCCUCCAAAGCCACCAAAAUCCCACUCCAAAGCUUCUUCUCCACCUUCUCCUUGCUCUAGGGUGUGCUUUCUAGAGAGAGAAAGAGAGGAAUGAGAGAGAGAGGAGAAUGUGCUGUGGGAGAGAAGGAGAGAAUGUUUUGGUUAUAAUAUGUUGCAAUAAUAGCAACAAGACCCCCCAAAUUCUUAUAAUUGCAGCAGACCUCAAAGGUGCUGCCAGACCAAAGUGUACCGGUACACGUGAUGCUGUCACCGGUAACACGAUUACGCAGAGGCCAACUCGAGAGCAAUUCUCGCAGGUUUUUCCAAAGUGUACCGGUACACACCAGGGGUGUCACCGGUAACACAGGCAAAAUUUCUCAAACCCGAGAGCUUCUCCUUCUCGGCUUGCAAUGCUGUACCGGUGACAACUCGAUGGUUGUACCGGUACACUUUGCUCCAGAAUAUAAUUUUGCGCCGUUUUCGAUUCUGUUUUGCGCUGUUCGAUGCUAAAACCUUUCUAACACCUCUUAACUCAUUCUUAACCCUUCCAACAUAGUUGGAAUGCUAAUUGGAACUUGUCCAACUAAUUCUUUCGCGCACUUUAGUCGAUUUGGCUAAAGUUCGAUAAUUUUCUUCGAGAUUUCAACAUGUUACAAUUAGUAAGCUGUCCUGUAGGACACCCAUUAACCGUUCGCGCUCCUUUCCCCAAUCUUGUACCUUUGGGGAUGUAGCUCUAGUCGCUACAGCCACUAAGUGCGUCGGAGGGGGAUGUCUGUAUAGGGCCUCAUAAGGAGUCAUGCGGAGGGAUGAGUGAUAUGCCGUGUUGUACCACCACUCGUCGUGGGUUAGCCAUUGAUUCCAUUUCUUAGGGCAUUGUGAGCACAUACAACGUAGGUAGGUUUCCACACAUUGAUUGAGCCUUUUCGUUUGCCCGUCGGUUUGGGGGUGAUAAGCUGUGCUUAGGUGCAAUUUAGCUCCCAAUAACUUGAGUAAUUCUUGCCAAAAUUGACUAGUAAACACUCGAUCCCUAUCCGAGAUGAUCCGCUUUGGACACCCGUGCAAUCUAUAUACCGUAUCCAGGAAGGCCGUGGCCACUUUUUUAGCCGUAUAUGGAUGCUUUAAGGGUAUAAAGUGUGCGUAUUUGGUGAAAUGGUCGACCACUACCAGAAUCGCGUCCCUUCCCUCCGAUUUAGGGAGAGCGUCAAUAAAGUCUAAACUGAUAUCUUCCCAUACUUGUGUGGGAAUCGGUAAGGGGUGUAGUAGCCCGUUAUAUGGGCGAGUGUCUGAUUUGUUCUGUGCACACACUCCACACUCUUUUACGAAUGCCUCGGCGCUUCCCUUUAACCCUGGCCAAUGAAAAUAUUGUUUGAGCCUUUGGUAUGUGGUGGCUAUUCUCGAGUGCCCUCCUAGUACCGAGUCAUGGAAUUGAGCGAGUAUUUGUUGCCUUAGGGGCCCGGUCUUGCCUAUGCACAUUCUUCCCUUAUAUCUCAGGACCCCUUGUAGAAACUUAUAAUGUUCACGGGAGUCUAGUUUGAGAGCUAAGUCUGUAAGUAUCUGUUCGUAUAGCGUGUUGCCCUUAUAGCUCUCAGCAACCUCUGAAACCCAGGAGGGUAUGACCAUAGAAAUCGCCGACAACUUUCCUUCCUCCAUAUCUCUCCGUGAUAGGGUGUCGGCCACUACGUUUUCCUUUCCUUUCCUGUACAGUAGCGCGUAGUCCAGGCCCAUUAGUCUCAGUAUUCCCUUUUGUUGCAUGGGAGUUGAUAUUUUCUGUUCAAUAGGUAUUUGAGGCUCUUGUGAUCCGUUUUAAUAAUGAAUUUAUUGUGCCCAAGGUAGUGUUUCCACUUCUGCACAGCCAUAAGGAUGGCUAGGAACUCUUUUCUCAUAUGCGGAUAAACCCAGAUUUUUCCCUUUUAUUGCCUUUCUCAGGUAGGCUAUUGGUUUGCACUCUUGCGACAAAACCGCGCCAAUUCCGGUACCACUCGCGUCCACCUCCAAGGUGAAGGGCUUGUGGAAGUCAGGCAUGGCCAGCACCGGAGCUUUAGUCAUGGCCAACUUCGGAUCCCCAAAAGCAGUUUGUGCGUCCUCGGUCCAGUGGAACUGGUCCUUCCUGAGUAGUUCCGUUAGUGGGCGACUGAUGUUGCCAUAACCUUUGAUGAACUUCCGAUAGUAGCCUAUGAGGCCCAAAAAUCCCCUUAAACUCUUUACUGACUUGGGUGUCGGCCAUUGCACCAUUGCCUCUACCUUAGUAGGAUCCGUAGCUACACCUUGAUCUGAAACUAUGUGCCCCAAGUAUUCCACUUGGCUUACCCCGAAGUAGCACUUAUUCAUUUUUGUGAAGAGCUUGUUUUCCCUUAACUUCCCCAGCACCAGGUUGAGAUGCUGUGCAUGCUCCAAACAUUUGCUAUAUACCAGGAUGUCGUCAAAGAAUACUAAAACAAAUUUUUGUAGGUAGGACCUGAUCACCUCAUUCAUGACUGCUUGAAACGUGGCUGGUGCGUUGGUUAAGCCGAAAAGUAUUACCUUGAACUCGUAGUGGCCGUGGUGAGUGCGAAAAGCCGUUUUGUGAAUGUCCUCUAUGCGAACUCUGAUCUGGUGGUAUCUUGCCCUUAAGUCCAGCUUCGAAAAAUAUUUGGAACCCCCGAGUUCGUCUAAGAGGUCAUCUAUGAUGGGAAUGGGGAAUUUGUCCUUGACGGUAAGUUGGUUCAACUGCCGAUAAUCUACACACAUUCGCCAGCUCCCAUUUUUUUUUUUUUACUAGCAACACGGGUGAUGCAUACGGACUGUUGCUCGCUUAGAUGAUCGAGUUCCCCAACAUUUCCUUCACUUGUCUCUCGAUCUCUCCUUUUUGUUCAUGUGAGUGCCGAUAGGGCCGAAUAUUGACGGGUUUGGCCCCUGGUACUAAUGGUAUCUUAUGAUCUUGUGACCUUUGUUGGGGAAGUUCCUGGGGUUCCUGGAGCACGUCUGGGUACUGUUCGAUAACCCGAAGUAUUGGUUGGGGCACAGCUGCCGCUCCGGCUACCGUUGUCGGUUCACAUUGGCUGAUGAGACAACAAGCCCCUCGGAUUAUGUCCUGAUAGCAUUGUGCUGCUGUGAUCAUUUUGAGCUUGGCCCCUUCGUCAAUCCCCUUCAGACUGAGUUCUGUUCCGUCCUUGCACAAGGUCACCGAGUUCUGCUGGAAAUCAAACAUAAUCCUUCCAUAGGAUCGUAACCAGUCGAUGCCCAAGACCAUACUGGAGCUUUCUAAUCUGAUGACCCUUAGGUCCUUCUUAAACGGUUGACCUUGCAUAGUCCAUGCAAACUCAGGACACUUGAGCUUGCUCAACACCUUUUGGCCAUUGGCUACAGUUACAAUGAGGGAAGGUGCGGUCUCGACAUUGGCUUUCACUUCCUUAGCCACCUGGAGUUCGAUGAAGCUAUGGGUACUUCCUGUAUCAAUCAAUAUGGUCAUUACUUUUCCCUUGGCUUCUUAUUGGAUUUUGAUAGUAUCCUCUAGCUUUUCCCCACUGAGGGCAUGCACUGAGACCCCCAGUUCUUGGGGCUCCUUCUCACCUUGUGAGUGGCAUUCCUCAUCCUGUGCAUCUGCUGCUCCUGCACAGACUUGGUGCCACGAGUCUUCGUCAAAGACCUCCAACACCUCUUCACAGGCCUGCAGCGCGUUUAAUGUUUUCUCUGGGCAAAUGUGGCCCGGAUGAUACUAAUUCCCACAUUUAAAGCAUUGUCCGACCAACCUUCUUUGCUCCAUCAGUUGUUUGGCCUCCUGUUGCUGGGUUGGGCUCCAUUUUGUUGAGCCCGAGUACUGGCCUCAGCCCGCCUCUGCAGUUUUAUUGGCCGGGUUGCCCGAGUUCGCUCUGGGGUUGAGAUUGGAGGGGCCUUGUCCCGGUGCUCCCCUGGCCACAAACUUACUCCUCCGGGUGAGUACUGCGAUGGCCUUCUCAUGUAAUCUCGCCUGUUCAUAAGCCUCUUCAAGCGUGGAGGGAUAGGCUAAGUCCAUGAAAGCCAUUAGCUCUUCCUUGAAGCCGCUCAGGUAACUGGCAAUAAAAUAUUCCUCCGUGAGGUAGGGGUUAUAGUAGAGGAGUUGGGACCUUAAAUCCUCAAACCUCUCCUGAUACCUUUCAACCGUUCCCCAUUGUUUCAGUCCAUUGAAUUCCCUAAUCAGAUAUCGUUCGCCUGUGACCGCGAACCUCUGGCUGAGUGCUUCAGUGAACUCCUCCCACGUGAUCCCUUGCCUAUUAAUAAAGAACCCCUGCUUCCAAGUCUUGGCUUUGCCCGCUAGAUGCAUGGUGGCCACACUUAACCAUUGGCUUUGAGGAAUUUGGUAAAGAUCAAAGUAUUGCUCGCAGUUUUCUAGCCAUACUCUCGGUUCAUCCCCCGUGAAACUUGGGAAAUCCAGCUUGGGGUAAGGGAUGUACUGGUUACCGUCUGAUUCCUGAACCCCUUAUUGUGCGGGAAGGCCUCUUCUUCUCCCUCGUCUCUUUGGUGCGGAUUUGGCAAGAUUCCCCUUUCUUGGGUAUCCCUGCUGUGCGGAUAAGAGACCCGCUACUAGGGUUGCCUAGUCCGACCCGUCGCCCUGCCGGGGACUUGCUGCGCUCCGGUGGUUGGCACGGUCGCUGGGCAGUGAUUAGUUUCAUCAACUCCUCAUGCAUACUCGCACUGUCCUUCAACAUCUAUUCAUGCCACGUAGUGGCUUCGAUCUGCAGCGACUUGUAGUGCUUCUGCCCCACAUCUCUUACCUCGGCCAGAUUGGAAUCGCUCCUCCAGAUUCAUAAUGUGCUCACUAUCGGAGCUUAAUUGUUGGAAUCGCUCCUCCAGAUUCAUAAUGUGCUCACUAAGAUCCCUCAGUCUCGUGCCUUCGGCCAUUGGGGCUCGAUCUACGGAGUAGGCAAAACGGUUCGACGCCUUCUUGCCAAUCUUGACGAUCCUCGGCUUGCUUACGGCCUUAGCCAGAUCGAAUCUUGGCCACUUACAAGAGCCCUCGAAGAGGCUCACAAGAUCUCACACAUUCACAUGCAACUAGAAGGGCGGGGGAAAACGGAGACAUACCUCUGGACGGCCUUGGGAUUGCAGCCGCUCUGAUACCACUUUGUUACACCCCAAUCGGAGGCGCACUCGCAAGGAUGGAGAAAUCCUGAGCGGAAUAGCGUCGAUGACGAUCAGUGUCGCGGCUGCCUCCUGAGGUGCAACCGGUUAGGGAAUCCCCAACUGGAUGGCACCGAUGAUGAUGAGCCCGGAUCCGAGGCUCCCAGGGUGGGGCAUCCGUCGUGCCUUCUCGAUUUGACAAUGGUGAUUUUCCCACUACGGAGAUCGCCGGAGUGGCGGGGAAUUGCCAAUCAGGGGUAGCAAGAAAAGAAGGGAAGAAAAGGGAAGAGAGAGAACGAGAGUGAGGGAAGGGUGAGUGAGAGAGAGAGAGAGAUAGAAUGAGAGAAAGUGAAGAGACAUUUCCAUUUUUAACUAACUCUGAAUUAGUUACACAGUUCCUAUUUAUAGGCCCAUUGGGCCCAAGAGUAAAUGUAAAGUAAACUCAAAAGAAUGGGUUGGACUCCGGUGCCUCUUGGGGUUCUGAUCGCCUGGGCUAGGGCCACUGGAGGGCGUAGCGGCGGUAUCGGUAGAUGAACCCGCUCCAUCUCCUGGCCUCUUACCCACUCCGAGGUUCCGACCCUAGUAACCCUAGAAUCGCCUCCUGUUCUCUCUUCCUUACUAGUUUCCUACUUGAAUUAGCGCCCUAAUUCCUCAUUAUUCCUUCGUAACAUGGGCCUAUUUAUAGAUGUAACAAUAUCCAAGUUGGUUCCCCCAAGCCUGAGAAAUUGCAAACAGAGCAACUUUAGUAGCUACACUAGGUUUUGGGUGCUUGCCCGAUCUUUCGGCAGCUGAAGGUCCUAGGUAAACCUCUUCUGGCCUCUUUGCUUGAGCAUCCGUAAGUUGAUUCAGGCGCCUGCCAAAGCAUGUGGAAGCACUUUUAGACAGCCAUAUAGGGCAAUCUAGGCACCCUAAUAAUUAGCCAUCCCAGCAUCCUUCCUAUUGGGUUGAGCGUCCACUAGGAAGUGGCCAUGGUCUAGGCGAUUCGAAUGUUUCGGGCGCCCAAAACCUUGUUCCAGGUGUUAGAGAGUUCUGGAAAAUCUGAUUUUACUUCUUCUAAAACUCUAAUUCGAUCCAAAUCAUCUCCAAAUCAAUUCUAACUCGGCCUAAACUUCCCCAAAUCAAUUCUCUUCAUGUCUAUAGUAUGACUUUUAUCCACUUUGCCAAUUUGGUCAAAGUUUGGUGCAUUUUAUAGAAUUUGAAUACACAACAGUAAGAAUAAUGUCUCACGGUUGGGAAUCACUCACACAACUGAAACAAGUAGUCACAAACGAGUGGGAAAACAUCCAUAUGACUGUUCUUUUCGGUCACACUUAGUGAACUUGUUCGCCAGCAGACACCUAUAUAUCACCAGACACCUAUAUAAUUACUCCAUUGUCCCCAUGCUGAUAACUUGAGAUUUGCUAUUCUAUAGAAAAAACAUAGCAUACAUUAGUCUAUCUGGACAUGACCGUCCUCAUAAUGUUCCUAUGACUAGAAGCUAUUUAAAAAUCAUGUACAAAGGAAUAUAUAUCUCAAAUUUCUAACACAUGUAGGAAGAUGUUUCCUCAUAUUGAUUCUAUGGAUGAUUCAUACAUACACAACACAGUAUUAUGAAUAGAAAACUUGCUCAUUUUAUUAUUAUUAAUGAAAAGCACAUCAUAUGUCCCCAACAUAAUGUCCCUCGAUUAGCUUCUACGGCAUAUAAGGGGGCGUUUGGAUUGACGUAUUUGUAGAUUCAACGUAAGUCAAGUGUAGUGGUGUUUGAGUUUCCUUGAAGUGUGAUUAUUUUUUUGUUGUUUGUUUUGACGUAACUCGUACUGCCUGAAAGUUAAAUUCAAUCACUUCUGUUGUUUGUUUUGAUGUAACUUGGUGCUGGUAAAAUUAGUUUUUUGAGUUCCGUUGUUUGUUUUGAUGUAAGUAAGUGGAUCUCAUUAUCUCCUAAAUAUAGUAGUAAAUUUACCACUAUAAAAUUUAAUCUAUUAUAUAAUUAAUUUUUUUAUUAUUAUUUAAAGAUAAUCCUAAUUUAUUAUAAAUAAGGUAAUUCUAACCCAUUAUAAAGGAAGUAGAGUUUAGGUUUACUGUUUAAUAAAUUUUUUAGAGAAGGUUGAGUGUAGUGAAAGUCGAGUUCGGCUCUUUAGAGGAGGACGUCGAGAGUAGGUGAAGUGGAGCUCUAACGUAACUUGAGUUACAUUAUAUUUUUCACUUACAUCAAAACAAAUAACGGAAGUGAUGGAACUUGAGUUCCAUCACUCCACUUACACCAAAACAAACGGGCCCUAAGUAACAGAUGCCAUCUCCACCUUUAUCUUGAAUGUGAUCAAGCUUGUCUAUGAAGAUAUUCAGGUGAAUCCAGACUCAAAAACAUGGUCUACACAGCUCACAACUUGUCAUGAAUUUGCCAGUACUUUAUAGACCCAACACUACCACAGGAAAUUCACUAGAUCUAAAAUAAUAAAAGAAAUUUUAAAAAUUUUAUUUAUUUAUUUUUUCACUAAAAGGUGGUCCCAUUAUUCGAUGGAACUCGUUAAUUGCUCUGUGUUUAGUAGAUUUAUGUGAUCUACAUAUUUCAAGCAUGGAAAAACCAUUCUAAUUUUUUUUUUGCCUUAAAAAAAAAAAAACUUGAAGGGCGUAAAAAACUGCAACAAGAAAAAUUUGUCAACAUGGUGUUGGCACAACCCUAUGCCAUGUUUCGGCACGACCUUAGCAUGGUAUGGCCCAGUCGGCAUGGACAAUCCUUGAUUCAACAUGAUCUAUGAACAACGAGUGGAUAGAAGAGAAGGGAAGACCAGGUAUUAAAAAAUUGUGUUGACUGACCAUCUAGGCAUAUAAUCCUUUGACUUGCAUGGUUCCCCAAAUGCAUGAAAGAUAUAAAAAAUAAUCGCAGCUAUUGUUUUAAUCAGUACAUUCAUAUGGUGAACCCUAAAGACCAACCACGAAUUGCAACUUAAAAUUAUGGUACACCUUACUAUUGCAUGCAUCACUUGAUUUGUCCACUUCAAUACCACAAGACCUAUCUGUUUAUUAAAAACAAAAUCAAGGAUUAUCGCAUGAACUACAAAGAAAUGUAUCAAAUGAUUGAAUUAAUGAGUUUUGGUUUUUGAAUAUCCUGCUGACUAAUUAAUAUCUUCCAAUGUGCUACUUUUCUUAGCUAAAUAAGGCAGCAUCUCAAGGAAGUGUAUCUGAGAGACUCUUUCGGCCUAUCUAUUUACCUGGAUUUGGCCUUCCCACUUUUUUUUUUUUUCUUUUCUUUUUCCCCUCUCUAACUAAUGCGUUCUCAAAAGGUCAAGUCCGAGGAGGUCUAAAGUCUUUCAUUCGUUAAUUGAUUUAAAGGAGUCCAUAAACUUUUAGAUACAAUGAACCAAUGGUUUUAAAAUUUUCUAACGCUAAAUCCUAGUAAACUAUCAGCAAAAUCUCUAAUUACUUUGCUUCGUUGAUCAAUUGAGAUUGAUUCUUCUUUGUUUCUUGGAAUUGAUUUGCUGAGCACUUCUUUUGCCAUGGACAUUGUGAAGUUCUACUCACUAUGAAGUGAAUAUUAAGAAGAGAAUGUAAAGGUAAUGAUGAGAAACAACAAUUGUAUUAAUUCGAAAUAAAAAAUUGAAAUACUAUGUGACAGCUUGUUGAAAAAUAACUAUGAACCCCUAAGAAUUUCCUGUUAGUCUACUGUUGGAAACUGAUCUAUUAGAUAAUUCACGAAAGCUUAGAAAGAGAGAUGGUCGUCAUAUUGAACAACAAAACAAUGAAGCAUUCUAUGAUUGAUUUAUCAGUGAUUUAGUCUCAUUUGGAAUCUGAUAUGAAGUGGAAGUUGUAUUGUGCUGCAUAAGUGGCAGUCAUCAGUGGGCAUGGUUUUUCAGAAACUAGAAGUAGGUGCCUGUAUUUCUGCUUUGAAGUGAAAGGGCACACAUCGAUAUAAAUUAUUUGAGGGUCAUGCCAAUGUGCAUGAGUAAAUAGCAAAUAUGCUCCUUGUGUUAUGCCCUCUUUCUUGCUUGGUCAUCAGAACCAAAUAGGCCCUACUAUGGACCUGGUAAGAAUAAAUUAAGAGAAUCUGAAAAUUUAUUUGACGAUGAUUGAAGAAUCUCAAUGACCUUUUAGUUGUUUUGGCAACGGUUGAGCUCAAAAUCAAAGGAACCUUUCUCUUUAACAAUAGCUUGGAGGGGAAAAAUUCUAGAAUGCAACGGGUAUAUUGGUGAUGUGGCGUAACAAACCAAUCAAAUUUCUCCUUUUAGGGGUACUAGUGAAGGCCCGCGCUUCGCGGCGGAAAAUUUACGCAAUUUUUAAAAUAUUUUGAACAAAUUUUUUUAAUUUUUUAAUUUUUAAAUCUAAUUUAAAAGUUUAAACUUUUAAAAAAUUCAAUAUAAAAUUAUAUAUAAUAAAUAAAUAUAUAUUUAUAAAUAAAAUUGUAUAUAUAUAAGUUAAAAUUAAAAUUUAAAAUUUAAAAUUUUUAUAAAAUUUAAAAUUUAAAAUUUAAAAUUGUAAAAUUCUCUCUCUCCUCUCCUCUCUCUUUCUCUUCUCCCCUGACUUCCUCUCUCUUCCCGUCCGAGCCGCUUUGUCUUCUCCGUUCCGCGCGCCCUCUCUCUCUCUUUCUCCUCUUUCCCGUGUAAUGCUCCCUCCUUCCCCUUCUCUCCCUCUCUCCACCUCCCUCGGUGCCGCCUGCGCGCCCGAGAGCCCGCCGCCCGCCGAGCGCCCGCCGCGCCACCCCGCUGUAGCUGGCCGGCUUCUCCUCCGUUGCCCUCGCCCGCGUCCUCGCUCUCCCGCGCCCGCCCCGCUGCGCCCGCCCCGCCGCCGCCCCACUGCUGCCUGCCUGGCGCCUGCGCUCCGCCUCCUGCUGCCCGCCCGCUGGGGGAGAGGGGAAAAGAGAGGAAGAGAGAGAGAGAGGGGAGAAGCGGGGGGGAAAAAGAAGGGGAGAGAAGAGGGGAGACGAGAGAGGGAAGAGCCUGGCGGGGAUGGGAGGAGGAUAAGAGGAGAGGGACGGGAGCGCGCGCGGGGGCGCGGGCCGGACCCACCGGGCGGCCGCACCACGCCGGCGCCGGUCGUGCGCACGUCGGGGCCGAGAGAGAGGAAGAAACCGGGAGAGGGGAGAGGGGGGGGACGGGCAUGCGUGGGGAGGGCCCGCACCCGGCGCGCUGAGGGGGUCUCUCUCCUCUCUGUCUGCUCCUCUUUCUCUCUCUCUGUCUGCGCCUCUCCUCCUUCUGCCUCUCUCUCCUCUCUCUCUCUCUCCGCCCUCCGCCUCAAAAACCCAAACGAUCUCGACCCCUCUCUCUCUCUCUCCCUCUCUCCUCUGCUCCUCUCUCUCUUCUGUCCGCCCCACCGUCCACCCUAUCCUCUCUGCCCUACUCUCCUCCUCACUCCUCUCUCCUCUCUUUCUUCCUCUCCUCUCUUAUCGGUGGACCCGACCGACCCCCACCCCCCACAAAAACCGGGGAGGCCGCCGUCUUGCUCUCUCUCUCUCGUCUCCCUGUCUCUCUCUCGUCUGCCGCGGGAGGGGCGCAAACCCCGGGUCGCCUGCACGCAGGCCCCCCCUCUCUCUCUUUCUCUCCUUUUCUCUCUUCCUCGCGAGUGCGGAGAAGCGGCCACGUCGGCCACAGUAAAACUCUCGAUUCAAUUUAUAUAUAGAUAUGUCCCAUCAUAAUUGUAAAAAAAUAUUUUUAUUGUACUUUUGUUUGAAAAGAAGAAAUGUGAUUGGCUUGUUAUUGAUGACGUGGUGUAAGUGUUACAGUGUAGAAUUCCUCCUUGGAGGGAGCAUAAAUGUAGAAGUUUUCUAUGUUACUUUUUAAGCAUGAGUUAGGAAUGGGUUAAUAUUUUAUUUAAGACCUUAAUCAAGGUUCUUAAUGUUCCUUUCGAUGCUAAUUUACACCUUUCUUUCGCUUUCUUCCGCUAUCUGACCUUUGCACACAUAUUUUUGCAAAUCAAACAAGAUUACCUAAUGUUUUACUAGGUCUUAUCAACCCUAACCAAUUCAAUAUGGUCUAUUGUCAUUAUGGUCCACUUUAUCAUUCAGUUGAUGCAUUGUUGUUCAGAGUGGCUUUGCUAACUAACACAUUUAAGGUUUUUGUUUGGGUCCCACACUUUGAUUGGGAAAGGAUGUUCUUGAACUUGGACUGAGUUGCAACUAUAGUUUUGGCAUUAAGUACUAAAUGGUAGUGACACCGACAAUACAGAUGUUUGAAUACAUGAUAUGACUCUGAUACAUACCAAUGUUCAGAUACUGAAGUUCAAGUUCAUGCUUUGGGUACCGUGUGACUGGCGAUAUAAGCAUUAUCAUCUUUGUUAAUGGACUGUGUUUCCCAUUUGCCCAGGAACUUGAACAAUUCAUUUCUGCUUGCGUGGGGACUUAGAUCAUCACUGGAAAGAGCAAAUAUAAGUUAUAUUCUUUCCUGUAAGAAAAUUGCUUGUAGAGAUGAUUUUACUUAUUCCAUUGUUUCCAUUUUAAGAAAUAAAGGUGAAAUUCAGUUGGAGAGAGAACAAGAGGAAAAGAAACAUGUUGUAUGCUGCCUUCAAUAUUGUUCUGGAGCAGGGUGCCAGCUGCAGUGAAGCUUCUUUACAAUUCAAGAAAGAUUGAGAUUUGAGCCAUAGGGAUCAAAAAGGUUCUGUCUGAACUUUUAUCUAAGGGCAGUUGACUAUACAAUCUUUGAAGGUAGAAGCUGUACCUAAGAUGCUAUUGGGUGCUUAUAUGAUGAGCCAUCGGAGAAUAUGGUUUUGAGAAAUGAGAUGAUAUUGUUAUUAAUUUAGCUGCUUGUAAUCCAAUUUUUUUUCUGGCCCUAAAAUAUUGCCGAGGUUCUAAUCAAGUUGUAAGUAGGUCGAUUAUUGAGUCAAUUUAGGCUUUUUAGGAUCAAAUAUUGGAUAUGCUUUUGGGCAUGAAUGUUGUGUGCAAUUGGGCAAUUUAAAUUCGAAAACUUGAGGGAUGCUAUUAGUAUUAGGAAGUAGGAAGGCUAUUUGCCUGUAAUGGAUACAAACUAGUCAUUUACAUUAUUUUAGAAGAGGGAAAAUGUACAAAGACCUCUUGAACUUCAACUUUUUGUAAACAGACGCCUGAACUUUCAAUUUUGGCAACUAGACCCCUUAUACUUUAUCAAGUAGUUCAAAAGACCUCUCUCUUCAAUUAAAGUUAUUAGUUAUAGAAUCUUUUUGGUUGUAUGUAUUGCAUAUAGUUUUAUAAAGUUUCAAAAUCUAAAAAAAAAUAAUUUUUGUAUUCUAAGAUGUAAAAAUGGAUAAAAAUUGAAGUUUUGUUUGAGCCUUUCUUCGACCGACAUGCUUAAUUAUCAAAAUUGGAAGAGAAAAAACUAAAUUUCUAUAUACUUUGAAGUCUUAGAGGAUAAUGUGCACGACAUUCAUUCAAAAUGACUAUAUCAUCAGUAAGCUUACGUGAGAAAAGGGGCCUAGUGAAUUAUUUGAUAAAGUUUAGGAGAUGUAAUUGCCAACAGUAGAAGUUCAUGCGCCUAUUUGCAGAAAUGCUAAACUUUUGGGGGUCCCUGUACAUUUUACUCUUUAGAAAUAGCUGUCAGUAUGUGCCUAUCUUAUUAUUUGUCUUCAUUUCCUUACCUUUGUAGUUUUUACAGCCUGUCAUAAUCAAAAUGUUGAGUCAUAAUCUCAAUUCAAGUAAAGAAAUUGUGUGAGUCGAUAGGAGACUGAUAGUCAUAAAAGAGAAGGCGAAAAGGUCAUAUGGUUGUUUUUGUUUCAUUAUCUUCCUCUGCAAUUUCCUAGCCUUCUCUUCUUGUUUCCCUUUCACCUUCCCUCUUUGCUUGCGGAUUUCCUUUCAGCCCUCAUGAGCACCCGUGUUGCAGUAGAAUUAUAGCGUCUCUAUAGCAUAUUUAUGUCACGCCCUAAGAUCGCCAAUUGGGCCUGCUCGGGCACGUGCAAUAGACCCAUUGAAUGGUCAAGGCUUGUCCUACCCGCUCGAAGCGGAGUCACAUACCAACCUGUACUAAUAAUAUGCACGAUAUGGAUACAAUAGAGCAUCAGAGUGAAUACUAAUAACUAAAACAGCUACAACUUUAGAUAUAAAGUUUGCAAUAAUUAAACAUCAUUCCAAAAUAUUACACUUGUUUACAAAAGAGGGUACAACUAGACCUCUCUCUAGGUCCACUACUCGGUGACACCCUUGCUGCAGUCACGCGCCUCGCUGGCGACUGUAGGCUUUGAAGAAGGUUAAACAACAAAUGGAUGAAAACUUCAGUUAUGUUCUAGUGGGUGCAAUUGCCGAAAGUGGCGCUCUAUACUCAUUCGGUGUAAAGGAGGCAUUAGUUGAUAGUAACGAUAACCAACAUAUAUUUCUACAAUAUAAGUGUAAUAGUUGAACUAUAACCAUAAUGCCUCCAAUAUACAAGAUGCCACAAUGCCAUUAGUUACAAGUUUACCAAAUUUAUUGCAUGUCUCUAACAUCUCAUGCCUCUCAAUCAUACAUAGCCUAUAACAAACUUGGUGGUUUAGUUUUUUUUUCUUGUUAUACUUCAUGGAGAGUCGAUUGCUCGCACUUAUCUUCAAUUGGUCGGUAAAUAGGGUCGGUUGCUCUCGGACUCUCCCAAGUACCUCGUAGGGAGUCGAUAGCUUGCACAUCUCUUUUUUUCCUUUGACACUUUCGGAAGGUUGCAUAUAUUUUACAUUACACCCUAAGUUUAUGAUUUCUAGGUUUAUCAACCAUGCUUAACUUACACAUACAUGUUCUCUAGUUCAUAUUUAGCCUGGAGUUCACAAGUCACUAUAUUUCACUUUAGGUUUUGACCUAAAUUUAAAAGCCACUUGUUUUAACCUAUAUCUAAGGUUCCCAAUACUCUUACAGGCACAUGUCCAUUGUUCCAUUUAGAAAGCAAAAGGCUAAAACCCUAUUUCUCUAGCACGCAACUAAAAUCUUAUUUAGUUUAAUUAUUUCACAUAACACAUGCAAAUAAUUCCAAGAAACUAAGGACAAAGGGGAGAUCAAAUUCUUGUCGGUGAUGUUUUCCACCUUUGCCUUAAUCCUCGUUGGUGAUGAGUAUUGAUUUUCAAAGAAUUUCAUGAAAACUCUGUAAAUGAGUUCUAACCAAGUUAGAACCAUGAAAUCUCUCAUUUGAGGCAAAGCCUCCAAAAUAAAAUCUAAAAACACAUUAACUAACUUCUUUUCCUAGCAAGAGAAAUGCUGGUGGAGAGGGUUUCCUUCCUCCCAGAGCUUCCCCUUAGCACCCUCGAUCUCUUCCAAGCCUCCAAGGAGAUGGAUUUAAGAGGUCCCUUUAAUGGGAAAUUAGGGUUUCCUCUUCUUCUAGAGAGAGAAAGAGGAGAGGGAGAGUGUGAGAGAGGGGGAAAUGGUGAAUUAGGGAUUUGGCCGUGAUUUGGGAUUAUAUAGAGGUGCUACAAUUGCACAUAAACCCCUCAAUCAACCAUAUUUACAAUCCCUCAAAAUCUGCUAUUCGCAGCCAUGAGAACCGGUACUCGGGUUCUACUACCGAUACGUGGCUCAAGUGUAUUGGUACUCCAGGUUACUUUUGCAUAACCUGGACGCUGUUUUCGCAAUUUUUAUCGUGUAUUGUUAGUACCCGCCCGAAUUAUUAUUGGUACUUGCCCGAAUCUGUACCGGUACUUGGGCAAGUUCCGCAAAACUUGAAGGCUUUCCCCAGCCUCUAUGUAGUUGAAUAUCGAUACCCAGGUCUAGUACAGGUACUCCCAUGUAAAUUUACAGUUUUGUAGAUUUAGCUCAUUGAUGUAUGUUUUCACGUUGUUUUCGCCGUUUUAGCUCCGAGAACACUUAAUUGCUUCCUAAACACUAUUGAGGUGAUCUGAAUAGUUUUAUUUAUUAUUUCUUACUAGAACUCCGCCAUUUGCGAAAGUUUAGUGCAUUACAUUUAUUGUUGUCACAGUAGGCCCUCUCUGCCUUCUACAAUUUUGUCAAGGGUUCUCUUGCUUCUGUUGCUGUGAUCUACUCUUGCUGCCUCACCAUGUUCACCUUGGCAACCCCUCUUCUUCUAUUGGAAUUUCCUGAGGGCCAUUUCUUUUUAAUUUGCUGUCAGUUCUCCUUGCUUUUGUGGUUGUUCCUAGUACUACUAGAUGUUUUCCUGUUGUAUUUGUGCAGCCUGUUCCUCUGAAAUCCUACUGCAGUUGGGUCCUUUAGGUUUUAUGAUUGUUGUAAAAGGCUUGAAGGGUGCAUUGUUGUAUCAACAAAGUGUGUAGCCACCUUUCUUCAAGUAUAGAAAGAAGAGGAGGGAAAAAAGGGACUAUAAUUACUAACAUGGCAAGAUCAAUUUGUGAUCUUACCCGGAAAGGUGGGCAUUCUCGACUUUUAGAUUGAUCCAGUUUAGGAAGUUGACCAGGGAUGCCAUGGCAAUUUGUCAAGUGUAUGUAAGAAAGUAUGUCAUUAUGCCGUGCCAGCCAAUUAGACGAUUUUACGGGCUCGAAGUUGAAUUUGAUCACUUUCCAUACUUCACAAGACACUGUAUUUCAUACGGGCCUGUGCUGGUUGUGCCAAAUGUCGUCGCUAAUUUUGUGGCACCUAUGGUGUUCAUAAUCAAGGGGCAUGGGGGCAUGCCACACCAAGCAGAAGCAUGAAGCGGGCAAUAAUAAGGAAUUUUCUCGUGCUGGUUUGCACAUGGUCACAAAUUGGAGAUUCAUCAUGAUUGUUUAUCAAUUUAGUGUUUGGCGUCCACAUUUUUGCCCUUUGUUGGAUUGUGUGAAACGAUAAAGUGGUAUGUUUGUUUAUGCUAUAUCGGUUUGUUUUGUUAUCACUUAUCAGAAAUGUCUUCUUUUGGAGGAUAUUUUCUGAAAUAUCUUACUGUUGCUGAACAUGCAUCGUCAAUGUCUAGUAUAUGUUGUGUGCGGUGUUACAGUAUUUUUUCUACAUUAUGAUACUCACGUGGAAAUUCAUGCAAUUGCAGAAUCAUGGGAGCACGCCAGGAACGCAGCAUAAUUCGAUGCUUAUUAUUUGGUACUAGAUGGGGUUCCGUUAUCAUCUAUUUGUGGAAAGGUUGUGCAACUGCUUUACAUUUAUAACAGUUCUCCCUCAUCUUAGAAAAUAACUAGCUCAAACCUUUGCAGACUUUUUGGGUAUUUGUCCUUUGUUUCAUCAUUGUUCUGUCGACAGUCCUGGAGAAACAGAAAUUGCUGGCAUUGUAUUGAGAUUAUCGGUAGUCAACCUGUUCUUCACAUAAUUUGGUGAGCCUUGAGCAAUUGCUUGCACACUACAUUUCCGUUAAAGACCGAUAUUAACACUUCUCUUCGUUCUUCUAGUCUGUAUUUUUCAGGUACCUGGCUCAUCAGGUGAGAAAAAUUCUGGAUUCCCUUUUCAGUUCAUCCCUUUCCAUCUUCUUUUUCUACCUAACUGGUGCAAAAGCACUCCAAAAUCUGAACCUAUAUGAUAGUGCUCCACAGAUUGUAUGUUGAUCUUAGAUAGUCAAGGAGCCCAGAAUUUGUAUGUUUCAAGUUGCUGUGAUGGGACCUAGAGUCCUCGAACAAUGAGCUAUGAAAACCGAAACAUUUUUUUUUUUCUUUUUCCCUCCAUACCGGUCCUAUUCUGAUACAUUUCUACGAGAUCUGCCGUACGCUGAAUUGUAAACAUCUAGGAUCUGCAGUCCAGCACAUGUAUCUUUUAAGAUAAUUGUAGAAGUUGCAGUCUACUGAGAGAUUUAUAGGCAGAUGUCCUACAAUCUUUUGUUUGGUAUAAGCUACUCUUGGGCACCGGCUGGACCCUUUAAAAUUAUACAGAUUCAUGUAUAAAGUGCUGCGCAAUACAAUUAUGCUAUACGUCCUUAAUGCCGAAGAAUUAGCUGAUGUUGUCAUUACCGUAUUACAUUUAUGGCGUGUUUGGUUUGCUUCUUUUUCACCCUGAAAUUGGAAUCGGAAUAGGCGAAUCCGUUUGUAGGUGUUUGGUACGCGGGAGUUUUAUUCUGAUUCCGAUUCCCGAGUGGAAUGGAAAUUUCCCAAUCACCUUCGGCCUAGGAGGUCGGAUUGAAAGUUGAAUCCGGACGGAAUGGAUAUUUAUUCGGAUUAUAUUUAUUUUUUCAACUUUUUUCAAUUAAAAUAUGAGUUUAAAUUUAGAAGUUAAAUAUAUAAUUUUAAAUUUUAAUUUGAACUUGAAUUAAAAAAUUAAAAUUUAAUCAAGUAUUUCGAAUCUAACUUAUGAAAUUUGAAUUUAAAUUAAAUUUUAAUUUAUAUAAAGUUUUAUUCAAAUUUUAUUUAAAACUUCAAUUAAAUUUAUGGAUUCAAAUUAAAAUUUAAAUUAUAAUUUUAAGUUUGAAUUUGAAUAAAUCAAAAUUUAGUUUCAUAUUUUGAAUUACCCACUCAACUUUAAAGUUCAAUUUUUUUUUAAAAAAAAUAGAUUUAAAAUUUUGACAUUAUUUCAAAAUUUUGAUCUAAAUUUUUAAUAUUUAAUUUUUAAUUUAAAUUUAAAUUAAUAUAUUACAAAGAUAAAGUUAGUGUAUUAAUUUGAUUACGUUUUUUAUAACCACCUUAACCAAACACCGACAAUAGGAAUGAUUUAUUCCGAUUUCGAUUCAGAUAAUGAACCAUACAGAAUUAGGUAAUGAAUCAUUCCGUUUUCGAUUCCAGCUUAUUUUGAUUUCGAUUCUUAUUCCGAUUCCAACUUCAAACCAAACACGCAGGGUGUUUGGGUAAAUGUCUCAACAGCUUUGGUGGUUUCGGCGGUUGUCAUUCACAGUUUCUGGUAUCGGUAGAGUUACCGCGCGUGUGAAAAAUGAAAACGGAGUACAAUGAACUGAAUUAGUUGCAAACUUUCAAACAUGGCCCUCAAAAGUUAUAAAAUGUUAUGAAUAUUAUAGCAAAAUUGUUGAUAUCAUUAAAUCAGUGAAUUAUAUCAAAAAUAUCCUCCAUCACAUCAAUAUAAAUAUAUGAAUUCCCGGUUUGAUGACUUGAUCCUAUGUGGUAGUUUCAUCACAUCUAUAUAAAUAUAUGAAUAUCCGGUUUGAUCCUAUGCGGUAGUUUUACCUUCAUUUGGGCAAAUAUAGUUGGGAUGGAGCCCACCUUUUUUUGACCUAUUUCUUUGCAUUUUUUUACAAAUAAAUUAUAAUAUUUAAUACUUAAAAUUUUAAAAAAAUGACUAAAUUUUAUGAAUAAUUUAUAUUCAAUACUAUCAUCUAAAUCAUAUAAAAAGACUAUAUGUAAAAAUUACAUAAUUUAAAUUUUUAUAAUGAGAUUUUAGAAAUAUAGUAUGUAAAAUUUAUGUUUCUAGUCGAUACACGGAAUAUUUCUUCUCCACCACUCUAUUAUUUUUUUUCUCAGUGAUAAAAAUUAAUACGAGUGCUCGGUCUAUUGGUACAUUGCAUCGCAUGUACUAAAAGUUAUUUUUAAAUAUUAAUAUUAUAAAAUUUAAAUCUAAUUUAAUAGAUGCAAUCUACACUAUAUAAAAUCUCUAUUUACAAAUUUUAUAGAGAUUAAAUUAUUAGUAGGGUAUUAAAAAUUUAAAUCUUGCGUUGGGAUGUUGUAUUGUACUGUUGUGGUGAUCUCGUUGUGAUGUUGUAUUGUAUUGUUGAUCUGAUAUUUUGCGCUAACAAAAAUGGCUAAGUCCCUGGCAGUUGUAUUGAACACAGUGAAUGGUUCACCGUGUCUAGACACGGUGAAUGAUUUCACCGUGUUUAGACACGCUAAACACGGUGAUGAGACAUGGUGAUCCAUUCACCGUGUUAGGGAAACGGUGAUCCAUUCACCGUCUUUCAUGUACGACGCGGCUUCGACGCAAGGCCAAGUGAUGUGUAUAUAAUACAUUGGACACGGUGAACCAUUCACCGUGUCUAAACACGGUGAACUAUUCACCGUGUUUGAACACGGUGAAUAGUUCACCGUGUCCUAUGUAUUAUGGACACGAGCUCCCUCUGGUUUGGACCUGGUGCAUAAUACACUGGACACGGUGAACAGUUCACCGUGUCUAGACACGGUGAACAGUUCACCGUGUUCAAACAUGUUAGCAUGCUGCAUGAUGUACUAGUUGUCAAUUCUCUACUUUAUAAAGUUCAACUUCAGUUAUAUGACGCAAACAUGUUAGCUAUCUUAACCAUACUUCACAUAAUGAGCCAAUGACACAAUUACACUAAAUCCACAAUUCACUUAGCAUCAAACUCACAAGUACACUUUGCAAUGCACUUUUGUGCUUUCGGCUGUUCGAUCACACUUUUAAUUUGUCAAAACCUUACUACAACUCUUUAAAAGAUGUGGGUUAGCUCGAAUUACCAAUCCCACUCUCGAACUUCGUAAUUUGCCAAGUUCAAAGUACUACACCAAUAUAUUAUGAAAAUGCCGUAAGACAGAUCCUGAGUUGGUAAUAUAAAUAUUGAAUCUUUUAAACAUUGAAUUAUCUAAUUUUUAUGUGCUUUCCUUUCAAUACUUCGUCAUCUUUUCGUAGUAAUUAUAUGUAUUUUUCACAAUAGUUCAAUUUUGAUAACACGAGAUCAACAUAGUUCAAUUUUGAUAAUUAAUUAUAUGUAUUUUUCACAAUAAAUUACAUGGAGGCCUUAUGACGAUAUAGUGUUAGAGACGCUCCUACCUUUUCGUCUGGCGGGGCCCCAGGUUUAGCGAUCGAGGACUAACUUAGUCUGCUUCCACAUUAUUGAGCUCCAUCAUCCCGAUCGUGUGCUUCGACAGUUUGGGCUAUCACAGCAUAUACCUGAAGCAGUGCUUGCUAUACCUCGCAUCAAUUCACGAGGCAGAGCAGAUGAGGAUUGGGCGGCAUACCAUGCUUCAUACAUUCAGCAUUGGAAUGAUAGAUUGGUAGAUAUAGCAGAGGUGGCCCUUGAGACAGAUCCAGAUCCUAUACGAGCUACCACUGUUUAUAUGCAGUGGUAUUGGACGAUCACCAGGAGGUGGAUAUCUACACCUGUACAGCAGCCACCUCUCGCGUAUCAGCCACGUGGGCACGUCGAGAGAGUAGUGGUAUGAUUGUAAUAUAUAAUAUCUUUUUAUAUUUAUUUUUAUAUAUACAAGAAAGUUUCGUAUAAUCUUUUUGAUGGUGCUUUUAUUUCAGGUCGAUAUUGUGCAAAGAUCACAUUAUACGAUCAGACAUGUCCUAUCAGAUAUUCCAGGAGGUGGAGUGUUAGAUGCCCUAUCACAUAUUGCCGAUCAGAUGGAAGCAGUUUUGGAGACUUUACCUACGUUUUCACACACUGUAUCUCCACGACCAACAGACUAUGGUAGAGCAUCGACAUCCGGCCAUGCACUGGUAUAUAGUCCACUGAGGCCAUCAUCACCGAUAGAGGAGCCACCUUAUGCUGAUGUUAUGGACCCGGCACCAGCACCAGUACCACAGGAUCCACCUCGAGCAGUUGAUAUUGUUUAUUAUAGGCGCCGACGACAUAUGCAGUCUAACCAUACAGAUCAACCCAUCUCUUCAGCUCCUUCACGGCCAGACAUACUACCGACACCUGCUACUGCUGUGAUUGAGCCGGUUAUUGAGGGUGCUGCUAUCGAGCAUCUGGACCAGUUGGAGAUUUUAGAGUCUUUUGAUGAGCAUGGUGUUGAUCGUGGUCGUGGACGUAGUAGGCGACGUGGUCUAGGGAGUAGGAGGAGAACAUGAUAUUAUAUUUCUAUAUUAUUGUAAAACUUGCUUUAAUUUUGGAUAUUCUGUUGUGAUUAUCUGGUAUUGAUACUUUAUUGAGAUUCUGUUGGUAGUGAUGUGUAUAUUAUACUGUUGUGUUGUGAUGCUGUGAUGUUGUAUUGUAUUGUUGCGUUUAGGUAUCUGUAUUGUAUUGUUGUGUUGUGAUAUUGUGAUGUGCAUUGAUUUGAUUUUUUGUGCAAAAAAUAUGGCGAUGUUGUGAUGUGUAUUGAUUUGGUUUUUUGCGCCAGAAAAAUGGCCAAGUCAGGUUAGUUGUAUUGGACACGGUGAACCAUUCGCCGUGUCCAAUACAAAUACCCGGGACUUAGCCAUUUUUGGCUAAGUCCUAGGUACUUGUAUUGGACACGGUGAACUGUUCACCGUGUUUAGACACGGUGAACUGUAUAGACACGGUGAAUCAUUCACCGUGUAUAGACACGGUGAACCAUUCACCGUGUCCAAUACAAAUACCCCACUUAGCCAUUUUUGGGUAAGGGUCGGGUAUUUGUAUUAGACACGGUGAAUAGUUCACCGUGUCCAAUACAAGGUGAAUAGUUCACCGUGUUUAGACACGGUGAACCAAUCACCGUGUCCAAUGUAUUAUUCACACCCUGACUUGGGUGUUUAUAAUACAUUGGAUAUGGUGAACUAUUCACUGUGUUUGAACACGGUGAAUGGUUCACCGUGUUCAACUUAAACACCUGGCCCCAGCUCCGCUCGUGUGGUGCUGACGUGGCGCUUGCGUGGUAGGGGCAGGGCCAUUUUUGCAAAUAAAUUUUUGACAGGGCUAAUUUAAAAAAAAAAUUUGUCAGGGGGCUAUUUGCAAAAAAAACCCUAAAAUUAUCUAUUAAUAACCUAGAUGGGUACAAGUAUCUGAGUAUGCUUUCUGUGUCACAAAUUUAUGUCUAACUUGCCUUGUGAGAAAAAGGCGAUUAGAUCAUGCUAGCAAAUCCACUGAUGUUGAAUCGACUUGAAGGGUGUCACGCCCCGGGACUGAUACCAAUUUGGCCCGACCCGAGCACGUCAAACAGACGCCGAACGGACAGGGUUUCCUCUAUCCGUCCAAGGUUCAUCACAUGUACAAAUUCAAACAAGAAAUGCACUAGCGGAAACAUACACAAACGGCUUACACGAGGGUAAGCAAUAGCCAUUAGUGAAAGAAAGGAAAACUAAACAUUUACAAGUACUAUGAUUCAUUUGUGAUCAUAUACAUUGCAUUCAUCUUGUUCACUUUCGAAUUCCUUACAUUUCAUUUCAUCAUUUCUUUCUUACAUCACAUUUACCUCAAAAUACACAUUACAUUCUUUUCUUUACAUCAUUUACCAUCAUGUACAAAAGAUGAUCAUAGGGUACUUUACUACAAAAUGAAACCCAACUUUGGUGGCCUCUGACUAAGGCGCGAUACCUUUACCUCGGUCGCUCGCCGGCUCGCUCGGUCCCGGCUCUGUGGAAAUAGUGGGGUGAGAACUACAACAAAGUUCCCAGUGGGUUCGGCCUCAACAUCACCGACUUUCCCACUAGGACUAACUCAGGCAUAAUAGAAAGGAUAAGCUGAAAUAUAGUAACCAAUCUACAACAUGAUGCUAAUAUGCCUGAACAAUAAGCAAGGAAUAUGCUCAACAUUAACAUAUGCAGAUUAUGCAAGUUCUUUCGUUCUUUAUCUUUACACUUUGUUCUUUGUUCUUUGCUCUUUGUUCUUUAUUCUUUAUUCUUUAAUCUCAAGGCUAACCCGGGGGUUUCGCCACAUUAACUUGCUUCACAUUAAGUCCAUCAUCGCAGGAACUCACCCGCUAGGACCGUCCUUCGGGUUUACUCCAACCCGUGAUGCAUAACUCCGGAGCGCAUCGCCCGAGGGGGAGCGACCGCCCUCGAGCACGGAACUCAUAGCAAGUAUGAUCGAAUCCUUAACUCAAAGGAUUAUAUGUUCAAUCUUGACUUUACACUAACUCUAGUGUUCUUUACGUCACUUCAUGUUGCUACUCUAGCAAUCAUUGUUCUAUACAUUUCCUUACUUUUGCUAACUUUAGCAUUCUUGUUCUUUACAUUUCUUAUUCUUAUUGCCCCACUUUACUUUAACUUUACACAUUGUCAUCAUUAUCAUUCUUUACAUCACUUUGGUUCUUUGGCUCACACUAACUCUAGUGUCACAUUACUUUACGUCUUCAAAUGCCACUCGAUCUAUGUCAUAGUGUCACUCUAUUCUUUUGCUCAUUUUGGGUGCUCACUUUUCUCUCAUGCAUACACAUAGGGUUUUUACAUUCAUAAGGUUCUCAACCAUCACAUUAGGCAAGUUGUACUCACAAUCAUGCAACAUCACAUUCUCAUCAUCUCUUUACCCUAAAAUGAAUACAACAAAUAUGUAACAUAUGCUCAAUUGAAUGACACAUUAGGCAUAGAGAGAAGUCCAACGAGUUUGGAAAGCACCACCCACCUCGUAGGUCUAUUUAGGUCUUGAGAUUUAUAGGCUCCUCGUUCUUCACCUGCGGCAAAACGAAGCCAACUUAGGCCAUUUUGCCCAUAUCUUUUUAUAAACUUUUCGUAACGUUAAUCCGAGCGCACCAACGCGUCGGAAAUACCCCCAAUUAGAUUUUUAGAGGGUCAAUUGCAUUUAAAAAUUUCCAUGAGCAAAAGCCCCAAUUUGGUGCCCUAGCUCCAAUACAUAUAUCAAACCUAGGGUUUGAUCUCAAUGGGAAGCAAAAGUAGCUUCAUUAUACUCUAAAAAGUCCAUUAGAACCAUCUUUAGGCAAAUCAAAACCGUACUUAGGGUUUCACCAUGAGAGGUGAUGAAGCUCACCUCAAGCUUCACUGUUUUCAUGGUCUUGAUCUCUAAAGAAGCAAAAGAAAAGCUUCAAAUACUCAAAUGGUUCCAUAAAACUCAUUCUAAGCUUGAGUAUUCUAUAGUGUCACCUAAAUAGCUUGGNCACCUCAAGCUUCACUGUUUUCAUGGUCUUGAUCUCUAAAGAAGCAAAAGAAAAGCUUCAAAUACUCAAAUGGUUCCAUAAAACUCAUUCUAAGCUUAAUUCAAACCCUAGAUUAGGUUCUACCAUGAUUAGGGUUCAAAGCUUACCUUGUAAGCUCUCAUUUUCCAAGCUAGAGAGGAAGAAGAUGAAGUUGCUUCACCUCUUGAUCCUCUUCUUCACCUUCUUUUCCUUGUCUUCUUCUUCUCCUUUGCCUUCUAGAGAGAGAGAGGGAGAGAAGAGAGUGUGAGAGGGUGAGGAAAUGAGAGAAAUAUCUCAUUUGCCCUCUUACUAUACUCUAUGGGUUGCAAAAUUGCAGCUAAACCCCUCAACUUUCACUCUUUCACACAGCCUGGACUGGGCUGUUUGCGCAGGUGGGGACCGGUCUCUCCUUCAGGGACCGGUUCUCGAAGGCUCUCCCCGCGCAGCCAGAGCUGCUGCGCGCAGGGCAACCGGUCUCUCUUUGGGGGACCGGUCUCUCGGGGACCGGUCUCUCAGGCAGGGACCGGUUCCCGAGAGCUGAUUUCUCAGGACUAAGCCGAUUUUUCGGCUGUCUCAUUUCAUACGCGUUCGGGGACCGGUCUCUCCCACCAGGGACCGGUCCCCGAGAGCUCAAAACUGCAGAAUGCAGAUUUUGAUCCUUUAGCUCUCGAAAACCUCAUGUAACUCAUCUUUAAUCAUUUUAACACCUUCGGACUUUCCGAAGUGUACCGUCCUCGCACUUUGGUCAAUUUGACUAAAGUUCGACAUUUAUUUUUCGAAUUUUUGGUAUAUUACAAAGGGUUCGACCUAUUUUUGGGUAUGGACUGGCUCUCAAAGUAUUAUGCAACUAUUGGUUGCAAGAGACGAGUUGUGUGGUUUUUUAAAAAUUUAACUAUCAGAACACAGUCUUAGUAGCUGGUCACACUUCUGUAAAGUGACGAAGUGAGCCAGAAUAAUUUUGGUGUGAAAUAGAUGCCACAAACAAUCACAAAGCUUGUGUUUAAUUCCUGCCAGAGCAAGAUAGGUUUUGUGCCAAGGGCACAAGAUGCCACCUAAUAACCUCUAAUUAGAUUUUGAUACCUCAUUUACCUCACCUGAACUUAACCUCCUCUCCACUUUAUUUCUUUUUUCUUUAUCUCCCUUUUCUUCUUUUUACUUCCCUCAUCUCUUUCUCCCAUUCUCCCAGUGGGCAGCUUCAGGCAGCGGUGACAAUAAUAGCAGUGAGCAAUGGCGGCAGUAGCAGCAGCAGUGAGCAUUGCCUUUUCUUCUUCUUCUUCUUUUUCUUCUUCUCCUUGCAGGUUGGGAAUCAACAACACCACUAACAACAGCUCUAGUAGCCACAACAGCAAGGUGGCGACAGCAGUAGCAGCAGCAGCAAGUGAGCCCAAUUGAGCGCAAUUGAGCUUCCGAUUGUGAAAUUGAUGCUUGUUUGUGGGAGAGAAGAGUAGAGGAGCUCAGCUUAUAGCUUCGUCCCACCAAAAUUAAGAGUUUUUGGCGGGUUAAUUAUUGCUGGAAUUCCCUUCACUUCCUAUUGAAUGGGAGUUGCUCCUGGCGGGUUAGUGAGGGAUAGUGCUGGGUUGGAGAGUGGAUUGGUAUUUAUUUUGUGCACCCUGCUAGUUCUCGAGUAGUGAGGAGGUUCUUUGGGCGCAUUUCUUCCUUGCCGUUGUUGGAUUAGCUAACAAGGUGGGUUAAAUAGCCAGAUACUAUGAAUUCCUCACUAUGCCUAACUAUUCCAUAUGCAAUUUAUUUUUAGCUAUUGCUUAUCAGUAAUUAGUAAUGUAACAUAAGGAUUGCUGACUUCACUUUUCAUAUUACUUCUCACACUAUUAUUUGCAACAUGUGGAAGAUGAAAUUUGAGAAAUCUAGACUACAUUAAUUCAUGGGAAACUUACGCUAUGCUGUUCCAUUUUUCCAUCGUUUUAACUCCUAGUUCAGUAGUUGCUAUAACUUAUUUUUCAUCCAGGUUAGUGGGUAGGGAUGAUUGGAAAUAGUGCAGGAUAAUUUUACGCCUGUGCUGAGGGGCUGACAUAGUUAUUACAACAAUUGGCACGCUGGCUAGAUUUUAGUGUGCCGUAUAGGGUUAUGGUGAUUCCGGAUCAUUGAGUGUCACUUCAGAUUGUGCUUGUGGAUAGCCUUAUAUAUGAUCUAGAUGAUUAUUUGCAUUGACUAUCGCCUGUAUGAGCCAUAUUUGAGCUCGAUAGAGAUAUGCCACUUACUCGGUGGGGUUGUACCCCUCGGCUAUCGCUUCAGAAUUGGCUUUUGCGCAUUGAUAUUGUAGCAGCCCUAGUAGGCGAACUACAUUUGUAAUAUACCGAAACCUUGGUAGGUUGUAUCGAAGUUUAGUCAAAUUGACCAAAGUGUGCGAGAGAAAUAGUUGGACAAAAUCUAUUUAACAUUCCAACAAUGUUGAAAGGGUUAAAGUUGAGUUCCAAAAGAGUUAGAAGGGUUUUAGCAUUGCUCGACGCGAAUUAGAGUCGAAACAAUGCAAAAUCUGCAGUCUAGAGCAUUGUUAACCGGUAAAGCAUUGAAGCAGUACCGGUACUAGGCAAGCACCAGAGAGUAGCAGCUCUCGGGUUUGGCCUCUGUCAGGCUGUUUAACCGGUGACACCCCUGGUGCGUACCGGUACCCCUUAGCAAUCCGAAAACAGCGGUCUCGUGUUUGGGUUGUUGAACAGGGGCUUAACUGGUGACACCCACCCGUGUACCAGUACGCAAUGCUGCGAAACAGCAGGUUGGUCUGCUGCAAAUAGAAAGAGUUGGAGGGUCAUUUUGCUAUUGUAACAGCGUAUAAAAAGGCCUCAACUCCUUUCCCAUUCACAGCAGUGAACACACCUCUCUCUCUCAUUUCUCUUCCUUUCUCUCUCUAGGAACUCUCUCCCAAGGUGAAAUGAGGAGAUCUAGAGGAGGAUUUGGAGGAGAUUUAAAGUUUUGAAGGGUUUAGGGCUCUCCUAUAAGGUGUAGCUUGGUGGGCUUCUAGGUUAAGAUAAGUUUCUUGUAAGAUUGAUGUUAGGGUUUGGUUUUAUAUCCUAGAACACUUGGUUUUGAUCUUCUUACAUGAAUGAAAACCUUGUAGAGACCAUGGAACCCAUGAAAACCCAUGUUUCUCCAUGAGCUCUCAUGGUAGAAUUCUAGGGUUUGUUUUAUAUGCCCUAUGAAUGGUUCAAAUGACCUAGAAAUUGUUCUAGAUGAGUUUCUAGAAGAUGUUAACUUGCUUUUGCUUAGCAUAGAGAUCAAUAUGGUGUAUGUUACUAUAUGACAUUGUUAGGGCACCAAAAUUAGAGCUUUUGCCCUAGAUUAGUUUAAAGGCAAAUUGAUCUUGUAGAAAUCAAAUUGGGGGUAUUUCUAUCUCAUUGGUGGACUCGGUUCGCCGAUCAGACGAGUCUACGUAAAGAUAUGGGAGAAAAAGCCUAAUUUGGCUUUGUUUUGCUGCAGGCGAGAGAAUAGGCGCCCAAAAAUCACGAAACUUGAACUGUAGCACCUUUACAACCGUAUGAGGUGGGUGGUGCUUUCCGAAAUCCUUGAAUUUUCUCUCAUAUCUAAAGUGUUAUUUUUGAGCAUAUGUAUGUAUAGUAUUUUCAUGCAUUGUAGGGUUGAUUGAGAUAUAUGAUUGCAUGUUUUGAGUAUAAGAUGCAUUUGAGAUGUUGUGAGCUAUUGAGAAUAUGUAAAACCCUAUGUAUGCAUGAAAAUACUAUACAUACAUAUGCUCAAAAANAGUAUUUUCAUGCAUUGUAGGGUUGAUUGAGAUAUAUGAUUGCAUGUUUUGAGUAUAAGAUGCAUUUGAGAUGUUGUGAGCUAUUGAGAAUAUGUAAAACCCUAUGUAUGCAUGAAUAGUGACAAAGAUCUAGAUGAGGUAAAGAACCAAAUGACAUUAUGACAUAUGGAUUGUGUGGCAUUAGUAAACAAAUGAAUGCUAGAAAUUAGACUCUUAGUUGAGUGGCAUCAAUGAGAUUUGAAUGCUAGAGUUGAACACUUAGUGUGGCAUUAAUGAGAACAAUGAAUGCAUGAAAAUGAGUUAAAGAACACCUAGUGUGUGUGGCAUCAUGAAAGUUAAAUAAUGCAAGUAAAGUGAGAUAGUUGACAUUAUGACAUAACAACCUUAUAGUUAAGGAUCAUAUGAGCAUUAAAUCCUUACAAAUAAGGAUUGGAUUGAACUUGACAUCCUUAAAGUUAAGGAUUGGAUCAUACUCACCUACAAGUCUUGGCUUGAGGGCGGUCGCACCUCCUCGAGCGAUGAGCUUCGGAGUAGUCAUCACUGGGUCGUAGCGAGUAUCUACCCAGAGGACGGUCCCGUCGGGUUGUAGCGAGUAUCUCCCCGAUAGUAGAAAUUUGAGUUAGUGAGUCUAUUGAGGGCGAAACUUACGGGUUAGCCAAGAGGAUUGAGAAUUGGAAAGUGAUCUUGCAUUCGUCAUGAGCAUUCUAUUUAAGCAUAAAUUGGAUUAUAUCUUGUUCAGGCAUAUUAGCUGCAUUCGUUUAGUUGGUUACUAUCUAUCUCUAUUUUUCUAUUAUGCCUAAUUUAGACCUAGUGGGAAAGUCGGCUAAGUCGGCGGCCGAACCCACUGGAAACUUUGUUGUAGUUCUCACCCCACUAUUUCCACAGAGCCGGGACCGAGUGAGCCGGCUGACGAUCAUGGUAAAGGUAUUGCGCCAUAGAUAGGGACCACCCGAGAUGAUUUUCAUAUUUUGUUUAGUUGCAUACCCUAUAUAGAUCAUCUUUUGUAUUUUGAUGAUUAUAGAUGAAUGAAUGAUGCAAAUGUAUUAGAGAAAGAAUGUAAAAGUUUAUAUUUUGGGAGAGCAUGUGAUGUAAAAAGAAAUGAUGUAAAAGAAUGUAAAUGUAUAAGUUGAAUGCAUGUAAGUGAUUCAAAAGUUAAUCAUUGUACUUGUAUUUUGUUUAGUUUAGUACUUUCACUUUGGCUAUUGGUUGCCCUCGUGCAAGCCAAGUAUAUUAUGUUUCUGCUGUGCAAUCUAUAUACUUGCUCUGUACUUGUUGUUGAGCCUUGGGCGGAUAGGAGGGGUGCUGUUCGUUCGGCGUUUGUUCGACGUGCCCGAACCGACCAAAUAGGCUGUCCCGGGGCGUGACAGAUAAAAUGGUAUUAGAGCCUGAAAAGUGAAAGUAUAGGAUGGACCUAGAGACCUUUAGGAAUGGAGACCUUAAGGAUCUAGGAAACAUGAGUGACGUGGAACCAUAGUAUAGCGAAAGCUUUGAGAUUGGGUGAUGUUACUAAGUCUCUAAUGUGGUUAGGGGCUAAUCCAAGUUGAUAUUUGUUCUCUACUCCGUGUGUUGUGUCGGGCGGCCGACGACAUAAUGCUUUGGAAUGAGAAUAAAUACACUUGUUUGCUUUUGCCAGAUUUGGUAUGUUCGAGUAUAUUGGUUGAGUAACUAAUGUGAGUUGCUAUGUUUCAGGUAGCAAUGGCUCGUGGUAGACCGCGAAUGAGGUUGAUGCCCGAGGAGCUAAAUGCGGCUCUCGAGCAAUCUGGAGCGAGCGGCGACGGGGAGCUCCGGGAACAAAUGUUUGCACUUAUUGUGUAGUGUGACAGCAAGCGGAAUUCGUUCAACGCCAGGGGGAGAAGAUUCAAAGGCUUCAAGAGGCCUUGGAGCGACAGCAGGCGGCGGCGGCCCAAGUGGGCGCCGAGCACCCUGCGCCCCCUGUACUGGUGCCGGCUGUGGUGGAGGGCGUGGCCGCGGCGGCUGUGCCAAUCACGGCGGUGCCAGCCGGUUCGGGAACCUCAAAUCCCGAUAGUGCGUCGACAGAGGCGGAGCGAGAGCGUGCACUUGCGGCUUUCGUUAUGUUCAAGAAGUUCAACCCACCUGUGUUCGACGAGGAGAAAGUGGAGUCGUCAAUGGUAGAGUCAUGGAUUGACUCAAUGGAGACGCUCUUCGAGGAUAUUUAUACCUUGGAGAAGGACAAGGUGCACCUCGCCACCCAUUGUUUGGAAAAGGCGGCGAAGGUGUGGUGGAAGCGGGUGAAGCGCGAUCGAUCCCUCGACCUUCCGCCUAUGCUUUGGGAGGAGUUUCGGAGGUUAAUGUUCGCGAACUACUUCCCCGACACCGAGAAGCGGAAGUUGCAAGAUAAAUUUCGCAAGUUAAGGCAAGGUGAUCGAUCGGUGGGUGACUAUGAGCAAGAGUUCUCCCACAUUAUCGAUUGCGUCCCGGAGGUUGUUCGAGAUGACCGGAAUCGGGUUGACUGGUUCUUGCGAGGACUUCGGCCGAAGAUUUAUAAGGCCGUGCAAUUGUUCAAGCUCACGACCUUUGCGGUGGUCUUCGAUCGAGCGUUAUGGGCAGAGCAUGGCAAUGCCUAUGCGAGAGAAGAGCGCGGGUCUAUGGACAAGGAAAGAGACAAAGAUAAGAAGCGGACUGCGGGUGGUGCUGAGGGCCAGUCGCAUACAAAGAAACCCCCUCGGUAUCCUCGGCAGCAGUCGAGGAGUUGGAGACCUUCUCGUUGUGCUAUUUGCGGUGGUGAUCGGCAUGCCUGCAGCGCAAUGGAAAAUGUUACAAGUGCGGCCAAGCGGGGGAUAUGGUCCAGGAGUGCCCGAGUUGGGCGUUGUCUCAACCGACAGCGACAUCAGUUCCUUCUACCCCGAGGCAGCUUGCGGGGUUGCCACCGCCUAUGUCGGCUGGACGCGCAUCAGCACCACGUCAGCCGGAGGGAUCAUGAGCACCUAGUGGACUGGUUUUUGCCACUCAGGUGGAGGAGCCUGCCGUACCAGAUGAUGUCGUGGCAGAUAUUAUUUUGAUUAAAGGCACUAGAGCUAGAGCUUUAUUUAACACGGGUGCAUCUCAUUCAUUCAUUGGUGCAUCAUUUGCAAAGACUCAUGGCAUUGAAGUAAUAUAUAGCCUGGAUUAUUGGUGGGUUAAUGCGCCAGAGCAUUCGUUCAGUGUUCUUGACGAGUGCUCGGCUUGUCCAGUUCAGAUAGGUGACUGGAUUAUGCCGGCAGAUUUGCUAGUGCUAAACCAAAUGUGGGGCCUCGAUGUAAUCUUAAGGAUCGAUUGGCUCUCCAAGUAUUAUGCGGUUAUUGACUGUGAAAGCAAGGUGAUCACUUUUCGUGAGCCUGACCAAGGGUUGUUGGUGUACCGUGUAUGUAAAAGCUCGCGCUUCGCGGCGACUGUAUCGACGGCAAGGGUGAGAAAGAUGAUUAAAGGAGGAUGUGUGGCCUAUUUGGCAACAAUGGUGGAUACUCAAAGGUAGCACCAAGCCUUGGGUGGUGGAGGCUUGUGUUGGAUCUAUGGAAAAGAUAUUUGAGGAAUUAUUCAUUUUGGAGAGGAAUCAAGUCCACUUGGCAAUCCACUACUUAGAGAGGGAUGCGUGUACCUAGUGGAAGAGGUUUCAGCUGACGUGAUCACAGAGCGUGUUGUAGAUGACCUAGAUUUAGUUUCAUGAGUUGCUAUUUGGAAUCUACUUCUCGAACGGUGUAAAGCCGAAACUCGAGAAUGACCUGAAGAAUUUGCAGUAGGGCGACAGGAUAAUGUAGGAGUAUGCUAGGAACAACCGAUGAGGCUCAAAGGGUAUAUCUAUUUGAGCAGGGGUUGCGAUCAGAGAUUUUUUACCUUGGUACAGGCGCAUAGGUUACAGACCUUAGAUCUAGCGACAGAGUAGGCUAUCUGGGUAGAGCGUGGGGCUACUGUUGCCACACCUUGGAGUUCAGUCUAAUUCGGGCUCGCCAACAGAUCCGUUGCAUACACAGGAAGCUCUGUGCACACGAAGGGAUAGUAAUGCUUGUAAAGUAUACUUGAGCGACUACAAGUAACAGAGCUGGAAAGAACUGCUAAAACUAAAAUAUAGUCCAUUGUACAUACAUAAUAUCCAAGGAGUACAAAAGUAAAAUCCAUAAAUACAAACACCAUUUCUCAGAACUCUGAACUAUAGAAUAAAUACAUCUGUAUGUACAAUGUCUAUAACAAAAAACUGUCACAAAAAAGUACUCCACUAGCACAACUCGUCGAAGGGUAGGGAUCUAACUCGUGAACUUUCUCACCUUGAUCAGUAGCAACAGAGGGCUCUGCGAGAAACAGGAGUAACAACGGGCGUGAGAACUACUAUAAAACAAAAUAGUCCUCAGUGGAUGUAGUGCACUAAACUUCUACAAAUUAUAAUGUUCCAGUGAAAAGUAGUCUAAAAGUCUAUUCGAAUAGUUCCGGCAAGGUUUGGAAACUAUUCGGGUGUUUUCGAUACAAACUAGACGUGAAAAUAGACUCUGAAAAGUCAAAUCUGCCAAAACUAUAGAUUUUGUAUUGUGUAUUGGUACUGAAAUUUGAGUACCGGAACACAAUACAUAGGAAGCAGAACUAGCUCUCGGGUAUUAAGGAACUCAAUUUGAGUACCGGUACUGAUGCACUGUGUACUGGUACAACAUGAUGAGUACCGAAACACAAUAGAAAUUUGAAAAAUCUAGUGUUUGGUUUUGAGGAAUUGGUUGGUGGGUGCCGAAACUAUUUGCUCGUGUUCCGAUAUGCCUAUUCGAGUACCAGUACGCAGUACUGCGAAAUGCUAGUUUUGAUUGGUUAUAAUUAGUGGAAUGUGGGGUAGUUGCAAUUGUUGCAACACUCUGUAAGAAUAGGGACUUCAGCUAUUUCCUCCCUAUUUGGAUACAAGAGAACACAUUUCUUUUCUCUACUCUCUUACUCUUUUCUUUCUCUCUCCCUAAUGGAGCAUCUCCCAUGCUUGGAGCUUGGAGGAUCAAGCUUGGAGGAGAGAUUAGAGGUGGGAGCAGGCUUCUUGGAGCAGAGGCUUGAGGAACUUGCAACAAAGGUGAGAUUUCAGGAUUUGAGGCUAGGUUUUGGAUACAAACCAUGCAAAAGAAUUUUUACUAAACCCUAGGUUAUUCUAGACUAUAAAUUAUCGAGAUUAGCCAUUUAAAAUGGGUUUUGUCAUGGAUAUUGGAAAACCUUAGGUUAAAAGUGAGUUUUUGGAUUUGAGGGAUUUAAAAAUUAUUUAACCCUUUAAAACCCUAAUUGAUAGAUUAGAAAUCAUGUAGGACAACAUAAUUUCAAGAGAUAAAAUCAUUUUAGGGUUCGAAAAUGUUAACGAACCAUUUUUCUUGUAUUAGGGCAAGGAAGCUUAGAGUUAAAGCUUGUAGCCUAAGGAAAAAGGCGUAAUAGCAAGUGACUACAAGCAAUUAAGAUUGUGCUAAAGAGUUAAGGUGGGUUGUGUGCAUCAAAGUGACUUGGUCACCUCUUAUGUCCAGAGCAUAGUAACUAGACUAAGUUGUUGAUGGUUGCAUGGUAGUUUACUUUUCAAGAUAUGCAUGUUAUGGCAUAUGUUACUUGGAUUAGUAAAUUUCACUACUUAUGCAUAAGUAGAUGUGCUUUCAUGUAAUACAUGCUAAUUAGAGUGCUAAUUUCAUGAGAUAAAUGAAUGCAUGCAUGGUUGAUUGUGAACCUAUGUUGUGGACUAAAUGGUAGGUUGACUUUCCCUAGGGUCAUUAGAGAAGUCAACACAUGAACAUAGAGAACAUAGUGCCAUUGGAACAUAGGUUGGAAAAUAUAGUGGAUGAGAUAUCACUUGGACAAGAUGAUUUGAACAUAUAAGGUUUGACAAUAUAGGGUAAAAACAAUGAACCUUUGUGACCAUGAAAGAAGGAAUUCUGGAACUCCUAACAACCCGAUGGUCGGGGAUGGUUGACAAUCUUGUCACCCGAUGCGAUGAGGAUGGCUGUGCUGCGCUCUUGAUUGAACUCGCUACCAUUUACUCACUACAAAAAAAAUUAGGUUUUAGAAGCGGUCGAAACCGUUGGGAAAAGUCUGUAGAAUCGCUGGAAAAAUAUUUCCAGACAUUUGUAAAAUCGUCGGGAAAAGUUUUAUAACCGCUAAAAGUCUUUGCCGACAGUUUAUACAACCGUUGGAGAAGAUAAUAAUUUUAGUAACGCUUCUCCAACCGCUACUAAAUAUAAUAAAAAGCGCUAGUAUAAAUUAGUAAAUUUAUACCAUCGGUUUCGUAAUUCUUGUGAAUCCAAUCCAAAAUAUAAAACAUAUAAUUAAAAAAAUCUAGACAAAAAUUUAAGACUCUUUUAAAUUGAGAAAUAAGAACAAAUUCAUCAUUCAAACAAAUUUAAAUUUGAUUACAUAUGACAAUUGUCAAACAAGAGAAGCCAAAUCAUUUAAUCAAAUAGGAGUUUGCAGAGUAAAAACAGAAUUGUCAAUAAAAAAUUUUAUUCAAAAAAGUUUUCAAUCUAAAAAAAAUUAAAUCCAUAUGAAAUCAAUGUUUUCUACGAGUUCUUCAACUUAUUUUAUGAAUUCACUCCAAAUUAAACACCAAUCCUUCAUCUUUUUUGAAAAUUCCUGCAAGAAAAAAAAAAAAUCAAUUUAGUGAAACAAUAAAAUCACAAGAUUUCUAAACCAUCUUUCAAUUAGGGACCAACCAGAAAAGUUAAAAAUUCUUGCAUAUAGAGCACUCUUUCAUUUAUUUUUUUUCUUUCAAACCAAAUAAAUAUUGAUGAAAAACUACUACUUUUUUCCUUCCAAACCAAACACUACAAAACGUAAUCAGUUUAAAAAUGUAAUUAGUUUAAUUGCCUUGACUACAUAUCUAAUUACAUUCUAGUUAAACUAAUUUGUACAUGUCGAAGAAUGAAGAACAUUACUUGCCAAUUAGAGGCUGUCUGAAGGGAUUUGGUGCAGAUAAUCAUUUCAGGUGACAUUAUUGUACAUGUCGAAGAUAUCAACAAGAAAUAGACAGUGUUAAUCACCACAAAAGUGCAUAGCAAUAGUAAUGGCAAGAAUUUAUCCAGAUGAGAUAGAUCAGGAUAUUAGCCAACAUUUGAGCUAUGGCUUUCCUAUAUUAGCCAAACACACCAAAUAUGAUGAUUACAGAGUGAGUGUACUUAAUUAAACGGUUCAGCCGAUAUUCAAAGAACACCUAAUAACUCCAAAGUAUUUGGUUUCCACUGCAGUCAGAAAUAAAAAACGCCACACUUACAACCUCUGUAAUGAGCUAAUGACGGAACCCUCACUAUCAAGAUAUUAAUCACACUAGUAAACAAAUGUGAUGUAUCUAAGUUAUCCACAAGCAAGAUAUGCAAGAUAGGAGUAAAUGAAGUUGAAAGAGAAAAGUCCAAGCACAACCACAACAACAAUACAAUAUUUACGUGGUUCACCCAAACCGGACUACAUCCAAGGGCACAGAGAGAUCAAAUCCACUAUCAAAUGAGGAGAGUAUAAGAUUUGGUUAGAGAUUACCACUCUAUUACAAUGGGCUUGCAACCUUCUAAGUGGGAAAAAAUCCUUCUUGCUACACCUUCAUCUAAGCACCUUUCAAAUCCACGAAACCCGCUUCGAAAUGCCUCUUAGAAUUCCUCCAAUCAACCUUGGAAGCUUUUGAAUCAAGCAAGAAGAACAAGAGAGCUCUUUCUCCAACCCUCUCUACACCUCUCUUCUCUAUCACAAGAAAAGGAAAACCUAGAGAGCAAAACAAAUGAGAACUCUCUCUUACUAAAUCCAAAGAGAAUCUCUCUUAACAUCACUUGGCCCAAUAUACCAAAAUGGGUCAACUAAAGCUCAAACCAAUUACUAACUAGCCCAGUACAUGAGUUAUUGAACCAAAUCCAAAAUAAAACUAAUUAGGCUAAUAAGUGAAUUUGAUAAUACUAACCCAACAAUCUCCACCUUGAUAGCAAAAUCACGGCUCCGCAUCUCCGUGCCAACCAUGUGCCUUUAUCCUCCGCUCAACUUGAAGCCUAAAGAAGUUAGGCUCGAAUUCAAGCUCCGACACCCAUUGAUUUAGCACCUUCUAACAUGCUUCUCUACUUGUACCGGCUUCGUGAGCAUAUCGGCCACAUUCUCAUGAGUGCCAACUUUCAACACACUCACCUUGCCAUCUUCAAUGACAUUCCGGAUGUAAUGAUAUUGCACAUCAAUAUGUUUAGUCCUUUUAUGAUAAACCGGAUUUUUAGCCAAACAUAUUGUACUCAUACUGUCACAUAAUAAACACAUGGGUUUAAAAUUCAUACCAAGCUCUUUCAUCAAACCUUGAAGCCACACCGCCUCCUUGGUUGCCUCAGUUAGUGCCAUGUACUCGGCCUCCGUGGUUGACAAAGCCACCGUUACUUGAAGCUUGGACAUCCAACUAAUUGGACCAUUUCCAUGUUCAAAUACAAAGCCCGUUGUAGAUCUUCUCUUGUCAAGAUCACCGGCAAAAUUAGCAUCAACAUAACCUUGCACUAGCCUUGAGUUUUUGCCAUACAUGAUUGCAUAGUCACUUGUACCUCUCAAAUAGCGAAGAACCCAUUUCGCCGCUUCCCAAUGCCCUUUCCAAGAUUUGCCAUAAACCGACAAAGAACACCAACGGCAUAUGCAAUAUCCAGGAGUGUACACACCAUGGCAAACAUCAAGCUACCUACAACACUUGAAUAGGGAACUUGAUUUAUCAACUUCUUUUCCUCCUCCGUCUUUGGACUUUGCCCGAAAGAUAAUUUAAAGUGAGACGCAAAUGGUGUCUUUACAGCAUUUGCUUUACUCAUGCCAAACUUGCAUAUCAAUUUUUCUACAAAUCCCUUUUGUGAAAGUAACAAUGUGCCAUUUUGCCUAUCUCGCCAAAUCUCCAUGCCAAGAAUUUGACGUGCCGGUCCGAGAUCUUUUACUUCAAACUCUUUACUCAAUUCAUACUUGAGUUCAUUGAUCUUUAGUUUGUCCUUAUAUACUAUAAGCAUGUCAUCCACAUACAAUAUCGAAACCACAAAUGUAACGUAUCACAUCCCCGACGAGUUACGCCGAGCUUCCGUCAAAACAAUCGAAGCGCGGAGUCAGACGAGUUAGAACGGUCCGCAAGGUGUUCUAAAUGCUUUAGAACAAGUGCAUAGGGGUUAGAGGACCCAGGAGAGCAAGCUGGGAGGUUUCAGCAUAAUUGCUGAAAUUUCAGCUCUCGGGAUCUGGACCCUGUGCAGGGUCCAGACCCCGUAGGCAAAAUCAGCCUGGUGAGGGUUGCCUUAUAUUAUGAUUUGGAGAGGGGCUUUUUGCAAUGUGUUUAAGUGGGUGUUGUACAUGAGGAUGGCUUGUGUGUUAAGCCUUAUUUUCCUCACCACCUAGCAACAAAGAGACUUCCCUCUCUCUCUCUAAAAACCCUUUUCUCUCUUCCUCUCUCUUUAGAGCUUGUACAAGGGAGGGUUUUGGAGAAGCUUGGUUGGAGAAGAAGCUUCCUACAAGGUGGAGGCUAGCUUGAGCAAGGGCUUUGGAAGGAAAGCUUGGAACCUAUCGUAGGUUUCCCUGUUUUAAGCUAGGGUUUAGCUUUUUGCUUCUAGUAGUAGCAUCUAGAGGUUUCUAUGGUGGAUUUCUCCAUGUUUUCCCCAUGACUAGGGGUGUGUUUGGAGAAGAUGACAUUGUAGAGGGGCUUAUGUUAGGGCUUUAUAAAUAUGAGGUCUAAAGUUGGAAUUGAUCUCAUGUAACCCUAAUUGGUAGGUUUUUUAAUGCGUUGUCGAACUCGGUUCGUCUAUCCAAUGAGUGUGUGUGGAGAUAUUUUGGAAAAAGCCUGUUUUGGCUUUGUUUCGCCGUAGCGAACGGCGUAGGCGUCUAAAAAUCAAGAAACUUGGAUCAUAGCAUUUUGGUAUUCCUACAAGGUGGGGGGUGCUAUCCGAAAUCUCUGAAUUUCCUAUUAUGUCUAUAUCGCCAUAUUUGAGCACAUUUGCAACACACUGGACCUUUGCAAAUUACGAGAUUCGAAUGUUUGAUCUGUGUUCUGAGCCUUUCCACAGUUUUUGGAGGGUCGUUGAUAGUGUUCCGACCCAUGGCUCGCAUCCCAAUCUUGGCACCAAAAUUCAGAAAAUUGGAUUCAGUGGUCUGCUCUCGGGUUGCCUCUGCAGGAUUGUAUACCGGUACAACCUUGAUGGUUGUACCUGAACACAUUGUGUACCGGUACAUCCCUGAUGGUUGUACCGGUACAGAUGUGGAUUUUAGCCAACCCGAGGCUCGGGUUUGCCAUUUCGUGGGAUUUGUACCGGUACACUUUCCCGUGUACCGGUACACUUUGGCAGAAUCUGAACGGGUCAAACUUGCAGGGGUGUUUUUGCGAUUGUGGCCUUCUAUAUCAUCACCCACGCCCUUAGGGCUGUUCCUUGAAGUUGGAACAGCAGGGAGGAAGGUGAGGAGCUCUCCACACAUUCCCUUUUCAUUUCUUUGAAUUUUGUUUGGAUUUUAAGAGAUUAAACACCUCUUUUGCUCUUUUUUAGUUUGUUGGAGGCUUUUCCACCUUGGUAGAGGCUUGGAGCUUGGACUUGGGGAGGCUUGGAGCUUGGACUUGGGGCUUGCUUGAGGGAAGAUCCUUGAACCUUGAGGACUUUGAUCCUUGUUUGAAGCUUCAUAGAGGUUAGCACCUUGUUCUUUCCCUCUAGAUUUGGUUUUUGGAGGUUUUCUUGAGAUGAAACCCUAGAAAUGGAAAAUCUAGGGUUUACUUGGGGCUUUUUGAUUUGAAGCUUUUAGAGCUCAUCUUAUUGGAUUAGAACCUUGAUUUAGGUUGCUUUGGAAGGGAUUUAGCUUCUAUUUGGAUUUUUAAAGGGGAUUUCUAUGCUAUAGGUGAGUUUUUGCCCCUUUACAUGAGUUGGUUAUUGUUUGAGCCUAGGGCUUUUCGUAACGUAUGUGUAUUCCUUCUCUUGUGACCUUUAGGGUAUUAGAAGAAUUGUGGACAACUCCGUUCGGCGAAACGAAGGAGUUUUAGCGGUGCUCGGUGGGUUUGACCUCACCUAAGAACGAGAAAAUCUCAUUUUUGUGGAUUUAUGUAUCGCAAAAUGGAAAAUCAUGCAUUUUCAUGUUAGAUGUAUUAUUUAUGAAUUUUAGAAUGCUUAAAAUGCUUAUGUUGUAUACAAUGCAUUUUUGGACCUCUAUGUAGUAGAGAGCUUGCAUGUGAGACUUAUGCAUGAGUUCAGCAUUCGUAUUUGGGACUUAGAAUGGUGUUUCAAAUAGUGAAAUGACAAUGAUUAUAUGUAUAUACCUUUGGUCAUAUGAGGAAACAUUAGGCCAUGAAGUGGCUUGGGACUUGAUUGUCAUGUGAAAUAGUAAGCUAAUGUCAUAAAGAGACAUUGAGUUUGGGCUAUGUGUGAACCUAGUAGAUAAUGUCAUAAAGGGGCAUUAGAUUAGAGUGGUUUGUGAAUUAGUAAGCUAAUGUCAUAAAGGGGCAUUAGGCUUGGAAUAUGUGUGGACUUAGUAAACCUAAUGUCAUGAAGUGGCAUUAGUGUUGUACCGAGAUUUGGGCAUAGUGAGAUGUAAUGUCAUAAAGGGUCAUUGGACAUAAUGAACGGUUAAACCUUCACGUUGGACAUUGGACUAGACCGAUGGGUUGCUAGUGACUGUUGCCAUGUUAGAGACAUGAUGAUUGGACAUUUGAGAUGAUGACUACGCUUGCUUGCCAUUUGUGCUUAUUCGCACAUGCUUGUGAGGGUUGCUCCCUACAAGCCGGCACUCCGGAGUUAGCCUAUGCAACUUAUGUUCGCUCGUGCGGUAUUGAGAAGCCUAUGGGGCCGGGUGGGACAGACUCAUUCCUCGAGUGGAAAUGUUGGGCUACCACAGGCACUUAGGCGGCACAAGCCGGACUACCUUGGGUAGGUCCUUAAUGGGAAAUAAAAAUCGACACGGUGUCGCAUAAGUAAAAUCACUACUAAAUAGAUUAUAGUAGUUGGGUUUCUUGGGCAUGCUUAUAGCAUAGGUUUGGACUUAUAGUAUACUUGAUUAUAGCGCUCUUUGCACUUUAGUAUACUUGCUUGCUAUGUGGGAUCACACUAGUUUUGUGUUGGACAUAUUUGAGCAUGAUAGAAUCUGUGUACUACACAUUGCCAUCAUAUUGCUUAUAGCAUAGUAGUUUAUUUUAGCAUUCAAUACAUGCUUUCAUAUUUGCAGUUUAACUCUAGUUGUUUAUCAUAUCUACCGUACUCUUUGGGCCGAGUGGCGCAAUGUGCUGAAGUCAGUAAUUGCCCACUAGGAAUUAUAAAUUAUAGUUCUCACACCCCUUAUUUCUUGUUUCCUUUCAGAGCCUUCCACACCGGGCGAGGCUAGGGACCGCGGAAAGGGCAUCGCCUCGAGCUAGCUCUUUUGCGAGGGUCGUAUCGAUAGGUGGUCUACCUCUCAUUGGUUUUAUUUUGGAGAGGUUGAGAGUUGUACCAUGUAUAGAGACCACCUAUUUUGUAUUAUGAGACAGAUGUUGUACUUCAUAUAUUUUUUUAGUGGAUCUGUUUACUGUUCUCUACUUGUUGUUAGUAUGUAGCUGCUAGUUACUCUGAUAUCUUUAGUUGUCUUACUUUUCCUUGCUUUCAUAUCUCUAUUGUUGUCGACGCCUUAUAUGUGCAGGCAUAUGGCGGGUCUGGGCGCACCUCGGGCGGGCCUAUGCCGGGUCCCGGGGCGUGACAAUAUUGGUUCUGUAUCAUUCAUGCAUGAUAGGGUAGUGUAACAUGUGAUUAUUGGUUGGGAUUCAAUUAUAUGCUUGUAAGUAGGUGAACAUAUUAAUUGAUAUGGAACCAUGUGAGACAUGUAUGUUGGAACCCUAUACUUGUGUGAAUAUGUGAUAUGGACUAUGACAAUAGUAAAUAAAGGUGACAUUGAUAUUAGCGGGCAAGAUUGGCAUCGAGAGAUGAAUUGCUAAACAAGGUCUAACCUAUUGUGGCAUUAUGGCAAGUGUGGCCUAGAGAGUGAUGUAUAAAACAAGGUAAAAACCUGUUAUUGCAUUGUGGCAUCGUGGCUUGUGGCAUUAUAGCAAGUGUAGCUAUACGUCCUCAAAUUGGGGAUUGGAUCAUACUCACAUUGGGUCUUGGCUUGAGGGCGGUAGCUUCUCCCUCAAGCGGUGUGUUCCGGAAUUGUCACCAUGGGGAGAGCGGUCCCCGAAGACGGUCCCUCGGGUGGUAGUGCUUGGAGCCUCCCCGAUUGACAGGGAUUUUGGUUGUGAGUUUUUGGGUUAACUAGUGUUAACCGGGCAAAUUGGGUAAAAGCCAAGUGAAUGUGAAUCAUGCAUGCAUUUAUCAUACUCAUGAUUAUAUAUCUGUUGACCAGUUUUCUUGCAGGCAUAGUAUUAGCAUUAGUGUGGUUUGCUAUAUCUAUUUCCUUUCAUACUUAUACCUGAAUAGACCUAGUCGGCGAAUCGACGGGGUCGGCGGCGAAUCGACGGGGUUACACCACUAACCCUGCAGAUCCGAGCGCAUGUGGGAUGGCGGAGGAUCAGGGCAAGGGUAUAGCGCCGUAGCUAGCAGCCACCGGAGUUGUAGGCAUUCCCUAUGUACAUAUUCAACUUUUGUAUGUUGAACUAGUGAUGUAAUAAAGUCGUAAUCCAUAUGUUUUGGUUGGAUGACUUAUGUGAUGUACAUGUACGAGAAGAAGGGAAAUGGAUGUAAUAUGUUUAGUUUACUUGUAUUUGGUUAAAAUGUAAUCAAAUAUCAUAUGUAUGGUUGUAUGUGGAUGUGUAGUAGCUUAGAGCUUUCACUACUUGUUGUUGCUUGCCCUCGAGCAAGCCUUAUAUAAUUGCAAUCUCGUUGUUUGAUUUGCUUGGUUAUACAUGUUGGUGGAGCCUUGGGCGGACAUGGGAGGUGCUGUCCAUUCGGCGUCUGUUGACGUGCCCGAACCGACCAAAUUGGCGGUCACGGGGCGUGACAACAAAGGUACCAUCUUUGAAGAAUUUUAAAUAGACACAAUGAUCAUACUUACUUUUUUGGAAUCCACGGCUUAGCAUAAAUGUCACGCCCCGGGACCGGCGGAGGCCCUCCCGGUAGCGUGCCCAGACCCGCCAUAUGUCUACACAUAUAAGGCGUCUACAAUAAAAGCGGAAGUAAAAGCAAGUAAAAGAACAUAUAGAAGAAGUGAAAUAACCAGCAACUAACGAUAUCAGAGCGAAUACAGUUCUAACAUCUACAUCAAUAGUGAUAGAACAUAACUAACACAAGAAAGUAAACAUAAGUCAUACAGUAACAGCCUCUAAUACAAAAAUGGUGGUCUCUAGUACACUGGUAAACACCUCAACCUCUCCAAAAUAAAACACCACGAGAGGUAGACCACCUAGCGAAUCGUCCUCAAAGGAAGCUAGCUCGAAGCGACUCCCUUCCCGCGGUCCCUGGCCUCACCCUGAGUGGAAGGCUCUGAAAAACAUCGAGAAAAAGAGGGCGUGAGAACUAUAAUUUAUAGUUCCCAGUGGGCAAUUACUGACCUCAGCUCAUGCUCCACUAGGCCCCAAAAGUAAGGGUAAGCAACGAUAAUAAUAAUGAGCAAUAAAAAGGAGCAUGUAAUAAACUGCUGAAAGAGAGAACAUAAGUAAAAAUGCUAUACUACUAUAUCCCUCAUAAGCACGAUGUCAAACUGUUGUACAUCUAUUCCAUCAUAAGGAAAGGUAACCAAUGGCAAUAGUUUCCUGUUACGACCCUUUAAUCAUACAUGAUGUAUAAGCUCUAUCAUGGCAACCAAGCAUACUGUGAUGAAAUAGGUAACUGUCAAGUAUACUACAUGUCUCAACACUAUGCUAAAAGCAUAUAAAUGUAACUCAACUACUAACCCUAUCUAGUAGUGAUUAUCCAUUCUCGACACCGUAUCGAUUUCCAUUUCCAAUUAAGGACCUACCAAAGGUAGUCCAGCUUGCGCCGCCUAAGUGCCUGUGGUAGCCCAACAUCCCUACUCAUGGAAUGUGUCUGUCCCACUCGACCCCGUAGGCUUCUCAAUACCGCACGAGCGAACAAAAGUCGCGUAGGCUAACUCCGGAGUGCCGGCUUGUAGGGAGCGACCCUCACAAGCAUGUGCGAAUGAGCACAAAUGGCUAACAAGCAAGGUCACUGUCUCAAGUACCCAAUCCACAUGUCUCUAACAUGGUAUAGUCACUAGCAUCCCGAAGAUCUAGUUCAAGUCACAAUGUGAAGUUUCAACAUUUGCUACGCCUAGUGCCCCUUAAUGACACUUAGGCAAUUUAAUGUUCAACAUGUUUUCCAAAUCCCUCAAUGGCCCUAUCCACUAGGUUCACACGUGUCCCGAGCUCAAUGCCGCUUGAUGACAUUAGCUCCCUAAUUCACAUCGCUUCUAAAUGACAAUAUUGUCAAUUUUUCAUGUCACAAGUAAACUUAGGUUUAAAUGCAUGAAUCCGAACCCAUUUUACUGUAGAAGCAUGGUACCACGUCUCAUAUAGAAUGCUAAAUGCAACUAUGGCCUAAUAAGCUACUCUCUACUAUAUAGAGGUCCAAAAUUUCGUCAUAUAUAACAUAGGCCUUUUAAGCAUUCUAAAAUUCACAAUAAAUACAUAUAACAAGAAUAUGCAUGCUCUUUCAUUUAACAACACUUAAUUAAGCACAAAUGAGAAUUUCUCAUUGUGUGGCUAGGUCAAACCCACCGAACCGUCGCGUAGGGUCUCGUCUCGCCGAACCAAGUUGUCCCCGAGUCUCAAAAUACCCUAAAAGUAAUCAGCGAAGAGAUACGAGGGCAUUACGACCAUUAAAUAAGAUCAAACCUUAAUCUAGAAGCAAAAGGGCCAAAAUUUACCUCAAGAGUAGGAAACUCUUCCAAAGCUCCAAAUGAGAGCUAGAACCCUUCCAAUCCAAGCCCUAGGGAGGUUCUAAACCAAUCAAUCUAGCCCCAAAAGCCCUAGAUCAAAAAGCCCCAAAAAUAAACCCUAAUACCCAUUCUAGGGUUUCAACACAAGAAAAAUCUCAAAUCCAACGUCUAGAUGGAGAGAAAGGGCUACCAACCUCAAAGAAGCUUCAAUCCAAGCUCAAAGGGUGAAGAUCUUCUCCUUUGCAAGCUCCAAGUCCAAGCCUUCAAGCACCAAGGAAGAAGAGGGGAUGAGGAAGAUGCUCCAAGUCCUCCAAAAACUCUUAAUCUUCUUCUUCUUCCUUCCUUCUUCUCCUUCUCCUUCUCCUUCUCCUUCUUCUUCUUCUUCUCUCUCUAGGAAGUGUAGGGAGAGGUUGAGAAUGAGAAAAUGAGAGAGGGGAGAGAAGGAAAUGGCUAAUAAGCCCAUCUAUUGUAACAAAAUCCAACCAGGCCCCUCAAAAAUCCAAUAUUGCAUCAGCCCGGUCUGGGCAGUUUUCGCCCAGAGGGACCGGUCUCUCCCCAGCUGGGACCGGUCUCUCGCUGCGAACCCGAAAAACCAGCGUUCGGGAACCGGUCUCUCCCUGCGCGGGACCGGUUGCCUCAGGCUGCCUCAACACUGCUCACUGGGGGAACCGGUCUCUCCUUCCAGGGACCGGUCCCCGAGAGUAAAAACUCUCAGGACUUGUCCAAAAUUCCAAUUUUCCGAACUUUUAGGUCGGAAAACAUUCUACAACCCUCCACUAAGUGUGGAAAAGCUCGAAAAACAUCCAAGCACUCGAACCUCGCAAUUUGCAAAGGUCCAGUGUGUUACAAUAAAAGUGUCAAACUUUUGAUACCACUGUCUUGAUGCUUGUUUGAGCCCGUACAAUGAUUUUUUGAGCUUACAUACAAGAAAAGUUGGCGAAGAUUUAACUACAAGAAAAGUUGGAUAGAUGGAUCAUGACCAAAUAGACUUGCCAAAAAGAAUUUAUAUGCCAAAACAAAAUUAUAUUGAGUUAUUAAAUACACAAUGAAUUCACAUUUUCUUUAUAGGGAAGAAAGUAAAAAAAAAAAAAAAUCAAAUGUGAACUCACUAUCAAACACAGAACAAAUUCACAAAGAACUCAUAUAAAGCUUGAAACUAGAGCAAAUGGCAAAGGACUUGAUGGUUGGAACUUUCUUAUGCAAUCUUUAAUUGAAAUGUGUUCCUGGUUGGAACUUCGUAUAUUGUAUUGAUUGCGACGCCUUGAAUGUACAGGGGAGACUCUGUCCGCGGUACAGGGGAAAUCCUGUCCGUUCGGCGGUCUGUUGGCAUGCCCGAAACCGACCAAAUAGGCGGGCUCGGGGCGUGAGAAGACCGGUCCCUCCAUCCGAAAACAGCCUAGACCGGGCUUUGCAAUGGUUGCAAAGUUGAGGGGCUUUUCUGGAUUUUGUUGCAUUAGAGGGCCUAAUGGCCAUUUCUCUCUCUUUCUCUCUCUCCCUCAUUUCUCUUCCUCACACUCUUGUUAGAGAAGGAGAAGGAGAAGAAUGAGGAGAAGGAGAAGAAGGAAGGUAGGAGAAGGAGAAGAUCAACUAGAGGACUUGGAGCAUCUUCCUCUCCCUCUCUUCUUCCCAUUGGUGCUUGAAGGCUUGGACUUGGAGCUUGCUAGAGAGGAGAUCAUCACUCUUGGAGCUUGGUUAGGAGCUUCUAAGAAGGUCAGUUGCUCAUUUCUCCCCUCUAGACCUAGUUUUGUUGGUUUUUGGGAGAUGAAACCCUAGAAUGGAAAAUCUAGGGUUUAUUUGGGGCUUUUUGAUUUGGAGCUUUUGGAGCUAAUUUAAUUGGAUUAGAAUCUUGGUUUAGGUUGCUUUGAAAGGGGUUUAACUUCUAUUUAAGCUUUGGAGAGGGAUUUCUACUCUCUAGGUGAGAGUUUAGCCCUCUAUGCCUACAUGGUUAACGUUUGAGCUAAUAGCUGUUCAUUUACUUCUUGUAGCUCACUUUUUGAUGCUUCUAGGGUGCUAGGAGCUUAGUGGACAUCUUCGUUGGAGCAAACAAAGGAUUGUGCGAAGUUCGGUGGGUUUGACCUAGCCGAAAAUAUGAGAAAUUCUGAUAUUUGAUGAUUUAUGUGUCGUACGGUGGAAAUCCAUGCAUUUUCAUGUUAGAUGUAUUUAUUGUGAAUUUUAGAAUGCUUAACAUGUCUAUGUUAUGUGUAAUGAACCUUCGGACCUCUAUGUAGUAGAGAGUUUGCAUGUGGGGCUUAUGUUGCAUUUAACAUUCUUGUGUGGGACUUGGGACCAUGAUUCUUAUAGUGAAAAUGAGCAUUGCUUGCAUGCAUUUAAAUCUAUGCCCAAUUGAGACACAAGGGAUUUUAGUAAGUCAUAAAGAGGCUUGGGGACUUAUACUAUUGGAGAAUGAUUGGGCUAAUGUCAUAAAGAGACAUUGAGCUCGGGCUAUAAAUGAACCUAGUAUUAAUGUCUUAGAUAGAACAUAGAAUAUGAAAUGUGCUCAACUUAUAGCAAGGCUUAAGUGUCAUAAAGAGGCACUAAGCCUAGUGAGUGUUGGAACAUCACAUUGAGACAUAGAACUAGACCGUUCGGUUACUAGUGACUUUUACCAUGUUAGGGACAUGAUGAUUGGACAUUUGAGACGAUGACUACGCUUGCUUGCCAUUUGUGCUCAUUCGCACAUGCUUGUGAGGGUCGCUCCCUACAAGCCGAUACUCCGGAGUUAGCCUAUGGGACUUAUGUUCGCUCGUGCGGCAUUGAGGAGCCUACGGGGCCGGGUGGGACAAACUCAUUCCUCGAGUGGGGAAUGUUGGGCUACCACAGGCACUUAGGCGGCACAAGCCGGACUACCUUGGGUAGGUCCUUAAUGGGAAAUGAAAAUCGACGUGGUGUCGGAUAAGUAAAAAUCACUACUAAAUGGAUUAUAGUAGUUCGGUUUCUUGGACCUACUUAUAGCAUAGGUUUGGACUUAUAGUAUACUUGAUUUUAGCGCUCUUUGCACUUUAGUAUACUUGCUUGCCAUGUGGGAUCACACUAGUUUUGUGUCAGACAUAUUUGAGCACGAUAGAAUCUGUGUACUACACAUUGCCAUCAUAUUGCUUAUAGCACAGUAGUUUACCUUAGCAUUCAGUACAUGGCUUCAUAUCUGCAGUUUAAUUUCAGUUGUUUAUCAUAUGUAUCUUACUCUUUGGGCCUAGUGGCGCAAUGUGCUGAGGUCAGUAAUUGCCCACUGGGAACUAUAUGUUAUAGUUCUCACGCCCUCUAUUUUAUGUUUUCUUUCAGAGCCUUCCAUGCUGGGAGAGGCUAGGGACCGUGGAAAGCGUAUCUGUCACGCCCCGAGCCCGCCNNNNNNNNNNNNNNNNNNNNNNNNNNNNNNNNNNNNNNNNNNNNNNNNNNNNNNNNNNNNNNNNNNNNNNNNNNNNNNNNNNNNNNNNNNNNNNNNNNNNAUUUUUAAAUAUUACAAAAUUUGGUUUCUAAACAUUUCUAAUUGUGUAGAUCAACUUCAAUGGUGCCGAUUAUCAAUUUGAAGUUCCAAUCAUUCAAAUCGACUUGAUAGGACAAGAGUCCCAAUCCUAUUAAUAGGAUAGUAGCCGGACCCUAUAUAUAUAUAUAUAUAUAUAUAUCAAUAAUUCUGAUUUGACAUUUGAGUUCUUUGUCGGUAUUUUUUAUAAAAUUUUUAUUUUUAGCCGUUCAUUUUUAGGCUACUCGUUCACUAGACAAACAAAGUAAAAAAAUUAUUAAAUUUGAUUUCUAGAUAGCUCCAAUAGCGUAGAUCAAGUUUAACGGAGCCGAUCACUAUGCUAUUAAAAGGAGCCUAGCUUUUAUAUAUAUAUAUAUAUAUAUAUAUAUAAUGAGUCCGGCUACUAUGCUAUUAAUAGUACGAAGCAUUUGGUGCUACCAAGUUUUCCGCCGUUAGAUCAACCCUUUUGAUCAUUUUCACCCGUUAGAUCAUAUUAUUUAACCAACCACCCACUCAACCCUAGGGGACCCACAUCAUUCUAACCCACAUCUCUUAAUCCAAUGGCUAAAAACUUGGUAGCACCAAUGACUUGGUGCUAUUAAUAGCAUAGUAGCCUAGUUCAUAUAAAAUUGAGUUAGAAUACUAUUGAUAGUAAACAUGCUCCGUUACUACCCAUUUGUUUUCGAUGAUAGAGCCUCCAAAUCAACAAUCGGCACCGUUGAACAUGAUCUAUACUACUUGAAGUGUUUAGAAAUCAAAUUUCAAAUCUUUUCGACAUCAUUUGCCUAAUGAUCAAAGGGCUUCAAAAUUUGUAAUUUUAAUGGUUGAUAUGAGACGUUUUCUUGUUUAACGGCGUAAGAAUAUUCAAAUAAAUUGAAUUUUUGUUAGAAAAUUUUUUAAGCUAUUUAAAACAAGAUCUAUACUCUUGAUCUUGAUUACAAGACUCCUAUCAUCAUUUUUUAAAGAAUAUUCAUUUUCAGCCGAUCAUUUUUGUGUCCACUCGAUGGAUAAGAGAACAAUGUCGAAAAUGUAUAAAAUUUGAUUUUUAAAUACUUCAAGUGGUAUAGAUCAUGUUCAACGGUACCGAUCGUCGAUUUGGAGGCUUCAUCAUCGAAAACAAAUAGAUGGCAACGGAGCCCGUUUACUAUCGAUAGUAUUCUAGCUCAACUCUCUCUCUCUCUCUCUCUCUCUCUCUGUAUAUAUAUAUAUAUAUAUAUAUAUAUAUNNNNNNNNNNNNNNNNNNNNNNNNNNNNNNNNNNNNNNNNNNNNNNNNNNNNNNNNNNNNNNNNNNNNNNNNNNNNNNNNNNNNNNNNNNNNNNNNNNNNNNNNNNNNNNNNNNNNNNNNNNNNNNNNNNNNNNNNNNNNNNNNNNNNNNNNNNNNNNNNNNNNNNNNNNNNNNNNNNNNNNNNNNNNNNNNNNNNNNNNNNNNNNNNNNNNNNNNNNNNNNNNNNNNNNNNNNNNNNNNNNNNNNNNNNNNNNNNNNNNNNNNNNNNNNNNNNNNNNNNNNNNNNNNNNNNNNNNNNNNNNNNNNNNNNNNNNNNNNNNNNNNNNNNNNNNNNNNNNNNNNNNNNNNNNNNNNNNNNNNNNNNNNNNNNNNNNNNNNNNNNNNNNNNNNNNNNNNNNNNNNNNNNNNNNNNNNNNNNNNNNNNNNNNNNNNNNNNNNNNNNNNNNNNNNNNNNNNNNNNNNNNNNNNNNNNNNNNNNNNNNNNNNNNNNNNNNNNNNNNNNNNNNNAUAUAUAUAUAUAUAUAUAUAUAUAUAUAUAUAUAUAUAUAUACCAACACUAUGUUAGGUGUACCUUUCAAUAUGCAUGCCCUCAAUCAUGCAUAUGGUAUAGGACUACAAGUUGAACCUUUUACACUUGUCAAUUUUUCAAGGUACUUUAAUUCUUUCUUACUCUCUAUCUUCAUUUUAAGUGUUUUUAGAACUACUUUUAAAUUUUUUUUUAUCGGAUCGAUCUUAACAUGAUAUUAGAAUUUGUGUACAAACCCCCUUCAUUCUCUCCGGAAAUGAAUUUGAUUUUCACAUUUCCUAUUCUAUGUCAGCUCCUUAGUUAGUGCAUGUUAUUAAUUUAAUUUAUCUGACAUCUACAAAGCAAUAAUGCAAAGACUAUUUCUAAAUCAGUCUCUUCAUUAAAUUGAUCUUUUAGAAAUAUUUUGUAGAACUGUUCAAGAGCUUAUAUAGCAAAAGAGAUAAGAGGGACUAAGAUUCUUCGAUUAUAUGCACUAGGGAUUGAGCUUUAUGAUCACACCUUCAACUUCCUUGCAAAUUAAGGUGAAGAUGUGUGUGUUUCUUUUUCUAAUUUAAUUUUCAUUUCGUCCAGCAUUUACCAUUCGAAUGCUGGACGACUACUCGUGUCGUUGCGAUGGUGUGUGGCUUCGGCCGGUUCGUUAAGGCCGACGACACGACCAAGGCGAUGACGAACCUCCGUGCAUUCCGGUGCCAGAUCACUCUCGAUUCUCUUACCGAUAUUCCUCAGAACAUGUUCGUGGCACUGGGGGAGGAGAGUUUUUCCGUCAUGAUCUACUUGGAGAGUUGGGAGCGCACAGCGGAAGACAGAGGAGCCAACCCCCUUUGCACCGUCUCAGGACGGCCCCGGCAACGCGAACCUACCGCCCGGGGAUAGGAGGGUUAACGCCCGAGACAACUUCGGCCACGAGGUGGCCGAGGAGGACUUGGGCGAAGGUGCAGGGGAGCUGGACGAGACUAGGUUCGAAAAAUCGGUGAACCUGGGUUCGAGGCGUUCUUCGAACCAGCGACCUUCGGCCGGAACGAAGAGCGGGCCGGCGUUCGCAAGGCCGCGGAGAUCUGUACCGGGCAGCGGCGGCAAGAAACUAGAUGUUGUAUCUCGAUAGGUGCGACGACUCAGAUCAAAGACCGAGGACGAUGGCUCUAAUCCCGUGGGUUUCACGGAUCAGUAAGGGUUCGCGGAGUGCGCAAGCGACCCUUCUCCUAUUCCCUUUCCAAGAAUCUCUCUUUCUUCGCUAUCGACUGGAGAGUCGCCUAGGGAAGAGGGCCGAAAGGCCAUGAUGGUUAAGAGAGCUGUGAGCCCAGGUACCUUGGAUGGGAAGAGUCUAACCCUCGGUAACUUACUUCUUCGUUUCUUCUGCCAACUCCCAAGGCUGCAACGCUUUUAAUGGCUUGGAGGGGGAAUCACGUGCUUUUAUUAGAGAGUGGGGGGCGUCCCUUGUUGCGGAUUGGGCCUACUCCGGGGUCCCAGUGGCAGAGAUUGGAUUGGUUGGGGGCCCAGAUGGGUGAGGUGUUAGUGUUUCUAGCCACGACGCAAGGGGCCCACCUCGGGGACUGGUGGCACUGUUCGGAUUGGAGCCUGACAGAUGGGGCCUUCGGCCUUUCCAAGACCCAUGAACGGCAAGGAGAUGGAGAACCGAACGCCCCGAUGAUAACACACGGGAUUCGGGUGCAGAGAGUGACGGAUGGAGGUGAACGCGCGACAUAUUGGGUCGACAACGGGCUACCGUCUCUGGUUGGUGGCAGGGCGAACUUUUGGGGUGAUGGGACUAGCGACACACAGUCGGUAUGCCAUCUCGGUGGGGAGAACGUAGCGGACCAAGCUUCCACCGAGGAGGCCAAGCAAAGCGACUGGGAUGAACCUAAGGAGUUGAGGGUAACGACGAAUGAGAUUUCAAGGAAGAAGCCAGGAAACCUACCUAUUCGCGUCAGCGCGCGGCUUGCGUGCGAGGAUAAUUCCUCGAUCCUCUCCAAAGCGAUAUUCAAGUAGAGUUUGUUACAAUAACUUAUCUAUCCUUAUCUAGUGACAACAAUUACGGUAGCGAGAAAAUUAUAAAUUAAUGCAAAAAAUUCCGCUAGAAAUUAACUCACAUAUAUGUCCUGUGUACAAAAAUACAAAAAGAGAAAGAACAAGAAAAGAAUCCAAUACUUGAUAUAACAGUAAAAAAGAAGAAGCAAAAUAAAAGAAACUUCAGAUUCAUUAGAAGUUGCAGAAACAACAACACCAGAAAUUACAAUAGCCAUAAAUGCAAAAGAAGUAGAUGCAAGAACAUCAGCACUAAGAGAAGAAAAACUAAUAACAAAACAGGCAAUAUUAAGAAUCAAGCAGCAAUAACAGAGGAAUUAGUCGUGGGUCAAGUGCAAAAACGUAAAAAAUAAAAAAAUAAAAAAUAGUAAAAAUAAUAUAAAUGUAUUCGCUCAGAUAAUCAAUAAGUUAAAUCAUUAAUGAACAAAGGUGAUUUCCACAUUGAAAUAAAUUAUAUGAUAAAUCAAUAGUUGCAACGGUUGUCUAAAAAAGGCCAUCCAAGUUGGCAUACUAUGCCAAAACUUUAUUUUUUUAAUAAUUAUUUUAAACUUUUUUUAUUUAAUUUUUUUUUUUUUUGCAUUAUGUCAUCAUCGCCAAUUAAGUAAGAAUUGAAAAUUUAUAUAUAAAAAUUGUGNCAAAAAAUUAUGAAAUUUGAUUUCUAGAUAGUUCCAAUAGCGUAAAUCAAGUUUAACGGAGCCGAUCGCCGAAUUGGAUGCCACAUCAUCGAAAACAACUUACGAGCAUGGAGACCUCCGUACUUUCAAAAUCAUAGGAGCCUAGCUUUUAUAUAUAUAUAUAUAUAUAUAUAUAUAUAUAUGUAUAUAUAAAAUUGAGUUAGAAUACUAUCAAUAGUAAACAUGCUCCGUUACUACCAAUUUGUUUUCGAUGAUAGAGCCUCCAAAUCAACGAUCGGCACCGUUGAANNNNNNNNNNNNNNNNNNNNNNNNNNNNNNNNNNNNNNNNNNNNNNNNNNNNNNNNNNNNNNNNNNNNNNNNNNNNNNNNNNNNNNNNNNNNNNNNNNNNNNNNNNNNNNNNNNNNNNNNNNNNNNNNNNNNNNNNNNNNNNNNNNNNNNNNNNNNNNNNNNNNNNNNNNNNNNNNNNNNNNNNNNNNNNNNNNNNNNNNNNNNNNNNNNNNNNNNNNNNNNNNNNNNNNNNNNNNNNNNNNNNNNNNNNNNNNNNNNNNNNNNNNNNNNNNNNNNNNNNNNNNNNNNNNNNNNNNNNNNNNNNNNNNNNNNNNNNNNNNNNNNNNNNNNNNNNNNNNNNNNNNNNNNNNNNNNNNNNNNNNNNNNNNNNNNNNNNNNNNNNNNNNNNNNNNNNNNNNNNNNNNNNNNNNNNNNNNNNNNNNNNNNNNNNNNNNNNNNNNNNNNNNNNNNNNNNNNNNNNNNNNNNNNNNNNNNNNNNNNNNNNNNNNNNNNNNNNNNNNNNNNNNNNNNNNNNNNNNNNNNNNNNNNNNNNNNNNNNNNNNNNNNNNNNNNNNNNNNNNNNNNNNNNNNNNNNNNNNNNNNNNNNNNNNNNNNNNNNNNNNNNNNNNNAUAUAUAUAUAUAUAUAUAUAUAUAUAUAUAUAUAUAUAUAUACCAACACUAUGUUAGGUGUACCUUUCAAUAUGCAUGCCCUCAAUCAUGCAUAUGGUAUAGGACUACAAGUUGAACCUUUUACACUUGUCAAUUUUUCAAGGUACUUUAAUUCUUUCUUACUCUCUAUCUUCAUUUUAAGUGUUUUUAGAACUACUUUUAAAUUUUUUUUUAUCGGAUCGAUCUUAACAUGAUAUUAGAAUUUGUGUACAAACCCCCUUCAUUCUCUCCGGUAAUGAAUUUGAUUUUCACAUUUCCUAUUCUAUGUCAGCUCCUUAGUUAGUGCAUGUUAUUAAUUUAAUUUAUCUGACAUCUACAAAGCAAUAAUGCAAAGACUAUUUCUAAAUCAGUCUCUUCACUAAAUUGAUCUUUUAGAAAUAUUUUGUAGAACUGUUCAAGAGCUUAUAUAGCAAAAGAGAUAAGCUAAGAUUCUUCGAUUAUAUGCACUAGGGAUUGAGCUUUAUGAUCACACCUUCAACUUCCUAGCAAAUUAAGGUGAAGAUGUGUGUGUUUCUUUUUCUAAUUUAAUUUUCAUUUCGUCCAGCAUUUACCAUUCGAAUGCUGGACGACUGCUCGUGUCGUUGCGAUGGUGUGUGGCCGACGACACGACCAAGGCGAUGACGAACCUCCGUGCAUUCCGGUGCCAGAUCACUCUCGAUUCUCUUACCGAUAUUCCUCAGAACUUGUCCGUGGCACUGGGGGAGGAGAGUUUUUCCGUCAUGAUCUACUUGGAGAGUUGGGAGCGCACAGCGGAAGACAGACAGACAGAGGAGCCAACCCCCCUGCACCGUCUCAGGACGGCCCCGGCCCCGGCAACGCGAACCUACCGCCCGGGGACAGGAGGGUUAACGCCCGAGACAACGCCGGCCACGAGGAGGACUUGGGCGAAGGUGCAGGGGAGCUGGACGAGACUAGGUCCGAAAAAUCGGUGAACCUGGGUUCGAGGCGUUCUUCGAACCAGCGACCUUCGGCCGGAACGAAGAGCGGGCCGGCGUUCGGCAAGGCCGCGGAGAUCUGUACCGGGCAGCGGCGGCAAGAAACUAGAUGUUGUAUCUCGAUAGGUGCGACGACUCAGAUCAAAGACCGAGGACGAUGGCUCUAGUCCCGUGGGUUUCACGGAUCAGGCUAAGGGUUCGCGGAGUGCGCAAGCGACCCUUCUUCCUGUUCCCUUUCCAAGAAUCUCUCUUUCUUCGCUAUCGACUGGAGAGUCGCCUAGGGAAGAGGGCCGAAAGGCCAUGAUGGUUAAGAGAGCUGUGAGCCCAGGUACCUUGGAUGGGAAGAGUCUAACCCUCGGUAACUUACUUCUUCGUUUCUUCUGCCAACUCCCAAGGCUGCAACGCUUUUAAUGGCUUGGAGGGGGAAUCACGUGCUUUUAUUAGAGAGUGGGGGGCGUCCCUUGUUGCGGAUUGGGCCUACUCCGGGGUCCCAGUGGCAGAGAUUGGAUUGGUUGGGGGCCCAGAUGGGUGAGGUGUUAGUGUUUCUAGCCACGACGCAAGGGGCCCACCUCUGGGACUGGUGGCACCGUUCGGAUUGGAGCCUGACAGAUGGGGCCUUCGGCCUUUCCAAGACCCAUGAACGGCAAGGAGAUGGAGAACCGAACGCCCCGAUGAUAACACACGGGAUUCGGGUGCAGAGAGUGACGGAUGGAGGUGAACGCGCGACAUAUUGGGUCGACAACGGGCUACCGUCUCUGGUUGGUGGCCAGGGCGAACUUUUGGGGUGAUGGGACUAGUGACACACAGUCGGUAUGCCAUCUCGGUGGGGAGAACGUAGCGGACCAAGCUUCCACCGAGGAGGCCAAGCAAAGCGACUGGGAUGAACCUAAGGAGUUGAGGGUAACGACGAAUGAGAUUUCAAGGAAGAAGCCAGGAAACCUACCUAUUCGCGUCCGUGCGAGGAUAAUUCCUCGAUCCUCUCCAAAGCGAUAUUCAAGUAGAGUUUGUUACAACAACUGAUCUAUCCUUAUCUAGUGACAACAAUCACGGCAGCAAGAAAAUUAUAAAUUAAUGUAAAAGGUUUCGUUAGAAAUUAACUCAUAUAUAUGUUCUGUGUACAAAAAUACAAAAGAAGAAAGAACAGAAUAGUUGAUGGAUAAGAAAAGAAUCCAAUACUUGAUAUAAGAGUAAAAAAGAAGAAGCAAAAUAAAAGAAACUUCAGAUUCAUUAGAAGUUACAGAAACAACAACACCAGAAAUUACAAUAGCCAUAAAUGCAAAAGAAGUAGAUGCAAGAACAUCAGCACUAAGAGAAGAAAAACUAAUAGCAAAACAGGCAAUAUUAAGAAUCAAGCAGCAAUAACAGAGGAAUUAGUCGUGGGUCAAGUGCAAAAAAGUAAAAAAUAAAAAAAUAAAAAGGAGUAAAAAUAAUAUAAAUGUAUUCGCUCAGAUAAUCAAUAUGUUAUAUCAUUAAUCAACAAAGGUGAUUUCCACAUUUGAAAUGUCAUUGAAAUAAAUUAUAUGAUAAAUCAAUAGUUGCAACGGUUGUCUAAAAAAGGCCAUCCAAGUUGGCAUACUAUGCCAAAACUUUAUUUUUUUAAUAAUUAUUUUAAACUUUUUUUAUUUAAUUUUUUUUUUUUUGCAUUAUGUCAUCAUCGCCAAUUAAGUAAGAAGUGAAAAUUUAUACAUAAAAAUUGUGAAACUUAUUAAAAACUAAUUGAAAAUAUAAAGAUAUUAUUAAAAUAUAGCAAAACUAAGUGAAAAUAUUAAUUUUAAAAAUAAAUAAACUAUAAGUAGUAUAUAUAAAAAAGAUAAAUAAAUUGUAGUGUUAUUAUCUAUGCAAAUAAUUAAUUUUUUAAAUUAAUCAAAAAGUAAUUGUAAACAUAAAGGAGAAAAAAUAAAUAAAAUAAAUCUAACGCAGAAGUAAUAAAAAAACUUGCAGAACUUUGUAAAAUUUAAAACAGCUAAGAAGUAGAAGGAGUCGCAUAACUGGAAGCAGAAAGAAAAUUGAAUAUUAAUUAAAAGGAGCUGAUGCUUCACCAUAAAAUUGGUAGCAGUAACAAUAAUUAUAAUAUAUUUUUUUUUACUUUGUAUUAUCAUACUCACAUUUACUUUUGUAUAGUCUCAAUAAUUUUGAAAGUUAAUCCAAUGUGGCGAAGGGAGAUGAAACCAUAAUGAAUUAAAACCAUUUUUCAGUCUGUAGGUGGAUCAACCGAUGGAAAUGAAGCAGCACUAAUGGAAAGAGCGAGGAAGGAAGAAGGAUUGGCGUCGCACCUUCAAUUUUUGUUUAUUAGAAAAGUCAUGCUGGCUGUUGAAGCGACGACAAAGAAAGAAGCGAGCUGGCGAACCGGUUCAAAGCUGAGAAAAGGAUCCAGAUUUUUAGAUAUCUCAAAAACCGGUUCAAAGCUGUGACCUUCUGUAAUCUUUUGGCUCAGAGAAAAGUAUGUGGAAGUUCUUCUAAGAAGCGGAGAUGUCGUAGGAUGCAGAGCAAAAGAUAGCGUAUGACCAUUAUAUAGGCAUUGAGAGAUAUGGGAGAAGCCGGACAACCCUUCGGCGCUAAUGGAAACGGCGUGAAGGGAAACAGGAUCGAUGUCGUAUGUGGCCCAAUUUUUCAUCCAUAGAAGAGGAACGACGGUUUUUGAAGAUAUGGAAGUUCUUCUUAGAAGCGGAGAUGUCGCUGGAUGCAGAACAAAAGAUAGCGGAUGACCAUUAUAUAGGCACUGAGAGGUAUGAGAAAAGAUGGACAACCCUUCGGCGCUAAUGAAAACGGCGCGAAGGGAAGCAGGAUUGAUGUCGCAUGUGGCCCAAUAUUUCGUCCAUAGAAGAGAAACAAUGGUUUUCGAAGCGACGACAAAGAAGGGAACGAACCGGCGAACCGAUCCGAUGCGGCGUUGGAAAACGAAGCGAUAAUGAAUCGAGACCAUUUUAGAGUCGAGAGAGGAAUCAUUCAAUGGGAAUGAAGCUGCGCCAAUGGAAACGGUAGGGAGGGUGUACUGUUCCAAAGGUUUGGAUAGGAUUGGCUACAAUAUUGGUGACUGGUCGACACAUCUCGAGAGUGUUGGACUGAGUCGGUGUCGUUUCUGCACGAAAUGGAUGCAAAAAUGGACUUGACGCACUCAAAUAAGCAAAGCUGGAGUUUUGCCAGUUUCGGGCACGCAGAACUGGUUUGGGUCGCCCAGAACUCGAGUGCUGAUUCGGAUCCUAGUUUUGGGCGCCCGGUUGUGGGUCCAAAAAUUUACCUCGUAAAUAUAUCGUUUGAGCUGACAUGUGGCAGGUGGUAGGUGGGGUCCGCCGGACCAGGAUAUGGGUGUAGUACGCCGUGGGCGGAGGAACCGAAGGGGAGAAAUUGUGUAGCCUGGAGGUUUCGGACGCCCAGAAAGAGGUUUUGGGCGCCCGAAAGUGGCCGUUUCUGCAGGGUUAUCAGGUUAGCAGCUUUUAUUCCUGGGGCUUACUGGACCAUUCUAACUCCCUAUAAAUAGAUAGAACUCGACCCCUGUGAGCUCUUUUCCUCCCUUCUUCACAAUGAACCCUUAUUUUGUAUUUCAGCCCCUGUAAACUUCCAAAUUACUCCAUUUCCACAAUUUGAAGCUAGAGGACUGCAGUUUCAGCAGAAUUCCAGCAGCGACCUUCGGCGUUUUGGCUCGUGUGUGACGUAGGAGGCUCCGUUUGCCACGAAAUUUGGUUUGUUGGUUAGGAGAUUUCUUGAAGAUUUCGUGGAACCCUGUUUGAUAGAAAUUGAUUGAGGUUUGUAUAGUCAAUUUCGUGUUUUACUGAGCUGCUGGUAUUUUGGUCCUGAAAUUGAGUUUUCUUUGAUUGUUUAUGGGCCAAUUCUUGGAGAGAGCUAGAUUUUCGACCAGAGGAAGUUGCUCCACCUUCCCCUACUAGUUUUGUGAAUGUUCUUCACCAGAAUUGUGGAUUUGGGGAUUGAUAGGUGAGUUUUGAUAUUGUAGUUGUUGGAUUUAAGCUUAAGUGCUAAAAUUUGAGGGUGUUGAUGCAAUUUUAAUAUUUUUGUGUUUAGAUCUUUGGAGGAUAUUGGGUUUUGGACCUGAGGGUGAUACUCCAUCAUAGUUCACUGGUGUUGGGACCUUUUCUCACCUGAUUUGGAGAUCAGAAGGUGAAAUCGACAUUGAGAUUGAUGUGAAUUUGAGCUUUAGUGCUGAAUUUUGGAUUAUUGAUGGAUUUUGUUGUUUAAAUCCUUAGAGAGGCUUGUUGCUGGUUGUGGCUGAGCUUGGUAGGGAUUCCGGCGACUACCCGCUGCCGUGGAUUAGUGCUAGAGGUGGGAUAAUAUUAUGCUUACGUAUUUUGCGGAAUUCCUCCUAAGUCCAGUUGUUGUCGACGUGUAUUUCCUGUUUUGAAUAACAUGUUUAGUAGCUCGAUUCAUUGAUUUGUUGCAUUCUAAAAUCUAAAUUAGAACUUAGAAUAUUAGUUAAAUAACACAUGUUGGAUUUGGAUUUGACUUAGGAGAAAAUUGGCGCUUUUACACUGUCAUAUGUUAAAACUACAAGAUUUAGUUCUAGGAGCCGUAGUUGUUUGUAUCACCACAGUUUGUGGGCGAUGGAUACCCAAGAUAGUGUAGAAUGUAUUUACGCUCGUGCUGGGAUGCCGAGCUUAUUUUUACAGCAGUGUUUAGGCUGUUCCAGAAUCCAGACUGUCGGGUGCCGUUGAGGUUGACGGUAGACCCAGAUUGCUGUUUUUGCAUUAGAUUGUGCCGAGGGUACGUGAGUUUGGCUGUUAGACCAGUUGGACCCUGUUUACUUGACUAUAGCUUAUGAGAGUCUGAUUGAGCUCGACAGAGACACGCUUGCAUACUCGGUUGGGUAGCGCCGAUGAGUGCCACUCCGGAGUCGGGCUUUGUGCGUUUGCGUUGGUGUCGUUUUGUCCUGGUUGGACUUGCUCUCCACUGACGACUAGUGAUGUGGCUGUUAUUGUAGCUUCGACAGGCAGGACGGGUGUAUUCACAGUCCCUAGUGAGAUUGGGUCAGAGACUGCAUUAUUAUAUAGAUAGUAGUGUUGGAUCAUGAUAGUAUAGUGGCAUGUAGCUGUAGAUUGUUUCCAGUUCCUUUACUAUCAUUGAGCAUAUCAUUUGUAGACUUAGUGGGUGAGUCGUUGAGGUCGGUAGCGGUACCCACUGAGGACUACUUUUUGCAGUAGUUCUCACGCCCAGUUGUGGAUCUUUUGCAGAGCCUUCGGUUGCGGCUGCUGCUAUUGCUCAUACGGAUUGUGGAAAGGGUGUUGCGAGUUAGAGCCCUUCCUGACGAGUCCCUGAGCUAGAGGAGUACCAGCUUCAGGUAGUUGUAGUUUUUGGUUUUUUACAUACUGAUGUUGUACCUCGUUGGAGCGAGUAUUUUGUACCCGAAUGUUAUGUAUGUAUUGAACCACUGUUAUGAUAUAUGUUUUAUUUUUCUAGCUGCUCUAUACUACUAGUUGUAGUGUUGUAUGAUUACAGGUACAGCUUCGCUUCGUAUACAGGAAAAAUUUCUUUGUAUACGGCGGAUUUGUCGGCGUGCUCGGGGAAACGAGUAAUCCGGGGCGUGACAAAGGGAAGCAAAAUCGAUGUCGCACUUCGCCCUAUUUUCCGUUCAUAGAAGAAAACGAUGGCUUCCGAAGCGACAAAGCGAACCGGCAACGAUGGCUUCUGGCAAACCGCUUCAGAAGUGGACCCAUCUUUUCAAGAUAAGGAUCGGUUCCGAAGAGUAUUUGCUCUCUAAACCCUAAAACCAAUAGGUGGGCCCCACAUACCAUAUUAAUAUUUAAAAAGAAACAAAAAAAUGACAGGUAGGUCCCACAUGCUUGAAGAUAAGGAUCCGGUUUAGAAUAAGAUAUUUUCUCUAAACCCUAACAUAACAGGUAGGUCCCACAUGCCCUAAAUUAAGCCAAACAUACUAUAAUUGACAGAUAGGUCCUACAUGCACAAAUUAAGGAAAACUUGUAAGGUAGACUUAAAAUUGCGGGGAUUAAUAUAGGGUAUAGAUAGUUUUACUUGUUUGAAGUGGGUCGCGGCGAGAGGAAGUUUUGCCUGUUUGAAGAAAUUAAGCAAAACUUGUCAAGUGGACUUAAAAUUACGGGGAUUAAUAUAGGAUAUAGAUAGGUUUACUUGUUUGAUGUGGGUCACGGCGAGAGGAAGUUUUACCUGUUUGAUGUGGGUCACCGCUGGUUUGGUCGGGGGAGGGAGACGAGGGUACUGCUGUUAACAGGCUAGGGUUUUGCAAAAACACUUUCUGCUCGCUCAAGUUUUGGUGCAUAGAAUUUGGUGCGUUGUUAAUGCAGUUGAGAUUAACUGCCCUAUCGCAGACUUGGACUCGAAAUCGAAAUCGAAAAGGCAAAAACAAAUCGGAACCAGCCUGAAACAUAAGUAUUCCCUGCGUUAAACCUCGACGAAAGCACUUCUCAACAUAUAUGAGGGCUUGAAGCAGCUUCUCCCCUCCAAGCUAAGCUAUCUCCAAAUAAUAGCCUCACAGGUCAACUUUGCUAUAGAAGUUAGCUGGGAUUCCAAGAAAUACUUUAGAGAAAAAGGGAAGAAAGGGAGUAGAAGGAGCCUCUCUAAUGCUAGGAUUAGCAGAUAAAUCAAAUAGGGUCGAAACGUAUCCAGAAGAGUUGCAACAAUUGCAACAGAAGUUCCCAAAUAAUUCAAAAUCAGCGAUAUGGCCGAUUCAGCAAAAGCUUCAUGGACUAAAGCAGAUAAGAAACGCAAAUUCAAGGCAAAUUUGUGAAUAAAGAAUCCCCAAGUUACAUACCAUGGGGAUAUAAAUGAAAUUCCAACACCCUCGAGUUUCAUCAACAACAGUUUAAUACCAACAGAAAGUUAAAAUCAAAAUUCUAAAAUCUUAAGAAUAAACAAAGUGUAGGAGAGCUGAAGUUGAGCUGCUUCUCUCAUUCCUGUAACUUUGCCUUCCUCUCUAAGAACUCUUUAUCCUCGUCCACUUCAGGAGCUCGCCUGCUUUCUCGGGCACGUCUGCUGCCGCCGAUGCCGACGCCGUUUUGGGACUCGAAAACGGCGGUAGAGGCGGCGGUGUAGAGGGGGAAGAAGAAGACGACGGAGGAGGACAGGGGCGGCCCAGUGGAUCUCCGCCGUCGAUAGCGACGGGGACGGUGGAGAGGAGGCGAGGGGAGAAAAGAGUACUCAUUGUCAAGGGCUAGGGUUUCCAACUCGUCCAUGGUCGGCGACGGCUGUGGCGAUGGAGGAUCGAAGUAGACGUGGUUCACCGCCGCCAUCAUCGUUAUCUCUCUGCGAAUAAGUUAGAAUAACGAUGAAGGAUCAAAGUAGACCGUGGUUCACCGCCGCCAUCAUUCUCUACGAAUAAGUUAGGAGAAGAAACUCCGAAAUAUAUUAAUGGACAAUAAAGGGGUUUGUUCAAAAGUAAUUCUAUAAAAUUUAAAGUAGUGUUAUCCAUACAUUUUAUUUUCGAAAUAUAAAUUGUACGCUAAUAGGCUUUAAUUGGGAUUUUACCAAUCAUUAGUCUCGACACUUGGGAGCAGUUGUCACGACUUAGAAAUUUUCUUCGAGAUUUUCCUUUGCAAUCACCCAAACUCUAAAGCGGAUAUUUGUCGGAGGUUUUGCCUGGAAUCUUCUAGAAGCUUCUCUUCGUUCCUCGAGACUGAUGGCGCAGGAACCGAAGAGUCACUUAGAGUUUCUAUGAGUCACUUAGAGUUUCUAUGCUCAUUUAUUAGGACUCUUGGGAGACCGCGUGACCUCUCCUUUUGGCUUAUAGUUUUGUGCCACUUGGCAUCUUAUCAUUUGCUUUAUGGGCGGCGAGUGGCCUUUAAAUAGUUGUGGCCUCCACCCCUCUCAUUUCAGAAUCCUCAUUUGUAUUCUCAAGUUCAAAGUAAUAGAAGAGCUUUCUUCAUCUCUCUCUCUUGUAUUUAGUCUAGGGCAAGUAGGUCCUAACUUAUUAAGUAGAGAGGUAGGCUUGCUCACUUCACGAAGGAAGGCGAGUGCCGCACGGAUUUUGCGAACCAAACCGUUAAGUCCGUGACAGUUGGUAUCAGAGCCGGUUCGAGAAGGAGCCAUGUCGUCAUCCGAUGCCGGAGUUGUCAACGCUGGGGGUGAUCCCCCAAAGCAACCCUCCAAGCGGAACAACCCUCCAAGCGGAGCAAGGGCAAGGACACGCGAAUCACGAAGGAUUCCGCGUCGGUGGAGGACUGCCUUGCACUGUUGGAGGACAUACUAUCCAAGGUGGGUGAAAGGUACACCGAAAUGGCCGAUACCUUUAACUCCUUUAAUGAUGAUGUAUGUAGCAUGGAGGAGAGCGUCGUCACUGCCAUGGCGACCUUUCGAGGCGAGCUCGAGAAGCUUCAGAGCAACAUCGUCCGUCGUGACGAGGAGCGGACGAGCUUGAUCGAGGAGCUCGUUACUCGAGUCGACGAGGUCGAGGACCUCAAGACGAGAGUGACUAUCCUUGAGAAGGCGGUGGCUCGAGGCGUCGAGACGCAGAUGGAGCACACCCCAAAGGUCCGCGUCCCUGAACCCCAAUGCUUCAAGGGGACGCGCGACGAGAAGGAGAUAGACAAUUUUCUUUGGCACAUGGAGCGCUAUCUCAAGGCGCUGCGGAUGGAGGACGAGGAUGACAAGGUCCAAACCGCUUCCAUGUAUCUCAUCGACGAAGCGAUGCUGUGGUGGCGACGGCGUUCUACAGAGGCUGAGAAGGGCCAAUGCGAACUAAAUACUUGGGAGGACUUCGUGCGCGAACUGAAGGCACAGUUCUACCCCGAGCACGUCGAGUACUUGGCGCGGAGGCAGCUUCGACGGCUCAAGCACACAGGAUCCCUCAAGGAGUAUGUCAAGGAGUACUUCAAGCUGAUGCUUGCCAUCACUAGCAUGGCUGAGGAGGACAGACUAUUCUUCUUCCUCGACGGUCUCCAACCAUGGGCUAACAAGGAGCUCGUAGCGAGAGACGUCAAGGACGUAAGCUCCGCUAUUGCUCAGGCAGAGAAGCUAUUGGAGUAUGACAAGCCGGACUUCUCUCGUGGCAAACCACCUAAGGCGGGCAAGGCCAAGGGUGGGGGAGACCACUGCGAGCAGUGUGAUCACAAGGGCCAAGAGCGAAAGGGCCCUCCGCAGAAGAAGAAGACGAUCUCUUGCUAUGUUUGCCGAGGCGAUCACUGGGCGAGAGAUUUCCAAAAGAAGAAAACUGUCAACACCAUCCAAGCCGAGGAGGGCCAGGAUCAAGCGGAGACAAAGAUGGGCACGCUGUGACUCAUUAGCGCGAUCUAGGGGCAAGCGAACAGCAGCAAGUCACUCAAGAAAGAGCUUCUGUUCGUGGAUGUCACCCUCAACGGGAGGGCCACCCGAGCGCUCGUGGACACUGGAGCGACCCACAACUUCAUCACCGAGUCUGAGGCCAAACGGCUGGGCCUCGCACUCAAGAAGGACACGAGCAAGAUCAAGGUUGUCAACUCGGUGGCACAGCCUGUCGCGGGAGUAGCCAAAGGGGUGACGAUCGCUGUAGGACCCUGGUCGGGUACAGCGAACUUCACCGCCGCGACCAUCGACGACUUCAAAGUCAUUCUCGGCAUCGACUUUCUCGCUUCAUCGAAGGUGGUCCCGAUGCCGCACCUCGGGGCCUUGAGCAUCAUGGAGGAGGCAGCCUCGUGCAUGGUCUUGGCGAGCCGCAGUGAGCCAGCGGCAACCCAUGCCCUCUUCGCUCUGCAACUGCGGAAGGGGGUGAAGCGCGGCGAAAUCACUUACCUUGCGGCCAUCAGCGAGGUGAGCGGAAAGGACCUCGAGGAGAAGGGCCCUCCAGCGGUGAUCGAUGCAGUCCUGGGGGAGUUCAAGGACGUCAUGCCCUAGGAGUUGCCCAGGAGACUUCCAUCCAGGCGGGCGGUAGACCAUGCGAUCAAGCUCGAGCCAGGAGCAAAGCCACCAGCAAAGGCAGCAUACCGCAUGGCCCUGCCAGAGCUCGAGGAGUUGCAACGUCAACUGAAGGACCUCCUCGAUGCGGGUUUCAUCAGGCCGUCGAAAGCACCCUACGGAGCACCAGUCUUGUUCCAAAGAAAGAGCGACGAAAGCCUGCGGCUUUGUAUUGACUACAGAGCGCUCAACAAAGUAACGGUAAAGAACAAAUACCCUAUUCCCUUAGUUGCUGAUUUGUUUGACCAGCUUGGCGGAGCGAAAUUAUUCACCAAAUUGAACCUUCGCUCGGGGUACUACCAAGUCAGGAUCGCGGAGGGCGAUGAGGAGAAAACGGCUUGCGUGACGAGGUAUGGAGCCUACAAGUUCCUCGUCAUGCCAUUCGACCUGACGAAUGCGCCGGCGACCUUCUGCACCCUGAUGAACAAGCUAUUCCACCCCUACCUCGAUCGCUUCGUAGUAGUGUACCUCGACGACAUAGUCGUGUACAGCAACACUUUGGAGGAGCACGUCGAGCACCUGCGGACGAUCUUCCAAGUGCUGCGGGAGAACCAACUCUACGUCAAGAGGGAGAAGUGCUCCUUUGCGAAGGAGGAGGUGCACUUCCUUGGCCAUUGGAUCGGCCGAGGACAACUUUACAUGGACUAACAGAAAGUGUGGGCGAUCUGCGAGUGGGAGGCGCCCACGACGGUGUCCGACUGUGAUCCGUUCUCGGACUCGUCAACUACUACCGCCGUUUCAUCGUGGGCUACUCCGUUCGAGCAGCCCCAUUGACGGAUUUGCUGAAGAAGACCCAGUCAUGGGACUGGACCCCUCGGUGCGCGGAGGCAUUCGAGGACUUGAAACAGGCGAUGACGGAGGAUCCGGUGUUGCGUCUUCCCGACUGCAGCCAUCCAUUCGAGGUACAUACUGACGCCUCGGACUUUGCUAUUGGUGGUGUUCUCGUGCAGGAUGGACACCCCAUCGCCUACAAGAGCCGCAAGCUCAAUGACACUGAGUGGCGGUAUAUGGUGCAAGAGAAGGAGAUGACCGCCGUGGUGCACUGUCUCAGGACUUGACGGCACUAUCUCCUUGGAAGCAAGUUUGUUGUGUGGACGGACAAUGUCGCGACGAGCUACUUCCUAACUCAGAAGAAGCUGUCACCCAAGCAGGCGAGGUGGCAGGACUUUCUGGUGGAGUUCGACAUGGAGUUCAUGUACAAACCCGGGAAGGAGAACCAAGUGGCUGACGCACUCAGCCCCAUGGCUGAGUUGGCAGCGGUGUGCUAGCUCCAAGGCGCGAUAAGGGAACAAAUCCGCGAAGGGACUUGCGAAGACCCUGUGGCCCAAGGACUCGUCCGACUUGUCAAGGAGGGCAAGGCGCAACGGUUCUAGCUUAGCGAUGGGCUACUCCUCACCAAGGGGCGUCGCGUCUAUGUGCCCAGGUGGAGCAAUCUUCGUCGCGAGCUCAUGAAGGAGUGUCAUGACUCCAAUUGGGCUGGACAUCCGGGACAGAAGCGGACCAUGGCGCUACUCGAGGCCGCCUACUAUUGGCCUCGUAUGCACGAUGACGUGGAGGCAUACGUGCGGACCUGUCUUGUGUGCCAGCAAGACAAGGUGGAGCGCCAGAAGCCUGGGGGCCUCCUCGAGCCCUUACCUACACCGACGCGUCCGUGGGAGAGCAUUUCCAUGGACUUCAUCUCUGCCUUGCCCAAGGUGGGGACGUUGGGGUCCAUCCUCAUGGUGGUGGACCGAUUCUCCAAGUACGGGACUUUCAUUACAGCACUAGCGGAUUGCACGGCGGAAGAAGCGGCGCGACUCUUCGUCAGCAAUGUGGUGAAGCUUUGGGGCGUCCCCGAAAGCAUUGUGAGUGACCGAGACCUUAGGUUCACAGGCAAGUUCUGGACAGAGGUGUUCCGGAUCUUGGGGUCGGAGUUGCUCUUCUCACUAGCUUCUACCCGUAGACAGACAGCCAGACGGAGCGGGUGAAUGCCUUACUGGAGGAGUACCUGCGGCACUAUGUCAGUGCCAACCAGAAGGAUUGGAUGCAUUAUCUGAACGUGGCCCAGUUCUCCUACAAUUUGCGGCGGAGUGAGUCAACAAACCUUAGCUCGUUCGAGCUUGCAACGGGGAGGCAACCACUCACUCUGCAUUCUGUUACUGCGGGCGAGUAGGGCCGUAGCCCAAUGGUUCUUCAAUUCAUUUCUCACUUGUAGGAGAAGGGGGACAUUGCGAGAGCCUAUCUCGAGAAGGCUGCCCGCCGAAUGAAAAAGUAGGCCGAUAUAAAACGGCGACCCUUGGAGUUUGCUGAGGGAGAUCGUGUUCUGAUCAAACUGCAACCACAACAGUUCAAGACUUUUCGCAAAGUGCACCGUGGGCUUUUGCGAAAGUACGAAGGGCCUUUCACCAUUAUGAAGAGAGCGGGCAAGACAGCCUACAAACUGCAACUCUACGCCAACUUGAAAAUCCAUCAUGUCUUUCAUGCUAGUUGCCUGCGGCCCUACCAUGAAGACGCUGAGGACCCAAGCAGUGGCGUGUCGCAGCACGCUCCCGCCACCAUGACCACUGCCAUCGACAAGGAGGUUGAAGCCUUACUGGACACUCGCACCAUUCAACAUCGCGGAGUCCCGAGGAGCGUCAAGUACCUUGUCAAGUGGAAGGAUCUCCCGCAUGGCGAAGCAAGCUAGGAGAAGGCCGACACUCUCUGGAAGUAUCAGAAGCUGAUCGAUGACUUCCAACACCAGCGCGCGAUGAGGGCGUCUGCGCAAUAGGUGGGGGAGGUUGUCACGACUUAGAAAUUUUCUCUGAGAUUUUUCUUUGCAUUCACCCAAACUCCAAAACGGAUAUCUGUCGAAGGUUUUGCCUGGAAUCUUCUAGAAGCUUCUCUUCGUUCCUCGAGACUGAUGGCGCAGGAACCGAAGAGUCACUUAGAGUUUCUGUGAGUCACUUAGAGUUUCUAUGCUCAUUUAUUAGGACUCUUGGGAGACCGCGUGGCCUCCCCUUUGGCUUAUAGUUUUGUGCCACUUGGCAUCUUAUCAUUUGCUUUAUGGGCGGUGAGUGGUCUUUAAAUAGUUGUGGCCUCCACCCCUCUCAUUUCAGAAUCCUUAUUUGUAUUCUCAAGUUCAAAGUAAUAGAAGAGCUUUCUUCAUCUCUCUCUUUUGUAUUUAGUCUAGGGCGAGUAGAUCCUAACUUAUCAAGUAGAGAGGCAAACUUGCUCACUUUGCGAAGAAAGGCGAGCGACGCACGGAUUUUGCGAACCAAACCGUUAAGUCAGUGACAAGUGGUAUUCUAAACCAAAUUUUUUCUUAACUUAAGAAUUAUAUAAAUUUUAUAUUUUUCUGCUAAAAAUAUCAGUUUAAAAUAAAAAAUUUAUAUAUUUAAGGAAAAAAAAUUAAAAAGGUUGAAAAAUUAGAGGGCUUACCUGCCCUCAUCUACACCAACGCCUUGAUCUGAUUAUAAAACAAAGAAAAACAAGAUUAUAAAACAAAGAACAAAUAUGGGUGGCCCAACUAUGUCCUUUGGGUCAAUAUACGCUGCAGGGCCGAGACUUAAAAUCCAACUUGACAGGCCUGCACGCAUCAAAUAUUGAUACUAAACUACUUACAUAACCACAACUGCUGCUUACAAAAAAAAAAAAGAAGCAACAGUAGCAUAUAUUGAAAUUAGAAGAAGCAAAUAUAGUUUAUCAAACUUCAAAUGACUUCAAAGACCGAAUGUCUACUUGAAACUGACAUGUAGUGUCAUAAUAUAACAUAAACUAAAUACCAUAAUAAAACAUAAACCAAAAUAUUCUAAAAUGAAAAACAUCACACUAAGGUACCGUUUGGUUCGGGUAUAAGAUAGAACUGCUAGUUCCAGGGAUAGGUAUAAAUAUUGGAACUAGCUAGAACUAGUGUAUUUUUGUGUUUGGUUGAGUAUUAGAUUUGUACCAGGUAUAAGAAAAAUAGUGUUUGGAUGUAUAAGAUAGAAUAAGAGGAAUAAAGUAUGAAAGGGAUUAAAAAUAGGUAACAAAAAUUAAUUAAAUAAAUAAUGAAUUACAAUAUUGUUAAAAAACAUUACUAAUUAUUUAAUGAAUAUUUUUUUGUCAACUUGCGCUCGUUAGAAUUAAAUUAUACUUCUCGAAAAAAUAAUUUUAAACUUUCAUACUGCAAUAAGAUUUAUAACAAACUAACCAAAUUAAUAACUAUAGUAAAAUAAAGAAACAUUCAAACCUUUUCAUACACAUGUUAUAUACAAUUUGUUACAAACACUGUCUUUCCACCUUUUACAUACAUUUCAAUCCAUAUUGCAAACAACAUAUUAAUAAUUUAUCCAGAAAAUACCAAGUAAUAUUUGCCUGCGAAUAUAGUCGAGAAAUACAAGUUCGCAAAUUUAAAUAUAAGAUCAUUCAAAAGUAACAUGUAUUAUAAUAUUUNUGAUAAAACUUUGAGAGCCAAAUUAUUAAGAUUAAAAGUUCAUAUUGUGGAAAUAUUAAAUUGUUAAAAAAAUACUAUUUAUAUAUUCUAAAAAUAAUGUGUAUUAUAGAGUCGGAUUAUAAUAUUUUUAAUAGUACCAAGUACUUUGGUGUUAUCAAAUUUUUUAUUGACUUUAAUUUUUUAAUUAUUUUUAUCUGUUAGAUCAUAGUCAUAAAAAAUUACUAUUAUCCUAACCGCACGUUUCUUUAUCGAAGGGCCAAAAAUCUAAUAGCACCAACUGUUUGGUGCUAUUAGAAGCAUUUCAAUCUAAUUCAUAUAUAACGCUUUCAUUCUAAGAUUUAAAAAUCUUUUGAGUUUUUAGGUUUUUUAAACAAAGUUGAUAAAAUAACGGCAAAUAAUGAGAGCCCUGAAUUACCGCUCAAAGUAACCAAUGAUUGAUUGGGUACCUUCUGGGGUACCCGUAGUAUCGCCCAAAGAAGGGCCAAUCCAACUUAAAAAAAAAAAAGAAUUUGAAACAGAGAUAACAAUAUAUCGCGCACCCAUGUGAGUGAGUAAGAUUGCGGCAUAGGAGGAGACGCACUUUCUUUUACCGCCCCAUCGGAUAUUUCAGAGCACACAUACAUCACUUUUAAAAAAACCCUUUAUUCACUAUUCAGUAUUCACCUUUCCCCUUCGCCAUGGCUCCCUCUCUCCCCUCCUUCUUCUUCAUCCUCCUCCUACGAACCCUAACAAUGGCGUACGCCGCCACCUCCCCCGACGACAUCGAAGCCCUAAGAUCCUUCGUGGCCGCGGUGGAGCCCGCCUCCGUCCCCGCGGGGUCGUGCCUCAGCACCUGGGACUUGGCCCGCGACCCCUGCGACUCCGCGUUCGGCCCCUUCUUCACCUGCGGCCUCCUCUGCUCCGACCCCUCCCCCGCAGCCCCCCUCCGCCGCGUCACCGCCGUCGCCCUCGCCGGCUCCGCCUACUCCGGCGACGCCGCCGCGGCGGUCGCGGCCCUCCUCUCCCUCCCCUUCCUCUCCUCCCUCGACCUCUCCGACAAGCCGCUUCUCCGGGCCCCUCCCCGCCUCCCCCGACCGCUCUACCGCUACCCCCUCGCCUCCUCCGCCUCUCACCUCAUCGCAACCCUCUCCGGCCCAUCCCCUCCUCCUCUUCCCCCUUGUCGCCUGCCUCGCCGCUUGCGGGAGCUCUACCUCCGACGGGAACCCUCCUUCGCGCCCGAUCCCCGCGAGCUCCAUCGCUCCCUCCGCGCCCUCGCUACCGACCUCGAUCUCCGAUCCAACAACCUCUCGGGCCGUCUAUCUCUCUCUCUGCCCCGUCCGGGGCUCCUCACUUGUCAGGCGAGCGACACUUCGAACGCGCUCUGGGCCCUUUCCGGCCCGGUGCGGCUCUCCCCGCGUCCGCUCCUCCCGCUCGCUCCGCGGCAACACGCCUCCGCGGCGGCUGACGGGCGCGUCCCUAGGGCGCUGCCCGCGUCAGUAUCGCGUGCUGGCCUGGCCGGGAAGCGCUGGAGGCGGCGCCCCGGCGCGGCGUUCGCGCCGACACCGCCUGGAGCAAGCUUGAACGCUGGCGUCCGAAACCGGGCUGGGGGGGUCGAGGUGAGGAGCCCGACGGGCGUGGUCGACGAGCCGGCUGUGGCGGUGGAGCUGGGCGGAAUACCGAACGGGGCGCGCUGCGGGCUUCUUUGGGAUGAUGCCGCGGCUGGCGGGCGGUGGUGCUGGAGGGGAACCGUUCGCGGGUCAUCCCGCCGGCAGUACGCGCUGCGGUGCGGGCCUCUGGUCUGCGGGACAUGGGCCCGUUCGGCAGCGGCGAUGCUGGCGGGAAAUACGCUGAUUGGGACCGAUACCGAGCCCGAAUGGAGGGGUGAAGGAUGGGAUGCCGAUGGGACGCUGGCGACAACUGGCAUCCUCCGCUGCCGCCCCGCAGUGUACUUCUUCUCUCCAGGGCCUGCCCUCAGAAGCCGCGCCGCCACGUGUUCAGCGCCUUCAACCCCGCCAACCCCCUCACUUAAACUAAACUUCACUUUAAUUUUUUGAUUUAUCGAUGAUGAUGAUGUGAUUAGAGUGUGCUGUAAAAGACAUAUCAUAAAUAUAUAUUAGAUAAUAUAGGGAAAAAGAAAAUGUAGGAAAAGAAAGGACUUGCAGGGCACGGUGUGUAAAACAAAAAAAAUAACGAUCCGCUGAAUGUUGCGAAGAAUGGUACGGACUGUAAAGAGUUUUUUUUUUAAAAAAAUUAAUGUAAUAAAUUAAUUGUGUUUUUAAGGAUAUCGGAGCUUGAACUUGGGAAAGAAGAAGAGCUCAGUGGAAGGAAAGUACUUAAUUAGGCGAUAUCAGCAUUCCCUAGGUACCGUUUGGUUCGGGUAUAAGAUAGAACUGCUAGUUCCAGGGAUAGGUAUAAAUGUUGGAACUAGCUAGAACUAGUGUAUUUUUGUGUUUGGUUGAGUAUUAGAUUUGUACCAGGUAUAAGAAAAAUAGUGUUUGGAUGUAUAAGAUAGAAUAAGAGGAAUAAAGUAUGAAAGGAAUUAAAAAUAGGUAACAAAAAUUAAUUAAAUAAAUAAUGAAUUACAAUAUUGUUAAAAAACAUUACUAAUUAUUUAAUGAAUAUUUUUUUGUCAACUUGCGCUCGUUAGAAUUAAAUUAUACUUCUCGAAAAAAUAAAUUUAAACUUUUAUACUGCAAUAAGAUUUAUAACAAACUUACCAAAUUAAUAACUAUAGUAAAAUAAAGAAACAUUCAAACCUUUUCAUACACAUGUUAUAUACCAUUUGUUACAAACACUGUCUUUCCACCUUUUACAUACAUUUCAAUCCAUAUUGCAUACAACAUAUUAAUAAUCAUAUAAGAAUAUUUCUAACCAUCUUAUUAAAUAUUUAACACAAUAUAGACUAUGCUACAAACUUUACGAAACAUUGACGAUAAAACAAUACAAAAGACAAACCAUCCGUUAGCAUACAUUACAAAAGCGUAGCAGACAUUAAUAAGUAUGCAAUAAAAGCAAAAUAUGUCUACAUAUUUUAUAUAAACACAUAUAAUUAGCACACAUGAAAGCAAACUCAUUUAAUACAAUCCAAUGCAAACGACACUCCCAGAUAAUUAACUUCUACUAUUCCAUAACUGGUCUGUAAUACUAGUGCGAAUAUCGUCGCCCCGAUGUGACUCCGAUGUGGCGGCAAAGCCGAAAUCCCCAAGGUCUUCUUCGUCAUCUUCAGGAGACGGUGGGUCAAGCUCUUCAGUAAAAUAUCUAUCAGCUCCGUGAUGUCGACGAAUAAAGUUGUGUAUGACACAACAUGCCAUAGCAAUAAGACAUUGAACUUUAUAGGGAAUGGAGUUGCAAUAUUUAGAAUCUUGAAACGCUUCUUCAAUAUGCCGAAAGUCUUCUCUACUACAUUUCGUAGUUGAGCAUGCCGAUGAUUAUACAAGUCUCGCGGAUUGCGAUGUGUGCGGCCACGGGUAUUACCCUCAAAUUAACUAAUAUGGUAUCUCUCUCCGCGAUAUGGCGCAAGAAAUUUAUCAGUAUUAGCAUAUCCAGAAUCUACCAAGUAAUAUUUGCCUGCGAAUAUAGUCGAGAAAUGCAAGUUCGCAAAUUUAAAUAUAAGAUCAUUCAAAAGUAACAUGCAUUAUAAUAUUUUAACAAGUAAAUAACCGAAUUAUACCUUCGGGAAUAGUAAACCCUCCACUUUCGCAUGCCGAUCUUAAUACUCUCAUAUCAGCUGCUGAACCUUCCCAUCCUGUGCAUACAAAUAGAAAUAUAUGAUCAAAGGAUACAGCAGCCAUCAUAUUCUGUGAUGUAAAUCCUUUGCGACACCUAAAUCGUGGUUGCUUGCUCUUUCGGACAACCACGGGAAUAUGCGUACCGUCCAAUGCACCUAUUGCAUUCUACAAAUCACCAAAGCUCAUAUUAUACAAUUAAUGCAAAAUAUAAAGUAACAUAUAAGGCUGGAAAAUAUAUUAGUUAUACUCAACCUUGAAAGGAUGGAAAUUCGGAUUAUCCCUAAUUCUUGGAUGUACUGUAGUAUAACUCGGUGGCAGGGUUACAUAAUCAUCUUUCAGCAUAACAAUUCCGCGAAGAACAUUAUUAAAAUGUCGACUAAUAGUUUCACCAGAAUGUUGAAAAGUUUCUGCCAGUACCCUAUUUGCAACUCCAUGGCCUACGCAGAAAAGAAAAAUUGCUAACUGUUCGUCAGCUGUCAUAUUUCUUGUGCUAGUUAUCAGCCCUCUUCCAACAAGCUCAUCACGAAGCGCAAUGAAUAUAGUGGUCGUCAUUCGAAAAUGAUUAUACCCUCGAUCAGGAUGACCAUUCAAAAUAUCACAAAUGAAUUGAUGGCCAGUGAAUGGCCUGGUACGACAUUGUCGCUUUUGAGAUGUAUUACUAUAUGUCAAGUAUCCUUGAUUAAUGAGCACUACAAAUACUUGCUCCCAAUAAGCAUCCUCUUCGUCUAAUAUUGUCAUCAUAUUGCUUAUCACAGGUGAAGAAAACAUAGUUGAAUAUAAUGACAUUGUGAGUACGGCUGCAAAAACAUAAUAUUUAGUACCUCAGUUAUGACAUCAUGUGAAAGAUAAGCAUUACAUAAUAGUAAAAUCACGACUAAAUCGUACGAGUACAUAAAGUCAACAACAACAUAAGAUAAAUGCAACGAGUAAUGCAGGCAUAUCGAAAUAUGUUACCACUGCAUCUAAAGCCUACUACGAGUACAUAGAGUCAAGUAUAAUAAAACAUACAUGCAAAGAGAAAUAGCAGCAUCAUGAAACAUACAAACAACUGCGUCUAAACCGUACACGAGUACAUAGAGUUCUAAAAAACAUAAGAGGAAGAGCAAAGAGUAAUCCUAACAUAACCAAACAUAAAGUCAUCUCAAUCGUACCACCAACAGUAAAGUCGUCUCCUACAAGUCUGGAAAAUAUUGCUUGUAUAUGUUAUUUUGCGAUGCAACUUGCCGGUCAAUCCACAUACAUGCAUGCUCAUCCAGCAUCGUCAUAAACAUUUGACGAUUCUUAUCCUCUUUUAACACAUCAGCCGCUGUCAUAUAGAUCUCUAUCUGUCAAUCCAGGUAGAUGAUAGAAUCUGCCUAUUGCAUUUGUUUUUUCGAUCUAGUUUGUAUGUUUGAUAUCUGGCUAAUUCCGCAUCAUCGCAAACCUCUCGAACUAAAUCGUUCUGUGUUUCCCGCUUCGCUACCUUUAGCUUCGCUCACUUUGGAUUCACUUGGUUUUUCAAUUUAUUUUGUUUCUGUCGUCCUCGACGAGUACAUGCCUUUGUUCUGUGAGAUUGUAGCUGUGAGAACGAUCCGCCCUCUUUACUCGUCCCAGACGGAGUUCCAACAUCUAGCAUUUCCAGUCGUACACGAGUAGGGAUUAUCCAGUUGCUAGAAGAGCGUUGUUAUUAGUACUCGCUUUACUGAUUGGCAUAAGAGCGCAGAGCCGUAUGACCCUCCGUCUUUCGAAAGCCUUGUUACCAUUGAAUCAACAUCUCUCAUCCAAUAUCCCUUUCAUCCUCAACCAGGAAUAAAUGAGAAACCUCUAUCUUAGGCUAGCCAUUCAUUGUCGAGAAACAUAUCUCUGAAGUCCAUGUUGAACGGGCUUUCAGCUAAGAACUCAAUGGCCAUUCAUUUAGCUUGGAAAUGGUUUACUCCUAACAUCUUGCAUACGCCGAUUCUCCUAGAAACAUCAUUUAGUAUUAAGUCAUAAUAUGAAUAAACUAUAUAUCCAUAUUAAUAAAAAGCAUGAAUAUUGCUAGGUCGUUAAAUUGUCAGGCCGGCAAUUACAGUCCAUACACUUCGACACCACAGCUGAAUAUUGCUAGGACACGUAAUCCCAUCUCCCAUCCCCUCUAUAUAAGACAGUUGACAACAUGAACAUCUCUUUAGCACUCUUAGCCCGAUAUCGUUAUUUGGCCCUUGUCAAGCAUAUUGGUCCUAUUUGCUGAAACAUAUUAUUCAUCCAAGAACUUGUAGAAUACCAUUGUAUCUUCACUAAAGCUCGCUUCUUCUAGUUAGACUACGCAUAGGUCAAUCAUACUCAUCAGCUCCAUUUGAGUUCCGCCUUGCAAGAUUAGGUAUCGCAAUCUCCUACUACUUCAACGUGUAAUUUUGAAAUGUGUGUGUUCAAAACACACACCUUUCUUAAUAGUCAGAUUAAUGGAUUCUGCGAGGCAGGCAUCUGUGCAAACAAAUAAGCAAAUUCAUUACGUAACUACAUCUUGCAUAAUUCUGUUUGUCCACUUCACACUAACGACGGACAAUAUCAUACUGCAUUACGUCCAAGAAUCUAAAUAAAACGAUACUGCAAAAAUCUGAAAAAUUAGCACUAACUAAGCAUAUAUUCCACUUUAUCCAAACAGAUUGACGACUAUUCAAAGAAACAUAAGUUUUUUGAACGUAUGAAUGAACUACAACGAAGGCAUUUGACAACUAUAAACUGAUAUGAAUCGAAAAGGAUCUUGAAAAAUUGUAUAAUGAAUAGAAAUCGCAUCUUUUUGUGAUAUUCGGGUCAUGUGACAAAAUUCUUUCAAGGAGCAUGGGGGCAUUGAUUUGUAGAAUCACUCGCCAUCCAUCCUAAGCAACUUAAAACCGUCAUCAUCGCCAAUACAAUCUUCCGCAUGCUCAUUAAAUCAAACACUGUAAUCAUAUUCCAACAAGCAUCAUUCAUUCCGGCAAACAAGCAACAUAAUCAUUUUACAACAUAGCUCGCACACAGUUUACUUCUCUAACCUGACGGGCAUAAACUCAGCAUAUACUGCAUAAUCCGAAUAUAUGAAUAUUUAGAUGCUAGCUGCGAUUUGAUGAACUGGUUACUCAUAGACUAAUAUCCUCUAAUCAUACAAAAAGUUAGACAAACUUGAUGUAGCAAGAAAUUGUAAAAGAACAACCAAACUUAACGCCAACACGGUUAAAUCAAACAGGGAUCGCACAAAGCAGCGGAUAUCAACACCCCCCACGUCUGCCUCGGCAAUAAAUACAUGCAAAGUGAAAAAAAAAAAGGUUCGGCAUAAAAGAUCUACAUAGAUCAUCAGCAGCUCGGCGGUAUCGAGCUAGGACUGAAUAACCGAGUGUACACACUAUCCAAUUAGCAAUACGCAUGCAGAGGGGAUAGCUACAAUGAAGAGAGAACACCCUACAGACCGAAAUACGAUGCCUACGACCGCGUCGACCAAAGCCACAAAAGCAUAUCAAAGAGGAAAACACAAUAAAAAUUUUUUUGGGAAUAUAAUACUAGAUUCUAGUAAACUCUCUGUUAGGUCACAUCCAAUAGGCCAAAAUCAGAACACGAUCUCUCGGCGUCGGCCACGCGAGAGUAAAUCGAAGCGCGCCGCAGAUCGAGUGAGGCAACGAGGUGCGGAGGAGGAAGCGGAUCUUCUCGAUCGGCGACGCACAGUAAAUCGCGGAGGGAAGAGGGCUAGGAAAGGGGAUCAACGACUUCGGAGAGUCACACGGUGCAGAGGAGUCAGAUGAGGUAGCCGGCCGAGCUCCGGUGGCACCAUAUAUGUCGCCGAUCAAAGCCGAUCAAAACCGAUCAAAGCCGCACAGUGAACCAGAGGAAAGAGGAAGCGGAAAGAGGAUCAACGGCUUCGGAGAGACAGAUGGCGCUGAGGACGAAGAUGAGGUAGCAGUCCGAGCUCCGGUGGCACCAGAUCUGUCGAAGAAGGGACGGGGAUCGCCGAUCGAAGCCGCACAGUAAACUGGAGGAAAGAGGAAGCGGAAAGGGGUUCAAGGGCUUCGGAGAGACAGAUGGCGCCGAGGAGGAAGGUGAGGUAGCCGUCCGAGGUCCGGCGCCACCAGAUCUGUCUCGAGGAACGGACGGAGAUCGCCGAGAACGAAGCCGCACAGUAAACCGGAGGAAAGAGGAAAGAGGGAGAGGAAAGGGGAUCGAAAAAAUCGGAGAGAGAAAGAGAGAGAGAAGGGGAACAGCGGUCGUAUUCCACCCUCGGGUGGGAACAACUGUUCCCACCCGUUAGCGGGUUAUCCUUGGAUAACCCGCUAAGGUGGGAACAGCUGUUCCCACCUUAGCCUAUUUGUGUUUGGGAAACUAGGGGGAAUUAACCCCUUAUUCACCCCCUAGUUCCCCAACCAAACGGUACCAUAGAAACCAGCUAGAAAUUAAAUCGUUUGAUUAGUAAACAAGUCGGACACGAGCUGCUUGCUCGUGUUCAACUUGAUAACAGCACUAAUAUAUAUAUAUUAUAUUUAUAUAAUUUUAUAUUUUAUAUUUUAUAUCUAUAUAUAUAAAUAAAUAAUUAUAUAUAAUAUAUAUUUUUAUUAUCUAAUUUUUAAUCUAAUUUAAAUAUAAAGCUCAAUUUAAUUAUAAAAAAAUUUAUUUAUAGGAACAAAAUUUAAUAAAUAAAAUCUCAUAAAUUUAUUUUUUAUAUAUAUUUUUAAAAUUUUGUUUAAUUUGUUAUAUUUCCUGAGUCUGCUCGUCCGGAGACUGAUAAUAAAUAAGUCGAAUAUGAAUUGAACUUUUCAACUAAGAUACUUUACGCUAGUGUUCCGCUCGACGGCACUAGGGGUGUAAANUAUGAAUGGUGAAUGUAUGAAUGUAUGGUAAUUUCUAUAUUCAUAUAGUUGUGGUUGUAUCCUGUUUGUACUGUUGUACUUGUGCGACGCCGUGCAAAUACAGGGGAGACUCUGUCCGUGUGAACAGUGGAAUCUCUGUAUUUGUGGCGGGUCUGGCAUACUCUGGGGUCAGGAUUUCAAAAAAAAAAAAAAAUUCAGACGCUUUCCCGCUAUCUUUUAAGCUCAAAGGGACCCCGGGGCGUGACAGCUUCGAAAGGCGUUGGUUGAAGAUUGAAUGCAGACAUUCUCUCUCCAAUUAUCCCUUCUUCCUCACCAGGAGAUGAUGAGGAAGAGCUAUCUAUCGUAGGCGCUGAGGCCAUUCUUGUCGAGAAACUAUAUCUUCCUGUAGCCGUAGUCUUUGCAGUAAGAAACUCAAUGGCAUCAUAGGCUGGAAAUGGUUUAUCCCUACACUUCGCAUACGCCGGAUUCUCCUGAACACAAUUUAAGGUAAAUAUUAUUAAAUAAGUAUUAUUCUACUGUAAUAAGAAGUUGAAAUGAAAGUCGUUAAAUUGUACCGCAAUUAUUGCAUCCCAGUCACUUUCAUCACCAGCCGUGGGAAUGUUCUGGACAGUAUCCCAUCCCCAUCCACUCUUAUUUGCAAGACAGUUGUACAACAUGAACAUUCUCUUUAGCACUUUUAGCCGAUUCUUUAUUUGGUCCCUUGUCAAGGUCAUAUUGGUCCUAUUGUUGAAAUCAAUUAUUAUUCUAAUAUACACAACGUUUGUGAAUGACCCAUUGGUGUAGUUUCCUAAAGCGUGUUCUUCUGUCAGUAGACUAAGCAUGGUUGCAUCCAUACUAUCGGUCCAAUUUGGAGUUCGCUUCCACGAUUGGUUAUGCAAUCUGCUACUACCUUCCACGUGUACAUUUUGGAAAUGUGUGGUUUCAAACACCACACCUAUCUUAUGAGCAGACUUAGAUGGUUUCUUGAGAGGAGGCUUCUGUGGUUCAAAUAAAUAGCAAUUCAUUGCCAUACCAUUCAUGUGGUUUGACACAAUUCUGUUUGUCCACUUUCACAACGAGGACAAUAUCAUACAUGCAUUACGGUCAAGAAGCUAAUAAAGAUAGUGAGAAAUCUAUAAAAAUUGCACUAGCUAAGCAUAUUUAUGUUCCACUAUAUCCAAACAUAUUGAAGACUAUUCAAGAAACUGAAGUAUUUAAAAGUUAUUAUAAUAAAAUACAAGUGAAGGCAGUUGACAACUAUAAACUGAUUAUAAUGAAAGGAUGCAGUUGAAAGAUUGUAUAAUGAAAUAGAAUCGGUAUCUUAUGGUGUGAUAUUGGGUCAUGUGGCUCAAAAUGAUUUUCAAGGAGCAUGGGGGUGCAUUGAUUUGUAGAAUCAUGCCAUCCAUCUAAUGCAACUUGAAACUGUCAUCAUCGCCAAUACAAUCUUUCGCAUCCUUCAUGUAAAUUUAAACAACUGUAAUUAUAUUCCCACUAUAUCAUGCAUUCCGGCAAACAAAGCAACAUAAUCAUUUUACAUACAUGCUGCCACAGGGUUCUCUUCUCUACCGACGGCAUAGACUCAUCAUAAAUGAAUAUCACAUAUGGAUAGAAUUUUAGCAUGCAUAGCAGUAAAUCAUAUAUCCUCUAAUUAUACAAAAGCUUAGAGCAAACUUGGAUGUUAGGGCAAUGAAAUCUUGGUAAGACCAAACCUUAUCGUACCACGGGUUCAGAAUGAACAGGGGAUGCACAAAAAGAGGAUUUCAACACCAAGCGGCGUCGCCGUGCAUAGAAAAUACCUGCAAAAGUGGAAGAUAAAUGGCUCGGGUAUAAUUAGAUCUACAAGAUCUGCAUGCAAGGCUCGGCCUUAUCGAGCUAGGGACUGAGGAGGACAGUCGUACAACACUCCUAGCUGCAGCAACAAGCAAUGAGAGAAGGGGGAUAGGUACAGAUGACCGGAGAGAAGCGAGACCACAGACCGGAAUAUGCGCUACUGGCGGGCGUCGAGCGAAAGCCACAAAAGCAUACAGAGAGGGGAAAAAGCACAGAAGAGGAAUUUUUGUGUAAUACAAUACUAGAUCUAGUAGUUCUCUUCUGUAGGGUCGAGUCCAAAGGCGUAAAAUCAUACCGAUCGCCGGCGUCGGCCAACCCGAGGAGUAAGACGAAGGCGCGCGCGGAGGAGGUGAGGCAACGAGGUGCGGAGGAGGAAGCGGAUCUUCUCGAUCGGCGACGCACAGUAAAUCGCGGAGGGAAGAGGGCUAGGAAAGGGGAUCAACGGCUUCGGAGAGUCAAACGGUGCCGAGGAGUCAGAUAAGGUAGCCGUCCGAGCUCCGGUGGCACCAGAUCUGUCGAAGAAGGGACGGAGAUCGCCGAUCCAAGCCGCACAGUAAAUCGGAGGAAAGAAGAAGAGGAAAGGGGAUCAACGGCUUCGGAGAGACAGAUGGUGCCGAGGAGGAAGAUGAGGUAGCCGUCUGCGUUCCGGUGGCACCAGAUCUGUCGAAGAAUGUCCGGAGAUCGCCGAACGAAGCCGCACAGUAAACCGGAGGAAAGAGGAAGAGGAAAGGUGAUCGACGGCUUCGGAGAGACAGAUGGUGCCGAGGAGGAAGAUGAGGUAGCCGGGGGCGCUUCGGUGGCACCAGAUCUGUCGAAGAAGGGAUGGAGAUCGCCGAACGAAGCCGCACAGUAAACCGGAGGAUUAUAGGGGAAUAAGCGUAGUUCCUGCCUCGGGUGGGAACAGCACCACCCGUUAGCGUGUUAUCCUUGGAUAACCCGCUAAGGUGGGAACAGAUGUUCCCACCAAACCCAAUUUCUGUUUGGGGAACAAGGGAGGAUUAACCCCUUAUGCACCCCCUAGUUUCCCAACCAAACACUGCCUUAUUACUUUUUCUCUCUCCUUUUUUUUCUCUCGUUCUUUUUUUUCUCUCUCCGAAGAAAGCAGCGGAGGCGGAGGUGAAGGCGAAGGCGGAAAUAGCCCAUCUCGCCUCUGCCCCGCACGCCUUCGCCCGUGCACUCCAGCCCUCCUCGCCUUCGACCCUGCUGAGGCCACGUGGCCACCCUUCUUCUCCACUAGGGCAUGGCGACGUUGAGACGCAGGCUCUUCUGCUCGACGUCGUCGGAAGCGGCGAGAUCGCCUCCGACGACGUCACAAUAGUUGCGAUAGAAAGAAGGGAGAGGUGGCGACAAAAAAAAAAUUAUAGAAAAAAAUAUGAAUAAUAAAAAAUUAAAAAAUUUAUUUUUUUCCUACAGAAAAAAUUAAAAAAUAUAGGAGAAGAAAAAAAUGAUGAAAUUGCACUCUUAAAAAAAUUACACUGUUUUUAAAAAAAAAAUUUGCACUGUUUUAACGAAAAUUGCACAAUUUCAUAUAGAAAUUACACUCUUUUAAAAUAGACUAUACACUCUUUAGGCCAAGAUUUCACCAUUUACGAAAAUUUUACACUAUUUCUUUUUUUAUAUUUUUUUUUCUUUUUUCUUCUAAUCCAAAACUCAAAUUCAACUAAAAAUCCAGCAUAAAUAGGAAGAAAAUUAACCGCUAAUCCCAAUUCCACUCCGAGCAAAUAAAGAAAACAAAAAGAGGAUCACGUACUCGGCGAGAUCCCCGAGCUGGUGCAAGAUCCCAACGAGCCCCGCGACGGCGGCCCUAUCGAGAAGCUCUUUUGGCUUCUCCCGCUUCGCGGUCCCUCUGUAGAGCUCCCGAUCUCCCAACCCUUACUCGUUCCGCACCUCAAACCGCACCGGAGGCAUCUUCCCCCUUCCCCUCUCCCCUUCACCGCGGAGCUCGAGGAGACGCCGAUCGCGAUCCGGAUGGGCCGAGAGCUCACGCCAGGGCUCCCAUGGCGGAGGCCCGCGCUGUUAUAGGAAGAAGACUCGGCUGGCGACGGCGAUAGCGACGGAGACGGUGACGGCGACGGCGAUGGCGCAACCUUCGCACGAGCGCGCGAGCACCGCACUAGUUGAGAAAUCCCAUGUACUCAUGCUUCUUGAUNCACGAGCGCGAGAGCGCCGCACUAUGUGAGCUUUUUUGUUUUUUCUCACUUUUGGGUCACUCUCCAGAGUCUGGGAGUAUCGUUGUCAAAGAAGAAAAAGAAGAAGAAGAAGAAGAGAAAGAGAAACAAAAAAAAAAAAGAAAAGAAAUAGUGCAAUAUUUUCGUAAAUGGUGCAAUCUUGGCCUAAAGAGUGUAAAGUCUAUUUUAAAAGAGUGUAAUUUCUAUAUGAAAUAGUGCAAUUUUUAUUAAAACAGUGCAAAUUUUUUUUUAAAACAGUAUAAUUUUUUUUUAAGUGUGCAAUUUCAUCAUCUUCUUUCUUCUCCUAUAUUUUUUGAUUUUUCUGUAGGAAAAAAAUAUUCUUUUUUUUUUUAUUAUUCAUAUUUUUUUCUAUAAAUUUUUUUUUUGUCACCGCCUUCGACCACGUCUUGGCAUUCUGAUGCACGGUGGAGGAGAAGAGUCUGCGUCUCGAUGUCGCCGUGCUCUAGUGAAGAAGAAGGGUGGCGACGUGGCCUCAGCAGGGUCGGAGGCGAGGAGGGCUGGAGUGCACGGGCGAGGGCGUGAACUGCGGAGGCGAGGCGGGCUGUUUCCGCCUUCACCUCCGCUGCCUUCUUUGGAGAGAGAAAAAAAAAGAGCAAGAGAAAACAAAAGAGGAGAGAGAAAAAGUAAUAAGAGUAUUUUGAUCAGUUUGCUGAAAUUUCGGCCCGAAUCUUCAAAAUCGAAAAAAGUUGUCCACUUUUGCAAAAGCCCAAAAUUAGUGAAUUUUUUAUGCAAAUUGGCCAAUUUAUAUUAGUUUAAAUUUUAUCCUAUUAUAAUUUUAUCCAUUUAUAAUUGUAUCCAAUUUCCAGUUUGCUUUUUUUUAAUACCAAAUUAUUAAAUAUAAAUAUCACUCAUCAAAUUACUAUAAAUAUAUAACAAUCAAAUAUUAUCUAACCAAUCUAUUGUAUUAAAAAACUAAUUACGUUUAAAAUAUUCAAUUAAAUUUAGAAUAUAAUAAAAAUAUUAAACUUAGCUUUUAUAUUUUAUAAUAACAAUAUAUUAUAUUAUUUUGUAGAGAUUGGGAAUUUUGUGGGACGGGGAGUACGAUCCCUAUCCCGCUCCGUCUCCGCGAGUGAAAGGGGAAUUUUUCUCCGGAUAAACUUCAAAUACCACUCAUGUGGUUUCGCACUUUUUUACUCUAAUAUCAUGUGGUUUAAAGCGUAUUAAUUUAGUAUCAUAUAGUUUUAUUUUUCACUUUUUUUCAGUUCAUCCAUUAAUAUUUUGUUAAAUUAUAUACAAAAAAUUUCAGAUAUCCAUCUAGAUUUAUCGAAUAUUUACUUUAGUACCUUCUAAUUUUAACUUUGUUACUGAUUUAACGAAAAAAAAAUAGUGAAAGAGAUAAUAAAACAAAUAAAAUUACAAAAUAUUAAAUUAAUACACUUUGAAUUAUAGAGUACUUAAAUAAAAAAAAGAAAAAUAAAACCACAAGAAUGGUAUUUAAAACUUUUCCUUUUUUCUCCCUCCCAGUUCCCACGGGACAAAAUUCUCUCCAUUCCUGUCCGAAGCGGAGUCUGGAAAUAUUACCAUUCCUACAACUGGGUAGUGCAUACAGCUUAAAAAAAAAAAAAAUGUAAAUAUUAUCUUCUUAAUAUUCUUAUUUAAUAUUAGAGAAAUACUUUAAUUUGAGUUCCCUAUUUUGGCAUUUACAUGUAAAAGGUGAAAGAGUUAUAAUAGAGUUUAGAGUUUAGGGUAUAAUGAUAUUGUUUAGGAUUUAAUAAUGUGUUUGGAACUCAGUAAUUAAUAUUUAGGAUCCGUUUAGUUCGGGAAUAACGAACAUUAAGAUAAAUAUUUUUUACUUCUGGGAUAACUUGCUUUUUCAGCAAGGAAUAAGAGUAAAAUUGUAUCAUUAUUAAUAUUGUAGGGUAUCUUUUUAUGUUAUUAUGUUGUUCAUUAUUUGUUUGUUACAUGAUAUAACAAGGCGUUAUGGACACGGAUACGGACAUAAGACACGGGACAAGAGACACAGCAAGUCAGGAGCUUCUAAAAAAUUAAGACAUGAAUACAAUAUGGAAAUCUCUAACAAAAUAUAGUAUUAUUAAUAUAAUAAUAUACAUUUAUUCUAUAUAAAAUAAUAAUUUUGCUAAAAUAUUAUUAUAUUUCUCAUACAAAUAAAAAUUAAAAAAAUUCUUAUUAAUAAUUCAUAUAUUUGAAGAAAAAACUUUGCCAUCAUGCAUAAUUUGUUUAUAUUGUUCAAAAGAAUUUGUAUGUAUUAAUAGAAAAGCAAAAAAUAUUUAUCAUCUUAUUAAUAAUUCAUAUAUUUGAAGAAAAAAUUUCGCCAUCAUGCAUAAUUUGUUUAUAUUGUUCAAAAGAAUUUGUAUGAGAAAUAUAAUAANUCUUAUUAAUAAUUCAUAUAUUUGAAGAAAAAAUUUCGCCAUCAUGCAUAAUUUGUUUAUAUUGUUCAAAAGAAUUUGUAUGUAUUAAUAGAAAAGCAAAAAAUAUUUAUCAUCUUACAUUAUAGCCCAAUUUACAUAAAAAUUUACUAAUUUUGAGAUAUGCAAAAGUAGGCCGUUUUUAUGGAUUUUGCAGAUUCAGAUCGAAUUUUACAAAAACUGACCAAAAUAUCUUUAUUCUCUUUUCUCUCUCUUUUUUUCUCUCUCGUUCUCUUUUUUCUUUCUGACUCUCCUCCACCGCCUUCGCGGCUCUCCAUGACGGUAAUGAGCGCAACGCCGCAUCCUCUUUCUCCGUCACCGCCUUCGCAGCCCUGUGCGACUAUGAGAGAGCAACGCCACAUCCUCUUCCUCCGUCUUUACCAGCGCAAGCAUCGACACCGGCGCCGGAGGAAGAGGAUUCUGAGAGCGCGCGGGUGAGAGUGGAGCUGACGGACGCGAUGAGAUCGUGGACAAGGCAGUGCUCGUUGUCACCCAUGAGGGUGAGGAUGAAGACGUGCCUGUAUUCUCCAAGAAGCGCUUUCGGCAAGGGCAGUGGCUGCGGUAGAGGGCUAAGGAGAGUUCGCAAUAGUAAAAAAAAGAUGCAAAUGAUAGAAAAAAAAGAAAUAAUAAAGAAUAAAAAAAUAAAAAAAUUCUACAAAAAAGACGAGAAUUAGAGGAAAAAAGAAAAAGAUGAAGUUGCACUGUUUCAGAAGAGCGUUGCACUAUUUUAGAUAAAAAUUAAACUCUUUGAGACAAAAACUAUACUCUUUGAGAUGAAAAUUGCACUCUUUAAGUGAAAGUUAUACUAUUUUUCUUCCUCCUCCUUCCUUUUCGCUUCCUCGUGCUUCUUCUGCGCUUAUCUCAUUUUCGUCCUCCACCUCCACCUCCACCACAGCAGAUCCGCCACCCAUCAAACCCACCUCUGAGAACCUGCCAUUGCCACCUCCGCCGCCAACGACGAAAAGGACGUGUUUCUCGGCGCCGAGAAGCUCGUCGGCAAGGAAAGGGAGACACGGCCCAUUGCGCCCACUCGAGGACAGCAACACACGAGGUGGAGACGAAGGAGAGCGCAACGACAUUGGAGAAGAGAGCAGGCGAGGAGGGUGAGGUCUCCGCUUCGGCCCGCCCUCUUCUCCGACAUCGUCAUGCUCUUCUCUGUCUCCACCAUGCUCGUCGCCAUCCUCGGGUGCACUGAGAAGCUCAUCGGCAAGGAAAGGGAGACACGGCCCACUGCGCCUACUCGGGGACGACGACGCAUGAGGUGGAGACGUAGGAGAGCACGGCGACACUGGAGAAGAGUGCCGGCGAGAAGACUGAGGUGUCCGCUUCGGCCCGCCCUCUUCUCCGGCAUCAUCAUGCUCUCCUCUGUCUCCACCACGCUCGUCGCCAUCCCCGGGUGGAGCCGUGGGCCACAUGCCCCCUCCUUUGCCGGCGAGCUUCUCAGUUUCGCGAAGCGCUUCCUCUUCAUUGUUAUUGGUGGUGGCGGGGACGGCAUAUUCCCAUAAGUGGGUUUGGUGGGUGGCCAAUCUGUUGCGGUGGAGGUGGAGAGCGAAGAGGAGAUGGGCCCAUAAGAAGCAUGAGGAAGCGAGAGGGAAGGAGGAGAGGGAAAAUAGUAUAACUUUCACCUGAAGAGUACAACUUUCAUCUAAAAAGUAUAACUUCAUCUAAAGGAGUAUAAUUUUUGUCUCAAAGAAUAUAAUUUUUUGUUUACAACAGUGCAACAUUACUAUGAAAUAGUGCAAUUUCAUCUUGACAGUGCAACUUCAUCUUUUUCUUCUUUUCUCUGUUUCUUUACUUUUUUAUAGAAAUAAUAUUUCUUUUAGAUUUUUAUUCUUUAUUCUUCUUCUUUUUUUUCCUACUCUCUGUAUUUUUUUUCGCUAUCGCAAUCUCUCCCUCUCCCUCUACUGCAACCACCGCCCUUGUCUGUAGCGCUCCUUAGAAAAGCGCAGGCGCGUCUUCGUCUUCACCCUCAGGAGCGACAACGAGUACUGCCUUGGCUACGACCUCAUUGCUUUUGUCUGCUCCGCUCUCAGCCGCGCUCGCUCUGAGUCCUCCAACUUCGGCGUCGGCAUCAAUACCGGCACCGAUGAAGACAGAGGAAAAGGACGCGGCGCUACCCUCGUUACCAUCGUGAAGGGCCUGGAGGCGGUAGAGGAGGUUCAGAGAAAAAAAAAGAGAAAAAAGAAAAAACCUAGAGAAAAAAAAAAGGAAGAGAGAAUAAGGAAUAAGGAUAAUUUGGUUAGUUUUUUAAAAUUCAGUCCGAAUCUAUAAAAUUAAAAAAGACAGCCUAUUUUUACAAAAUCUCAAAAUUAGUGAAUUUUUUAGACAAAUUAGCCUACAUUAUAUAUGCAUAGAAAAAAAAAUAAAAAAAAAAUUCUUUUUUUAAUAGUGGCUUUGCUCUCGUAUCACCAUCAACAAUAGAAAUGAACCCAGAAUUUUAAAUAUGCUGUUUGGUUAACGUCGCUUAGGAGUUUUCUACAUUUGAUACCAUGUAAAAUCACUCCAACAAAGAGGCCAAACAUCAAUCUUCAAAGGCUUAAUUACAUUGUACUAAUUAAAGUCAUAUUUUUAUUUUCUACACCGUACUUUUUUUUUCAAAAAUGCCACUAAAUUAUUUUUUUGGUCAAUCUUUACUGCAAAUAAGUAAUAAAUCUCUACUUUUAGAUAGAACUCAACAGUUUUGUUAGAAAAAUGACCUAUUUAUUUCCGUGUAGUAUUUUUCAAACAUCGCAAUGAGUCGACUACGAUAUAUUUUUUGUAAUUCCACCAAAAAAGAAUAAACAUAUUCAUAUACAAUUUUAUCCCAAUUCUAUUUUGGCCACUUUCUAGUCCCAUUGGAGAACGUAAAGUACUAAAGUAGAAGCAUAAAUGUAUAUGCUAAUUUUAUUCCUACUUCGUUUUGUCAAAUAAUAAUCGAUGAUCCUCCAUAACAAAAGAGCUCUAAAAAGAUUGCUAUUUGCCCAAUUACAUAAUAAAUCAAUCAACUAUACUUUGGGGUGCAUUUAUAAAUUCAAUAAUCUAGUUCGCAAACUUUUGUACUGGAAUUGAGCUAGAAUCAAUAAUUAUUGAAGUAUGAGUGCUCUCAAUAUUUUCACGUUAUUUUGAACAAUUAGGUAUUCAUAUCAAUAAUUGUCACCAUUAAAUAUGGUUUAUAACUUGUGAACUUUCUAUAUAUAAAUCAAAUUUUCAUUGAAGUUUGUUGACUUUCAGACCACCUGAUUAAUAGAUAAAUGGUAUCGAAAAAUCACGCAAUUUGAUUUGUGAAAAAUUAACGAGUAAAUCAUAUUGAAUUGUGGCGAUUGCUGAUCCGGAUAUUGCAUUAUCGAAAAAUGGCAUAAAAAUUAGUUGUGACCUGAGAAGAUAUAAUUCUGCCUCUAGAAAUGACAUCUUAAUCCUAUAUGAAGUUAAAAUAAAAUUAGUGAGUGAUAAAAUAGUCAUCUGAAAAAGAAAAUUUGGAUAAUUAGAAUAACAAUUCGGCCAACAAAUGCUAAUAACUUUACCGUUAUACACGGGGUGUUUGAUUCCACGUAAAAGUGUGAAAAUUUAUUUUUAGUGGGAAAUAAUUUCCGAUGAAAAAGUAAUAUUAUAUUUUGUGGUGUUUGGUUAGCAAAAAGUUAAAAACUAAUUUUCAAUCAUACUUAACUAUCUGGUUUACCAAAAAAAUCAAGAAUGCAUUCGUUAUGUUACCAAUGUGGCGUAAACAACCAAUCAAAUUGUUUUGCUUGGUUCACCCGUUUUAUUAUGAUUAUUAAAAAUAUAUUCCUAUUGUACUUUUUACUCAAAAUAAAAAAUAUAAUUAAUUAUUGAUAGAUAAUAUGAUGUGACUGAUGCUUAGUAGAUUUUUUUUUCCGGUUUACAGGAAAACAAAUUAGAAAAGCUAUUUCCCUUUUUUAUUUUCUGUUUUUAAUUUGAUGGGAUAAUUUAUGAUCCAAGAAUCUCUUGUUAGAAGUGUGAGUGAGAUCACCACCCAUUAAGUCAGGGGCCGAGCCAUUGUGGUGCCCACAGUUGCCAUGGUCUCUCCUAAAUGUUUUAAAAUUACAAAAAAGUCAUUUAUAAUAAAAAUUAAAAUAUUAUAAAUUUUAAUUUUAGGGGGUCAAAUUAAUUUUUUUAAUAAAAUUUGUGUUUUAAUUUCUUUUCGAAUUUCUUGACCCUUUUCCGUCAACUCUUAGAGUCUUGUUUCUUUUUUAGCAUAUUAUUGUUAUUGUUGCUAGUAAUAACUAGUCAGUGAAUCCAACAAAUUUUUUUUUUACUAUCCAAGUUCGAAUUUUUUUCCUAUCAAAUCUAUAUCUUGACCCCCUCGAAUCUUAAUUUCUGACUUCUCGCUGCAUUAAGUCAAUGCGUGAAACAUGCAAACGUAUGUUGAGAAUUUUAAUCAUAAUAAAAUAGCUAUCAGGUUCUAAUAAUAAAAUUUUGCCUAUUAUUAAAAAAAAAUAUAUGCUCUAGCCCAAUAUCCAGUAAUAUCACAAUAUUAAUAUUAGUUUAAUAAUAAAUAAAUUCAGGGGCAGAGAACCGUCUAAAAUAACCAAAUCAUACAGUAAAAUACAAUAUGAUAUAAUUGUUUAAUAAUUAUUUUAAAAAUUAAUUAAUACAAAUUUGUACUUAUCAAACCAACAUAUAUAUUGGUUAUUAAUUAUUAUAUUCUAAUUCCAUGUUAAAUAAAAGGUAAUACUAGUUAACGGUUUCAUUAUUACGGUGGUAUUAUAUUAUUUUUUAUAUAUUAUAUUUGUUAGAUGUCUAGUAUUAUUGUAAUGUUAUUAUUCUAUGAUUCGAAAAAUAUAAAGAAAUUAAUACUUUCGAUGUUUUGAUUUUUGAAUCAAGAAUUAUGAAGUUAGAAUGAUAAUAAUCCUUGAUGAUUCUCUUAUUAAAAUUUAGUAAUCCUCCUCUGCAGUAAUAAUAUUAAUUAAAUGACUAAAAAAUUUAAAAUAUAAAUUCAAAACAUCGAAAGUUCUCUUUCCCGUGGCGUGGGCCCCACUCAAGUGAACUUUUCGUUUUCUGUGUACAAUCACAGGAAAGAUCGUUCCUCUCAAAUAAAUUAUUAUUCUUAUUAAAAAAGAAUUUUGAAAAUCAAUUUGUAAGUUACAGUCAAACCAAAUAGGUAUUUAACCGGCUUAAACUAUUGACUCAAAAUUCUUCAAUAAGUGCUUAGCUCUGAUACAUCACUGAGUAAUGUUUUCUCCUUUUUUUUUUUCCCUUUUUUUUGAAUACAAUUAAUAUAAAACAACUGAAAUAUUAUUAUUACAGUUAAAAGACUUAAAUAAACUCUUUUUGUUCAUAACUAGAUUUUCUUUACCGUCCUCAAAUACACAUACUUGUCGUCCUCAAAUAGUAUCGUAAUAUUUUUUUGUUUCUUUACCGUCCUUGCAGUUUUCUUCCAUUCUACUAAUUCCAGAAAGCUUCCCAAUGACAUCUGAGAUAAUAUAAUAAUAAAAUAUAAGAAUCAAUAUAAUAGAUACACAUAUUAAAAAUUAAAUUUUAAAAAUUAAAUAUUUGAUGCAUGUAAUAAUUCUUACCUACUAAAUAUUUGUCAUCAGCGACAUUACCAAGUAUUUGACCGUUAGAUUAUUGAUUUCGGAAGCAAUAAUUUUAAAUAAUCAAUUAUCUGGCAAUACGAAAUUUGAGUUUGACCCUUUUUUCGCAGCUAACCAUUUCAAAUAAUUCGCAACAGAUCAUUGCUUAUUUCGCAACCAAUAAUUUUAAAUAAUUAAUUAUCUGUCAAUACGAAAUUUGAGUUUGCAACAGAUUAUUUCCACUGCGAAAAAAUAAUUCGCAAUAGAUUAUUGCGUAUUUCGCAACCAAUAAUUUUAAAUAAUUAAUUAAACCAAUAAUUUUAAAUAAUUCGUAACCAAAUAUCCAUAUUUGAGCUUGACACGUGACAUGCAAGCAUAUAGAAAGCCACGUGUCAGCUUCUCACAUAGGAUUCAUUAAGGGUUCUACUUUUAUAUAUAGUAAUAGAAGAGAUUUUAAAAAUAUUAUAAUUUUAUAAACAAUUUUUUAAAUAUUAGGCCUAAUUAUGCCACACAGGUAAGACAAAUAAUUUACCGUUUUAUUCAAAAUAUUAAAAGUAUGAGCAAUACAAGUCAUACACUCUAACCCAUCUAAGUUGGGAAUUUUUUUCACUAGUUAUAUCAAUGUGACUAGUAAAAUUUAUUUCACCGUAAAAAUAGGAUGUAUAUCAUACAGUACUCCGUUUGAAGAUUUUCAUAAAAACGAUGAAUCUUUUAUCGUUUUUAGAAAUAGUGUAUGUCUACUGAGCUUGAACUUAGAGAAUUAAUAUUUUAUAUAAUACAAUAAAUGAUUUACAAUUUUUAGAAUAGAUAAAAGUAUAAUUUUAGGGAGAAGAAAAGUUUUAUUGGCUUAUAUUUUUACUUAAAAAUAUCUGUACACUUGGUUAUCAAAAAUGUGUGACGGAAACAUUCACAGGGACGGAGUCGUGAUAUUGAGAUACUUGAGGGACUAUCAAUGCAUUUCACCAUCGUUUUUAUAUAAGAGUUAGUUUCCAUGGAAUAAGGAGUCGUGCAUCCUCUCUGUAAGCUCGCCUCGCGGGCAUUUGUUUCCAUCUCUCUCUCUCUCUCUCUCUCUCUCUCUUCAUCCAGAAGCGUAGCAAUGACGGUGGCGACGAAGAAGGUUUCGGCGGCCUCCGCUAGGGCUCACACGCGCAAGCACACGCCCUCCUCUUCUUCCUCCGGUAACUCUCUCUCUCUCUCUCUCUCUCUCUCUGUGGGGUGUUGAUAGGUGUUGAGGGCAUGAUACAUCCGAUCGAUUCGAUUCGAUCCAUGUCCAUUUGUGAUGUGUUUGUUUGUUCGUUUCGUUGUUUCCUCGUUUGAUGCGAUGCGGAGUGAUUUGAAAGCGAUCGUCGUGAUCUCGUCGUUUCGUGAAGAAGUGCUCCUGUUCGAUUUGACUUUUUUCGAUUUUUCUUUUCCCUUUUUUUUUUUUGAUGAGUUCGAAAUCUUCGCGUCGGAUUUGCUUUGGACGGAGGUCUCAAGGGCGUUUGAUUUUUCUAAGUUUUUUUUUUUGUAACUUUUUUUUUGGGUUUGGUUUGAUCGAUGUAGAUGAUUUUUACCUGAUAUGAUAGGUAGUUUCCAUUCGAUGUGUGUUUUUUUUAAAUAUACUUUUAUUUUGUUCCCCUUUUUCUUCGUUGGAUUUUGGAUAGUAAUUAAUGUUAGCAACAUUUAUUAAUGUCUAAAAUUCGUCAUGUAGAUGAUCCGUCCAGAGUUUAGAGCGUAUUUGACGGUUGAAGACCAAACAGUGGAUUGAGAAAAUUUGUGGGAUCCUUUUUCCCCAGGCUGUGGGCACCUGAAUGAUUAUUUGUUCUUUUUUUUUAUAUUUUGCGUGUGUUGUAGCACUUUAUCAUCUGCAUAUAGUUUGAUUUAGAUAGUUUUUUUUUUUUUGUUGUGUGUUUUUUUUUGUUAAAUUAGAUUUAGGUGAUUUGGAUCACGGUUUGUGUUACUUUCACCCCGUGUUUACAGUAAAAAAAAAUAUAUAUAUUUCUUUAUGAAAGUCUAUUUAUAGGUUCAACGAUUGGUCUUCUUCCGACUUGGCGAGGUUUUUUAACUCCCCGAAGAGCUAAAGUAAUUUAUUUAUUAUAUGUAGCAUGUUCAGUUCAGAUACAAUAACGUGCUAGUGCCUGAUGAAUGACCUAUUAUAAUUAUUAAUUAUAAUUAUUAUUUUUUAAAUCUGCUAUGUAGUGUUUGACUUUCCUCUUUUUUUUUUGGUUUUUUUUUUUAUCAAGUACUAGAAAUGGUUGAUGCGUGAUUAUAAUUACUUUGACAAACUGUUUCGAUUGUAGAGUUGACUAAAAAAUUUUGAUUUUAUUUUAAGAAUUUGCUGAUAAAUUUGGACUUAGUAAUCUGCCAUGAAUUUUUCUUUUUUUUUUUUAUUUUUUCCUUUUUUUUGUCACGUGACAAUCGUGGGAGAGAAUGAGUGAAUUAUUGGGAUUGAUUCUCUGACCACUGCAGUUGCAAACUCCGCUGAGGGUCCACAGAUGUUGGCCACUUUUUUUGGGAACUCCCUAAUAAAAGAAUACUUAACACAUGCUCUCCUUACACCCUCUUAAUUUCAAUUUCUUGUUUAGUCCUGCUUUUCUGCUCCUGUAGCUCCUUCCCUUUUAGCUUCUUGCUCUUUCUCUUUUUCCUUUUUCUUUUUUUCUUUUUUUUUUUUUUCUUUUUGUGGAUUUAGAUGUAGAUGCCCUUUCUCCAUUCUUUAGUGCCCUUUUUUUGGUACCUAGGGUCCUAUUGAAUAGGAUAGGAUACAGCAAUAAUAGGGGAGGGGAGAAGGUAUUGUGGCUUGUGAGUUUGGGAUGAUUGAAUCCGGUCAUAUUAAUUAAUCCUGUCGAGAUGGGAUUAUUGAAUACUACCUGAGAUGUUGGAAUUGGACAGGAGCGGGUUUUAGAAAAGUUUAGUUGUAUAUACCACCAGAUCCACCCCGUACUCAUCAUGGUCACUGACACCUCCGAGUCGUUAAACCCUCCCUCUUCUACAAUACCUCUCUCCCUUUUGCUCAUCCAAUCCAUUCCUCGGUGCCAAAGGUAGGCUUGAGGUUUUGCAGGUAGAAUUCAUUUUAUUGAUGAUGGACAAAAUUUUAAGCCUGCUUGUUCUAACAUGAGUUGGCGGUGAACUUGCCUUAGGAAAACAAUAGAAACAAAAUACAAAGUGUUUUUCCUGGAAUUUUAGGAAAACAAUAGAAACAAAAUACAAAGUGUUUUUCUUGGAAUUUUAUAAGGAACUUAAAACACUAAGGGAGUCAAGUUCUACUAGCAUUCUUUGAUGAAAAUUGAUGAAUUUCAAAAGUUUGAAACUUAUGCAGCUUGAAAUUUGGAUCCAUGAGAUGAAUGAUCGGGUGUCAUUCAUAGUUAAUUCUGUCAAUUCUUAGAGUAAUUAUGCUGUGGUUGUCAUCUUAUUGACUACCAAUUGUAUUGAGAAUAUAUUUUUGGGGUGUGUUUGGUUCGAAGUCGGAAUCGGUAUCGGAAUCGGAAUGAGAAUAAGUUGGAAUCGGAAUCGAAAUGAUUCAUUGUCUCUUUUUGUUUGAUUCGCCAUCUGAAUCAAAAUCGGAAUCAACCAUUCCUAUUGUCGGUGUUUGGUCUAGAUAGAUAUUAGAAACGUAAUCAAAUUAAUAUGUUAAUUUUAUCUUUAUAAUCUAUUAGUUCAAAUUCAAACUGAAAAUUAAAUAUUAAAAAUUUGCAUCAAAAUUUUAAAAUGAUGUCAAAAUUUUAAAUAUAAUUUUUUAAAAAAAUUAAAAUUUGAAAUUGAACAAAUAAUUCAAAAUAUAAAACUAAAUUUCGAUUUGUUCAAAUUCAAACUUAAAAUUAUAAUUUAAAUUUUAAUGUGAAUCUAUAAAUUUAAUUUAAACUUUAAAUAAAAUUUGAAUAAAACUUUAGAUUUUAAAUUAAAUUUAAAUUUAAAUUUAAAUUCAAAUUAAAAUUAACAUUUAUAAAUAUAAUUUUUAAACUUAAACUUAUAUUUUAAUUAAAAAAUAAACUUAAAAAAGUUAAAUUUAAUCUGAACAAAUCCAUUCCGCCCGGAUUCAAUUUUCAAUCCGGCCUUUUAGUCCAGAUUAGAAAAGGGGGUAAUUGGGGGAUUCCCAUUCACCCGGAAAUCGGAAUCGAAAUGAAAAUUCCGCAUAUCAAAUACGGACAAACGGAUUCGUCCAUUCCGAUUCUAAUUUUAGGAUAAAAAAGGACAAACAAAACACGCCCUUUAUUUCUUGUAAAGCGACCAGUGAAAAGGAAUAUAAGAAUUCUUGAUCUCGCAAUUAUUACUGCCCCUGUCAUUAUUAUUGUUGUUGGACUGUAGUUAAUAGCAAUUUUGUAGUCUUUGUAAUCUUUUCAUAGAGAGAACAAUAAAAUAAUCCGUAAUUAUCUCCAUGCUUUUCGUUGUGUGGCCUAUAUCAUGGGCCCAAAGUGCACCACUCCUGUACCUUGUUUUACUUCCAAUAUACUAGAACCAUUUAGGUUUGCACCUCGUGGAACUCAGAAAACGUAAUAGAGAAAUUAUAAAAAAGAACUAGUAAGGCUCGAUUGUUGCUAUUUUUGGGCUAUUUUUGGGCUGUAGAAAAAUAAAUAGGGAUGUUGUUUUGAAAUGGUUUAGAAAUUUAUUUGGUUAUUUAUUUCUUCUUUAUCAUUCUUCUCCCUCUUUUUUCCUCCCAUCUUUGAAUGUUCAGAAGGAAAAGCUGCUGUGAAAUAAUCCAGCUGUUUAUCCAUUUAUUUUUGCAGAGUUGAUCCAUGUUGGAUUUGAUUAAAAUUCCCUUUUUUCCCUGCUAGAUUUUAACAUUUAGAGUCAGAUCUGAAUAAUUAUGUUCGCUCCUGUAUUGACCCCACUAUACAUUGGUUAGGACCUCUUUUUUAGCAGGGCUACAUCAAAAUUGGUGUCUAAGCAAAACUUUAGUGCGAGCAAUGAAAUCGCACUUCAAAGAUUAUGAAACAAUGAUGUCAAACUGUCAAUUCUAUCAUGACACAUUUCAAUUAUUUUAAGCGGCAGAGUUUGUGAUUAUAUAAGGAUGUCAUGUGUUAAGAUUAAUAUCAUAAAACCCUAAGCAACCGAAAAGCCUAGGAAACUUCAAUUUAUAUGAUAUAGAGCAUAUGGUACAAAAUUAUAUGAUACAAAUAAACACCCAUGUACAUGUGUGCAUAUGUGCAGGUUAUGUAGGUUAACAUCAAGAAUAAUCACUCGGAAUUACUAUGAGGAAGCUGGAUUGCAGUUUACGGAGUGCAAAAAAUAGUUUCUUUGUGCAGCUUUUGAUCAGACAAUAUGUGUUAAUGAUCUUAUCAGAUUAAAGUUAUAGCAGUGACUGCAUGAGAUUCUGUGCAGCAGCAGUAAACAGAGGAGAAAAUAUGAUGAAUUUAGAAUUUAGAAUUUAGAAGUUGUUGAAUUUAGAAAUGCCUGACUGCUUCUUUUAACAAAUGAAAACGGAACGAUAAAAACAGCAACUGAUGAGAAGGAUCUUGUAACGUUGUUUGGCAAUACUUUAAUCAAUCUUGUCCUUCAAGAUUUUGAUUUUCUUUUUUCCCUUUUAUUUUUCAGGGACGUUUAAAAAGCUUUCAUUGGUUCUAUUGGUGGCCUCAGCAGCAUUAACCUAUCAAGCAAUUCAGCCACCACCACCAAGGAUCUGUGGAUCACCAAAUGGCCCUCCUAUUGCAUCAACGAGAAUCAAGCUCAAGGACGGAAGGCAUUUGGCUUACUUGGAAUCUGGUGUGCCAAAGGAACAAGCAAAACAUAAGAUUAUUUUUAUUCAUGGCUUCGACUCUUGCAGAUAUGAUGCAAUGCAAAUUUCCUCGGUGUUGAAUUGCUCCCCCUCUCUUUUCUUGGAGAAAUUAUUGCCUGCACUUGGUGCGCAAUGUCAUCUCGUGCACUGCCUAGUGAUCCGCCCUUUGUCCCUUCUCAUACUGCGAUCCCAACCGUCUAAUGUAUUACGGCCUUUUCUUAAUUUUUCUUUUAGGCAGUGAAAAUGUUCGCACACUGCCUAAACUAUAGUGUAUUUCGAAAUGGAUGCCUCAACUUUGAAACUUUUAAUUCAGUCGCUAACCUUUCAUUAUUUUGGGUCUCGAAUCGUCUCCGUCAGAACCUGCAUAACUUAAUGGUUUUGAUAAAAAAUGUCACAGAAAAUUUCAUUGAGUAACAUAAUAAUGAGCUAGAUGCUGCCGUUACAUUUUUUUUUUUUCUAAGUUGUUGGAUAAAAAGUAUGAGAUGCAAUGGAGGGCGGACCGUUGGGUAGUGCAUCGGCUGAAGUGGGGCACCUCAUGCAGGCAAUAGUUCUUUCGUUCCUCAAGUUCUGACUCUAUAUUUUACGUAAGUUAAUAUGAAAUCACAUUAUAAUUUCAGCAAGUGCUUGAAGAGUUCGGGAUCUACUAUCUCUCCUUUGAUAGACCUGGGUAUGGGGAGAGUGAUCCUCACCCGAAGAAGUCAGCCAAGAGCAUUGCUUUUGAUAUUGAAGAACUUGCUGAUCAAUUGGGACUAGGACCCAAGUUCUAUGUUGUUGGAUUUUCUAUGGGAGGAGAAAUUGUUUGGAGCUGUCUGAAGUACAUUCCUCAUAGGUAUGUCUGCAUCAAUCUUUCCGCCUUCAGUAAUAGUCUCUCUCUUGCACCAUAUAUUUAUUCUGUGAAUCCUAAUUUCAGUUUGUACAUUAUAAGAAGUCUUCAGUUAGAACUUAGGACAGUUUCUAACCUCUACGGAUCUAAAUGGCAUUCUCUUUCCUUUUCUUGUCUGACUAGAUUGUUAUGAAUCUGUUUUAAGAAAGAUGUAUUUUAUAGGAUUUUUGCAUUUAUACCUCUCAAAAUGUGUAUCUGCUUGUAUACUGCUCAAAAUGUUGUGAUUUGUGCCGAUAACCUCAGAAAUAUCCCUUAUUUAAAUGUAUAACCUCCAAAGUUAAGAGUUACACUCUUACCCUUAAUAAUAGACCGAGUUUUCUUUUCCUGAGAGCUUUGCACUUGAAAACCUUGCAUUUCACGUAAUGAAAAGGGGCCAUCAAAUAAGUCCGACAAGUGGGCAAUGUUGGGGUGAACUAAAAAAGUUUGGAUAACAAUGCCAUCUAUAAAUCAAAUUAUUUCGUUGAUUGGGUUUCACUUGACUCUCUAUGGCUCCCGAGAGUAGCUCUGCUCACUGGAACACUUAGAGGAGCUGACCAAUGGUCAGAAUUUCUUUGAAUAUGUCCUUGAGUAUAUUCGAGACUUGAGCAAAACCCAGAUUGGUUGCCAGAGUUUCACCCUAGAACUAAGAUACUUUGUGUAAAAGCUCUCAAGCUAUGGCAAAUACAUGCAAAUAUGGAGUAUUUCAGAGGUUAUACGUGCACGUCACAGCUUUUGAGGGGUAUAUAUGCAAAUAUAGCCUGCGUUGACAGGGUAUAGAUGCCAACCUUAAAUCUGAAGGUUAUGUAUGCAAGCAUCUGUAUCCAGACCAGUAUGUAUCCUAAAAUCCCUACAUGACGGAUGUGAAUGCACUUCUAUCUGCUUUCCUUUUGGUCCGAUCGAGUACUUCUAUUUUUUUUGUCUUUUUUUUUUUUUNCUAUUUAUAUUAAAGAGAUGGGGAGAAUUUUUUUUUUUUUUUUUACUUUUACAGGCUUGCUGGUGCUGCAUUACUAGCUCCUGUUGCUAACUAUUGGUGGGAUGGUUUUCCUUCCAAUUUAUCUAAGGAAGCUUAUAAUCAGCAACUUCCACAAGAUAAAUGGGCAGUUGGAGUUGCUCACUACGCCCCUUGGUUGACUUAUUGGUGGAAUACCCGAAAGUGGUUCCCUGGUUCGAGUGUUAUAGCUGUUCGAUUCGAUAUCUUCUCUGACGAAGAUAAGAAGAUUUUACCCAAGUUAGCUGCUAGAGGCCCUUAUAUGGUACGGUGUUGUAAUCUUUUACUCCAUGUUAUUUUCUUUUUGUCAGUUCCGAAUUUAAUGGAUAAAUAUCUAGGCAAAAAGCACUGGUGAGAAGAUAGUAAUUCAAUUCUUUUAGGCUUAAAGCCAUGAAUACAUUAUCUUUAUUUUAUAUUACUAUAGAAGCUCUCCGUGCUUUACGGAAGAUAACACUUUAGGCUCCUAUCUUUCACAUGUAUGAUUUAGAAUCACAAAUCAGAAGAAUGAGACGUAAAAAAAUUUAAGAAAAUUAACUUGGUUCAUGCUUUACCCAGCGUUCACAUUCUCGUUCCCCUUCAUCGAGUUCAUUUUUAGCGUGCAAUGAUCUUUGUUCCUUGAGAAACAUCUGUCAAUGUGCAUGCAUUAUGUUGAUUUUGCUGAAAUAGUUCUGUUUGGGAGAGAAACGACUACAGUUCCAAGAUUUAUAUUACUGAUUUAAACAGAUUCCUAACCAUGAAAGUUUCCUCAGGUAAUAUCAAACAAAUAUGGUUAAAUCCAAAUAGUUUUAGCUUCUGGUUUCUUACUAGAACUGACCUAGGAAAAGAUUCUGUCAGAAGGGCAUACAGUUAGUUGCAUUCAUUAAACUAUUUCUAUAUGCUAUCUCGCCACUCGAUACGAUCCAUUUUAAGUAACCACUUUUGGCCCUAUGUGUGAUUGGGGUACUCAAAAACAUAUAACCAUGAUCUUUUUUUCUUUUUUUUCUUUUUUUCCUUUGUGCAUUCUUUCCAGGCACAAAUAAGGCAACAAGGAGAAUUUGAAUCGCUUCACCGUGACAUGAUGGUGGGCUUUGGGAGCUGGGACUUCAGCCCAAUGAACCUAACCAACCCGUUUCCGAACAAUGAGGGCUCGAUCCAUCUAUGGCACGGUGCGCGGGAUUUGAUCGUGCCGGUUAGCUUAUCGCGUUACAUUUGUGAGAAGCUACCGUGGGUCCAUUACCACGAACUCCCGACGGCCGGCCACAUGUUCCCUGCGGCAGAUGGAAUGGCUGAUGUUAUUGUGAAGGAACUUCUGACCAAAGAUUAAGUAGUAUACUUUGUUUCCCUCUUUUAUCUUUCUUAUUAGCUUUUUUUAUAUUUUUUUAGCUUCAUGCUUAAAUAAUAGGUGAAUGUUCAUAAAUUUGCUUAAAUAAUAGGUGAAUGUUCAUAAAUUGACUAAUAAUGUCCUUUUGAAUUUCUCCCUUUUUUUUUUGGGUUUUGAAAUCAUCACUCUUUCAGAUCGAAUGUGUUUAAUGUUGAACCUUUCUUAUGUGAGUUUUACAGGGCACAAUGGAUCAUCAUGGUUUUCAGGAAAACAAGUUCCUGUUAGUAAUUUCACAAUGUGAUGAUUCUGUUUGGGUUGUGGUAGAUUGAUUAGAUCCCUUUAGUUUUUUUUUAUUCAAUUUGUGUCAUAAAACUGAAUCAGUAGCAUAGAACUAUAGCAUAUUAAAGCAGGAUAGUAACAUUGUGGGGUAAAUUGCAAUACUAGUCUCUAAACUAUAGUCAACUUUACCUCAAACUUCCAAGAGUAUUUUACUCGAUCUUUUUACAAUGUUUCAAUUUAACCGUUGUCCGAUUUGUUGGCUUAAAGAGGCUAACAUUCUGAUUUGUAGUGGAAGGUCAGGUUGUGCCGAGUCAUGUUUGAAAUGUAGGGAAACCGGAUUGGGCCAAGUCAUGUUAAAAAGUGGCGGGAGGCCCGAUAAGGCCGAGUCACAAUUGAAAUUCAUAGGUGCUAUAUAUGUAUAUAUGUAUGUUUUAAGAGGUUGUUUGGUUGUAUAUAGUUGCAACCACACUACAAUUAUAACGGCAUGCAAAUUCAAAUCCAACAUUUGGCUCGAUGCUUUUGAACCCAACUGCUGCAAUCGGAUAGCAGAUGGAAUUGUGCCCAAAUUUGCUGCAGUUCUAACUACAGCAAUUAGAGAGAGUAACUUUCAAUAAGAUGUAAACUUACCUCCUUAAUUGCUUUUUAAAUAAUUUUUUUCUUUUUUAUAUUGAGGGCACGUUUGGUUCGAGUUAUGUAGCAUUACAGAUUAUCUCGACAUAACUAGAUAUCUAAGAUUUCUAAAUCAAAUUACUAGUAAUAUUGAAUUACCGCAUUUGGUUUAAUAAAGUAAUAUAAUGUUGGAUUACAAUGUAUAUUGAAUUACUAUGUUUGGUUCAGUUUAUAAAAUUUAGUAAUCCUGAUAGUAAACUAUAGUCUAUUCUAAAAUUGCCUUUGGAGUCAUAUUUGAUUUUUUGUACUAAACUAUAAGUUAAUAUAAUUUGCACUUGAAUUAAUUAUAUUAAUAAGCAAUAUAAAUAAAAAAAACCGUACAUGAAAAUAAUUUAUAAAACCAAAAAUUAAUUUUAAGAAUAAAUAAAAAAAGACCAUCCAUACAAAUAUAUAAAUUGGUAUUUUUUUAGAUACACGUGGCGCUUCCACCUUGUUUCAGUAUUUUUUAUUUUGAAUUUCAUGAUUAUAUUAACUCGGUAAAGUUUCAAAUCUGGAUUUCAUAAUUACACCUCGAGAAGGUACCAAAUCUUUUCAAAUCCAACCUCGGGAAGUGACAAGAUCCUCACCUUUAAAUUGGUAGUUUUUUAGAUACACGCGUGGCUUCCACAUUUUUUCAGUAUUUUUUAUUUUGAAUUUCAUGAUUACCUUACCUCGAUAAAGUACCAAAUCUGGACUUUAUGAUUACACUUCGAGAAGGUACCAAAUUUUUUCAAAUCCACCUCGUGAAAGUACCAAAUCUAUCCAAAUUCAACCUUGGAAGGGACAAAAUCCUCACCUUGAUUCACGUGCAUAUAUAGGAGAACGUGUACUCAGAAAGGACAAAAUUCUUACCUUGAUUCGCGUGUGUAUAUAGGAGAACAUGUACUCAUGAGGUUGGAACCUUGAAAAUUUCCUCAUUUCCUUACCUCGAGAAGGGAUAAAAUCUCCACCUUGAUUCGGGUGUGUAUAUAGGAGAACGUGUACUCAUAAGGUUGGCUUUUUCCUCCUCUCUCCCUCAUGCACUGAACUUCACCUCUCUUUACACUGAGUUUUAUAUUUUUUUAUAUUUUUUGCUGGAUUUCUGAGAGCUACUUGGGUUCGUGUUGCACCAUCCUGAAAACGUGCCGACGGGGUGGAAGGUGGUCGUUGUAUCGCUAGGAGUGAUUGUCGGAGCCUUGCACGUGGAGGGGCAAUUUCGCUUCUAGGACAAUGCUUUCGUAAACCUCGACUCACAGACCUCAUCUAAACCUCUUUUCUCUAUAAUAUUUUCUACGUAAUAUGUCCUUAUAAUUUUUUGAAAACGAAAGUUAAAAUUAUUUUCUUUUAGAAUUAUUUAAAAAGUAAAUUGUUCAAACUAAAUAUAUAUUUGCAUAUUACAUAAUUACAUAUUUUAUUGUCAAUCCAAAUUACUUAUAUAUUAAAAUAAUUAGUAAUUAUUCAAGCUAAAUAUAUGUUUUGCAUAGUUCAUAAUUACAUAUUUUGUUGUCAUUCUAUUUUAUUUUUUCAUGGCAAAUCAUUCUUGGCUACUAUUCUUUUGCCUUCUCUUACACACAUAUGUGUCGAUAUUUUAAUUCCGUUCUUUUCCUCAUUUUUUGUAAUUAUUAAAACUGUUCGUAGUAAAACGCAGGUUCAACACUAGUAUUACAUAAUCAUACGAUCAUUCAAGAACAAAUAGAUUUCAAUUUAGAAACUCAUUUAUAAGCAAUAUCAUUAACCAAACAUUACAUAAAGGCACAUUAACAGUAUAAUAUCAAAUAUUGUUUUUCUUGCCUAAAAUCAAGUAGAAAGGAUGGCGGCCGCGAUGUCGGCGGCAGAGAGACAACAGAGAAGGUGGCGGCGGUGACGUUGGCGACGACUUUGCGGUGAUGUUGGCGACAGAGACGUGGCAGAGAGCAACCUUAGCGGCGAUGUCAGCAGCAGAAGUAGCAGGAGCCAGCACUUGGCCGAGAUUGGUAGUGGGGAAGGGUUCGUGCGAAUAGGAAUAGAGAAGAGAGAGAGAGUAAGGGCGUGUUUGGUUCAAAGUCGGAAUCGGAAUCGGAAUUGGAAUCAAAAUAAGCUGGAAUCGGAAUCGGAAUGACUCAUUACCUAAUUCUGUUUGGUUCAUCACCUGAAUCGGAAUCGGAAUAAAUUAUUCCCAUUGUCGGUGUUUGGUUCAUGUGGAUAUAAAAAACGUAAUCAAAUUAAUAUACUAACAUUAUAUUUAUAAUAUAUUAAUUUAAAUUCAAAUUAAAAAUUAAAUAUUAAAAAUUUACAUCAAAAUUUUGAAAUAAUGUCAAAAUUUUAAAUCUAUUUUUUUUAAAAAAAAAAUAAACUUUGAAGUUAAGUGGAUAAUUCAAAAUAUGAAACUAAAUUUUUGAUUUAUUCAAAUUCAAACUUAAAAUUACAAUUUAAAUUUUAAUUUGAAUCCAUAAAUUUAAUUUAAGUUUGAAAUAAAAUUUGAAUAAAACUUUAUAUAAAUUAAAAUUUAAUUUAAAUUCAAAUUCAUAAGUUAGAUUCGAAAUACUUGAUUAAAUUUUAAUUUUUAAUUUAAGUUCAAAUUAAAAUUUAAAAUUAUAUAUUUAAUUUUUAAAUUUUAAUUCAUAUUUUAAUUAAAAAAGUUGAAAAAAUAAAUUUAAUCCGAAUAAAUAUCAAUUCCGUCCGGAUUCAACUUCCAAUCCGGCCUCCUAGGCCGGAUUGAAAAAAGAGGUGAUUGGGGGAUUCCUAUUCCACUCAGGAAUCGGAAUUGGAAUGGGACUCCCGCGUACCAAACACCCACAAACGGAUUUACCCAUUCCAAUUCCGAUUCCAGGGUGAAAAAGAAGCGAACCAAACACGCUCUAAGAGAGAGGGGAUAAAAUUUAUGUACCCAUCUUCCCCACCCCUGUGCUCGAUAAUAUUUUCAGAGUAACUUGCACCAUUUGUAAUACUACAUUAUUGACUAGAUUACAAAUUGUAUGAAUCAAAAACAAUAAUCCUGACAAGAUUGUCUGUAAUCUUAGCAGGAUAAUUCGAACCAAACGCGCCGAUAAUCUUACCACCAUUAGGGCUAGAAAUCUAGCUCGUUAUUCACCAAGUCAACUCGUGUUUAGUCGAAAAUGAGCGUGAGAUUGAGAGCUUGUUUAAGAAACGAGUCAAACAUGAGCUUAAUUUUUUAGCCCAAAAUCUUAACGAGCUAAACACGAGCUAGGAUCAGCUCAUUCAUGUUCGGCUUGAUAUGGCUCAAAUAUAUAUAAAUAUAUAUAACUGAGCUAGAAUGCUUCUAAAAGCACCAAAAAAAUUUUAGCCUUUGAAACUAUCCUUUUAGUUAUUGGAUCAAAAGUUAAUAAUAUUGAUUACUUGAAGGUCCUACCGUUGUGUAUGAUCCAAAAAUUAUUAGGGUUGAUUCAAUGGUUAAAAAAUGUUAUAACAUCAACACCUUAAUGUUUUCAAAAGCAAUCGAGCCGGACUGAGAUUCCGACUAUGGUGCUUUUAAAAGCAAAAUAUUUGGUGAUUGUAAGUUUUCGCUGUUACAUCUAUCCCUUUGACCAUUUCCACCCAUUAAAUCAUACUAUUCAACCAACCACCUACUCAACCCUAGGAAACCACUAUUAUCCUAACUGUACAUCCUUUAAUCCAAUAGUCGAAAACCUACAAGCACCAAGGGUACUUUUAAAAGCGUAGGUGUCACGCCCCGAGCCCGAUCCUUUUGGCCAAUUCGAGAGCGUCGAACAGAUGCCGAACGGACAGAGCCUCCCCUAUCCGCCCAAGGCUCAACAACAAGUAUCAUGAUUAAUUUUAAAUCACAUACAUGUAUACUACUUAUCAAGUUCUAUUACAGCUCUUUCAUCAUUUCUUUAUACAUCUCAUAUCUCCAAAAUAUAACAUUGAUAUUAAAUAAAUUUUUUUACAUCAUUCACGUCCUUUCACUUAACAACUAUAAUCAUUGAAAUACAAAAGAUGAUAUAUCAAAAGAGUAUGCAACUAUGAAAUAAAACGUCUCGGGCGGUCUCUAUCUAGGGCGCGAUGCCCUUACCGCGGUCGUCUGCCGGCUCGCUCGGUCCCGGCUCUGUGGAAAUAGGGGUGUGAGAACUACAACAAAGUUUCCAAUAGGUUCGGCAACCAACCACGCCGACUAUCCCACUAGGUCUAAUCAGGCAUAAUAGAAUAGAGGAAAGAAAGUAACCAACUAACAAAUGCAACUAAUAUGCCUGAACAAUAUAACAUGCGAUGCUCGAUAUAAUGCUCAUGAUGAAUGCAGGAUCACAAUUUCUUUACCCAAUCUCUUGGCUAACCCGUAGGUUUCGUCCUCAACAAACUCACUAACNCAAUCUCUCUCCAAAAGGCCAAAAUGAUGCACAAUUACAUAAGAAACAUGUAUUUUCAGAUUUUCUCGAAAACCGUGCGUCAGAUCUAAAAUCUGUCAGUGCCAUUGGUUCCAAAAUAGCUGAACCAUUCAAAACGAGCUAUUGGAUCGCUAUGAACGGAGUCUGAUACACGCCGAAAGCCAACUCUACUCCGUGGCUUCUCCGGAAAACCGGAGUUACUAUUCACUUAAGUGAAAACUAAUAAUCGCGUAACUUCUCUAUUUUAGCUCAUUUUCUCCUGAAACUUGACGAGUACUUAUGUAAUUAAAUUACACACAUAAACAUCAUCAACAGAGAGUUUAGUUGCACUGUAAAAAUCUCAGUCCUUAUAUUUUCUAAGUGUUAUGUUCUUGACUCAUGCCACACUUGUUUUCUAAGUUUUCGAGACUCAUCAAUGUCACUCACUAGAUUUAUGUCCAUGUGUCACUUUUAUUCACUAACCCUUCUAGGUUCUUGUCACUUGUCAUGAUAAAUAGGGUUUACAAUUCUCACAUUCUUACAAAUAUUUCAUACGAAAUUAAAUUUACAAUCAUGCCAUAAAAGCUCACAACUAACCCUACUAUGCAACAUGCUCAAUAUAUACAUAUAUGUUCAAACAUGACACUUUAGACAUAAAGAGAUUUCCGAGGCCCUUGGAAUGCACCACCCACGUUAGAAAGUUGAGAGGUUGCUACGGUGAAUUUCUUGGAAUUUUUGAAGCUUUACUUUCUCGCAUGCGGAAAAACGAAGCCGAAUUAGGCUUUUUAUCAAUAACUCCAUCUAAACCUUUUCAUAACGUUAAACAAAGUUGUCCCACGCGUCGAGGACACCCCCAAUUAGGUUUCUACGGGAUCAAUUCGCCCCCGAAAAAUCCUAGGACAAAAACCCCAAAUUUGAGCCCUAAUAAUGCCUUAUGCAAUUUUCUUCUAGAUUGAUCUCAUCUCUAAGCAAAUAAUAGCUUAGAAUCAUCUAGGAAGCUCUCUAAUACCAUUUCCAAGCUAUUGGAACCAUUCCUAGGGCAUCUAUUGUGAACCCUAGAUGUUCACCAUGUAAGCACCUCAAGAAAACCAUGGUUUCAUGGUGUUCAAGGCUCCAUUAAUUACUCUUCUAAAGGCUCUAAAGAGAUCAAAACUCCAAAACCUAAGGUUAAAAUCCAAACCCUAGAGCCCUACAUGCUCAAAACUUACCUUGGUCCAAGUUCUAGCAAGCUUCUUCUUGUUGGAGAGUUUCUAGAACCACCAAACCUCCAAAAUCCACCUUCUCCUAGCUUUUCUCCACCUUCUCCUUGCCUUGGAGCUUGGGUUCUAGAAAGAGAGAGAGAGAAGGGGAGUGAGUUAGGGAGGUGAAAAUGGCUGUGGGAGUGAGGGGUGUAGGGUUAUAUCAUGUUGUAACAAUUACAACAAGGCCCUCCCACUUCUACUUUUCAAAUCAGCCCUCACUGGGCAUUUUUCGCAGUGAGGGACAGGUCUCCCCGACCUGGGACCGGUCCCUGAGAGCUUCUCCCGCGGACUGCGCAGGCUGCGCGCAAUGCAACCGGUCUCUGCCCAUGGCAACCGGUCUCUGGGGACCGGUCUCUCCUCGCGAGGAUCGGUUCCCGAGAGCUGGUUUUUCAGGCCUUAGCCGAUUUCUCAGCCUUCUUGCUGCCUACGCGUUCGGGGACCGGUCUCUCCCACCAGGGACCGGUCCCCGAGAGCACAAAACCUACAGUUUGCAGAUUUUGAUUUCCAAAAGCUCUCGAAGAUCCCCAGUAAUGCAUUUUCGCAUUAUUUGACGCCUUCGGCCUGUCCGAAGUGUACCAACCUUGCACUUUGGUCAAUUUGACCAAGGUUUGAAUUUAAUUACUGAGGUUUCGGUAUGUUACAGUAGGAGCUUAAUUAUAUAGUAUAAUAUUAUAUAUAUUAUAUAUAUAGGAAUAUAAUAUAUAUAAUAUAUGUAUAUGUAUAUAUGUAUAUGGUUAUAUAUGUAUAUGUUAUGAUACAUAUAUACAUACCAAUAACUUAUACAUACUAUAUAUUUUAGUAUAUAUAUUAUAUGCAGUAUGUUAUAAGAUUUAGAGAAGAGAAAGAGAUGAAGAGAGUAGGGCUACUGUGUAUUAGAGUUACAGCAGCCCUUGUGCUCCUAAAUUAGAACUUUAACCACCCAUCAAUUUUGAUGGGUGGUUAGAAUAAGAGAGAAAGAGGAAAUUGGAGAGAAAUGAGACCACAUUUCCUCCUUAUUUUUUUCUCUCUGACCCUAACACCAAUCAAAAUUGAUGGAUGGUUAAAAAGUGGUAGGGAGAUAAGGAUUCCUGUAAUAUCUAAUAAGAAUUAAUAUAUAUUAUAUGUAUGUAUAUAUAUUAUAUAUAUAUUAUAUAUAUAUAUAUAUAUAUAUAUAUUAUUAGUAUAUUAUAUAUUAUACUAUGUAUAUGUAUAUUGUACAUAUAAUAUAAUAUGUAUAUGUAAUAUACAUAUUAUGUAUAUGUAUAUGUUAUAUGUAGUAUAUGUAAUUAUUAUACAUAUACAGUUAUACAUAUGUCUAUGUCAUUAUACAUAUAUAUGUAUAUGUAUAUGCUAUAUAUAUGUAUAUGUUAAUAUACAUAUAUAUACUAUAUAUGUAUAUGUACAUAUACAUAUGUAUAUGUAUAUGUAUUAUAUAUACAUAUUACAUUAAUUAUACAUAUAAUACUACAUGUAUAUGUAGUUAUACAUGUAUAUGUACAUAUACAUGAUAUUGUACAUGUUAUGUUAUAUGUACUAUUACUGUAUAUGUACAGUGGCAUAUGUAUAUGUACAUAUACAUGUGAUAUGUACAUAGACAUGAUUGUAUAGUAUAUUUACUAUACAGUAUCAUAUGUAUAUACAUAUACAGCUAUAAUAUGUAUAUGUAUUAGUAAUAUGUAUAUGUACAUGUACAUGUACAUGUACAUGUACAUGUAAAUGUCAUAAGUAAUAUACUAUACAUAUACAUAUGAUAUAUUAUAUUAUUAGUAUACAUAAGAGUAGGGUUACUGUGCUUAGGAGCACAGGAGUCCUUGCUGCUUCCUAAGUUUUAAGCGCCAUCCACUUUUGAUGGUGUUGUAGUGAAUGGGAGAGCGAAAUUUGUGAGGAAAUUCAAAGAGAGAGAAUUGAGAAAGCUAUUUCUCUUCUAAUUACUCUUCUCUUUUCACCUAACCACCCAAUCAAAUUGAAUGGAGCGGUUAAGACUUAGGAGCACAAGGGCUUGCUGUGCUCCUAAUAGAAAGUAGCCCUAUCAUAUACAUACAUAUAUAUACAUAAUAUUAAUAUAUAUAUAUGAAUACAUACUAUUACUAAAUAUAUAUAUGUAUAUGAUAUAUACAUAUUAUACCGGAACAUAAUAAUAUGUAGUAAAUACAUAUACUAUAUAUAUGUAGAAUGUAUAUUGUAUGUAUACAACAUAUAUAUAAUGUUGUAUAAUAUGUAUAAUAUUAUAUGAGCUAAGGACUAGUUUUCGCCACCCCCGGGGUCCCUUUUAGUUUGAAAAUACAGCGGAAGUGACUAGAAAUUUUUCUUUUUUGAAAACCCGACCUGAGGGUAUGCCAGAUCCGCCACAAAUACAGGGAUUCCACUGUUCAUACGGACAGAGUCUCCCCUGUAUUUGCACGGCGUCGCACAAGUACAAGAUGUAAAACAGGAUGCAACCACAACUAAAUAAAUAUACAAGUCAUCAUACAUUCAAUAUCCAUACACCAUUUACCACAGGUUCAUAAACAGAGAUCUGAAUAUAAAUCCACAACUAUCAGUUAAAACAUUUCCUACCCGGAAACUUAUUUUAAAAUACUAAGUCAAGAAAACUACGAGAAAACUCUUUUGAAAGCUGUUUUCCACACGGAAACCUUUUCUUUUGAAAACACGCUACCACGAGGGGUAGAAAACCUUUCCUUUUUACAAACAUUCAGAAAUCUUUAUCUCAUUCGGAAAACCAACUAAAAUCUUGAAUAAUUAAACAUAAUGAAAUACUGAAUCAUAUAGAUGUCUAAGUCAUAUCAACAGAAAUAACAAAGGUAGUAACUAAACUACACAAACCGGGUCAGAAGUUCUAUCGACAGCUAUCCGCGUGUCUCACGUCUCGUCUCAAUCUCACCGCCCGCAAUACCUAAAAAAUGGUGGGGAAUGUGAGAACAUGUAAACAUGUCUCCCCUCCAAGUGGGUACCGCAAGCCGAUAAAGGCGAGGAGUACUCACCGGAUCAGGAAGAGAUAAACAAGAUAAUAAGCAGAUAUACUGAAUACAGUAGCAAUAAACUGAAAGAAAGUAGGAACUAUACUAAAUAACGGCUACCGCUACUGUAACUAGAACAGAAAGCAUACAUGAAUAUCUACUAUAGUAGCAAGACAACUGUAAAGUAAGAACUGUAAGUAUGCAUGCAACGACUGCUACUAUAGACAUAUACGUCAACUGGAUGUAUUGACCAAAUAUACCCAAUCUGAAAUCUGCUACUCUGUUGGUCCGCACCUGAACCUCAAGCCUGUGCCCUGGAGGUCUGCACCGCAAACCUCCUGACAGUACCACUGCCACUCUACCAUGAAUAUAACCUCUCUUGGGCUCACGAGUUGACACCGGCAACCACUUUUCCUGAAAAGAACACCCCUUGCGGUGGAUCAGACUGCCGGUGUUCGUGAAAUGUGAACGAGUCUCGAGCGGUCAAUGCUGAUAUGCUCAAAGGUCAACCGUCGGCAACCAGCCGACAAUCUUGCCCACAUGGCUCACCGACCGUAUAGGUCAUCAACUGUAAGGAAGCACAAGAACCGACCGCUCAGGUCAACUAGGAUGGAACGACUCUACAUCCUCUCAAAAGUAUGGAAAUACUGCUCGAUGGGUCAACUAAAGUAUAGAUGCAAGAACCAACAAAUAGAUCACAGGAAUGUAUCACUAUAAUCUGGAACUACCGUCAGCCACUAACCGACAAUCCUACCCCUCAGGGUACACCGACCUCAACGGUCAUCGGACAACAGAAGUCAAAGAACCGACCAACCAGGUCACUGAUACGAAGUACAAGAAACCACCAACCAGGUCACCAAUACGAAGUACGAGAAUCGACCAAUCAGGUCACUAAUACGAAGUACAAGAAACCACCAACCAGGUCAUAGGUAUCACAAAUAGAUAGACUACUCUACUCCUACACCUGAUACUAAGCAUGGGAACAUCUGAGUAGAGUGUAACGUAAACAAUAGAGGUGCAAAGCUCAACAUAUAAUAUAUACAUGGAUAAUAACAAAAGAGCAAGGGUAAGAAACCAUCACCGAGCGUGCACCACUGUACCAACGUCGGAUCGAAGUACCCACCUGUAAGGAUGUCGCGCCUAUCUCCUGUCUGCGAAAGAAUGACAACCGGACCUACGGAGGGUCCACCGGGUUAAUAUCUAACCCACAACUAAGAAAUACUAAACACAUAGCCCCACAAAUAAACCCACGAAAAUCGUUUGACUUAUGGACAUCUUACUAGUGAUGCUUGGGUACAUUCAUAUGAGACUAGCUUUUCUUACUUAUGCUAAAUCAUGCUAAGUAGAGAUAUCAUGUGGUAGCAAAUAUUCAUGCUUAUUUACUUGUCGUACAUAUCAUAUUUGUUUACAUCUGCUUACUGACCCCUUUUUAGUUUGGGCCUAGUGGUGCAUUUCACUGAAGCCAGUAAUUGCCCACUCGGAACUAUUAUUCAAUAGUUCUCACGCCCCCUGUUUUAUGGUUUUAUUUCAUAGCCUUCGGCACCGGCGGAGGCACGGGAUCGCAGCAAGGGAGUUGCAUAGCUAGAUAGCGGAGCUUGCUGUUACUCCUAGGUGGUCACUCUCUUCUUUUUGGUUUUUGUGAGAGAGAGAGAGUUUUGAGUACCAUGUAUAGAGAGACCACCUAUAUACUUAUUUAGCUUUUGUAUUGGGAUUCCUAUUGUAUUCACUUUAUGUUUUUACUUAGUGGAUUUACUUUUAUAUUCCUCACCCUUAUUGUAGCUUCUAGAUAUACCUUGCUCUGAUGCUUCUAGAUGUUCUUUUUAUUGUCUUACUUAUCGUUUUGUUUUAGACGCCUUGUACGUUUUAGAUAUACGGCGGGUCUGGGUACGCGCCGGGCGGGCUUCCGCUGGGUCCAAGGGCGUGACAGCUCUGUGUGGAAGGCUCUGAAAGGAAACAAGAAACGGGGGGCGUGAGAACUAUAAUUUAUUGUUCCGAGUGGGCAAUUACUGACCUCAGCGCAAUGCACCACUAGGCCCCAAAAAGUAAGGGUAGAUACGGGAAGUAAUAAUACUAAAAAAAUAACUGCAGGUAUAAAAGCAUGAAAUAUGUGCUAAAUCACUAUGUUAUAAGUAACAGGAUGUCAACCUUUUGUACAUUCACUCUAUCAUGAUGAAGUAAGUCCAAUACAUGACUAAUAUGUCCCAACAUAAUAAGCAAUAGGCAUUAUGAUCCAAUCUAUCAAUAUAUGAUGGACAUACUCUAUCAUGGCAACCAAGUAUACUAUGAUGCAACAAGUGAAACUAUCAAGUGUACUACAUGUCCCAAAGCUAUGCUAUAAGCAUGUCAUAGCAAUCCAACUACUAUGCCUAUCUAGUAGUGAUUGUCAUAUCCUGGUUUAAUGUCAUUUUUCUAUCAUGUUCUAGGACCUAUAUAAGUGUGGUCCAGCUUGUGUUGCCUAAGUGUCGGUGGUAGCUCCAGCAUUCCUACUCUAGGAAUGAGUCUAUCCCUCACGACCCUGUAGAUUUCUCGAUACCGCACGAGCGAGCAUAAGUCGCGUAGGCCAACUCCGGAGUGCCGGCUUGUAGAGAGCGACCCUCACAAGCAUGUGCGAAUGAGCACAAAUGACAAACAAGCGUAGUCAAUAGCUCAAGUAUCCAAUCAUCAUGUCUUUAACAUGGUAUAAGCCAUUAGCAACCCAACAGUCUAGUUCUAUGUCUCGAGUGAAGUUCCAACAUACACUAUAUUUAGUGCGUCUUUAUGACACUUAAACAUUUACAUAACCCAUGCACACUUCACAUUCUAUGCCUCUUUAUGGCACUACUUUACUAGAUUCACAAAUAACCCGAGCUCAAUGCCGCUUUAUGACAUUAGCUCCAUAGUUCGUGAGUAGUGCAAGUUCCAAGCCUCUUUAUGGCUUACUAAAAUCCCUUAUGUCUCAUUUAGGCAUAGGUUUAAAUGCAUAAUUGUCAUGCCCUGGACUUCAACGGAAGCCCACAGUAACGUGUACAGACCCGCCGUGCACACUAAACUACCACAAUGUACACUAGGCGUCUACAACAAGAAUCAACAAAGUAGUAUCCACAUCUUAAUUGCACUAGAUAAUCAGAGCACAACUAAAAGUUUAAACUUAUACAACUCAAAACUCUAUUACAACAGAUAAGGCUAAAGCACAAUUUAGAUGGCUUAAUAUACAAUACUGAAGAAAACUGUAUAAAGUUGUAAGGGUUGUCUAUUUAACGUCAAGAAGGCUCUAGCUAGCCGCUGACUUCUCGCCGGGAACCCUAACCUUUCCCGCAAUGGAAGGCUCUGUAAAAACAACAAUAAAAAGGGUGUGAGAACUAUUAAACAAUAGUUCCCAGUGGGUAAGCCGCCGAGAGUGGCGAAGUACACCACUAGGUCAACUGUGGCAUGAGUAAAUGAUAUUAGAUAAGCAAGUAAAAGCAACAGGUAUUGAAAUAAAUCAAACAUGACAUUUAUCUCAAAAUAUGCUUAUUAAUAAGUUCAAUGUACUAGUUCACUGUGACCGGUUUUCCCAAUCCUGCUAAUUGACAGUUUAACUAGAUAUACGUUAGUUGUAGGUAAAAUAUUCUUACUGUCACUAAACUAGUUGGUGAUAUCAUGUAAUUAAUUCCUACACUAGCAAGAGUGUAAACAAACUGUCACUAUACUACCAACUAAACCGGAUAUUAACCUUUUAGUAUGCUCAUCAUUAGGUUUAUUUAAUCAAUGACAUAAAGUAACCUUUACUACUAUGUCCAGUUAAGGUUAAGAUAGCUCAUGAUAACCCAAUUCACAAUAGACUUACCCAUAGUAAAGUCAUAGCCGUGCCGUGCUUAAUGGCCCCAUGGAAGUCAACACUACCCACGGCAAUCCACUUCGGCGCUCAAAUCGUACAUAGGCGAGCAAUCUGUCGCGAAGCCACUCCGGAGCGCUGGCUUGGGGGGCGCGACCCCCACAAGCGUGUGCAAAUGAGCACAAGGGCAUGCAAGCUGUAAUCCAUAGUACAAGUAUCCCAGUUUCAUCAUGUCUCUAACAUGGAAUCUCAAUUCGACGCAGGGUCGACGUAGUAGUACUAAAUCAUAAACCACUAUCAACUAUCUGUUGAUAUAAUUCUUUCCAUAACCAGUAUAACUUGACAGUUAACCUUAAUCUAAUAAUGGGCUAUUCCCACACAUACUCACAUUAAGUCCUCUCACUACUCCCUAUAUGUAAGGGUAGUGGUCUUCUAAGGUUAUGUCCAACGACUUGUGGCACAUAAUCUAUAGUUCAGGAUGAUCCUUUACUACUUGAGGUAAACAGGAAAUGUACAGUUAUUUCUACUUGAUCAUGCAAGCAAAUCCUCAUAUUUCUUUCUAGGUCUUACUAGAUUACAUUCAAUAGAAUAACAUUCAAGUUAUAUCAUAAUGCCAACUUCUUAUUACUUAACUAGAUCAUGUUCAGAACUCAAGUUCAUACUAGUUCUAACAAUAUAAGUAUGAAAAACAGCAACCAACUUGUCAACACAAGUAUGUAAAACAUGAUCUAAGACACUCUUGUAUGAUUCUAUAUGGGUAUAUAAAUAAGUUCCUUAUACGAGAUAAACUAACAGUUCUGACACCAUGUCAGCAACAUGAAAUUGUAUACUGGCACUUCAAAUAUAACCUUCCUUUGUAGUCCCAUAAGACCAAAUGAUGUUAAGUCUUGUGUAUUGGCAAGUUUCGUGAAGUGAGUCGGAGUCUUGAAGAACCGGUGCGUAUCAUCGAAGAUCGAAGAAUUCAAGAUUUCGAAGAAGUCAGAAAAUAACUCACGACGUGAAUCACGAUGCUCUGGUAAAGUUUUAAUUCAUGUUAUGGUGAUUCAUACUUAGUUAUAGACAUUAGAAUCAUAAACUCAAAGUUUAAUGGAUUAGAAAGUGCCUCGGAACGUUGUGAAACCCGAAACAGUGAAAAAGCUGAAAUUUUGCACUGUGUACGGGUACACAUGAAAGUGUCACCGGUUACACACUGUGUACGGAUACACAUGAAAGUGUCACCGGUUACAGCAUUACGCAGGUUUUUCGUUCCGUCAUCGUGUAACCGGUGACAGCCUAAAGUGUACCGGUACACAGUGUAAAAUCGUGAAAACUUUCUAAUCCGACUCCAAUUGAUUCUAAAGUCUAUAAAUAAGCUAUUGGGCUUCUCUAACACAUCAAGCAUCAUAAGAAUACAUGUUUGAGAAACCCUAGAGGCUCGGAUUUCAUCUUAAACCUAUUUUCUACAAAAAGCCUCUUUUAGAUCAAAUCGAGAUAUUGAAAUUUGAUAUUAAUAUGUCGAUUUGAUCUCCGCUUCGCUUGGAGUUCUAUUCCCUGGUUUUCUACGAUACUCCUAAGCGAAGGAUCACCAUACACAUGAUGCUCUUCAUGAACGGCGUCGUGGAUUCGGCGUGAACGAAGACGGUUCGUGGAUUCGGAUCGUGAGCUCGUGGAUUCGAGUGGGCGUCGUGGAUUCGACGUGAUCGAGGCUUCGUGGAUUCGAAGUGGUGACGUUUCGUGGAUUCGGGACGUGGCGUUCGUGGAUUCGGACGUGGGGCGUGGACAACCCGUUGGUGUGCGCGAGAUCCGGAGAAGAUAGAAGAGAGGUUUGAGUCCGUGGAUUCGGUAAAUCACCUUGUAAUCUUUUAUUCUUAGUGGAUUGUUAUCGCGUGUUGGUCCCGUGGGUUUUUUACUCCGAGUUUGGAGUUUUCCCACGUAAAUCUCGGUGUGCUUUUUAUUUUCCGCAUUUAUUUUUAUUACAUCGAGAUUUGUGGUUUUUUGGCCGUUCACCUAUUCACCCCCCCUCUAGGUGAUAGAUACAAUCUAGAUAGAUCCUUGGGCUACUCAAAACUUUCAAAUGAUACUUUCAUGGUUAACAAUUCCUCCCUCCUGAAUGAAAUCAUGCUUAACUCAUUUGUACAGGUUACUCAUAUCAUGGAUGCUGAUUAAUAAAACAAGAGAUCUAACUAGAAUAAACAAUUCCAUAAUUCUUUCUCUACUACAAAGAAAUACUACUAUGCUUGAUGUGAUAUCCACCUGAAUACAUAUCUCAAUUUCAUCAUAUACACAUACAUUCACAUAAAUAUGCAAUCACUUUAACUCAUAUUGUCAAUGGAGACAUAGAGGAAAUUCGUCCAUUUCGGGAAGGUCCGACCCACCUAAUUAUCGAAGCUCACGUCGAUUCUGCCAAUGAAGGUAAUCCGAAGCCUUUAGCACAGUAUCAAUGCUUAAUUUCUCGUUUUGGUUCAGAUUGGAGUAUCAAAUUCAGCCUUCGAAAGCUUCCAAAACUUAGUCAAAUAAGAUCAAAUGGUUCACUGCGAACCUGCUGCAAGUAUGCGGUAAUUGCAUGAAAACUGCAUUAGAAGUACAACUAAUCUUAUCAACUAAUGAGUUGGUAAGCAAUUUACCUUCUAACCGAUUUGGUUCAGUUCAACCCCUGGUUGAAACACCUCAAAACCAGCUCACAAAAGUCCCAACAUUCAGCUCAAAAGGAAUUCCAAGGCUGCUGAAAACAUAUAUUGAAACAGCACCAUUACUCUACUAUUAUACUUAAUAUAGUAUCAAUAUAAGGUAAUUAACUAGCUAAUUACCUUUUCCAAAUUUCAAUUUCAGUUUUUCCUUAGCUCAGGGUUGAAGAAUCACCUCCCAAUUCUGCUUCAAAAGUCACUAACCUGCUGUAAUUAGAUUCCAAAACUGCAUCACUACUUCACUUAUACAAUUAGUAUAGGCUGAAUUUACUUGCAUAGAUUCUCAACUUGAAAUUACACUUCCCUCAAGUUGAAGUAUAUUCACAAUCAGUUCACGAAAGCGUAUUAUUCAACUCAGAAUGAAUAUUCUAACUGCCGAGAACAUAGACCCCCAAAAUCUGCAGUAUUACCUCAUUUUAUAUUUCAUAUAGCAUCAAUCAUGUAUUUAAUCAAUCAAUUACCUUCUCACAGCUUCACUUUAGUUUUUCCCUAGGUAUAAAUAGAGGAAUUACGGCAAAAUUACCCCUCUCUAGCUGUUGAGACUAUUUCCCAAACCUGCUAGUAAUCAAGGAACCAAAACACAUCAGCUUCACUCCCCUAGCUCAAAACAUGAGGAGCAAAUUGAAUAACUUACCCCCUCAAACCUCAACCCAGCUUCUUACAGAGCUAGGGUCAUGAAAUACCUCUCCCUAAGCCUCAUUUUUACUCCUUCACAGCUGAUUCAGGCCCCCUUCUACAGCAACCCUCAUAGAGCAAAGAGAAACAAGCUCAAUUCCUUGCUUUCAUCUUAGAGAGAGAAAACUCUAGAGAGAGAGAGUAAAAGAGAUGCAAAACCCUCACCUCUGGACUCCAGCACCCUUUGGUGAACUGCUGGGGGCGGGCUGGGAAGAUAAGGAUAGGGAUGGAGUGGAAAAAGACCAAAUUGGCCUAGCUGCCACGUAGCUGCUGCUUCUGCUGCUACCUGUACCGGUACAACACUCACCCUGUAUCGGUACAACAAUGCAGAAUGUGCAAGAUGGCAGUAGCAAUGCACUUCCUCGCUUCCCGUAGUCUAAUCACUCUCCUACUUGUCCACCAACCUCUCUAAACCCUUUAGAGAAUGUAGGAUAAUUCCACUUAUCAUUCCCACUCAUCAGACUUCAUAAUCAGUCAAAUUCAAAAUAUCACAUUUGAACUUCGCACUUUUCCACGUCUACAGGGCAAUGCACUUUUGAUCUUCCGGCUGUUUGUUCACUCUUAUAACCAGUCAAGGACCUCACUUCCACUCUUAAAAAGAUGUGGGUUAGCUCCAGAUACCAACCCGACAUUCGAAUUUUGCAAUUGACCAAGUUCAACGUAUUAGAGUUGAUAGUGCAAUUGCAAUGCACUUUUCCGCUUCCGGCCACUUGCUGGCUUCCGUAACUUGCUGAAAACCUCUCACAAUCCUUCAAAAGUCGUAGAAUAGUUCCAAUUACUAUUCGAACACUCGAACUUCGCAAUUUGCCAAAGUUCAGUGUACUACAAUAAUACAAAUCUCAUUUUCAUCAUAGGAAAAUAAGGUUUCAAGUUCAACUAGAAUGCCCGAACACAUGCAUGAAUCCAUUAUGCAAGCUUUCUACUACAUAGAGGUCCAAAAUUUUAUUGUACACAACAUAGGGAUUUUAAACAUUCUAAAAUUCAUAAAUAAUGCAUCUAACAUGAAUAUGCAUGAUUUUUUAUUUUACAAUACUCAAAUCAUCAUAAAUGAGAUUUUUUCAUUAUAUGGCUAGGUCAAACCCACCGAACGGCGCGCAAUCCUUCGUUUGCUCCAACGAAGGUGUCCACUAAGCUCCUAGCAUCCUAAAAGCAUAAAAAAGUGAGCUAUAAAAAGCAAACGAAUAAGUACUAGCUCAAACAUUAACCUACUAGGCAAAAUGGCCAAAAAUCUCACCUAUAGUGUAAAAAUUCCUCUCCAAAGCUCAAAUGGAAGUCAAAUCCCUUCUAAAGCAACCUAAACCAAGGUUCUAAUCCCAUUAGAUUAGUUCCAAAAUUCUCUAAUCAAAAAGCCCCAAAUAAACCCUAGUUUUUCGAUUUCCUAGGGUUCCAUCUAGUUUCAAGCAUCAAAACUAAAAUCUAGAGGAAAGAAACUUGCUACCAACCUUUUAGAAGAUUCGAUCCAAGCUCAAGGCUCACCAAGUGUGGAGAUCUCCCUCCUCUCAAGCUCCAAACCCAAGGUCCAAGCUUCUCCAAGGUGGAAAAUACAUCAAAAAGCACAAAGAAGAAAUUAAUCCUCUAAAAAUCAAGCAAAAUGGAGAUCAAAUCCAAAGAGGGGAAAAAGAGAGGCUCCCCUACCUUAUCUCCUCAAUCCUCAGCUCAGGGAAAGCCCUAAGGGGCGUGGGUGCUGAUAUAGAGAGGCUACAAUCGCAAAAACACUCCUGCAGUUCGGCCAGAUCAAAUUCUGCCAAAGUGUACCGGUACACGGGCCCGUGUACCGGUACAAGCCCCACGAAAUUGCAACCCGAGGCUCGGGUUGGCGGGGUAACUGGCCGUGUACCGGUACACGACCCCGUACCGGUACAACCAUCAACCAUGUACCGGUACAGCCAUCAAGGCGUACCAGUACACCACCCUUGAUAUGUCAACCUGAGAGCAGCCUAAGUUCUCCAUUUUGGCGACCUUAGCGCCACUUAAAAUACUGUAAUUCUCCGGGUACGAGCCAUAGGUCGGACCACUGUCAACGACCCUACAGAAUAUCUGAAAAACUCGAAACACAGGGCAAACACUCGAACCUCGCAAUUUGCAAAGAUUCAGUGCGUUACAAUACCGGUACACGAUAAAGUGUACCGGUACAAAUCUCGCGAAAAUGCAAACCCGAGCCUCGGGUUGGCAGUUCACCACAUUUGUACUAGUACAACCAUCAAGAUGUACCGGUACACUUUCUGUGCCGGUGCAACUAUCAAGGCUGUACCGGUACAUAGCCCUGCAGAGGCAACCCGAGAGCAGCCUAAGUCCACCUCUUUGGUGGCCUUAGCGCUACUUAACAUACCAUAAAUCUUAGGAUACGAGCUAUAGGUCGGAACACUGUCAACAACCCUUCAGAAUAUCUGGAAAAACUUAGAACACAGAUCAAACACUCGAAUCUCGCCAUUUGCAAAGGUCCAGUGUGUUACAAAGAGGGAGAGAAAUGAGAGAGAUAUGUGUUCUCAGCUGGGAACAAGAGAAAAGAGAGGGUGGGGUACUUUAUAGGUUGCUACAAUAGCAAUUAGACCCUCCCUUUCUUUCUAUUUGCAGCAGACCAAAGUCUGCUGCGAGUGGCACUGCGUACGGGUACGCAGGAUUUUGUCACCGGUUCAAUGGUUACGCAACAGCCAAACUCAAGAGCUACCUUCUUGGGUAGCUGACCUGGUACCGGUACGCACCAGGGGUGUCACCGGUUUAACAGCCUUAAACACUCAAACCCGAGAGCUGCUGUUCUCGGAUGCCUGCCUGGUUCCAGUACCGCUCCAAUGCAUUACCGGUUAAUAAUGCUCCAGACUUAAGUUUUGUAUUGUUUCGACUCCAAAUCGUGCCGAGCAAUGCUAAAACCUUUCUAACUCUUUUGGAACUCAACUUUAACCCUUCCAACAUUGUUGGAAUGUUAAAUGGACUUUGUCCAACUAUUUCUCUCGGACACUUUGGUCAAUUUGACUAAAGUUCGUAUAGUCUACCGAAGUUUCAGUAUAUUACAUACUCCCACUUACACUCCCAUUAUUUUGGGCUAUAACUUCAUAUGGCCUUAGUGCCUCAUUCUCGCCUAACAAUGGGACAUUUCCAUUAGGUUCUUGCAACUCGUAUAGUGCAAGGUCCUUUUUAAUCUCACCAAUGUCUGAAAAAUCAUGCUCAAGAAAAUCCACAUCGUGGGACUCUAUCUCAGUCAUUCCUCCAUCCGGAUGCUUGCCAUACAUCACAUAGCCUUUCGAGCAAUCAGAAUAUCUAAUAAAAAUUUGCUUAUUUGCUCUGGAGCCUAAAUUCCUAUGUUUAUGAAAAGUAUUAUGCACAUAUGCUACAGAUCCUUAUAGACGUAAGCCUUCCAAAUUUGGCUUUAUAUUAUACCAUAGCUCAUAGGGAGUUGAAAGAACUGACUUAGCGGGCACUGGGUUAAGUAUAUAGGCAGCAGUCAACAGCUCAUCACCCCAAAAACUAAUUGGGAGGUUGGUUUGCACUAUCAUUGACCUAACCAUUUCCAAAAAUGUCCUAUUCCUCCUCUGUGCAACAUUAUUUUGUUGCGGAGUGUUGGGAAUAGUUAACUAUCUACGUAUCCCUUUUUCCUCGCACAGUUUCUUGAACUGGUCCGAUAAACACUCUCGUCCUCUAUCAGUACGUAGAGCCUUUAGAGUUCUUUCUGUUUGAUUCUCAACCUCCACCAAGAAGCGUUUAAAAUAAUCUGAAACUUCUGAAUAGUGAGACAACAUAUAUACCGAACUAUAACGGGAGUAGUCAUUGAUGAAAGUGAGGAGAAAUAGGACACACCAUGGCGUGCUCUCACAUUCAUAGGUCCGCAUAUGUUAGAAUGAACUAGCUCCAAUGGAUGAGUUGCCUUAAGUGCCUUACAAAAAAGUUUUCUAUAGGCCUUUCGUGCUAAACAUGGUUCGUAAGGAGAUAGACUAAGCUUAGCGAGUGACCCCAACAGGCCUUCUCUAGCUAGUCUGGCCAUUCUUUCUUGUCCAAUGUGACCCAAUCUCGCAUGCCAUUUGAUAGAAUCAGACAUAUUAUCAAAAGAAACUAAUAAAGUAGGAUUAUUAUUGUUAUUAAUAGAAUUCAAGUUCAAAUCUAAGACAAAGAAAUCAUUCUUUAAACAACCAUUACCACAAAAGUUCUUGCCCAAAUAAAUAGCUAACUGGGUAUCCGUAAAUUGAAAUAAAAAAAACCUAAUCUAAGUAACCUAAAACUGACAAUAGAUUACAUCGGAUGUUCGGUGCGUUCAGUACAUCAUGUAAUAUCAAAUAAUGAGCAUUGUGCAAUCUUCUUCUUCUUCUUUUUUUGAGAGAUAGGUAGCAUGCUACCCGCUUCGUUUAUUUCAUUUAGAAAUAAACUUAGCUAGAAAUAUGAAUCAACUAGAAUUCUAACUUCAGACCUCGAGUACCAACUAUCAAGCCCUUUGCCACUUGCGCUAGAGACAGUCGAUACAAUUGCGCAAUCUAAGUUGGUAUACGGCAAUACCAAGGACUUCUUCCUCAGUGUCGUUUCCCAUCAUGACAUAAUGGCUGCCAGCAGACACCCGACGAUAAUCCACAUAUCCUGCUCAAUCUCUGGUUACAUGCUUUGUUGCUCCUAUGUCUACAAUCCAAUCAGAGAGAGCGUGAGCAACAAAAACAUGUGAACAUACAUAAAUAAAAGAGUCAGGAUUGGGAUUUACCUUUUUCGACUCAAUACAAUCACGAGCGAAGUGUCCCAUGUUUCCACAGUUAUAGCAUUUCACUUUAUUUAAGUUUUUCUUUCCACGCCUGCUUUUGUGGCGCUUAUCAAUUCCACCCUUACUUUGCACAUGGUUCCCAGUCUUUUCAUAUUUAUUUACUCCAUUUCAGUGCUUGUGCUUAGGCCACUUGCCUCUACGUUGUCCACCGUGGGCAAGGAGUACAUUAGUACAGUUCGCCUCUCUGCGCUCCGCUUCCAACUCAAGAUGCCGAGCUAUAUCAUUGAAGGUUUUAAUACCCUCACUGUGAGUUAGCACAACCUUGGCUUGAUCCCAAGAUGAAUCUGGUAAGAACCUUAUAAUUGAUUGAACCUGCUAUUCAUCAGUGAGCUCGCAACCGGCUGCUUUAAGUUCUCUUAUCAUAGCAAACAUCACCCUUAAAUGCUCUGCCAUAGAAUGCUUUAGAUCUAGUAUAUAUUGAUUGAAUUUGAGAUUUAAGGCACGGAGCCUUGCAGUCGAUGUGCUACCAUAUUUCACUUUGAGUUGCUCCCACAUAUUUGUAGCAGUCUUAUAAUUCUCAAAUUUCUUAGUCAAGUCAUUGUGCAUACAACUCAGUAUCAUAUAGCGUGCACUUCGAUCUUUGUCAAGCUACUCAUUAUAGGCGUGCAAAUCACGACGAUGCUGAGUCGUCGUGCCUUCUUCAGGCUAAACCUUACUGUUGGUUAAAUAGUUAAGUACUCCUUUCUCAUUAAGGAGAUAUUCAAUUUUUCUAUACUACAUAUCAUAAUUCAUUACAUCAAGUCUAUCUUGAUUUAGCUAAUCCGCGAUGGAAAAAAUUUUGGAAGCCAUAUAUCACUAUAAUAAUGCAUAUAAUUUUAAAUUUGGCACAAAUAUCCACAAUAUUAUUCUCAAUCUAGUUUGAUAAUAAAAUUUUUCAAUGCAUCUUCAAAUCAAAAAUUUCGCCUUUAAAAAAAACUAAAAAUCAUCUCAUCCAACGCAGAUUAAAAUAAUAUAUCAAAUUGAUCAAGAAUAAAUCCAUGUCACAAAUUAAUUAAAAACACAUUGCAAUUUUGACUAGCUAUAACAUAUAUAAGAUGGCAAGAAAUAAUAUAUAAUUAAGUGGCAUACAUAAUAUUUUAUGAGUAAGAGUUGGUAUGGAUGGUUAGAGGAAGCAAGCUAUAAAAACAAUGUUUCAUGUUUCAUGAAGGUUGUGGGUUUAAGUCCUGCUUCCAACAAAUUAUUUGAUUCCUUAUUUUUUUAUUAAUUGGAUUAAGGGACUGCAAGUGGGCCAGACCGUGGGUUGGGCCCAAGCGGAGGGCAGCAAUCGGGUCACAUGUGGGCCAGGCUGUUGUGCUCGGCCCAUGGCAUGCCUUAGUUGGACCUACACUCGGUUGGGCUCCAUAGGCCCAACAUGCAGGUAGCCCAAUAACUGGGCGGGCCACCCAAGGCCUGCUAUGCAUAUAGCCCUCGUAGUACUUGCAUGCCAACAGGCUCUUGCGUAACACGCGGGCCCGACCUCCUAUAAGUCUAGCAUGCGGGUAGGGAUGUAAAACGGGCCGGACGGCACGUGGGCUGCCCGGCCCGGCAUGGCCUCUGUCCGGGCUAUAGCACGGCACGGGCACUGUAGCACCCGUGCCGGGCCGGCCCGGCUCGAGCCUCUGGGUCUUGCUGGGCCGCUCCUAUGUGGCACGACGGCACAGCCCGGCUCGGCCCGAAACGGGACUGGGCCGUGCUAGGCCGAGGAGAGGCGGGCGGCCCGGCACGGCGUGCCAGCUGGGCCAGUCAGCCCGGAACCCCCAAGGCCCAAGGGCCUUGCCCACCUACUCCUCCCAAGGUCAGACCUUGGAAGGAGCAAGCGCCCAUGGCGCCUCCCACGGCACCCACGCCUGCGGCCCCGGCGCCAGCAGCGAGACCCCCAUGCCACCUCCCAUGGCUCCUGCGCCGCCCCUGUGGCCCCCGCUCCACCCCCCGUGGCCCUCGCUUCGGCACCCAAAUCCAACGGCUCUACCCCAUCCGGCCCCUCUCCACCUUCCCGACCACCUCCCCCCGACGCCGCCUUCUCCGAGACCCUUUCCUCGCCGGAAACCCCCACAUCCCCCGGAAACGCCAGCGGCCACGUUGAAAAUUUUUUUUCCAAAAAAAUAAUACAAAUUUAUUUUAUGUUUUAAAAAAUUAACAAUUUAUUAUAUUAUAAUUAUUACAUUUAUAAUUUUUUAGUGAUUUAAUCAAAUUUAAACUAAUUUUUUAAAAAAAUUUUAAAAAUAAAUAUUUUAAAAAGCCAACCAGAAGCACGGCCUGGCCCGUGUCUUCCAGGUCGAAGGGCCGUGCCGGGCCGGAAGCUAGGCAGCUUGGGCCAGGCCCGCACAGCCCGAAAUUGAAUCCUGGCCGGGCUGGGCCAGCCACUAGCCGGUUUCGGCCCGAAAAAUGUGGGCCGUGCCGGCUCGACACGGCCCACAUUACACCCCUACAUGCGGGUUAGCAUCGGGUAGCUUCAUAUGCAAGUGCAAACUCAUACGCAAUCCUUCGUGCUUCAACCGAGCAUGCUAUUCACUCGCAACCCAAUGUGAAUUUUUUUUAUUUUAAUUUAUUUAUACAAAUUGGUUGCAAAUUUAUUGUAAAAAAAAAAGGGCUAAAUUACAGAAAACCCCCCUGUAAUAACCCGCUUUUUCACUUUUCCCCCCUGACAUUUAAAAACCUACAUUUUGCCCCCUCCUAAUUACGAAAUUGUGCACAGGCCCCCCUGCCGUCACGGUUCCGUGAGUGUUCUGUUUGCUUUUUCGAAAUUUAUUAGUGGAGAUACCCAAACUACCCUUUAAAAUGGCGGGAGACUAUAAAAAACCCAUUCUUUUCCCUCCAGAGCCUUCUCUCUACUUCUUCUCCACUCUUUCACCCUUUCAACCACUUAAGCCAUCUAACCCAUCUUCUCUCCUCCUCCCAGCAGCAUCACGGUGCACCCUUUCAACCAAUCUUCCCCUUGUAGCCUCCAAAAUUAUCAAAAAGGUAUGAUUUUUCUUCCUUAACCAUACAUGUUUGUAUAUAUAUAUAUAUAUAGUUUUCUCUAAAUGAACCAAUUUUUAUUUUCUUAAUACACUGUGAGAAUAGAAAUUUUAAUCUCUUGUUAUACUUAUUAACUCACAUUCUCAUUUUAUAUUUGUUUUCGUCGCCUUUUGCUACAGCAAAAUGUCAGCAUCUUCAUCUUCAUCUAGUGGUUGUACUGCUGGCCAACUCAAUGUGGACAAUCCUAUUUGUUUCUGUGGGCUAAAGGCUCCUCAGAGAACAUCACUAACGUUCGAUAAUCCAGGAAGACGAUUUUAUGGCUGCAUAAAUUACAAAAGAAAUGGUUGUGGUUUUUUUCGUUGGCGUGAUCCAGAGAUAUGUGAACGAGGAAAGGAAUACAUCAUCGAACUCCUCGAACAAAUUGGCCGUUUGAAGAAGAAAGUAAUAGCAUUGGAAAAUGAAGUAUCAACAACUGCUGAAGAUAACUAUAUUCUUAGUAAGAAGUUGACAGAUGUUGAAAAUUCGAGGAAGGCACUUCGAGAGGAAAUGGAUAGGCUAAUUGCCAAAAUGGCAUUGAUCCAGAUGAAGCUAAAGGAGAAGGACAAUAAGUGGAUUGACAAAUACUAUAUGCUUAUUAUCUGUAUAGUGCUAACUAUUUUAUUAUGGUAUCUACUAAUCUGAAUGUACUCAUAUUAUUCAUAUUUGGUAUUUUGGACUCUUGUUAUGUAUGCCAUCUUAUUUUGUUUCCAAGUGAGUGGCCUAUUAUGUAAUAUGAUGAUAUGAAAUAUAUCAUGCAAACUAUUUAAGUUUAAGUUAUGUGUAUUUUACAUGGAUCUAUAUAGUAUUGGUAUGAGCUUUGUAGUUACCUACAUGUGAGAUGUGCUUAACAACAACUAUACAUUACCUAGUUCACUGCAUACAUGAACAAGAGAACCAACAAUAAAAGUAGCAUUCUCAAUAAGUUAAAUGAGAACCAGAUGAACCAAGAUUACUGCAUACAUGAACCAACAAGGGUGGAGCAAGGGAUGAACCAACAAGUUCUCUACAUACAUGAACAAAAGAACAAAAGGAUCAAUAAGAAGUUCACUGCAGAUUCCAUACAUGAACAAGAGAACAAGAGAACAAGUUCACUGCAUACAUGAACAAGAGAACAAGAGAACAAGAGAAAAAGAGAACCAACAAAAACACUGCAGAUUCCAUACACAAGCUAGAGAACCAACAAGUUCUCUGCAUACAUGAACAAAAGAACAAGAACAACAUGAACAAGAGAUAUAUAUGAAAAAGUUCACUGUGUAUCUUACAAGAUAUAGUUAUGGUUAGAUCCAAAUACAGAAUAAGUAUCUUACAACUUGCUGAACAAAUGAAACCAAAAUACAAAAUGAGUAUAUAAAAAAAACAUCAGUUGUGAGUUGUCCCUGGCAGAUAUAUAGUUAUGGUUAGAUCCAAAUACAAAAGGAUCUAACUUAAGUUAUAGAUAGUAAUAUAAGAUAUCCUACAACUUGCUGACCUAAGUUGGUUUACUGGUAGAUUCUUGAGUUGUUGCUGGCCUAAGUUGCUNCCAAGCUAUUUAGGUGACACUAUAGAAUACUCAAGCUUUAAGCCAUUAGAUAUAUCUCCAAUAGGCAUAGUGUAGUAUAUCAUUGAUUCUUUUGGUAAUCCAAGGCCCUGAAGCAUCCCAUAAUUCAAUAAUCGACAUCAAGUCCGGAUCAACAUUAUCGGCAUAUGAUAUUUUCCCUCCAUAGUAUUCUGAUAUAGGAUCUCCUUUAAAAAAUCCACCAUAGUGAAUUUCAAGAGUCCUCAGCUCCAUCUAUAUGUACAAUAAUUAGAAUAAAAAGAAGAAUAAUAAUUAAAGCAAGCUAUGGAAAAGCAGUGGAACCCCAAACAAUACACCUCAAAUAAAACAAAAAUAUAAAUGCAUCACAUACAAAAACAUAAAGCAAAGUGGGACCAAAAGCUCAGAUAAUAUCAAACCAACCUUCAACACUAAAGCUUAAUUAUACCUCAGCAUAGGAACAUCAGGGACCAUAUGUACUAAAAUAAGGAAUAAAAUAAUGCAAAACUACAAAACCCAAAGGAAUUUCUUCAACCACAGAAACAUUAGGGACCACAUGUACUAAAUUAACAUUUCAACACUAAAGCUUAUAAUUAUACCUCAGCAUAGUAAGAGGGUCCUCGUUCAAGCACGAUCACUGUCCCUAUGUCGAUUCGCUCGCCUUUCUCCUUGGUUCGAAAGCUAGCGCUUGCCUUUCGCCUACGCCUAGGGUUCGAAUCGCCUCGUCCUCCUCGCAGGAUCGAGCCCUAGAUUUUUUUCUCCAACGACGAAACGAAUGACAUUCCACUUUCUCUCUCUCCCCUCUCUCUCCCCGUCAAGUAAAAGGUAAGGGCAUUAUCGUCAUUUCACACUUUCCGUUAACGCCGUAGCCCCCUGUGCACAAUUUCGUAAUUAGGAGGGGGCAAAAUGUAGGUUUUUAAAUGUCAGGGGGGGAAAGUGAAAAAGCGGGUUAUUACAGGGGGGUUUUCUGUAAUUUAGCCAAAAAAAAAAGAACAAUUAAAGAUCUACCCAUAUUAAAAACGGAUUAUCGAGCGAAAACAAGCACUUUAAUGCUCUUUGAUACUACUGUUGGAAAGAAUUAAUAUCCAAAAUAAAACGCAAAAAUCACAUAUAUUUUUACAUACCUCUUUAUAGCGGAAUUUACGUUGCAAUUAACAGGAUCCGAUCUCGUCUUGUUUUACGAACUUCUUGAUCCACCAACAAUCUGUCUCAAUUUCUUACACGUUGAUCUUUCUCAUUGCAAACCGGCUAUCCGAGUUGAUCGCAGCACACUGCCCAAAUCCCUAGGGUUUCUGAUGGUGCCCUUAAGCGAAUCCAAGAGAGAGAGAAUAUUGUGGAGAGAUUAUAUUAAUUUUUCUUUAUGUUUUUCGUGUGUUGUAUGUGGCCAAUACCUCAUAUAUUAAUAGGCCAUAAGGAAGACGUUAAUUUUAAUCCUGUUCUAACUAAAUAUCACAUAAAUAGAGAUUUAAACAUAUUAGAAUCUAUCUUUUAAAUUUAUUCAUGAUCCCAAACUAGAAAUAUUUUAGAUAAGUUUCAAUAUUUAUUCCUUAUCCCAUAUGGAUUAUGAAUAUUUUAGAUAAGUCCUAAUGUAGACGAAUUCUAACAUGACAAAAUCUAACAACUUUAUUAAGAAGCACCAGUUAAAAAUAUUGUAGAAAAAAUAUAAACUGAAUUUUUAUGAUAAGCUCACUAAAAACUUCUAUCAAAUUAUUUUUAAUUGUUUAUAUGUUAUUUUUUAUACAUUUUGUUAUUUUUAAGUCAUAAUGAGCUGAAUAUACACUUCACUUCUAACCAAUAUUUUUUAAUAAUUUUUAUAUAAAAUUAUAGGUUUAUUGCUUACUGUGGGUAGGGAUUGGAAGAAUAUGAUAGUUGAGUGGUGCUUUUGAAAAAAAAAAAAAUAGUACAGUAUAUAAAGUGAAAAGAAAAUUUGUAAUAGCAUGUUUGCUUGCCUGAAAGUGGCUGAAAUGAAAAAAAAAAAUUACUUUUAUAAAAUCAAAUUUUAUAAAAGUAACUUUUAAGUUUAGAGUAAUGUUUCUAUACUUUUUUUUUUUCUGUUACCGUUCAUUCACUCCCAUUCAACGGUUUAGAUUUAAUUUUCUUAAAAUUGUGACCUGCAAUAGCAGGUCACUUUGGGAGAGGCACCGGUUACCAGAUACCUCAAAAAGGAUAUUUUUGUCUUUUAAUACAUGAGCAAUUUAGUCAUUUUAUCUCAACUAUAUGAUCAAAAUUUUUAUUCUUUCUUUAUUUUUUUUUUCCUCUCUAUCUUUCCUCUCAUAUUUUGGCAUUUCAUAUAAGAAAAGUUUCAAAUUAUUUGACAAUAAGAAUGUGAAAUUAUUUUGUGGACCAAUUAUGGAUUUUGUCUAUAUCCAUCUUGAAUCCGACCCGAAUCAUAUAUAAAGUUUCAUAUUAUAUUCAAAUUUAUAUUUUAAAAAUUUAAAUUAAAUAUAAAAUAUUUUGAAAUAUGGUAAAGAGAAAUAACUGUUCCGAGUUCCGGUCUUCGGGUCUGGGUUCUGUUUUCGGUUUCAAAAAAUUGGUCAGUUUCAAGUUUAGAUAUGGAUUUUUGAAAUCCGUCAAGUUCAGAAAUAAGUUUUGUGAUUAUUAGUCGGGUUCGAAUUCAAAUUCCUAACCCUUUUUUCUAAACAAUAAUCCUAAUCUUUUUAAUUUUUAUAUUUAAAAUUAUGUUUAAAUUAUUAUUAGCUUUAACCGUUAUCAUUCUGUUUAAACCAUUUAUUAUUUUUAACGGUUCCACUUUGUUCUUAAUCUUAUUCAGUUUAAUAGGUUGAAAUUAGAUCUUUGAUAGAAUAGUUUAAAACCUGAUCAAUCAAAUCAAUCAGUUCAAUCUGGUUUUUAAAUCAUUGAUACUAAUUUAAUUAAAAUGAAUAAUAAAUGUUAAGAAGCUAAUUGUAAACCAAAAGGUAACAAACUAAAAGUUUAAAAAUCAACUAAAAAUUAAAAAAUUUUAAAGAUAAGAGUCAAAAUCAAUUUAAUAAAUCAAAUUAAUUGGAAUGAUCAAAUUAAUAAAAUAUACAAAUAGCCUAGAUUUGUUCAAUAUAAAUUUAUUUAAUUUAUCUACAUUUCUAAUUUUAUUUACUCUAGUAUAACUCUAGAGAUUUAUUAUAAGUUUAUAAUUUAAAUUAUACAGUCUAAAUCUAUUUAUUGGUAAAUUUAAAUUGUAGUAUAUGCUAUUCAUUUAUUGGGGUUUCUAUUUACCUUUUAGGUUCAAACUUCAAAUUUUAUUUGUUUUCAGCUUAUAUUUUAAAUUACAAUAUAUGAUCUUAUUAUUUUAAAAGAUUUACUAUUAAAAUUUGAAUAUAAUUUUGCCAUACAACUCUAUUCUAAGAAUAUUUGAAUUAUACCCAUUAUUUCUAAUCAAUUAUCCACAUUAAAUUUUUUAAAUAGUGAGAAAGAACUAAUAUCUAAAUUAGAAAAAUUCUUAGAUUUUUUAAACAUAUUAAAUAUGUUGAAUUUAAAUAUUUGCCCACAUUCAAUUUUUUAAAAUUAGUAAUAAAAAAUUAAUGUCUAAGAUGAAUUCACAAUUUUGUUAAACAUUAAAAUAUGUUAAUUUAAAUAUUUACCAAAAUUACAAAUUUUUUAAAUAAUGAUACAAAAAUAAUGUCUAAGUAGAACAAUCUAAGUUUUUUUAACAUAUUAAAAUACAUUAAUUUAUAAUUUUUUUACCUACAUUCAAAUUUUUUAAAUAAGUGAUACAAAAUUAAUGUCUAAACAAAGGAAUUUAGAAAUUUCUUAAACGUAUAAGUGUGUUGAAUUAAAAUAUUUAUCAACAUUACAAAUUUUUUAAAUAGUAAUACAAAAUUCCUCUAACUUAAAUUUUAAUUUUUUAAUUUUAAAUAUUUAAUAUUUAAUAUUUAAAUUCAAUGUAUUUAGAAACAGAACUAUUUCUAAAAUUUCUAUAAUUUAAAUUAAUGUCUAAAUUUUAGAAUCACUAAAAUUUAUAAAGUAAAUGCGUAAAUUAAUGCCUAAAUUAAGGUAAUAAAUCAAUUUCCCAAAUUAAUGCAAAUUAGUGCAUAAAUUUAGGAUAUCAAUUAAAAGUUUUUUUAAAUGUUGCAUAGUUUAAUUACCAAAAUAACCUCGCAUGAUGUAAACCUUUUACCCGCUAAAUGUUAAAAUUACAUCCUUACCCUCUAUUAAUUAACGGUUAAGAUCUAUUUUAUUUUUUUAAUAAUAAAGUACCGUAUCAUUUCUCGCCAUAAAUAAAAAAUAGAAAAGUAUAGUUUUGAUUAUACACAAAGAAGUAAAAAUAUAAACAAACGACAGAGUUGAAUUCAAAAAUAAAUUUUAAAUUUUAAACUUCAACUUUAAACUUCAUCUGAGUUGAUUUAUAAUUAAAAUUUAAAUAGUAAAAUUUAUUAUUUAGAUUUAAAGUUUUAAGUAUAGUAUUAAUAUAUUAUUAAACCUCCUUCUAAUGAUGAUAUAUAUAUAUAUAGGUAUAGAUUAGUCGCUUUCCAACUUAAAAGGCUUAAGAUGGGAUUUUCAUUUCAGUUAUAUACAGUUAAUGUACGGAGUCUCUACUCAUACUUAGCAAUUAUUAUUAUGAGAAUGAGGAUCAUUGAUUUCCAAAAGAAAAGCUCAAAAAAGAAAAGAUCCCAAGUCAACAAAAGAAACCUCCAAAUCUAUGUUUUCCCAAAUUUAACUCACCCAAGUGGAAAAGGUGGCUUAUAAUUACAUCAUUAAUUAGGGCUCUUUUUUUUUCCAAAUUAACCCUUAAAGAAUUUAUAAUUGCUGUGUAAGUAUAUCAAAAUUUUAUUUGACCAAUUUUUGGAAAAGAGUGAAUCAUUUACAGUACUUAAUAAAAUUUUAAAAACAGUGAAUCGUUUGCUGUCUUUUUUUAAAAAAAGAAUAUAAUAAAUGAUUCAUUAAUUUUUUUUGGAAAAACUUCAAAACCCCCCCUGUGGUUUCAUAGUUUCUCACUUUGCCCCCCUGUGGUUUAAAGUGUAUCAAUUUGCCCCCCUGUGAUUUUGUUUUUAUCUUUUUGGUAGCUUCUUCGUUAAUAUUUCGUUAAAUUAUAUACAAAAAAACUUCAGAUACACAUAUAGAUUUAUCAAAUAUUCACUUUAGUACCCUUUAAUUUUAACUUUAUUACUGAUUUAAGGAAAAAAAAAAUAAUAAAAUUGAUAAGAAAAAGAGAAAAACAAAACCACAGAGGGGCAAAUUAAUACAUUUUAAACCACAGGGGGGCAAAGUGAGAAACUACGAAACCAUAGGGGGGGUUUUUGAAGUUUUUCUUUUUUUUUCUAUAUAAUUCUAAUGACCCCAUAAAAAUUUCAAAAAAACACAUAUAAUCGUAACAAAAAAAUUUUAAUAACUUAUUCAUAUAAUCCUAACAAUACAAAAAAAAUUUAAUAAUUUACAUACAAUCUUAACAACUCAUAAAAGUUCUCACAACUCGUAAAUCUAUAGACAACAAUAGUAAUUUGAAAACGGUGAAUAAUACACCGCUUUUUAAAGACAAUGAACCAUUCAAUAUUUUUUUUAUUUUUAUCCAAUAUGAUACUAAGUUGGCAAAAAUUGGAUUAGUUAAUCAAAUAAAAUUUUGAAAAAGUCCUUUAGCCAAAUAAAAAUUGUUAUAGAAUUUUUUUUAAAAAAAAAUGUCUUCCAAAAAAAGCAGAUCGAAAGUCAACAUAAGGCACCUCAAACUAUGUUUCCCAAUUUUGACUCACCCAAGUGGAAAAGGAUGGUUUAUUACGUCAUAGCUUUUUUUGGUUUUUUGUACGUGUUUUCGCACACGACUCCACAAAGUCUCUGUACUUGGUAAGUGAAAAUAUAUAGAGACCCCCUCAAUUGUUGCCGACUUAGAAAUUGGCCACUUAACUUUUAUUUUUUCAGUAAAAAUAUUUAGAGCAUAUCUGAAUUAUAGACUAUUUUGAACUGGACACCUAGCCUUUCAAAAUUAUAAUUUUACUAUCUAAUCUUUCAUUUUAUUUGAUUUGAGUUAGUAAAUAAUACUUUGACUUUAAAAUUUAAACUAAUUAAUUCUUUUAAUAAAUUUAUAAUUAUAAAAUUAUAUAAAAUAUACUAACUAAAUCUAUAAAAAUAAAGGUUGCAUUCAAAUUUUGAAGUCAAAUUACCGUUGAUUGACUUGAAUAAAAUAAAUUGAAGUAUUCUGUAUAGCAAAAUUAACAUUUUGAAAGUUCGAACAGCCAAAACAAAAUAGUAUAUAGUUCAUGCAAGUGUUCUACAUUUUUACCUUUUUUUUAAUUGAGACCCAUGCACUUAAUUUCUAGUUUUUAAAAUUUGAAUAAAUUUAAUAAAAGAAUUAGUUUUCUUUUCAAACUUAUUAGUAAUUUUCUUAAAUUUAAUAAUUUUAAUCACUUUUUUAGAGAAUAUGAUAGGACUAAUUAAUAGUUAAUAACUAUUUGAGUCAUUAAAUUUGAAAGGGUUUUUAAUGUAACUAAGUUUAGAAACUCAAAUAGAAAUAGGGAGUAACCAAUUCCCUAUUUAGGGGCCUCAUUCAAAAUGUCCUAUAGUUGAGGGGGUCUCCAUACAGUUUAAUCAACUUUUUAAGUCCGAGAUAUAGGGAGUAACCAAUUCCCUAAAUCCAAAAAUAAAAAAAUAUAUAUAUAUAUAUAAACAUAUAUAACUUAUUUGAAGGUUGGAGUAUUUUGAAUUUUGCUGUCCAAUUUCUCAAUUUAUUUGAUUUGUCACAGUCAAUAACACUUCGACUUUCAAAUAUAAGCUAAUUUUUUAUUUUAAUAAAUUUAUAAUUAGAGAAUUAAAUGAAGUAUAUUAACUAUAUAUUUUAUAAAAAUAAAUGGCGUAUUUUAAUUUUGAAGUCAAAGUGCCGUUGGAGUCUCAAAUUAAAUAAACUAAAAAGUUGGAUAAUAAAAUUAAAAUUUUAAAAAAUUAAAUUGUCAAUUAAAAAUAGUUUAUAAUUCAGAUAAAGUUUGUAAUUAAGUAAUAGAAAAAAAAGAUAGCACUUUCUCUUCUUAAGAAAAUUUGCAUGGACCAAGUCUAUUAGACCGAUCCAAUUAAGAUAAACCUCUUCUUAUUGAGAAAGAGGUACAAGAGGAUAGCAUACUUGGGACUUGUUUGUUAUUAUUAAUGAAAGAGUGGGAGAAAUGGAUGGUGGAUUAUUUAUAAUCCUUAUUGCAUAGGUGUUUAUUUGAUAGUAAAAAAUAAUUUAAAAUAAUAAAUUUUUUAAUUCUUUUAUUUAUUUAUUUUUUAAAGUUGUUAUCACUCAUCUGAUCGGUGUACAUUCCAAAUUAAGAAAUAAUAAUUGUAAAAAAAAAGUUCAUCUACUAGCAUAUCCAAAUAUGUGAAAUUUGCAUUUGAAAACAGAAAAGUGAUGCCUAAUAAGGCCUUGGAUUUUAUAAUGGUUGUUUCUACUGUUGGAAAAAAAAAAAUCUACUUAACUUUUGGAGUAAGCUCACAUGCCAAUUGUUCAUGACUAUCUAAUUGUUCAUAACUAUAAUUCUUUAUCGUUUAUUCGUGAGUCAAUUUUUUAAAAGUCGACUUUUCUCAUAAAGUUCCAAAGUUCUUUUUUUAAAGAAAAGUGUGUUUAUCUUUUGAUUAUUUGAGACAACAAAAGUUAUCCUUAUAACAAUUCAAAUACUUGGUUGUUCAAUGUUUUAAAUUUUUUACUAAAUUCAAAUUAUGAGAAAAUUGCAUUUCCCGAUCAAAGUUAAGAGCAUGCAUUUUUUCUUUCUUGAAGAACUUUUUACGUGCUCUGAUGGUUAACAUCCAAGAGUAGAAAAGCCAUGAAUUCAAGUCAUAUCCGAAAUUAGAGAUGUGAUGGGGCAAAGAUGAAGUCGAGAGCUCUGACAGUAUCAAAGCUCAACCCUCUAUUUUUAGAUUCUUUACACAUCAUGUAUAAAUUGUCAGAACUUAAUAAGUAAAAAAUUAGCAAAGCAACAGAGUUUCCAAGCAAUAGCAACUGAAAAAAGUGACACAUUUUUUGUCUGAAUUGUCAAAAUAAGUUGUUAAAAUCAGCGCAAUCUAUCAUUGAAUUUUACUUUGAAAAAUGACUUUAUUUUCGACUACUAGCACGUACUCCAAUGCUGACAUGGUGAAGCAAGUCCUCCCAACACACCUUUUAAUUUAAAAUUCUACUAAAACUUUCUUGGCAUAGGAAAGAAGAAUUUUUAUUGUUUAUUUUUUCCAUAAUAUUUAGCUCACUCCGCUCUACAGUUCCCCUUAUAAAAUUUUUAAAUAAAGCUGGUCCGCCAUGUCAUCUAAUUAGGUUUUAUUAUUUUGACUCAAAACAAUUGUAAUUUUUUGAUAUACAAAUGAUCAAUCCAUACAACUUGUAUCUAAUGCAGUUAAUUAGUAUCUGGAAUCAAAGGCAUAAUCCGGCCUUUGUAUGCGUUCUUAUAAAAAGAAUGAUUUAGCCCCAACAAUUUUUUUAAAAAAUAUUAUAUUAUUAAAAAAAUAUUAACUAAUCAUUAUUUUUUAAAAACUUUUUUUUUUGAGAGAAAGGUAGCAUGCUAUCUGCUUCAUUUAUUUCAUUUAGAAAUAAACUUAGCUGGAAAUGUGAAUCAACUAGGAUUCGAAUUUGGGUCUCAGAUACCAACCCAGCAAGCGCUUUUGCCACUUGCGCUAGGGACGGUCAGUAUUAUAUUUAUAAUCAACAGUUUUCCUCACAUCUGUGUUAGAGAUUUUUUGAUAAGCCCAAGAUGUAGACAAAUAUAAAUAUGAGGUAAUUAAAUAAUAUUAGAAAUCUGAUUGAUAUGAUAUCAUGUUAAAUCAUAAAGAAUAAAUCUAACCUGAUUGAUAUGAUAUCAUGUUAAAUCAUAAAGAACAACUAUCAUUCACUAAGAACUUAUGGUAACAAAGAUUAAUAUUUUAAUUAGUGUAGAGACCCGCACGAUACAGCGGGUAGAUAAUAGAAGCAAAAUUUAAAAAUUUUAAUAAAACUUAUAUUUACAGUUUAUUGAUAUAUAGAAAGUUAUAUCAUAUUAAACACAUCCAAUUUGCAUGACUAAAUUCACAUGGUGAGCAGGGGCCCCGUAAGGACCGGCUCAGCAGACACUUAUAUGGGCUGUGGCUCGGCUUCGCGGGACGAUACUUUUCGAAGGAGACAAUGUUAUUUAGAUGCUCCUUUUUUUCUUCUUCUUCCUCAUUGUCUUCGUUAAGAUAAUGAGAGAAAGGGGGAGAUGAGUGUGGAGUGAGAGAUUAGAAGAUGAUAUAUUUUUUUAUGAUGCAUAAAAAAAAAUUACAAAAGAGAGGGGUGGGAGAUUAAUGGAAAAGAGUUACAAAAGAGAUAGGGUGAGAGAUUAAUGGAGGAGGAGAGUGAAUUAAAGUUAUAAAGCUCACUCAUUGAUAGAAUAUUAAUAUGGUGCAUAUAAUUAAAUGUUGCACCUUACAUGUAAUUAGAUGAGUGCGGAUAUGAAGGGUUGGGCGGUGAGAAGAGGAGAAGACAAUUUGAUUUAAAGUUGGAUUUAAAGUUGCAUGUAAAUGUAAUUAGAGGAGUGAGAAGGUGAAAGGUUGGGUGUUGAGAAGAGGAGAAGGUGGUUUGAUUUAAAGUUGGGCUAUGAGAAUAAAGGAUAACAUGCCACGUGGCAAAAAAUAUUGUGACUUCAUAUAGAUUUAUUUAUAGAUAUUCAAGGCUUCUUCCAAAAAAUAAAAAAAACUAAUGGACCGACGGAUGAUGUGGUAGGCACGGUUCAUACACUAAUCCCUACUAACUUCGAUUUUUUUUUUUUUUCUAAAACAAGUGGCAAAGGCUUGAUGGUUUAUAUUCGAGGUCCCAAAUUCGAAUCGUAGUUGAUUCACAUUUCCAGUUAAGUUUAUUUUUAAAUGAAAUAAAUGAAGCGGGUAGCGUAUUAUCUAUCUCUUUCAAAAAAAAAAAAAAAAAAUCCAAGUUUUUUUUUUAACAUUUUAUUGCUUUUUUUUUAAAAAAAAAAUUUUCUUAAUUUUUUUUUUCAUAAUUUUUUAUUAAAAGGACAAUGGGGAGGUUUCCGCACGACGACGCUUCGGCGGUGUGUCUGAAUCCCCCCUUCUUCUUCUCCCUUCUCUCUCUCUCUCUCUGCACCUCUUUCUCUCUCAUCGAAACCCUCGACCAAUCCCCAAUUUCGCCCUCCGAUCCAAUCCAGUCCUCCCCCCAAAUGCGAGCCCUAGGAUCGGCGGCGCCGCCCUCCAAUUCCGGCCCCAGCUAGGGUUUCUGUCCCCGCUCCCCGACUACCCCGCUUACCUCGGAGUCGAUCGCGGUUAGGGUUUCGCUGCUCACUCCCUCGCCUCCUUCUUCUGCUUCUUUUGCUUGCUCUCGUCCCCAAUUUCAAUCGAUUCGGCUUCUAAUUCCGUAGUCAAAGUCGGAGUUUUUGCUUCUCUGCAGCUCGAGUUCUCGAUUGGUGCAAUUCGUGGCGGGGGCUUCGUGUUCCGCUUUGAAUCAGCUGCUUGAUCGGUCCAAUUUUGGUUCUAGUUGGAGUUUCGGUUCCAAUUGUGGUGUACUUGUAUAGAAUUGGCCUUCUGCUAGGGAGGUUGGAGUGCAAGUCAAGCUUUUCCUCCCCUUUUGUGCUUCAAUUUUGGAUUUUGCUAGUAAAAUUUGCCUCAGAGAUUGUUUAAGUUGCCCUCUGGGCCCUCCAGUUGACGGGAUCAAAUGCUUCCUCAACUAUCUUUUAUUUGUGCCUGAAAAAAAAAAGGUCUUUUUUGAGUCAGUUGUGAUGAAAUUAAGUUAGGGAGAGGAAAUUUGUAGCCUUUGAUUAAUGUACAUAUGGUAUGGUGCAUAGGAACUUUUAUGGGGUGUUUCGGAGUUCCUUGACUUUGGGAACCUAUUUCUGAUGUGGCUCUCAUAUUUGUAUGUUAAUAUUGAGGCCGGUUUAUAUGUGAGUGAUUAGUGGUUGGAAUGUGGGUGCAAGGUGGUAUGCUUCGGUAGCAACAGAAUGGCAGGAAGUGGAAGAGCAGAAUUGGCUUCAAAUAACCCGGAUGGAUCGGCAUUUACUUAUCCCAAUGGGCAGCGCGGAGUGUACUCAGGUUCGAAUCUGGAUAGGUCUGGAAGCUUCCGUGAGGGCUCGGAAAGCCGUGUUCAGGUUUCGGGAGCUGGAACUUCGAGAAACUCAGCUUCGGCUGUUGAAAUCCCGCCAGUAUCUCAAUAUCUGUCAUUAGAACCUUUAUCAACGGGUGAGCAAAAGUAUCCUCGCUCAGUAGAGCUGCGAAGGGUUCUCGGAGUUAUCGUCGAGGAGCAUUCAUUUGGCUCGGUACAAUCGAAGCCGCUCCCUCUGAUAGCUUUUGAGGAUGUCAAACGAUUCAAAACGAGCAUUGAAGGGUCAUCAACAAGAGCUAAGUACUACUCUGACUUGUUCUCGCUAACAUUUCUUAUUUAUGGCUUUGCCUUAUUCUUCCAUGACCUGCAAAAUGAAGUUCUUGUUUGGCCUGUCUUCUGGGACAACUUCUCUAGUUUUGAGAAGUAGUCAUUUGGGGAAAAAAAAAAUCUGGACUUUUAGCUAUGGUGGGAAACUGAAAUGAGUUUAUGGGCCCAUGCUUCAAUUUGAAGCUUUUGCUUGCUGCUGCUUGAAGCUAUUGGGAGUGCUUUAAUGAAAGAGUUGUUAUGAGCUUUAAUGGAAAAGCUUUUAUUGCUUUUCUUUAUUGCUUUUUUGAAUAACUCUAAUCAAACAGCACAGUUGCACAAGCUUCGCAUGGGCCAAACGGGCUUUUUUUGUAUGUUGGUAUAUUUUGUUUAGUAGGCUCCAUCAUAGCAACUUUUAAGUGUUUUUAAACUUUAUGGGCUAGUUUGGUAUGGGCUUUAAAGUUGUGGAAUUAAACAUUUCCUCCUGUAACACUUUAUGGAAUAAAUGCUACUCCUGUAAAAAAAUUUUCUUUAACGGUGUUUGGCUGUUUCAUGAAUAAAAGUGUAUAAAACAAAGAGAGAGAGAUGAGAUAGAAAGUGAACAGAGAGAAAUUAAGGAGAGAGAAGAUAAUGAGAAAGUGAAGAGAGAAAGUAAGGGAUGAGAGAGUAAGUGAAUAGAGAAAGUAAGAAGAGAGAAAAUAAGGAGAGAAAGUGAAGAGAGAGAAAGACAGGAGAGAGAAAAGAAUAAGGAGAGAGAAACUAGAGAGAUAUACAGCAGAGAGAGAUAGAUAAGAGAGAAAGUGAAGAGAGAAAGUAAGGAGAGAGAAGAUAAUGAGAGAGAAAGUGAGAAGAGAGAAUAGCAUGAGGAGAAAAAAAGUGAAAAGAGAUAAAACAAGUAGGAAGAGAGAGAAAGUAAAGAGAAAAUAAGGAGAGAGUAAGUGAAGAGAGAAAUUGAGAGAAGAUAAAGAAAGAAAUUGAGGAGAGAGUAAACAGAAAUUGAGAAGAGAGAAAGUGAAGAGAGAGAAAUUGAGGAGAGAGAAAGUGAAGAGAGAAAUUGAGGAGAGAAAGUGAAGAAAGAAAAAGUUAGGAAGAGAGUGAAGAGAAUAAUGUAAGCCGAAUCAAAAUUUUAUCACCUUUUCAUAUAUUAUCUUUUUUUACAUCCUUUCACCUCUUUUUAACCUAGUCCUCCCUAGGUUAACAAAUUGUAUUGUUGGAGAUUAAUGGGAGGUGAAACUUUCAGCUCUCUUAAAAGUUUAUCUUGACAUACUAAAUGCAAUUAGUAGGGGGUGAUUUUACAGGAGUAACAUUUCACCUCCUUUAACCUUGUAAUGGAUGUGCUCAUAAUUGUCAUUGAGCGCUAAGAAGGAAUGCUUCUUGAUUCGAAAAGUUGUUACUGGCAAUUGAACUUGCCAAAACAUUAGUGCAUUAUGUUGGUGGUUUUAUUUUCUUUCGGUUUUUUCCUCUGAAGAUUUAGCAUAUAUGUGACAGGGAGAGGAUAAAGUUUCUGCAUGAAUCCAUGCAGAAAUUGGAUAAGUAUCGCAACUUAGUAUCGCGGAAACGACAAAAGAGUGAUCUAUCAGCUGAGAAGUUUGGUAGUUCGAAUUUGCUUAAGAUGGGAACUCAAACUUCUCAAAACCCUACAGAAUCCUUAAGUCUAAGACUGGAAGACCGGGCGAAAAAUGUGGCUCCCAACAAACGUUUUCGCUCAUCAGUGGCGGAAGUACGGGUUUGUAUUUCUUUUCAAAUUGUUAUGAUAAUCUUUGUUCAGUUAUGAUAGAUACCUAGAGUAAAUUUUUAAUUGCAACUAUUGUAGCUCUUCUCAUCUAUCCGCUAGUUCCUUUUGAUGCGAUGCUCAAUCUGAUUCCGAAACUGGCAGUUAACUGUUCUCUGAUCUAAUUCUGUUUCCCUUCUUUUAGAACUCAAAAGUGUAACAUAUGGAUCAUCUGUUUCAGAAUGCAAAAUGCCAUCGUUGUUCAUAUGUGGUUGUUUUCUGCUAAACAUAGUUGUUUUAUCUCUGUCUUCUUCAGCCAGAAGGACGUGGGCCUGUUUCUAUCAGGCAAUCUACUGUUGUAGAUAAGGAAAAGGUUUUGCUUUUUGAUAAGGAUAAUAAAACCAUGCUUCGAACAUGCAAUGGUGGACCUGUGGUGUCUGAGGACAAGCUUCGUGUUCUCUCUCCUGGUGGUGAAGUGUUGGAUAAAAAGAUGAGACGGAAACGUUCUGUCGGCACAAUGGUUAACAGAUCUAGCGAUGCUGAUCGAGAGGUAAAGCAGGCAGUUCAACAUAGGUCUAACAAUGAUAUCCGUCCGCGAAGUAGUGAUAACCUCAGCUUCAGGUAUGCUCUUUAUGGAUGCUUCUUUUUACCCUUUCUUCUAGGUAAAACAUAUGGAGAUCCAUAAACUAUCGGCGAUUUUGAUAUAUGGCCCUCAAUUUAAAAUUUAUUUUUUUGGUUUAUACUUGAUGCCCCUUAAGUUUUGUUUUUGUUGUCUUAAGCUAUUGCUGGUGGUUGAAUUAUCGAGUUUUAAUGGCUCUGCUAUCUUACCAGUUGUUAAAUGUUAAUUGAUGAUAGGUCUUCUAGCUGAAAAGCUGUAUUAGACGUUGAAGUUAAUGGAAUCACCAUUAGAUUUAGUAGAAUCCCCAAUUCAACUGACUAGGAUUACUUGUAUCAAAACCAACAAAAGAUGAGGGGGUGUCAAUCGAAUAAAAAAAUAGAUAAAAAAAUUGAGGGAUCAAUUUUUAAGCAGUUUAUUGUUGAAUGGGUCUCUAUACUUUUUCCUCUUCUCUUCUAUUGAUUUCUGUAAGUUUGCCAUAUUGUGAAGUCAAAAAAAUUGCGGUGCCAGUUGCACAACUGAUUCCCCGUGUUGCUGGUUGUUUUUAAUUUUUAGUUCUCCAUAUAUGGCAAGAUCUGAUCUUUCAGUUUUGAGUUUCUCUACUUCCAGUUGUUUACACUUAGUAUAUUUAAUGAGACAGCUUUUUGCGCUAAUUCUAUGAUGAAGUUUGUAAUAAAUAAAUGUUGUUAUUAGCUGAACAUAUUUGCCCUGGGGGUUAAAUAUGUAGGAGAAGAGGUAAUUUAUACUCCAUGAGCUAAAGUACUCGAAGAUAAAAAUGCUAGAAUUUUUUGAGAGAAAAUGUGUCCUCUCUUUCGUUUAAAUAUUUUGAUUUUUUUCUCCAUUCAUUGAGCACUUGAUAAAACAUUUAUUGGGAGAAGGUAUUAAUACCACAAUUUAUUAUUGCUGACAGAACAAAGAUGACAAGAACACUUUGAAUGUCAAUGUUGAUUGAGGGAGUAAUUUUGUCUAAAAUGUUAUUAGGAAUAUGGAUGAAGAAGCAACAAAAUACUUCUGAAGUAUACAUGAUAUGCUGAUUUUUGGCUAUCUUCUUAUAGCAAUCAUCAUAAAUUUCUAACCUUUCUAGUUGUCUUGGUAAUUGGUUUGGUCCAGCUUCUGGAACAUUUUCUCAGCUCAAGAACAGGAAAUCGAGUGUUUGACAUUAAGUUUGAAAUCAUGAAAACCUCUAGUUGCUUUAGGCUAGGAAAAAAUCAUAACCACUGUUUUUUAGAGAUAUUCUUGUGUUUCAGUUGACUUUUAAUGAGUAGAUUGUACUAGGUUGACCAGAAACUCAUUACUGCUUCCCUUUAAGAUUUUAAGAAUUAAUAUAGGGUUUUCUCUAGCUGAUUUGGUCAGGGUUGGAUCUAAGGCUUCUUUUCCUUUUCUGUAGAUGCUUCGAUCUUGACCUUUCAGUUAUAUUUGGUGAUGAAUGAGGUAGCCACUAAGAAAAUAUUUGUUCUCCAUUUAUGAUUUCAUUACCUGGUUUGCUUUUAUGCAUAUCUUUUCCACUUUUAUGCAGAAGGCCAAAAUGCUAUUCUUUUUGUUCUUGCAAGUUUAUAUAUCGAACAUGACUUCUGUGUCCAACUAUAGGAAUAUGUUCAAAAUUCUCUUGCUAGGUGAUUUCUUUAGUUCUUUUAAUUGACGCUUUUGUUGUUUUUUAUCAGAUCUAAACUAGGUGUUAUAUUAUUAAACUUAUUAAACUUCUCUAUAUAUUGUUUUGGCAGACCUGGAUCUUCAAGUGGGGUAAUAGGAAGUACCAAGAUGGAUGGUAGUUCCCAACAGAGUGGUGCUGCUUCCCGUGUGAUGCCCAAGAACGAUGUGGAUAACGGCCCUGCCUCUAAUGAGAGAAGAGAACGUGUAACUGGCCUUGAUAAGGAACGGCUUCUAGCUAAGGGAAACAAGUAUGCUUACUUUUGUCAUUAUCUCUAUUAUCUCUUGUGAAACUACUAUACUUUUAUCUUUUCACUACUAUACUUUUAUCUGUUGCAUCAUAUUGGCAGGCUAAAUUGUAUAGAAAAUGCUAGCUAUACACGCCAAAAAUCCUAGGGUUCACAAACCCUUCGGGGUUUUAAUAUUAUAAAAAAAAAGUUGACAAGACGAGGGGCUAAUAAUUGCCCUUGAAUGAUAGGGUGUAGGAUUUACACCCCCUUUUUGGGGUGUAUAGGUAGCAUUGCUUAAUUGUAUAUAAUCCUAUAGUGGGAAAUGCACUUUCCUGUCUUGAUAAUUUUCCAAAACCUAGCUGAAUAUCGGUUGAUUUUCUUAGAAAAUCCUGCACUGCAUCCCCUGCAGAAGGGCUGAAGUACUAACAUAUUUAAAUCUAGGGCUAGGGAGUUAUUUGUUGGUUUUGAUUAUCAAAGGGGUAAACUAAAAAGUUGCAAUAUAUCCAGGGGGCUAGCUUAUCUGAAUUUUAGAGUCAUCAAGAAAAAACUGUCCUUUUUUAUUUGAUGACACGACUUUCACGAAAUUGUUGUUCUUUUAGCUCCACCAUUCAAAAACACAAUAGUUCCAUUUCUUGAUCUUAAGAUAGACAUUCACAUACGAGUUCUUCAUUAUCAGUUCUCAUGCAUAUAGCAUGCGUGCCUCUGCCUUUUCUUAGUUAUGUUGUUACAACCUUAAGUUUAUGAAAUAGUCUUUAUGGCUAAGUCUCUGACAGUCUGACUGAAAGAAGAAGUUCUGACUGAAAGAAGAAGUUAUUGGUUGUUUCUGAUUCUGCUGUAGUGGGAAGUCUGAAGAAAAUGCUAUUGAUGCUACUUUGCACAGCUCUUCUUUGAUCAGCUGAAUUUAAUGAGCACUUUUUCAAAAACUCUGGACAGGGCAUGCAAGCUUGAGCUUAUGAAAUCAUUAUGUUGUAUUUCUGCUGCCGCAGGAACUGGUUAAGAAAAUGUUGUUGAUGCUAUUUUGAACAGUUUUUCUUUCAUCAGCUGUAGUCAAACAACACUUCUUUGUAGCUAAUCAUUUAGCGGGAAAAAUUGAAAAACUCAACAUGAGGGAGGAUUUCAAAGCUCUGGACUGGCCAUACAAGAAAGUGUAUAAAAUUAUAAUGUGGUAUUUCUUUCUCGUUUAUUACAUUUGAUGAUUAAAAUUGCUUACUUGCCCUGAUAUGCAGGCAAAAUAUUUGUGAGGAUGCUCAAGUGGGAAGUCAAAGCCCUUUGACAAAAGGAAAAGCAUCAAGGGCACCAAGGACAGGCCCGACUAUUAUCGGGAAUUCAUCUUCUACUUUUCCUCGCUCCUUUGGAGGAAUUGACGGUUGGGAUCAAUCUGUCCCUGCCCCAAACAAAAUUCAGCCUUUACCUGGAAUGCCCCAUCAUAAGCGCCCUGUGUCCUCUGGACCAUCAUCACCACCAGUCACUCAGUGGGUGCGCCAACGCCAGCAUAAGAUCUCAAGACAAAGAAGAGCGAACAUCGUCCCUCCACUCCCAAACUUUGAUGAAGCCCCGACAACAUUUUCUGAAGGGUUCGUGCCUCCGGAUGUUGGAACUAGGUCAGCAUCCAUGGAGCCUUCUGGGCAUCUACCCACUAGGGGUAUUGCUGGUAGUUCCCAGCAAUUGAAAUUGAAGACUGAUAGUGUUUCUCCCCCCCUGGGGCUGUCAGAGAGUGAGGAGUCAGUUGCUGUUGAAAACAAGUUUAAGGACAAAGUAAUUGUUGAUCAUGGCGAUAUUGAGGAGGGGCCCGCCAGUGUCCUUAAGGUGACGACUUCGAUUGUGCCUACGAAGAAGAGUAAGGUUAAUUUGAAAGAAGAGAUUGGAGACGGAGUUAGGAGGCAGGGAAGGAGUGGAAGAGGUUCUAUGCAAUCUAAGGCAUGCUUACCCUUGUCCAAAGAGAAAUUGGAAACAGUGGACAAUACCAAACCAUUGAAAAGUGGGAGACUUGGUUCAGACAAGAUUGAAAGGUGCUAGACUGUUUUGACUCAUUGGGGAACUUAUAUAGCGCUUUUAUAUGAGGAUACACUUCUAUAAGCCAACAAAAUUAUCUAUUACAUGAUAAUCCUGUGAAAUUUGAACUUUCACACCCAUGCCCUUUAAAAAAUUAGUUUCUUGCAUUUAUGCCCUUUCCUUUCUUGGAAGAUCUUUCUACAACAUAAAUCACCUUUACCGACGAAAUUGAGGACUCCACACUUAAAGAUAAGUGCACGUUUGUAAGAGGUACUUUUUAGGGGCGUGGGUGAAAAUUCAGAUUUUACUGGGUAUGUAUGUACUGAGGUGAUUUUGCCGGAUAUAUAUACAAAAUCCCCUUCCAUGUAUCAUAGUUACCUUGCUUGAGUAAAAUGUUGAACUUCGGUGCAGUAGGGUAGGUCGUCCUCCUUCAAAAAAGGCUUCUGAUCGCAAGGCUGGUGCUCGUCCAGCGCAAACUAUACAGAGUGGUUCCUCAGACCUGACAGGUUCAAUGUUGAUCAUAUUUAUCUUUGACUUCUGUUAAUAUUUUUAUUUUAUUUUUGAAAUAUUUUACUUCUGAUAAUGCCUUCAAUGUUGCAUCGGAAUUUUUAUUUCAUUUUUUAUAACCUCUUCUACUUUUGGAAUAACAAGUUUGUUAACUGCUUAUGCAGGUGAAUCAGAUGAUGAUCGUGAAGAACUGUUAGCAGCUGCAAAUGCUGCUCGCAAGGCUAGCUGUGUGUAUCUUACCUCAUCCAUCUUGGUUUUGAAGCGCUUUCCUUUUCAAUAGUUUAUUUAUUAUUUUCAAAAAUUUUUGUUACAAUGCAGCCGAUGCCUGUUCUAGUUCUUUUUGGCGGACAAUGGAACCAAUUUUUACUCGCGUCACUUCUAAAGACACAGACUUUGUGAUGACUCAGGCUAGCAUCUGUUCUGCUUUGUAUGUUAGUAUUGCUUCAUUCUGACAUUGUUACUCAACCUUGUUUUUGUGUUUAUAAAUAUUUGUCAGAUGGAAUUUGUGGAGGAGCUUGAUAGAAGUAUGUUCGACGUUCUUGAUGCUGAUCAUAGAGUGAUGGUAUCAACUACUUUUAACUCUCUAAUGACAUAGUCGUUCUUCUUUUUCUUCGAUUUUAAUAUCCACCAUUUUUGUUUUUUCUGUUAGCUAUCCCUUUUUUUGUUGAUAGCUUCUUGACUUUAGUGUCUGCUUUGUCCAGCGAGUGCCUUUACUUUGUAGAGUUGUUUGAAGAAGCCCUAACAGCGUUUUCGUUAAAUUCUACCUACAACAUUUUGCUGCAGCAAUGAGCAGAAGCUUCAGUUUGGAGCUUCUGCUAUUGGGUCCCAGAAAUUCAUCUCUGCUUUCCCUCCAGCCAAAAGUUCUAGAUUGUUUAUUUGCAAUUCCUGGCUUUUUCUUGUCAAGUGGAGAAGCUUUUUGAGAAGCUGGGGCAAAAAAUAGCAUUUAGAAUUGUUACUCUGUUCUCAUGAAUUCAAGAUUCAUUCCUUUUCUCUGCUGUUAUUACCUUUUGUUGUGGUAUCAUAGUACCUUCAUCUAUUAAAUAAAUAAUUCUUUUUAUUCAGCUCUUUAUAGAAAAUAAUGAAUGGAUAUAAUCUGUUUCUUUCCUUCCCAGGAUGACCAUCCAUUUCAAUCCUCACCUCGCUCUUCGGGACAAAAUAAAAUGAAUGCAUCCGGAAAAGUAGGAAAAGACCAAUGGUUGGAGAAAAUAGUUCCACUAUCACAGAGACUUCUUUCGGCUUUAAUUACAGAGGAUGAGAAUGAGUUGUUUGACUGCAACAGCGAAGAAGAUGAUGGCUUUGAGCAGUUUUCAAGUGACUAUUCACCUUAUGCUUCUAAUAGCCAUGUUGGAAAUGAACAUGGGGCCCAUGAUAUGAAAUCCGAUUUUGGGUUAGACUUUAGGAACCCAAAUAGUCAUUCAAUGGGUAACGUUCUCCCCAAUGUGUUUACAACUUCUAGCAACUUUAGGAGCUCAAACAUUCACACUCUUGGAACUGGUGAUGAUCUCUUACAAGCACAAAGCAAUGUUAGUGUGCCUUCAGAAAAUGGGCCACUUUCAGAAUAUGGGCCAACCAUUUCAACUCAGCUAAAUACUUCUCCACAAAAUAGUCUAUUUGAGCAUAUGUCUCUCAACGACAGGAUAUUAUUGGAGCUGCAGAGCAUUGGCCUUCACCAGGAGACAGCGGUAUGUGACAUUUCUAUGUAAUGAAACCUUUUUUUUUGUCUUGGAAACAUUAGUGAAACCUAUUUAUUGGAUGAGAAGUAAUUGCAUACAUUUUUUCUCCAACUUUACUGAAACUUUAUUUUAUCAAUGAUUGGUAAUGGUCCAUAACAAUAUUGAAGAGUCAUUGUGAGUAUUAACUAGAAAAUCUUGAAGAUCUGUAGCACAAGCUAAAUUAUAGGUUGGUAGGAAUCAUUAUUGUAAUCUGUUUGCUAAACACCUUUUUGCCUUUUUUAUUUUUUUUACAUUUUCUUUUCUUUUCAAUUUCUUCUGCCUUUUCUUGAAUGAAAUGCUUUUUGUAAUAAGCUUUGAUAGGGCUACUAUACUCUUAUAAGUAUAGACCCUUUUGUACUCACAAGUUUCCGGCCAUUGGAUGAAGGGAUGUGCGGUUAGGAAGAUAGUGGUCCCCUAGGGUUGAGUGGGUGGUUGGUUGAAUAGUAUGAUUUAACAAGUGGAAAUAGUCAAAGGGUAGAUCUAACGGCUGAAAACUUAUGAGUACAAAAGAGUCUGUACUCAUAAAAGUAUUGUAGCCAAAUUUAGUAAGCUUCAUCUCACAUAAAAUUAAACUCUGCCUCCGUUUCAUUACUUUUUCAACAGUCCAUUUUCUUAUGUUAAUGUCACCUUUUCACAUGUAGAGUAGCUUUUGGUGGUUGGAUUACAACUUAUGUAAUAUCAGCCUGGUCACCCUAAGCCUAUCUGGGGCAUUAUAUUAAAUUAUUAGUCAGUCAUAUUACAUUGGCAUGCUUGGCACGGAUAUUAAGCACUUCAACAACAUAUUUAUUGAGAUCAUUAUGAGUUGUUAUGCAUAGUGCCUUUUUUUUGGAUAUACUUAUUUUAGUUUAUUGCAUAAACUUAUACAGUUCUCUCUGCCAUCUUUACUUCAGCCUGAGCUGGAUCAAGGAGAACUUGGGGAGAUUGAUAAAGUUAUCUCAGAGCUAAAGAUGAGGCUCUGCCAGCAGGUCGUGUUGAUUUUCUCUCCUACAUUACGAAAAUCUACUAUUAUUUAGUGCAAUUAAGCAAUCCUUGCGAAUAUUGGAUUUAGUCAAUAGUUUUAAGAAUUUUUUCCCCCUAUUUUGCACCACUAAACCUCAUUGUUUAGUAACUUUUUCUUUUCUUUUCCUUUUUUUUUUGGGGUAUUUGAUAGGUGAAGCAAAACAAGAAUCAGCUACUUAAGUUGGAAAAAGCUCUUCAAGAGGCCAAAGUAGUUGAUGAUAGGUAUGAGCGGUUCCAUGUUCGUGGUCUGCCUUUUUUGUGUCUUACAUUUUGUAGAAUAACAAGCUACUCAAAUCUCUUGAAUUUUACAGGACUCUUGAACAGCUUGCAAUGAACAAACUUGUUGAGGCGGCAUACAGAAAGCUACUGGUAACUUUUGUCUUGUCUUUCCCUUCUAGAAAUUGUUUUUUUUUUUUAAGCUAAGAAUAAAAUAAGAUGAACAUACUCAGUAGUUCUAAAGUUUCAUCUUACAAAUUGAUUUCUUUGCAAACUAAGUUGAUCUGGUUCAGAUUAAAAUCUACUCAUUUGUACAGUGCAAUAUCAAAUUUGUUAGUGUUGGCUCAAAGUGGCCUUCUGGCCAUACAUACGCAAACAGGUUGUGGAUUCUUUACAUGAGUUCAAAGAGUCGGCUCAGAACACUAAACACAACCCCGCAAUCACCAAAAUUUUCGGAAAAUCCAUCGAAACACCUCCGAACCCAUUGAAAUACACCGGAAGGUGCCGACGUACACCGUAAGUCACCUGCUGACCCAAGACACCAAUUUAGGUGUCCGGAUAGCAAACACAAGCCGAAGUGACGUAGAAGUAUAAUAACAUAUUUAGUGCUGUUCUGGGUUCUCGGAAAUGCCGUUUUUGGCACCGGAACCCUCCGCCACUCACCUGUUGUCUUCGAUCACUCGAGACAACGAGAGCAACUAGCUGACAAGGUUCGGCAAUAAACCUGGGGCAUUCACAUCAAUAAAAAGUGAACCCUCUCGCCAAACAACCACGUUUCGCCGGCAAUUUUGUUGAAAAACGCGACGAAACCAAAAUCGAGUUUCGCGAAGGCCUCGGGACUUUGGACAACCAGUCCAGGGAUCGCAAAUAGCGACACUACGGUGCCUGAGGCUGCCUUCACUAUUCAAAUUACAUUAAAUCCCCUACACAACCAAGCGCAAAAAUAAUGUACAAAACAAUAAGGUUGUUGAGUUACCGAACAUCGCAGAGUUUUGAGACCAACCAGCAGCAUCCCCUGAUAGGCCUCAAUGCACUGAAGUCCGUGCUCUUUGUCUGGAGAACACGGUGGCCAAGGAGCUGGUCGGGGCUACGUGAAUCCUGCCUUGGAAGGUCACCGGGAGCGACAUAGUCGGAUCUGCCAAGCGGGGCUUUUCCGACCGCAACAAGAGUGAGCACGGAUGUCAGCGGCACCUUGGGGUCACCGAGCUCACCUUUCGGGCGAUCGGCGAUCCCCCAGCUGGCCGGAACAAGAUGGCACGUUCCAGGGUACCCGAGCUCGGACUAGUGCUGGAGUAGAGAAGCUCUGGCCAGACCUUCGGCAGCUAGGAGACUCGCGCGCCGGCAAGGAGGUACGACCGACGAGGGGUGAUCCUUGGUGCUGGUGGCCAGCGUUGUGGUGCGGCAGUGGCGGCAUUGGAGGAGUCGCGGCUGAGGUUAUGGAAACUCGGCUAGGGUUUCGAAGCCCGGCGCCGGGAGAGAUCGGGGAUAGUUAGGGUAGCGCCGGCGGACUCCAACGACCUACUUGAGCCUGGCAGUGGUAUUGGCGGGGGGGGGGGGCGGGGCGGCGCUGGGCGAAGGGCCGCAACGCGAGUCUCUAGAAAUCGGGCUUGGGGAUCGACCUCAGGCGCGGGUGGCGUGCUGGUACGCCGAGGCACGACGGUGAUGCCCGGCAUUGCACGACCAACGGAGGUCACUCGGGUCAAGGGGUAGAGAGAGAGAGGAGGUGGAGAGAGAGUUCUUUGGCGGCUCGUGGGAGGACGGUUGCGUCUGGAGUGGGCAGCGUAGGGGAAGAGAGCUCCUAUGGCGGCUAGGGCUUCAGAGGGAAGAGAGUAGGGCUAGGGCUAGGUCAAACCGAAAAAACCCCUAGAUGUAUUAAUAAAGGGUUAGGAAAAAUGCUUAAAAGCCCGCUAGAACUCAUUAUUUCUUCCAAAUCCCUCACAGCUUGCACAAAAUGCCCAACAGUACUCCACGUGCGAUUUUGUGGCGAAUGGUACAUAAAAUAUAGGUCUUUUUCGAAAAUACGAAUUUCCACAAUUGACCCUCCUUGAACUUCGUGCAAAUUUGGAACGAUCGGCUCGUCGGAUCUGUGAACAGAUUGCACCAGCACUCCGGCACUGGCUGGACCAAUCAGAUCUGGCAUUUUGUUUGUCAGAGGUCGCCGAUUUGCGAUAAUUCAUUCUCUUCUCGCCUCAACAUAAUAUAUACUAAAUUUAUACAUAUAAAAUUUGAAUUUCAAAUUUCCAAAUUGAAUCUUGAUUCAAUUUUCAAAUCUCAGGUAUUACAUGUAUAGCUACGAAUUACUAUGCGCACCAAUUAACAUACUGAUUAAGUUAUUUUAUAUCUAAAAUACAACUAUAUCUCAUAAAGAAUAAAAUUAAAAUAUAACAAUAACAUUCUAAGUAACAAUAAUUAUUUAAAUUUACAUCUUUAUAAAGAGAUGCUGCUUAGUUCUACAUAAAUCAUCGCAGUGGAUUAUAUAGGCAUAUUGCCACUCUGCAGAUACAAGAUUUUUUGACAAUUUUAGUAUAGAUAUUGCUGGUAUUGUUCAAAUUAAAUUGGCUAAUAUAUACUAUAAUCAAACUAAUAUAUCUAACAAUAUAAAUCAAAAUUAUUUUAUAUUAUGCUAAUUUACAAAUUUCUAGAUUGGAAUAGAACAGCUUAAGUAAUUUUAGAUUACAUUAGUUUGUUCAUAAGAUUAGAUUAGACUAAAUCAGAUUUAGGAAACUUAAAUAUUAAAUAGAUUUGAUUAGAUUGGAUAUAAGAUUGAAUAAGGUAAUUUUCUUUAUAUUUUUAAACUAUUAAUUAGGUAAUUUGAAAUUACAUAAAUUGAAUUUAAUUAGUUAUAUUCUAUUAUUUUAAUACUCUAAUAGAUAAUUCUAGAUUAGAUUUGAUUAGGUUUCGUACUUAUAAAUUAGAAUAGAUAAAUUUAAAUAUAUGUUAUAUUAGAUUCUAGAUUAGAUUAGAUUUGACUAGAUUUUAUAGAUUAGAUUAGGUAAUUCUAGAUUGGAUUAGGUUAGAUUCUAGAAUAGAUAAGAUUAGAGUCAUUAGAUAACUAAAUUAAAGAAAAGGGAGAGAAGGAAAUAACAAAUAAAAAAAAAAGCGAUAUAAUUAACAACUCUGAAAUCCUAAAUAACAAAUCAUAACAAAAAAAAACUUGGCACGAUACAUGCGGCGAUACCCCAGCGGGUAUCGCCACAUGGGGGGGGGGUUGGUCCUAUGAGACCCCCUUGUAUCGUGCCUCCAUAUUGGGGGCAUGGUAGGUGGUGCAUCCUUGAUUUUAUAUUCGUAUAUAUAUACUUAUACGCAUAGGAGUUAUUUUGAGAACCAUGAGUGUGAUUCACCCCAGGAGCUGGUAAAAUUUUCAAUUUUAAUUUUUGAAAUAAAUAAUUGAUAUUUGAUAAAAAAUAAUUGUUGCAGCCAAGAAAUCAAUUACUAUUUAAACAUUUAUUUUUUAAUUUUCAGAACUAUCAAUUUUUUGUUAAUUUUUUGAGUAUAUUUAGAAUUAUAGGAUUUUUUUUAUAUAGAAUAAAUUCCUAAAACUUAGGGAUAUUGAUUUGUAAGUUCUAAUUUAGAAUUACAUAUAUUUGUAUAUGGAAAAUCCUAAAAUUAAGGAAAAUGAUUAGGUCUAGAAUUAGGGUUUUUUUAGUACAAAUAGGGACAACUUAAAAUAAGGACAAAGCUUAUGCAGAGAGGGUUUUUGGGUAAGGAGCUGUUUGGUUCCACGUAAAAUUGUGAAAAAUGGUUUUUGGUGGAAAAAAGUUUUCGGUGGAAAAGAAAGUUUUACGCUCUUUUGUGUGUGUGUAUAUAUAUGGUUUGGGGAUAUAGAGAUGAUGGUGAGAGAUGGUGGAAAUAACAUAUUGGGUGGUAAACAUACACCAGUAUAUUAGAAAAAAAUUUCCUUUUUUACUUCUCAAAACGUUUGUGAGAAAAAAGUUUUCAUUUUCCUAAAAAAAUUUGGAAAAUGAAAAAGAAAGUUUUUCGUGAAAUAUGGAAAAUAAUUUUUCAAAGAAAUUCUUUUUCCUACGAACCAAACACAUGAAAUAAAAUUUCCAGCCUGAGAAAAGCUUUCUGAGAUAUUUUCCAACGAACCAAACAUGCCCUUAGGGCAUGUUUGUUUCAACGUAAGUAGACUUGGGGUGGAAGUGGACUUUGGGUUGAAGUGGAAUUUAGGUGAAAAUUAAUUCACUUCCGCUGUUUGUUUCUAACUGUGGAAGUGCAGUUCUGUGAGUUCUGUUGUUUGUUUGGUAGGAAGUAGAUGACGUAAAAAGUGUAGCUCUCCACCCCCGGUAUACUUACCUCCGAAGUAAUAUUAUUGUCAAUUUUGUAACUUAGUGAAUAAUAAAUUAUAAUAAAUAAAAAUUAAUAUAAUUAUAUAUGUAUAUAAUUAUGUAUAUGUACAAUAUAAAAUAAAAUUUUAAAAAGUUAUAUUAUUUGUUUGGAUAUAAAUUAUAAUAAUGCAACAAAUAAAAUUCUAAAGUUAAAAAAUUAUUAACAUUUAACAAAUUCAUUUUUCAUCAUUUUCUAAAUAUACAAAUUAGACAAAAAAUAUAUUAAAACUUACCUAACCAAAUUUGAUCACAUUACCUAACCAAAUUUAACAAGCUCCUUUGCCUCUUUGCACUUCACCGGAAUUGACUUCGCCUCAUGGGAGGGCGAAGUCAAUUACCAUAUUUUGGGUGAACUCGACUUUCGGCCGUAAUAAAAUUACGGCAAAACAAACAACGGAAGUGAUGGUUUACGGCGUAAACAACUUCCCCCCUCCCCUCCACUUCCCCCUCACUUUCACCCAAACAAACACACCCUUAGUGUUUCGUUUGUAGGAAAAGAAAAAUAUUUUUUCAAUUGCACUUGUUUGGUUCAAAAGAAAAGAUCAAUGAAAGCUAUUUUAUUUAUUUUUCUUAUAUAUGUAAAUAUUAUUUACAUAUAAAUAAUUGCCAUACUACAUAUGUUAUUAUUGUAAUUUAUAUUUGUAGGUUAAAUACGUUAAAAAUAAUAUUAUAUGAUAAGUAUGUAAUUUAAUAUAUAAUAAUAUAUAUUUAAUGCUAUAUAAUAAAUACAUAAAUAUUUUAUUUAUUUAUAUAAAUGAAAUACUAUAUAAUCGCAUAUCUAUAUAAAAGUAAAUACUACUAGAUCGAGAGAAUAAUAAAAAAUAUUAUUUAUUUUUAUACCUAUAUAAAAAUAAAUACUAUUACAUAGUAUUUCUAUAUAUUAGAGAGAGAGAGAGUAUGGCUGCUAUGCUUUUAAGAGCACGGAGGCCUUCGUUGUCCUAAGUAGUUAUCGAUGAUGAGACUUCCGAAUCGAUGAUCGAUUCCGUUAUACUUGAUCUAGAGUAUUUAAAGUUUAAAAAAAAUUAAAUUUGUGGAUUUUGGAGAUUAUUUACCUAGUGAUUGAAAGGACUAAAACUUAACAAUUUUUAAUGGCUGAUGUCCACCAUUUGUAAGUUUAAUGGUAUAGAAAUAUUUGAAUCGGAUGAAAUUGUGAUAGAAAAUUGUUUAUAAUAUUUAUAGCAAGAUUAAUAUAUCUGAUGUAAAAUUUAGUGUUAUAUCAUCAAUUUUUGUGAGAUUAAUUUUCAGCCCUUGAAUUUUACUCCUUUUGAUCACAAAGUAAAUGAUAUCGAGAACCAAGAAAAUUUAUUUUCUAAAUACUUCAAAUGUUCUAGACCAAUGAUUUAAGUGCCCAUCUGCUCCGCGCUGUGGUACCUCACCAACAAAGUAUCAGCAUGAUAUAGCCUUGCGCCAAUGGUAUCACUGAAAGCCCUCUCAAAGAAUUAUCUCAAUAAGGUACAAAAUAUUUGAUAAAGAUAUACAAUACACAAUUAGAAUAUAUUGUUGGCAAAGAAAAUAAAUAUUUUCAUGCCCUUGUGUGUCGGCAUGUAGGUAUUUUUGUGAUCAGUAUGCAUCAGUAUGGCAUGGCAAAGCACAAAUCGUGCCGUAUCGUUCCAGUAAGUUUUCAUCACGAUCCUGUGCCACAACUAUUAAACCCUUGCUUUAGAUGGAGUCUAGAGGAGCCGAUCAUUGAUUCAGAAGUGCCAUCAUCGAAAAUAACUUACGAGCAAGGAAGCCUACAUGCUCGUAAGAGCAUAGCAGCCCUACUUUCUCUCUCUCUCUCUCUCUCUCUCUCUAGAGAGAGAGAAUACUAUUAAGAGCAAAGAAAUAUGUUUCCUUCCUAGUUUUGAGCCCAUGGACGCCUUGGGUUUAGUGGGGGUAGGUGGAAUAGUAUUUGAUCCAAGGGCAGAUUUGGGUUUAUGAUUUAGAGAGAGAGAGAGAGAGUGAGGAUACUAUCCAGAGCAAAGGAAUAUGCUUACUAUCUGCUUUUGAGCCCUUGGAUGCCUUGGUGGGGAUAGGUGGAAUAGCAUUUGAUCCAAAGGCAGCUAGAAUACUAUCAAGAGCAAAGGAAUAUGUUUACUACCAACUUCUGAGCCCUUGGAUGCUUUAGGUUUAGUGGAGGUAGGUAGAAUAAUAAUUGAUUCAAGGCUACAAACUUGAUAAUAAACACAACUCAUCUACUAUUGAUAGUAGCAUAGAUGGAGUCCUUAUAUAUAUUGUAACAUUUUAUUUUUAUAUAGUCUACGUGGUCCAAGCCCAAAGUUUUGGUUUUCUGCUCGGAAGAAGCAUAAAACAAAAAAUCAAAGUUUUUUGGAAAAUCUGUAAAAUUAUUUUAUGAGAAUUUUUUUUUACAUGCAACCAAACAAGCUGAAAACAAUUUCCAACCUAGUUUUACGACCAACCAGGUAACCAAUCAUACCCUAAUGAAAAAUUUAUUUCAGAUUUGUGUGAUCUUUUGUACUGCUUGUGUGGACGACAUCUGGCUUGUCUUAUCACUCUUCUUCCCCUCUUUUCUUCUUAUAUUUUUCUUUUUUUCUUCUCCUGUGCUAUAGUAUUCGCGGGUAUAGUACUUGUUAUAGUACACUUAUCCUAUGUCAGUUGGUAUUAGAGCAUCUGAAUAACAGCCUAUUUUUAAUUUAGAUUUGUGUGAUUUUUCUUAUCGCCUAUGUAGUCACUACCUAGGCCGUGUGACUUAUUUAUUUUUUCCCCUUCAUUUUUCCUUUAUUCUUUCUCUUUUCUGUCUCUGCACUAUAGUAUUCAGGACUAUAGUACUUGCUACAACACUCCUAACCUGCGUCAAUUGAAACCAGCGCAUAUGAUUAGCGGCGUCUUCUUAUUUAGGACUGUGUUAAUUGGUAUCAGAGCCGAAAGAUCCUCUAUUGAAGCCAAAAGAUACUUUAUCAUAGCAAAAGUCUAUCCUAAAAUGUAUUAAAAAUCGUUCCUUCACUUUUUUCAAUUCAUGGAUUUUAUCCCUUUCCGAACUAUUAUAAGAUUUGAUGGGAUUUUGUGUGGAGUACAAAUUGAUGAGCGGCUUUCCCAUGAUCUUAUUUGAGAAAAUUUGUAGAGAAAUUAGGUGUUACUCCACAUCGUUGUUUUUUUUUUCCCUCAUUUCGUUUCUUACAAGGACGCCAUUAUAGAAUCGAAAUACGUUAAAUCCAGUAUUCUCACAAUGCAAGAUGAUUAUAAAGAUGAAAUUGUAUUUGCUGUGAUUGACAUGGAGAAAUGUAAUAUCAUGUCGACCAUAAUGUCUGGUCGACAGUGACAUGAGGCUAGAAAUAGGCAUAUCUUUUAUGACAAUGGCAUUCAAUUUGCUAUUGUUCCAAAUAUUAUUGAGGCACUUGUUAUCCUACUAACAUCACCACGCCCGACGGAGUUUCUUCUGCCACAAAUCGAGCUCCAAACAAUAGUUGGGUCAUCCUCCACUGGAAUGUGAUCUUUCGAUGCAACAUCACAAAUUUGUUGAUCCUUUAUAUGUUACGAACAAAAAGAUUUAUGCGCUUAAAUUUUGAGAUGGUGAUCGUUCGUUAAACACCAUCACAAUCGAGAAGCCAGUAAUGAAGAUUAUUCGGGACGCCGGCAUUGGACUACAUCACAUUAUGCUGAAGAUUCAAUAGCUAACUUCACUAUUGCAUUCUAAUCUUGGGGGUGAGAUCCUGUGCAGCGAAAGCGAAUGAUGCAGCCAAAAGAUCAACUACGACUUAGAAAAAGUAUAUUUUUUAAAUUUUAGGAAUUAUGAUUAUUGUUAAUGCUAAUUUUUUGUAAGAGAGUAUAUUUAGAUUUUUGGAAUUUUUCUAUGUAGAAUAAAUCCCUAAAAGUUAGGAAUAUUGAUUUGGAAGCUUUAAAUUAGAAUUAGAUAUAUUUGUGUUAGGAAAUUCCUUAAAUGAAGGGAUUUUGGUUAGGACUAGAAUUAGGGGUUUUCUAAUAUAAAUAGGAACAAAGCUUAUUUAGAGAGUUUUUGGUUACUGAGAAAUUUAUUUUAGAUGUGUGUGAUCUUUCGUAUCACAUGCGUAGUUAAAAUCUCGCUUGGUUGGCUUAUCCCUUUUCUUCCUUUUUUCUCUCUUCCUAUACUUUUCUUGUUUUCCUCUCUUCCUGUAGUAUCUGCGGCUAUAGUAUCUCCUAUAAUGCUUUGAGCCUACGUUAGUUGGUACCAGAGCAUCCGAAAUAGCAUCCAAAUAGUAGCCUUUUUAAUUCUAGAUUUGUGUGAUAUUUCUUAUCGGGGUCCGGCUACUAUACUAUUAUGAGUAUGAUCGCCCUCGUACUCAUAAGUUGUUUUCGAUGAUAGAGCUUCCGAAUCGACGAUCCACACCGUUAAACGUUAUUUACAACAUUUAAAACUUCUAGAAAUCAAAUUUUAUAAAUUUUCGACAUCAUUUACCUUACGAUCAAGAGGUCACAAAUUUGACAAUUUUUAACGGCCGGUAUGGGAUACUUGCUAGUUUAACGGUGUAAAAGAAUUGGAAUUUGUUGAAUUUUUGAUAGAAAAUUCUAUUCACUACAUAGAUAAAGAUCAAUAACUCCGAUCUUGAAUUGAAGGAUCCGAUCAUCCUUUUUUAGGACGUCGUUCGAUUUUGACCGUUCAUUUUAUGCCCACUUGAUGGACUUUAUUAUGAUUUCGAAAAUUUACGAAAUUUAUUUUCUAGUAGUUUCAAAUACUCUAGAUCAUAUUUAAUGGAGUGGAUCGUCGAUUCGGAAGCUCCAUCAUUGAAAACAACUUAUGAGAAUGAGGGCUCCAAUACUCAUAAUCAAGGAUUUAAGUGCCGUGACACGGGGUCGUGCCGGAAACUUGCCGGCACGGUACGGCACGGUGUGUGCCGGAAACUUGCCGGCACGGUACGGCACGGUGCGUGCCGAGCCGUGCCGAUGCGUGCCGGUCCAAAAAAAUUCUUGUGUGCCGACACAUAAUAGCAUGAAAUAUUUAUUUUCUUUAGCAACAAAAUAUUCUAACUAUUUAUUAUGUCUUUUUAUCAUAUCUUUUGAACUUUAUUGAGGAAAUUACUUACUAAUUUAAAGAAUAGAGGGUCUUGAGCUGUGCCAUCGGCACGGGGUCUGUAUCGUGCCGGUAUCUUGUUGGCACGGUACAGCACGGUGGAUACGGCCCGUGCCGACGGGUACUUAAAACCUUGCUCAUAAUAGUAUAGUAGCCAUGGCCGUCUUAUCGCCUCUGUGGUCACUGUCUAGUUUGUAUGGCUUGGACUUCCCUUUCCUUCUUCCUCUUUUCUUUCCCUGCGCUAUAAUAAUCCGCAACUACAAUACUUGUAGUACUCUCUACUUGCAUCAGUUGGUACCAGAGCAUCCGUAUAGCAGUCUGUUCUCAUUUAGGCUUGCGUUAGCUCGUAUCAGAGCCAAAAAGAUUCCUCCAUUGGAGUAGAAAGAUCCUCCAUCGAAGCUGAACGAUCCUCUAUUAGAGAAAAAGUCGAUCCAUAAAUGUAUUGAAGAGGGUUCCUUCACCUGCUUCUAUCAUGGAUUUUAAUUCUCUUGCUUCUUCUUUCUAAGCUACUGUGUUAUGUGAUGGUGUCUUGUAUGAGUAUAAAUUGAUGAGUGGCUUUUCCAUGAUUUUAUUUUGAGAAAAUUUGUGAAGAAAUUUGGUCUUACUACGUAUUGUUGUUUUUUUAUCCCUUUAUUUUGUUUCUUACAAAGCCACCAUUAUAGAAUCGAAAUACAUUAAAUCCGGUACUCUCACAAUGCAAAAUGAUUAUAAAGACGAAAUUGUAUUGGUUGCGGUUGACAUGGAGGAAUGCAAUGUCAUGCUUGGCCGACCAUGACAUAUGACAAAGGAUAUUUUUCUAGCCGUGGAGAGAAAUAAGCAUUUCUUUCAUGACAAUGGCAUCCGAUAUGCUAUUGUUCUAAAGAUUAUUGAUGCGUUAGUUAUCCUACCACUAUCACCACCAUCGACGGAGUCUCUUCCGCCGCAAAUCAAGCUCCAAACAACAGUUGGUCAUCCUUCUCCACUGGAAUGUGGUCUUCUGAUGAAACAACACAAAUUUGUUGAUCCCUUCUUAUAUGUUUCUGCGAAAGAGAUUUAUGCACUUAAAUUUUGAGAUGCCAUCAUUCUUUUCACACCAUCACAAGCGAUCCAUUAAUGAAGAUUAUUUGAGAUAUCGGCAUUGGACUACAUCACAUUGUGCUGAAGUUUUAAUUGCAAACUUCAUUUUUGCUGAUCCUGAGAUUCUAUAUAGCUGAAGCAAAUGAUGCAGCCAUGGAAUCAACUACAAUUUAAAGAGAGUAUGGAGAGUAUUUUUAGAUUUUUAAGAACUUUUAUAUGGAAUAAAUCCCUAUAAAUUAUGGAUAUGGAUUUGAAAGUUUUACAUUUGAAUUAGAUAUAUUCGUAGUUGGAAAAUUUAUAAAAUUAAGGGAUUUGAGGACUAGAACGAGGGCCUUUCCGGUAUAAGUACGGACAGUUUAUGUAGAGAGAGUUUUUGGUUAAUAAAAAGAAAUUUAUUUUAGAUUUGUGUGAUUUUUGUUAUCACAUGUGUGGUGGGCAUCUAGUUUGUAUCACUCAUCUCUCUUCUCUCCCUUUAUUUUUUUCCUUUUUGUUUCCUUUUCCCCCCCUGCUCUAUAGUAUCCGUGGCUAUAGUACUUGCUACAAUACUCCCGGCAUGCGGCAAUAAUGGACUAUAGUUGUUUCAGACAAACCACACUUUGUUUCUUUUACUUCCCAUCAGAAGAACAUUCACUUGAUUGAGAGGUGUACUAAUCCAACAUUGACAUGGAUUCAGACUCUCAGAGAUAUUUUAAUGCAUUAUGUGACAAGGGGAUAUGUACCCUGAAUCGAAUGGUUUUAAAUUAAAAGAUAAUUUCUAUCCUUUUGGCUUUUCUGGCUUAGUGUGAUAUUCUAAUAACAAUAAUUUAUUGAAGGCUAAAAGUAGAAACACUUCCUAGGAAUACAGGGAUUUGCACUUUACCUCUUCUGAUAAUCUGAACUUGAAGUUAAAUUAUAGAAGAGUUAACUUAUUAUAAAUCUAGGGGUUUAACUGGAGAUUUUGUUAUCAUGGGCUAAAGCGCACUUAUGGUAUAGCUGGGGGGUUAUUAACAUUUUAGCCUAUAAUCUAAAUAAAGCUUUUACAGUCUUGUUUUUUCCCCCUAUUUUAUUACAGGGUGGUCGAGGUAGUUCAAGUCAUAAGGCUGGUAUGAGCAAGGUUUCAAAGCAAUUAGCCUUAGCCUUUGCAAAGCGAACUGUUGCCAGAUGCCAUAAAUUCGAGGAAAUGGGUCGAAGCUGCUUUAGUGAACCGCCCUUCCGGGAUUUGAUCCUCAAUCCGCCUACCACUGACCCUAAAUAUUUCGAAGGUAUCACAUCUUGGAGUUGAAUCUGACAUUUCUGUUGAAUCAUGUAGUAAAAGUUUUAAACAAGAAACUUGGAAAUAGUAUUUUUGUGGCCACAAGCCCAACGAAAAUAUCACAAUUUGUGCUUUGCCUCCCUUAAAAAUGGAUCUAUAUUCAGUAAUCUGAAUCCAGAAAUUAAGUGCCUAAUCCCCUUAAUGUCAUAAUUUCCUUAUGGGAACUAUUUAAAAAUAGGCUAAUUACAUCUUUGGUUCUGAAACAAUGAGGUGCGUGACAUUUUGGUCCUCAAAUUCUCAAACUUUAAUUUAUUGCAAUUUCAAGCUCGAAUCUUUUUAGAUGGUUGCAAGCAAGUCCUACGGUCCAAUUAUUAAAUGUGGUAGUGACAUUGCAUCUUAGUCAUUGCUAUAUUAUCAAUCACAACACUGCCUCAUCAUUGCCGCAUUAGCGACACAUUACCAUUUAAUCAAGUAAAUUGUACUGCAGGACUUGAUUAGAACAAUUUAGCAAGUGUGAGCUAGAAAUUGCGACUACUAAGUUUGAGGACCAAAGUGGCACAUGUCUCAUAGUCCGAGGACCAAACGUGUAAUUUAGCCUUAAAAAUAUUAAAAUUUGAUGAAUAUUAUUUAAAAAGAUAGGAUUUCUGGUAAUAUUCAAUACUUUUGAAUGAAAAAUAUGGUGGGGAUUAAGUGCUACCAGUCUAAAGCAAGCAAUGUAGGUUUUUACAUUUGUAGGGGGAUAAUAUGCAAAUCUUCUACCUUUUUCUGGGUUUACUGGCAACUGUCUAAAUUUUCCUUUUUUCUUUUCUUUUCUUUUCUUUUCUUUCCUUUUUCUACAACCACCUUAGCUUAUAUAUUUCAAAUUGAUCAUUAAAUUUGCUAAAUAAUUUUUCAUGCGCUAAAAAAUGUUAUACCAUUAUUCAGUUUAAUCAUGUAAGAUUUUCUAAUGCUUAUGGUGUUGUUGAUCUCAGCUGCCACUGAGCUACAUGGAGUUGGUCAGAAGCUCGAUGGAGCUCUAUUGGAUCAACAUCAAGGAUUAACUCACAAUCCAGAACAAACUUCAAUUAAGAACGACCCAACGCAAAUAAGGGGGAAGAAGAGAGAAGCCCUUCUCGACGAUGUUGUUAUGGCUUCGGCUUCACGUGCUGCAUCAACCAUCAUAAACACUCCUUCAAGUGGUCCAAAAUGGAAAAAAUCCGAUCAAAACAAAGAUUCAAAAAGCUCCACUGCAAAAGCCGGCCGCCCGUCUUUAAGCAGCGGAAGGGGCGAGCGUAAAACCAAGAUGAAGCAGAAGCAGAAGCUGUCCCAAAUAUCGGCUUCCUCAGAAGCAAAAGUUGUUGACCAAGAAGUUGAUACGCAAAACUCGGCUAACAUUGUUGUUCGAGAUCAAUCGAAGGAGAUAGAUGUCGGUAUAUUCACGGAAUCGAUCGACGUGUUAGAUGUUCCUGAUGGAUUAGGUGGGCAAGGGCUCGAUAUAGGUUCAUGGUUGAAUGUCGAUGAUGAUGCAUUGCAAGAUAAUGAGUUAGUUUGCCUAGAGAUUCCGAUGGACGACCUCUCAGAGUUGAAGCUGAAUUUCUAAAGAGAGCGAGAAGUAUACGUCAUGUGCAUAUAAUUUUAAACUUUAGAUCAGAUGCUAUUAGUGCUUUACUAUAGUGCUAACUAACCAAUUGAACUACCUUGGAGGUUAGGUAAAAAAAGAAAAAAAAAUUGUAACAUUGUUGGCGAUUCUUUUUUCGUAUAGCCUUUUUCCCUUUGAAUUUUCCUGGCAGAUCCCAAUUGUCUUCUGUCGCGUAGAAAAUGUCGAUUCUUGUAACAAAAUCACAAUCUCAAUUGAGAGUAUGUAGUUCUUCCAUUUGUAUUAUUUCAAGCUAGCGAUUCGUUCGUAGCUUUUUGUCUCUUUGACCUUCUGUCUGUAUGUUCAUUCUUUUGAUGCAAACUAAUCUAGCGGGCAUGGUAUGUUUUGAUCUAGGAUACAUGGAUGCUUCAAAAAAUAUUGUUGUGUCAGCUUCGUGUAGUGUUGUGUUGUAUUAGACACCAUGUCUUUGAAGGGACGCUUAAAUGCGCAUGUGUCUACUGCGUGUGCGCUGGAUGUUCGCUAUAGAUGAUAGUAGGAAGUCUUUUAUUGCAUUAUCUAUGGUGCGCUAAGCGCCUGUCGACAUGAAGAUUCUAAUUUCUCAGUUGUGUAUUUCUAAUUGUUUUAGAUUGAGAAUGUGCUCUAAAUUUGAGAUUCCUUAUCAUGGUACAAUUACGGUUUAGGUUUGCUUGUCAAUUACUGAUGAUCAGUGACCUUUUAUAAGCGAGAAAACUACCCUAUGGAAAUGCUAUUUCUUUUAAAAGUAUAAUAAGGUUGUAUUCUACAGAUGUUUUCUUCAAAAGAUUAUCAUAUUAAUCGGUCAGAUUCGUGCUGUAUUUUUGUCUCAGUUUGUGGAAAGUUGAUGAUGCCGUCUCAGAGCUGAGUUGUGUCUCAGGUCAUAUGUCCGUGUUUUCUGAUUUAUUUUUGUAACAUGUCUGUUUUAUUGUGAUUUAUUCUUGUAAUAUCUUUUGUAGAGGUGGUAAAAGGCGAGGCAGCUGAUUUUCUGCAUUAAGCUGUUAAGCAACGCAGUUGGAGUUUCAUGUUGUUACGUUUGUCUCUUCCAGGUUGUAAUGUUUUGGGGUGCUCUUAUAUAAAACUCUAGGCACAAACUGUACCACGAUAAGGGGAAAGGUGAUUGUAUCGGAAAGAGAUCUCCUUAAUGACUCUUUGAAAUUGCAUCAAGCAUGUCAGGAAGAGGAUCUCUCUCUCUCUCUCCCUCUCUCUCUCUCUCUCUCUCAUGUUGUAAAACAUAUUUUAGAGAAUUUAAACAUGUGGGCAAUUAUAUAGUGAGCUUUAGAAGGAGAAGUAGAUCCUUUUUUUUCAAAGGUUACAAACUGGAAGCGAAAUUAUUUUGCCUCGGCAUAUUUUGAUAUUCACAAGAUAAAUGUAUUUUUUAGUCAGGAUUUCGAUCUUUUUGCUCUGCGAAUAGCAAAGAGUGAUAUCACAAUAUCAGUUCCCUAAAGUAAAAUUAGAACGAAGUAUACCAAUCUCAAACAAUUCUCACAUUUCAUUGAUGAUAUAUAAAUUAUAACAAGAAUCGCCAAUUUUUUUUGCUUUGACCUACUCAUACAAGCAAGCAAAUGAGAUUACAUAAUAAUAAUAAUCACCAAAAAUCUCCGCAUGAACACGACCCGCCAGCGAAAUGGUGGAACCUAGUAUUGUCCCUUAGAAUGAUCUCCCUCCUCUCAGCCUUGGAAAUGAGCUUCAUUGCGGCAUGGCAAUCCGCGCACACGCGCAGGUUCUUCUUCACGAUGAUCGGCUUCCCUGCCGGAACGCCUAUCAAAGCAAACGCGACCGCGAUCCUCUCGCUAUGAUGAUACAGUAUCCUCUCCUUCAAACUAUCCUCCAAAUUGCACGACAGAGCGCCCGUGUCGGGAGCGUAACCCUCUUCUCUUAUCUUCAUUGAAAUCUCCUCGAGUUUCUUGUAUAUCUCGUCCUUGCGAGGAUGCGACCAAUCCUCAGACCCGAAUACAUGUGUCUUAUUAUUCACAUCGACCCAACUAAAACCAGGGAGUUUCUUUACCCUACUAUCUCUCAUCAACUUCCUCAAAGCCUUCACAUCCUCCCACUGACCCAGUGAAGCAUAAAUACCAGAUAACAAUACAUGAAUUCCGCUGUUCUCGGGCUCGAGCUUCAGCAGAUUCUCCGCAGCGAGCUCGCCCAACUCCUUAUUCCCUCUAAUCCUACAAGCUCCUAACAAAGAACACCACCCAUAAGCAUUAGGCUCUACGGGCAUCUCCCUUAUGAAUUCUUCGGCUUCUCUGAGCCUCCCCGCUCUACUGUACAUAUCGAUGAUGCACGAAUAAUGCUCUUCUCGCGGCUCAAUACCAUACUUUUCCUUCAUCAAAUCGAAAUACUUUAGCCCUUCUUCGACUAACCCCGAAUGGCUACACGCCAUUAAGAGGCUAAUAAACGUUAUAUAACUCGGUCGAAUCCCUGCUAAAAUCAACCUAUCGAAAGCCCUAACAGCGUCCUUUCCCUUACCGUGCUGUGCGAGAGCGCUAAUCAACGAAUUCCAUGCUAUAUCAGUAGGGUUAGUGAUUUCAUCAAACAGUUGGAUAGCAAAAUUUAGCAGCCCACACUUACCAUACAUAUCUACGAGGGUGGAGGACACGAAGGGAUCUUUGAAGAAGUUGGCUUUGAUCACGUGCGCGUGGAGCUGGGCGCCCUGUUCGAGCGCCGCUUGCGCCGCGCAACCCUUUAUCAUGCUCGAGAAGGUGAACUCGUUUGGCUCGAUACAUCGCCUUCUCGACUCGCUGUAUGUUCUUACAGCUUCUUCAAUGCGGCCCAUCUCAAUAUAUCCGUCGAUCAAAGAAGUCGACGACACCACAUUCCAACAUGCAGCGUCCGCACCGACUACAAUGGUGGCACUUUCCAUGUCUCUGGCCUUGGCAUACAUACCGGUCAAGGCAUUCCGCACGGAUGUAUCCGAACUAAGGCCAACCUUUAUUACGUAUGAAUGGAGAGAAGUACCGAGCCGGGGGGAGUUUAGGAUACCGCCUGCGCUCAGGGCACUACAAAGCACGUGUUGGUCAGCAUUCACGGCCCCUUCACGUAGCAUGUCGCGAAAAGCUGAUACAGCUUCGCUGAGAUUCGCGUUCUUCGCGUGCCCAUCAAUUACGGCCGUCCACGCCACCUCAUCCUUGUGUGGCAUUUCGUCAAACACCUUAAGUGCCUCUCCCAUUGACCCGCAUUUUGCAUACAAGUCGACCAAAUUGCUCGCCACAAAGAGAUCGACAUUAAAACCGGACUUCAAACUUAAACAGUGCAACUGCUUGCCGGCCUCCGAGAAGCCGGACGAGGCUGCCGCUCGGACGGCGCUGGAGAACGCAAACUGGGUCGGCUUAAAACCUGUCGACAAAAUCAGGGGUGAGCAUUAUUCUGUCCAAACCGAACUACCGAACGGAAUCAAGCCAAUUUUUUUCGAUUGAAUGUCCUGUUUACUAUUCGAGUUUACAAAUCAAGAACCAGAAAACCGAACGAACCGAAUUUACGCGAGUAGAUCGAACAACUAAACAUUGUAUAAGAUAAAUCAUAUACGUAUUUGACCGUCAAAAAGCUUCUUGGAUUUGGUUGAGAGAGCUGUUAAAAAAGCUUUCUUUCUGAGACGCAGAGCUACUCAUUUAUCAGAGCACUUCUAAGACUGACACUUUUCUUUUUGUCGUACUAUAUCUUUUCCACCAUGCUUUUCAUUUUUCAGUAGAUAUCAUGCCGAGAUAGCAGCAGCUGCAGCUGCUGCUGAAAGCAGUCCAAACCGAAUAAACCGAACGGAAUAAUGGUUGGGUGUGGAACUCACCGGCGGCGAGCAUGGCGGAGAAGGCGGCGAGGGCGCGGGCGAAGGCGGCGUUCUGGGCGAGGCCGGAGACGAGGGCGGAGAAGGAGACGAGGUUCCUGCUGGGCAUUGCGUCGAACACGGCGAGGGCGCGGUCGACGCGGCCGCACUUGGCGUACAUGCUGACGAGGUGGUUCGCCACGAACGUGGCGGCGGCGGCGGCGGAGGUGACGAGGAGCGCGUGGAGCUGCUCCCCGCGCGCGGCGUCGCCGGCCCGCGCACAGCGCUGGAGGAGUCGGGCGACGACGACGGGGUCGCGCAGGACACGCCCGGGACCCCGCCAUUGCCAUCGGUGCGGCAACAACCCCGCCAUGGCCGGGCCCCCAAUCCAUCGUCAUCAGGGGAUUCGUGGGUGGGCUAGUUAGUAGUGUUGGGUCAAAGCGUGAGGCCCGGUUUAUUACUGCUUGCUUACAUACGAUUUUGGAGGUGGUGACACGGUCCGGUUUAUUAGUGCUUGCUUACAAACAACCCUCAAAGCUUUUAGAAUAGUUCAAAAUGCUAUUCUUACACUAGAACCUUACAAUUUGCUAAGUUCAAUAUACUAUACAGAUCUUGGGAGGCGAGCUCCUGGGGAGGAGGGCCAAAGCUCAGACCCCAAGCCCCCAAGCCUUGGGGUGCCGGGCCGUGCCGGGCCGCCCGUCCCGUCUCGGUCCGGCACAGCACGACCCAGGCCUGUUUUGGGCCGUGCCGUGCUGGGCCAUCGGGCCCUAGAUGUGUGGCCCAGCACGGCUCGGAAGUUCGGGCCGGGCCGGCCUGGCACGGGUGCUAUAGUACUUGUGCCAUGCUGUAGCCCGGCUCGGAGUCGUGCCGGGCCGGGCGGCCCACGUGCUGCGCGGCCCGUUUUACAUCAGUACUCCGGCCGGCCCGUUUUACAUCCCUACUUGUACAUUUAAGGAAGUGGAUAGAUGAUGAUAGGGCAAUAUAGACACUAUCGUCGCAAUCCAUCUCUUCUUUUACAUCAACGAUACAAAUAACACAGUCAUCAUUUACCACAUCAUCGAUGAGAAUAGAUGAUAGGAUUUGUAGUUAAAAAAUAGUGCAACAAUUUAUUUAAACAAUCAAAUAAAAUGAUAUUGUAUAAUUUGUUAAUUCAACAGUAUAUUAUCUUCUGUAAUGGUGCAAAAUAUUUUGAAAGAGGUGCAACUUACGAUCCAACUAGGUCAACAUUCGAUAGGUUAGGUGAACAUGCAUCUACGGACGGGCUGCUUUCAACAUUUCUAGUUGUUUGUCGAUAAGCGCCUUAUGUAUCUCGUCUGGCUCACAUAUAAGAACCUCACUCUCAUUCCUGAUCUUGACUGCAUACAACUCCAUAAAAAAUGCAUAACUAUUAUAUAGUUUUGUUUUGUUUCGAACAUCAUUGUCUUUUACAAUAUCGAGAAGGCUGUUUGCAUUUCCACCAAAGCUAAACUUAAUUUAGAUGUUAGAGCAUACCUUUGAAAUGUUUAUAGAUUUGAAGAACGCCCCUUAUAAGGCCUUCAAGCUCUUCCCUUCACCAAUGAAAAUAAGCUGGUAUGGUCCUCUUAUAUACUUGACAUUCCCUCUAUCUUUCUGAAAGAACCCAUUAAAAUGAUAGUGCACCAAGACUUCUACGUUUUUCAUGAGGUGGAAGCAAGAAAGUUAGGUGAAACUAGUAGAAAAAUAUAGGUCUAGAGAUAUAUAAUCUUCCAUCACCCAGUUGGAUUAGAUGAACUAGAAGUUUUGUUACCAGUGGGAAAAGUAGCUUUGUUCGCGGCAGAAAAUAUUCAAAUAAAAAAAGAGCUGAGAACUACGUAGAUAGAGAAGAGACGAACUGCGAGCAGCGUUGCUAGAACUCAAUGUCAGAUGCACUACUUAGUCGGAUCAUUGUACUGUUUGAAUUUGUAUUACACCAUUUUAGAGUUUUAUUGCAUCAAUUGUAGACAUGGUUGAACGAAAAAAGUAACCGGAUAUUCACGCUGAGCUUUAUUUAAUCAAAUUAACAAGAACAACAAACAACACAUGCGAUAUCAUUACUACUAGUGUAGUGACCGCGCGAUGCGGCGGGCAGGUAAUAUUCGAUAUUUAACUUAUAAUAUUUGAUUAUCUUCGUUACAAUGUAAAUAAUAUAUCCUACUUGCAACAUAGAGAACAAAUAAAGAGAAAGAAAAAUAGAACUAUAAAAGAAUAAAAUUUGAUGCAUUAUUUUUUUGAGAGAUAGGUAGCAUGCUACCCGCUUCAUUUAUUUCAUUAAAAUUUGAUGCAUAGUUAAACUAAAGAAAUAUUGGAAUCUUGCAAAAAAAGGUAAAGAAAGAAAAAAUAGUAAAUACAUACGAAGAAUUAAAAAAUUUUGAGUAAUAAACAAAUAAAAGUAUAAGCAGUUAAUGCAACAAUAGCAUGAGUGACCAUGAUACAAUAAAAUUUAGAGUUGUAGAAGUCGAAGAAAAGCUGCAAGAGUUGGCUGAAAGAAAAGGCAAUAGUCAGUAAAGAAUGAAGGAAAGAAUAAAAUAGGACUAAUAGGAAAAGUUGGUUUAAAAAUAUUACUAACCGGCUGUCCCAAAAAUAUGCGACUGCAGUAGUACAAAAAUCAAGUGAAGCAGCAACUUACAAAAUUAAUUAGAAUAUAUAAGUUGUAGAACUUAUAGUCAAAUAAUUUUAAACAAGAAUAGUAAGAAAGUACCAUCACAACAAUCGAAAAAAAUAAUAUAGCGAACAAACAGAGAGAAAGAAAAAUAGAACAAUCGAAAAUAAUAUUCAACAAACAAAUAAAGAAAAUAAUGGAAAUUAGUUAGCUAGUGCACACACUGGUUGCAAUUAUUUCGCAAUUGUCAUCCUAGUUAAUUUACUGUGUAAAAUAUGAGUUAAGUCGACAGAUAAGUUAAGCUGAUAGAUAGGGCCCACACAAAUCCCAUACAAACCCAUAAUUAAGCAAAAUGGUUGAACUCACAGAUAUUUCGCACAAAAGCCCAAAUUUAAGGAAAUACUGACAUGUCGAUAAAAGGAAAUGGAAUUUAAUCAGAAAGUAUACCUACCCAAAUUAAGAAAAUACAGCCACGUGGACUAAAGAAAAUCUUAUUUCAUCAGAAAUUAUAUGUAAAUAAAUGGAAGGCAAUUAAAAGUAUUUGGUAUACAUAAUAAGGAAAGAAUGAAUUAGAACUAAUAGUAAAACUGUCACGCCCCGCCGCGAAACCACUACCCAUUUGGCACGGUUCGGCCGCGGCGGCGGACCGCCGAACGGGCAGCACCUCCCCUGCCCGCCCAAGGCUCAACAACAGGAAUGUGUACAAGAAUUCAUCCAGGACAUUAAAUUCUAAACAUACACAUCCACAAGGGCACAAACAGUGCCAACAGUACAAAGAGCAAGCAAUCCACAAGAUACAUAUCUCAUCUCAAAACAAAGAGAGUACUUUACUAACCAUUACAAUAGUUUUCAUCAUUUUCAUUUACAUCAUUCUCUUUAAAUGAUUACAUUUCUCAUCUCAAAACACAUAGCUCUCCAAGUCCUCACCUACAAUGAAUCUCUCAAAUACAUAGGUGAACUAAUGCAAAAAGGAAAGCUACUAACUACCACGGUCUCACUAAUCGGGCGCGAUGCCCUUGCCGCGGUCCUCUCUCGGCAACCCUGUACCUACCACUGCAAAUAGAGUGGGGUGAGAACUAUCUUCCAUAGUUCCCAGUAGGCUCGGCCGCCGACUCUGCCGAUCUCCCCACUAGGUCCAAGUGGGCACAAGCAACAACAGAUAGAUAGAUAGAUAGAUAGAUAUGUAUCUGAAAGCUGUAAAUGCAAUAUUAGAAAAACUAUGCUACUAUACCCAUAAUCAUGAAUAUGAAUGCAUGCAUCAUAUAAUAAAGGUUUGCUACCAUGCUAACAAAUUCGAUCCAUGUUCGAAUAGUAAUGUUCAAUGACAUUGUUAAACCUUUAACCUUCCCAUUUACCCAAUCUGUGGCGAGGCCCUAGGGCUCGCCCAUAACUCACCUUACAAUUCCAAAGUGGGGAGGGAGCUCCAAAUGCACCCAAGCCCGGGACCGUCUGCGGACCUCCAUGUGGUACGGACCUCCAAGUGGUCCUAGUCGCGCGACACUCCGGAGUACUCGACGACAAUCCCCUCCAUAUGGGGAUUGGAUGGCUAUACCAUCCCAAACGCAGACUGUGAGCUAGAUCUAUCAUCUCUAAGUGAGGAUACACUAUCACUAGGGUCAACAACCCAAUCCAAUCCUUUCCAAGUGAGGAAGCACUAUAACUAGGGUCCGCAAUCCAAUCAAAUCCUCUCCAAGUGAGGAUACUCUAACUAGAGUCAACAUCUCUCGCGGGAUCAUUUGUUCCCGACAUUCAUGCAAUGCUAUUUAGCUUUUCUAAAUUCAUUGUCCACAAGGCAUUUUCUAAGGGAUCCACCUAUCCCUAGGUUCUCAAACCUUUAGUGUCAUAUACACUACAUUAAUGCCACUCGUCCUCAUUCAACGUUUGGAUGCCACUCGUAUGUUCUUUAACAUUAACAAUACUUUCUAUAUCAUCAACACCCCCAUCGGGUACAUCUCUUUUCUUUCGCAUCAUAGGAUCCAAGUUCCAACCCAAUCCUCACAUAUCUAAGUUACCAAGCGUUCCAAGUACACUAGGUUAUCAAUUAGAAAGCAUAAGGAAUGAAGCUACUAUGCAAUCCUACAAUGCAACAUGAAGAGAUGAGAUUAAAUGCAAGCUAAGACAUAGAAAGGAGUCCGAAAGCUUUGGGAUGGCACCCCUCACCUUUAAUCGAUGUAGAGGCUUCAGAAAUCUCUCUCGACGAGCUUUACGAAAAGGCUUUAGCCUUCUUCGCCUAAAUCAACACUAGCCCGGCCCGAUUUUGCCGAGAACUUCACGCCGGCUCGCCGAAUACCAAAACCGACUUCGCCCCCACGAUUUGUGACCUAACAAUAGGGUUUCCAAGGCUUCCAAUGAGAUCAAUCUCAUACUUUCAUAAAAAUCCCAUUUUGGAGCCCUAGGUUUGCACAUAUAGCAAACCACCCAAUAAAUCCCUAGAUUCAUGGGAUUGAUCUACUUAGAAGCAUGCUUAGGGUUCAUUUGACCCAUUCCAAAGCAUAAAAAUCCAAAACCCCAAAAUUUAGAAGCUAGGGUUCAAGAGCCUAUCUCUUGUGCUACACCAAAGAGAAGAGGAGAGGGAGAUGAAGGUGUCCAAGGCCUUUCUCUUGAUCUCCUUCUUCUUCUCCUUCUUGUUCUUCUCAUUCUUUUCCUUCCUCUCAUUCCUCUUCUUCUUCUUCUCCUUUCUUUUCUAGAGAGAGAGCAAGAGAGAAAGAGAGUGAGAGAGAGUGGAAUGAGAGAGUGUGAGGGAGAGAGAGGGCUCAGCCCACUCUAAUAAAGGCCAUUUUGCAUAAAAUUCCCUCAACUUUCCAUCCACUGCACAGCCCUCACUGGGCAGUUUUCGCGCGGAGGGACCGGUCUCCCCGACUUGGGACCGGUCCCUGAGGCCCUUCCUCGGGCGCACGCGUUCGGGAACCAGUCUCUCCCUGGAGACUGGUCCUCGGGAGACCGGUCCUCGCCUGAGAGACCGGUCCCCGAGAGCUAAAUUUUCAGGACUUAGCCAAAUUUCGGCAUUUCUCGCUGGGACCACGUUCGGGAACCGGUCCCUCCCUGCCAGGGACCGGUUGCAUCAAGCAACCCCGCUACACCGAGCCGAGGGAACCGGUCUCUUACCUGUAGAGACCGGUCCCCGAGAGCAACAUCAGCCCAAUGAUGCAGUUUGCCUCAUUUGCUCUCGUGGACUCAACUCCAAGGCACUUUUUGUGCUUUGGACAUCUCUAACUCCCAUAAAGGGUAUUCUCUCGACAGUUAGUCGAUCCUGGAUGAAGUACAAUCCUCGGAUUUCGAGAAUCCACUUCCUUACAUCCUCCCCUCCUUAAAAGGAGUUUCGUCCUCGAAACUAACUCAAUUCUUUAUUUUAACUUAAAUUCUUACCUCACUCCUCAAACAGAUGAGGGUGGUGCUUUCUCAUCAGACCCUCGAGUUCCCAGGUGGCCUCGCGAUCCUCGUGAUUGCUCCACCUAACCUUCACAUAGGAGAUUUCUCGAUUUCUCAACUUUCGCACUUCUCGGGCGAUAAUUCCUACCGGAAACUCUUCGUAGCUCAAGUCUCCUUGAAGUUCCGGUGGUUCAUAUAGCAUCGCAUGCUCGGGGUCGUGAAUAUACUUGCGGAGAUUGGAGACAUGGAACACAUUGUGUACAUUCGCAAGCUUCGGCGGUAAAGCAAGUCGGUAGGCCACCGUGCCGACUCGCUCCAAUAUCUCAUAUGGUCCAAUAUAUCGAGGACUUAGUUUUCCCCGCACUCCAAACCGCUUUACACCCCGCAUCGGUGAAACCUUCAAGAAUACGCGGUCACCUACCGCGAAUUCUAUAUCUCGACGGCGCCUAUCAGCAUAGCUUUGCUGUCUCGACUGCGCCGUGAGCAAUCUCUUGCGAGCAAGACGUACUUUCUCCUCCGCUUCUCGCAACACAUUGGGGCCGAACUCUGUACGCUCACCCACAUCGCUCUAGUGUAUAGGAGACCGGCACGUCCGCCUAUAAAGAGCCUCGAACGGUGCUAUCUCCACACUAGCAUGAUAACUGUUGUUGUAGGCGAACUCGGCCACAGGUAGGUGGUCACACCAACUUCCCUUAUAGUCGAUGACACACGCUCGCAACAUAUCCUCCAGAGUUUGGAUAGUUCUCUCUGUUUGCCCAUCGGUCUGAGGAUGAAAUGCAGUGCUAAAGUCGAGCCGUGUGCCAAGGGCUUCCUGCAGGCUCUUCCAGAAGUGUGAAGUGAACCGGGGGUCACGAUCCGACACGAUCGAUUUCGGCACCCCAUGGAGUCUUACUAUCUCAUCAAGAUACACCUACGUCAACUUGUCUCCCGACCACGUGGUGUGGAUCGGCAAGAAGUGAGCCGACUUUGUCAAUCGGUCCACAAUUACCCAAAUUGCAUCAUGGCCGCCCGUUGAGCGAGGCAAGCUGACCACGAAGUCCAUCGAUAUGUCCUCCCACUUCCAAAUGGGAAUUGGUAGGCUUUGAAGCUUUCCCGCUGGAAAUCGACGCUCGGCCUUCACUUGUUGGCAUGUUAAGCACUUCGCCACAAGGCGUCCAAUAUCUCCUUUCAUUCCCGGUCACCAAUAGUGCAUCUUCAGUCCUUGAUACAUCUUGGUGCCGCCCGGGUGAUCGGCAUAUGCAGAUCGGUGUGCUUCUUGCAGAAUCAAUUCACGAAGCUCUCCAUCUUUCGGCACACACCAUCGGUUUCGAAACCGAAGCGCACCGUCGGCGUCUACCUUGAAAUCGCCGCCAUGCCCUUCCUCGAUGUUUCGCCGCACCUUUUGGAGUUCUAAAUCUGCGGGUUGCAGAUCUUUGAUCCUCUCCAACAAGGUCGGUUGGACAACGAGUGCCAUCAGCUGAGUCGGGACCUCGGGAGCGACCACUUCAAGGUCCAAUCGCUCCAUAUACAGCCAUAAGGGUGUUUGCUGGGUAACAUCAAAUGCGAGGUUCUUCGCCGACUUCCUACUAAGUGCGUCCGCGACCACAUUUGCCUUUCCGGCGUGGUAGAGAAUAUCAACAUCAUAAUCCUUUAACAGCUCCAACCACCGCCGCUGACGCAUGUUGAGCUCCUUCUGCGUGAACAGAUACUUCAAGCUCUUGUGGUCGGUAUAGAUCUCACAAUGGGCACCAUAUAAAUAGUGCCUCCAUAGCUUCAAGGCGAAUAUCACCGCCGCUAGCUCCAAAUCGUGAAUGGGGUAGUUCUUUUCAUAGCUCUUCAGCUGACGGGAUGCAUAGGCGAUCACCUUCCCAUUUUGCAUCAACACACACCCCAACCCAAGAUAGGAGGCAUCACUAUAGACCACGAAGUCUUCGCCCUACACCGGUAGAGCGAGCACCGGAGUCGAAGUCAGUCUUUGCUUCAACUCUUUGAAACUCCGGUCACAUUCUUCGCUCCAAACAAACUUGGUGCUCUUCUGAGUCAGGCGGGUAAGUGGAAUCACUAUUUUGGAAAAGCCUUCCACAAACCGCCUAUAGUAGCCCGCUAAGCCCACGAAGCUUCGAACCUCCGUGAAAUUUGUCGGGCGCGGCCAAUCCUUGAUUGCCUCAACUUUCCUUGGGUCUACAGAAACUCUACCCGCUGAAAUCACAUGCCCUAAGAAGGCGACCUCGCGGAGCCAAAAGUCACACUUCUUCAAUUUGGCAUAUCGCUUCUCCUCCUGAAAGACUUGAAGCACUAUCCUCAAAUGCUCGGCAUGUUCUUCGUCACUACGAGAAUAGACCAAUAUGUCGUCUAUGAAGACCACGACAAAUCAAUCCAAAUACUUCUUGAAGACACGGUUCAUUAAAUCCAUAAAUGCCGCUAGAGCAUUCGUGAGUCCAAAUGGCAUGACUGUGAAUUCGUAAUGUCCAUACCGCGUACGGAACGCAGUUUUCUGCACAUCCUCCGGCUUGAUCUUUAGCUGGUGAUAGCCGGAUUGCAGGUCUAUCUUCGAGUACACACAUGACCCUUGCAACUGAUCGAACAAGUCAUCGAUCCAGGGUAGUGGGUACUUGUUCUUGAUCGUGACUCUGUUCAAUUCUCGAUAGUCCACGCAGAGUCGAAACGACCCGUCCUUCUUUCGUACAAACAACACCGGGGCUCCCCACGGUGAUACACUCGGCCGGAUAAAUUGCUUGUCGAGGAGGUCUUGCAGUUGACUCCUCAACUCCUUCAAUUCCGCCGGUGCCAUUCGGUAUGGAACCUUCGAGAUCGGUGCGGCACCGGGAACCAAGUCUAUGACAAACUCGAUCUCCCGAUCCGGUGGUAUCCCCGGCAACGCCGUGGGAAAUACAUCCGGGAACUCCCACACCACCGAUAGCUCCUCUAACGUUGGAGCUACUCGUUCCACCUCCAAGACAGUUGCUAAAAAUGCCGGACAACCGCUGUUAACUAACUUCCUUGCUCUCGUCGCCGACACCGUCGCAACGAAGCACGAGCUUUGACAAGCUCGAUAUGUGAACUUCUCUUAUCCUGGCUCAUGAAAUGUGAUCACCCUGCUCUUGCAGUCGAUCAUUGCGUGAUACUUUGAGAGCCAGUCCAUGCCCAGAAUGACGUCAUAAGCCUCAAGCUUGGUGAGUUCCAGUGUCCGGAUAGGCAUAAUCCAGUCGCCUAUUUGCACGGGACACGACGCACACUCCGAGUAAGUGUUAAACGUCGACCCAGGGCCCUCCACUCUCCACUUGUCACUCGCUUCUAUAUGUAUGCCAUGCAUGCGUGUGAAUGAUCUACUUAUGAAUGAAUGUGUGGCUCCUGUAUCAAAUAAAGCCCUGGAGCGAACUCCGUUAAUUAAAACCAUACCUGCCACAAGGCGAUGCUCCUCCGCCUCCGUAGGUUCCUCAGCUUGGACCUGAGUGGCGAACACCCGUCCGCUCGGGGCCGAUCGCGCCAUAUCAGGUUGACGCGACGUCAUUGCGCGCCUAGUCGAUGCGGCCGUCGGUGGAGCUCCUCUAUAAUGAGCCGGAAUCGCCGGAGCCGAUGCAAUCGAGGGGGCAGGUGAGGCUCCUCCCCUCGGGCAGUCCCAAAUGAAGUGCCCUGGUUGCCCACACUUGUAGCACUUGCCUCGGCCUUGCUCACAGCGCGAGACUGGGUGGUCUCCACCGCACACAAUGCAUCGCCGCGCUCCACCGCCCCUCUGUUGAGCGCGCGGAUACUUCGGGGGUUUCUUGUAACGUGUCUGUCCCCCCGAACUACCGCCGCCAUGGCGUUUCUUGCCCUUAUCCUUAGACUCGGCCAAAGCCUCACGCUUCUCCCGAACGUGGGCAUCUCCGUGCUCCGCCCAUAGGGCUCGAUCGAAGACCUCCGCAAAGGUCGUGAGCUUAAGUAUUUGCAUGGCCUUGUAGAUCCCCGGCCGAAGUCCUCGCAAGAACCACUCGGCCCAGUCCCAGUCAUCCUUUACAACAUCCGGGACGGAGUCGAUAAUAUGGGAGAAUUCUUGUUCAUACUCUGCCACUGAGCGGUCCCCUUGCUCAAGCUUGCGGAACCUCUCCUUGAGCUUCCGCUUCAACGUGUCGGGGAAAUAGUUAGCGAACAUUUCCCGCUUGAAUUCCUCCCACAGCAUUGGCGGAAGGCCGGGAAGCCGAUCCCGUUUAACUCGCUUCCACCAAACUUUCACUGCCUUUUCCAAGCAAUGGGUGGCGAGGUACACUUUAUCUCUCUCUAAAGUGCGCAAGUCAUCGAAGAGGGUUUCCAUCGAGUCAAUCCAAGACUCGACCAUCUCAGGUUCCACCUUCUCGCCCUCGAAGGUUGGCGGAUGGAACUUGUUGAACUUGAUAAGAGCCGCCAAUGAGCGCUCUCCUUCCACGUCUUCGGCCGACACAUCGGGUGUAGCCGACCCCGAUGCCGCUUGUGGUACGAUUGCUCGCGGUGGGCGUGCCGUCAUCGGAACCGCCGCUAUGCCCUCACCCCCUGCCACUCCGAGUACAUAAGUCGAGGGUGCGUGCGGACCACCGCCCUCAUUCGCCGUCGUAGCCGCUGCCGCAAUUUGCCGCUCCAAUAGAUCCUGGAGCCGCUCGAAUCGGGUCUCCUGGCGCUGCACCACAUCGGUCAGCGCGGUCACCUGCGCUUGCAACCGAUCGAUCACGCAAGGUUCCUCCUGCUCGGGCACCUCGGGAAUCGGUGCUGGGGCAGUUCUACGCGUGUAGCGUCUUGGAGACAUCAGUCCCUGAAACGCAAUUACUUGGUCAGUCAUUUUAACCCAUUAUCUCGUCGCAAUUACGACACAUGACGACUCAACAACAAAAUCGGGCGGAAGCACACAAGUGUACUGUAAGGUACCGGACUUCUAAAAACAAUGAAGUUACGGUGUACAUUUAAGUAAUUCCGGUGAGGUUGCGCUGGAAUGUAAUAUACCGGAUUUUAAAUGUAAAAGUGGAAAUAAAUAAAAAUAGUGUGGGAUACUAUUUUUAUUGGACUUAUAGACAUAAAUUAUAAGUCUAGAGUGACCCGUGUUGAAAUGGAAGCGAAAACAGAAGAUUUAGAAUUUUCUGUGAGAGACGGGGCAGACGAAAAAUAUCCGUACCGUGCUGCUAAACUGAAUGUGAAUAGUGUUCUUGGAUAACUUGGAGGCCAAGUUUCCUAUGAAACUUGGAGGCUAAGUUUCCUAUGACACUUGGAGACCAAGUUUCCUAUGAAACUUGGAGGCCAAGUUUCCUAUAUAUAUAUAGGGGACUUGAGCAUUUUCUUUCUUUCUCCCUCACACUUGCAACCAAAGGAAAUAUCUCUCUCUCAUCAACAAUUCUCACCAAAGAGCAGGAUUGGAGCGUGCAUUGGAAAGAAAAAGGUUGUUGGAGGUGAAGUCUUCAUCCUCUCAUUUACUUUGGUUUGAGGAAAAGCUGUGUUUGAGGUGCCUAAACGCGUGUGAACGUCGGUUCGUCGAUUCGGUCAGCAGGUGCGAACGAAAGUUAAACGGCGAUAUGGAACGUCAAUUGAGAACCUAGCCGUGAUUUUAGCGCGUUUAAAAGGNNNNNNNNNNNNNNNNNNNNNNNNNNNNNNNNNNNNNNNNNNNNNNNNNNNNNNNNNNNNNNNNNNNNNNNNNNNNNNNNNNNNNNNNNNNNNNNNNNNNNNNNNNNNNNNNNNNNNNNNNNNNNNNNNNNNNNNNNNNNNNNNNNNNNNNNNNNNNNNNNNNNNNNNNNNNNNNNNNNNNNNNNNNNNNNNNNNNNNNNNNNNNNNNNNNNNNNNNNNNNNNNNNNNNNNNNNNNNNNNNNNNNNNNNNNNNNNNNNNNNNNNNNNNNNNNNNNNNNNNNNNNNNNNNNNNNNNNNNNNNNNNNNNNNNNNNNNNNNNNNNNNNNNNNNNNNNNNNNNNNNNNNNNNNNNNNNNNNNNNNNNNNNNNNNNNNNNNNNNNNNNNNNNNNNNNNNNNNNNNNNNNNNNNNNNNNNNNNNNNNNNNNNNNNNNNNNNNNNNNNNNNNNNNNNNNNNNNNNNNNNNNNNNNNNNNNNNNNNNNNNNNNNNNNNNNNNNNNNNNNNNNNNNNNNNNNNNNNNNNNNNNNNNNNNNNNNNNNNNNNNNNNNNNNNNNNNNNNNNNNNNNNNNNNNNNNNNNNNNNNNNNNNNNNNNNNNNNNNNNNNNNNNNNNNNNNNNNNNNNNNNNNNNNNNNNNNNNNNNNNNNNNNNNNNNNNNNNNNNNNNNNNNNNNNNNNNNNNNNNNNNNNNNNNNNNNNNNNNNNNNNNNNNNNNNNNNNNNNNNNNNNNNNNNNNNNNNNNNNNNNNNNNNNNNNNNNNNNNNNNNNNNNNNNNNNNNNNNNNNNNNNNNNNNNNNNNNNNNNNNNNNNNNNNNNNNNNNNNNNNNNNNNNNNNNNNNNNNNNNNNNNNNNNNNNNNNNNNNNNNNNNNNNNNNNNNNNNNNNNNNNNNNNNNNNNNNNNNNNNNNNNNNNNNNNNNNNNNNNNNNNNNNNNNNNNNNNNNNNNNNNNNNNNNNNNNNNNNNNNNNNNNNNNNNNNNNNNNNNNNNNNNNNNNNNNNNNNNNNNNNNNNNNNNNNNNNNNNNNNNNNNNNNNNNNNNNNNNNNNNNNNNNNNNNNNNNNNNNNNNNNNNNNNNNNNNNNNNNNNNNNNNNNNNNNNNNNNNNNNNNNNNNNNNNNNNNNNNNNNNNNNNNNNNNNNNNNNNNNNNNNNNNNNNNNNNNNNNNNNNNNNNNNNNNNNNNNNNNNNNNNNNNNNNNNNNNNNNNNNNNNNNNNNNNNNNNNNNNNNNNNNNNNNNNNNNNNNNNNNNNNNNNNNNNNNNNNNNNNNNNNNNNNNNNNNNNNNNNNNNNNNNNNNNNNNNNNNNNNNNNNNNNNNNNNNNNNNNNNNNNNNNNNNNNNNNNNNNNNNNNNNNNNNNNNNNNNNNNNNNNNNNNNNNNNNNNNNNNNNNNNNNNNNNNNNNNNNNNNNNNNNNNNNNNNNNNNNNNNNNNNNNNNNNNNNNNNNNNNNNNNNNNNNNNNNNNNNNNNNNNNNNNNNNNNNNNNNNNNNNNNNNNNNNNNNNNNNNNNNNNNNNNNNNNNNNNNNNNNNNNNNNNNNNNNNNNNNNNNNNNNNNNNNNNNNNNNNNNNNNNNNNNNNNNNNNNNNNNNNNNNNNNNNNNNNNNNNNNNNNNNNNNNNNNNNNNNNNNNNNNNNNNNNNNNNNNNNNNNNNNNNNNNNNNNNNNNNNNNNNNNNNNNNNNNNNNNNNNNNNNNNNNNNNNNNNNNNNNNNNNNNNNNNNNNNNNNNNNNNNNNNNNNNNNNNNNNNNNNNNNNNNNNNNNNNNNNNNNNNNNNNNNNNNNNNNNNNNNNNNNNNNNNNNNNNNNNNNNNNNNNNNNNNNNNNNNNNNNNNNNNNNNNNNNNNNNNNNNNNNNNNNNNNNNNNNNNNNNNNNNNNNNNNNNNNNNNNNNNNNNNNNNNNNNNNNNNNNNNNNNNNNNNNNNNNNNNNNNNNNNNNNNNNNNNNNNNNNNNNNNNNNNNNNNNNNNNNNNNNNNNNNNNNNNNNNNNNNNNNNNNNNNNNNNNNNNNNNNNNNNNNNNNNNNNNNNNNNNNNNNNNNNNNNNNNNNNNNNNNNNNNNNNNNNNNNNNNNNNNNNNNNNNNNNNNNNNNNNNNNNNNNNNNNNNNNNNNNNNNNNNNNNNNNNNNNNNNNNNNNNNNNNNNNNNNNNNNNNNNNNNNNNNNNNNNNNNNNNNNNNNNNNNNNNNNNNNNNNNNNNNNNNNNNNNNNNNNNNNNNNNNNNNNNNNNNNNNNNNNNNNNNNNNNNNNNNNNNNNNNNNNNNNNNNNNNNNNNNNNNNNNNNNNNNNNNNNNNNNNNNNNNNNNNNNNNNNNNNNNNNNNNNNNNNNNNNNNNNNNNNNNNNNNNNNNNNNNNNNNNNNNNNNNNNNNNNNNNNNNNNNNNNNNNNNNNNNNNNNNNNNNNNNNNNNNNNNNNNNNNNNNNNNNNNNNNNNNNNNNNNNNNNNNNNNNNNNNNNNNNNNNNNNNNNNNNNNNNNNNNNNNNNNNNNNNNNNNNNNNNNNNNNNNNNNNNNNNNNNNNNNNNNNNNNNNNNNNNNNNNNNNNNNNNNNNNNNNNNNNNNNNNNNNNNNNNNNNNNNNNNNNNNNNNNNNNNNNNNNNNNNNNNNNNNNNNNNNNNNNNNNNNNNNNNNNNNNNNNNNNNNNNNNNNNNNNNNNNNNNNNNNNNNNNNNNNNNNNNNNNNNNNNNNNNNNNNNNNNNNNNNNNNNNNNNNNNNNNNNNNNNNNNNNNNNNNNNNNNNNNNNNNNNNNNNNNNNNNNNNNNNNNNNNNNNNNNNNNNNNNNNNNNNNNNNNNNNNNNNNNNNNNNNNNNNNNNNNNNNNNNNNNNNNNNNNNNNNNNNNNNNNNNNNNNNNNNNNNNNNNNNNNNNNNNNNNNNNNNNNNNNNNNNNNNNNNNNNNNNNNNNNNNNNNNNNNNNNNNNNNNNNNNNNNNNNNNNNNNNNNNNNNNNNNNNNNNNNNNNNNNNNNNNNNNNNNNNNNNNNNNNNNNNNNNNNNNNNNNNNNNNNNNNNNNNNNNNNNNNNNNNNNNNNNNNNNNNNNNNNNNNNNNNNNNNNNNNNNNNNNNNNNNNNNNNNNNNNNNNNNNNNNNNNNNNNNNNNNNNNNNNNNNNNNNNNNNNNNNNNNNNNNNNNNNNNNNNNNNNNNNNNNNNNNNNNNNNNNNNNNNNNNNNNNNNNNNNNNNNNNNNNNNNNNNNNNNNNNNNNNNNNNNNNNNNNNNNNNNNNNNNNNNNNNNNNNNNNNNNNNNNNNNNNNNNNNNNNNNNNNNNNNNNNNNNNNNNNNNNNNNNNNNNNNNNNNNNNNNNNNNNNNNNNNNNNNNNNNNNNNNNNNNNNNNNNNNNNNNNNNNNNNNNNNNNNNNNNNNNNNNNNNNNNNNNNNNNNNNNNNNNNNNNNNNNNNNNNNNNNNNNNNNNNNNNNNNNNNNNNNNNNNNNNNNNNNNNNNNNNNNNNNNNNNNNNNNNNNNNNNNNNNNNNNNNNNNNNNNNNNNNNNNNNNNNNNNNNNNNNNNNNNNNNNNNNNNNNNNNNNNNNNNNNNNNNNNNNNNNNNNNNNNNNNNNNNNNNNNNNNNNNNNNNNNNNNNNNNNNNNNNNNNNNNNNNNNNNNNNNNNNNNNNNNNNNNNNNNNNNNNNNNNNNNNNNNNNNNNNNNNNNNNNNNNNNNNNNNNNNNNNNNNNNNNNNNNNNNNNNNNNNNNNNNNNNNNNNNNNNNNNNNNNNNNNNNNNNNNNNNNNNNNNNNNNNNNNNNNNNNNNNNNNNNNNNNNNNNNNNNNNNNNNNNNNNNNNNNNNNNNNNNNNNNNNNNNNNNNNNNNNNNNNNNNNNNNNNNNNNNNNNNNNNNNNNNNNNNNNNNNNNNNNNNNNNNNNNNNNNNNNNNNNNNNNNNNNNNNNNNNNNNNNNNNNNNNNNNNNNNNNNNNNNNNNNNNNNNNNNNNNNNNNNNNNNNNNNNNNNNNNNNNNNNNNNNNNNNNNNNNNNNNNNNNNNNNNNNNNNNNNNNNNNNNNNNNNNNNNNNNNNNNNNNNNNNNNNNNNNNNNNNNNNNNNNNNNNNNNNNNNNNNNNNNNNNNNNNNNNNNNNNNNNNNNNNNNNNNNNNNNNNNNNNNNNNNNNNNNNNNNNNNNNNNNNNNNNNNNNNNNNNNNNNNNNNNNNNNNNNNNNNNNNNNNNNNNNNNNNNNNNNNNNNNNNNNNNNNNNNNNNNNNNNNNNNNNNNNNNNNNNNNNNNNNNNNNNNNNNNNNNNNNNNNNNNNNNNNNNNNNNNNNNNNNNNNNNNNNNNNNNNNNNNNNNNNNNNNNNNNNNNNNNNNNNNNNNNNNNNNNNNNNNNNNNNNNNNNNNNNNNNNNNNNNNNNNNNNNNNNNNNNNNNNNNNNNNNNNNNNNNNNNNNNNNNNNNNNNNNNNNNNNNNNNNNNNNNNNNNNNNNNNNNNNNNNNNNNNNNNNNNNNNNNNNNNNNNNNNNNNNNNNNNNNNNNNNNNNNNNNNNNNNNNNNNNNNNNNNNNNNNNNNNNNNNNNNNNNNNNNNNNNNNNNNNNNNNNNNNNNNNNNNNNNNNNNNNNNNNNNNNNNNNNNNNNNNNNNNNNNNNNNNNNNNNNNNNNNNNNNNNNNNNNNNNNNNNNNNNNNNNNNNNNNNNNNNNNNNNNNNNNNNNNNNNNNNNNNNNNNNNNNNNNNNNNNNNNNNNNNNNNNNNNNNNNNNNNNNNNNNNNNNNNNNNNNNNNNNNNNNNNNNNNNNNNNNNNNNNNNNNNNNNNNNNNNNNNNNNNNNNNNNNNNNNNNNNNNNNNNNNNNNNNNNNNNNNNNNNNNNNNNNNNNNNNNNNNNNNNNNNNNNNNNNNNNNNNNNNNNNNNNNNNNNNNNNNNNNNNNNNNNNNNNNNNNNNNNNNNNNNNNNNNNNNNNNNNNNNNNNNNNNNNNNNNNNNNNNNNNNNNNNNNNNNNNNNNNNNNNNNNNNNNNNNNNNNNNNNNNNNNNNNNNNNNNNNNNNNNNNNNNNNNNNNNNNNNNNNNNNNNNNNNNNNNNNNNNNNNNNNNNNNNNNNNNNNNNNNNNNNNNNNNNNNNNNNNNNNNNNNNNNNNNNNNNNNNNNNNNNNNNNNNNNNNNNNNNNNNNNNNNNNNNNNNNNNNNNNNNNNNNNNNNNNNNNNNNNNNNNNNNNNNNNNNNNNNNNNNNNNNNNNNNNNNNNNNNNNNNNNNNNNNNNNNNNNNNNNNNNNNNNNNNNNNNNNNNNNNNNNNNNNNNNNNNNNNNNNNNNNNNNNNNNNNNNNNNNNNNNNNNNNNNNNNNNNNNNNNNNNNNNNNNNNNNNNNNNNNNNNNNNNNNNNNNNNNNNNNNNNNNNNNNNNNNNNNNNNNNNNNNNNNNNNNNNNNNNNNNNNNNNNNNNNNNNNNNNNNNNNNNNNNNNNNNNNNNNNNNNNNNNNNNNNNNNNNNNNNNNNNNNNNNNNNNNNNNNNNNNNNNNNNNNNNNNNNNNNNNNNNNNNNNNNNNNNNNNNNNNNNNNNNNNNNNNNNNNNNNNNNNNNNNNNNNNNNNNNNNNNNNNNNNNNNNNNNNNNNNNNNNNNNNNNNNNNNNNNNNNNNNNNNNNNNNNNNNNNNNNNNNNNNNNNNNNNNNNNNNNNNNNNNNNNNNNNNNNNNNNNNNNNNNNNNNNNNNNNNNNNNNNNNNNNNNNNNNNNNNNNNNNNNNNNNNNNNNNNNNNNNNNNNNNNNNNNNNNNNNNNNNNNNNNNNNNNNNNNNNNNNNNNNNNNNNNNNNNNNNNNNNNNNNNNNNNNNNNNNNNNNNNNNNNNNNNNNNNNNNNNNNNNNNNNNNNNNNNNNNNNNNNNNNNNNNNNNNNNNNNNNNNNNNNNNNNNNNNNNNNNNNNNNNNNNNNNNNNNNNNNNNNNNNNNNNNNNNNNNNNNNNNNNNNNNNNNNNNNNNNNNNNNNNNNNNNNNNNNNNNNNNNNNNNNNNNNNNNNNNNNNNNNNNNNNNNNNNNNNNNNNNNNNNNNNNNNNNNNNNNNNNNNNNNNNNNNNNNNNNNNNNNNNNNNNNNNNNNNNNNNNNNNNNNNNNNNNNNNNNNNNNNNNNNNNNNNNNNNNNNNNNNNNNNNNNNNNNNNNNNNNNNNNNNNNNNNNNNNNNNNNNNNNNNNNNNNNNNNNNNNNNNNNNNNNNNNNNNNNNNNNNNNNNNNNNNNNNNNNNNNNNNNNNNNNNNNNNNNNNNNNNNNNNNNNNNNNNNNNNNNNNNNNNNNNNNNNNNNNNNNNNNNNNNNNNNNNNNNNNNNNNNNNNNNNNNNNNNNNNNNNNNNNNNNNNNNNNNNNNNNNNNNNNNNNNNNNNNNNNNNNNNNNNNNNNNNNNNNNNNNNNNNNNNNNNNNNNNNNNNNNNNNNNNNNNNNNNNNNNNNNNNNNNNNNNNNNNNNNNNNNNNNNNNNNNNNNNNNNNNNNNNNNNNNNNNNNNNNNNNNNNNNNNNNNNNNNNNNNNNNNNNNNNNNNNNNNNNNNNNNNNNNNNNNNNNNNNNNNNNNNNNNNNNNNNNNNNNNNNNNNNNNNNNNNNNNNNNNNNNNNNNNNNNNNNNNNNNNNNNNNNNNNNNNNNNNNNNNNNNNNNNNNNNNNNNNNNNNNNNNNNNNNNNNNNNNNNNNNNNNNNNNNNNNNNNNNNNNNNNNNNNNNNNNNNNNNNNNNNNNNNNNNNNNNNNNNNNNNNNNNNNNNNNNNNNNNNNNNNNNNNNNNNNNNNNNNNNNNNNNNNNNNNNNNNNNNNNNNNNNNNNNNNNNNNNNNNNNNNNNNNNNNNNNNNNNNNNNNNNNNNNNNNNNNNNNNNNNNNNNNNNNNNNNNNNNNNNNNNNNNNNNNNNNNNNNNNNNNNNNNNNNNNNNNNNNNNNNNNNNNNNNNNNNNNNNNNNNNNNNNNNNNNNNNNNNNNNNNNNNNNNNNNNNNNNNNNNNNNNNNNNNNNNNNNNNNNNNNNNNNNNNNNNNNNNNNNNNNNNNNNNNNNNNNNNNNNNNNNNNNNNNNNNNNNNNNNNNNNNNNNNNNNNNNNNNNNNNNNNNNNNNNNNNNNNNNNNNNNNNNNNNNNNNNNNNNNNNNNNNNNNNNNNNNNNNNNNNNNNNNNNNNNNNNNNNNNNNNNNNNNNNNNNNNNNNNNNNNNNNNNNNNNNNNNNNNNNNNNNNNNNNNNNNNNNNNNNNNNNNNNNNNNNNNNNNNNNNNNNNNNNNNNNNNNNNNNNNNNNNNNNNNNNNNNNNNNNNNNNNNNNNNNNNNNNNNNNNNNNNNNNNNNNNNNNNNNNNNNNNNNNNNNNNNNNNNNNNNNNNNNNNNNNNNNNNNNNNNNNNNNNNNNNNNNNNNNNNNNNNNNNNNNNNNNNNNNNNNNNNNNNNNNNNNNNNNNNNNNNNNNNNNNNNNNNNNNNNNNNNNNNNNNNNNNNNNNNNNNNNNNNNNNNNNNNNNNNNNNNNNNNNNNNNNNNNNNNNNNNNNNNNNNNNNNNNNNNNNNNNNNNNNNNNNNNNNNNNNNNNNNNNNNNNNNNNNNNNNNNNNNNNNNNNNNNNNNNNNNNNNNNNNNNNNNNNNNNNNNNNNNNNNNNNNNNNNNNNNNNNNNNNNNNNNNNNNNNNNNNNNNNNNNNNNNNNNNNNNNNNNNNNNNNNNNNNNNNNNNNNNNNNNNNNNNNNNNNNNNNNNNNNNNNNNNNNNNNNNNNNNNNNNNNNNNNNNNNNNNNNNNNNNNNNNNNNNNNNNNNNNNNNNNNNNNNNNNNNNNNNNNNNNNNNNNNNNNNNNNNNNNNNNNNNNNNNNNNNNNNNNNNNNNNNNNNNNNNNNNNNNNNNNNNNNNNNNNNNNNNNNNNNNNNNNNNNNNNNNNNNNNNNNNNNNNNNNNNNNNNNNNNNNNNNNNNNNNNNNNNNNNNNNNNNNNNNNNNNNNNNNNNNNNNNNNNNNNNNNNNNNNNNNNNNNNNNNNNNNNNNNNNNNNNNNNNNNNNNNNNNNNNNNNNNNNNNNNNNNNNNNNNNNNNNNNNNNNNNNNNNNNNNNNNNNNNNNNNNNNNNNNNNNNNNNNNNNNNNNNNNNNNNNNNNNNNNNNNNNNNNNNNNNNNNNNNNNNNNNNNNNNNNNNNNNNNNNNNNNNNNNNNNNNNNNNNNNNNNNNNNNNNNNNNNNNNNNNNNNNNNNNNNNNNNNNNNNNNNNNNNNNNNNNNNNNNNNNNNNNNNNNNNNNNNNNNNNNNNNNNNNNNNNNNNNNNNNNNNNNNNNNNNNNNNNNNNNNNNNNNNNNNNNNNNNNNNNNNNNNNNNNNNNNNNNNNNNNNNNNNNNNNNNNNNNNNNNNNNNNNNNNNNNNNNNNNNNNNNNNNNNNNNNNNNNNNNNNNNNNNNNNNNNNNNNNNNNNNNNNNNNNNNNNNNNNNNNNNNNNNNNNNNNNNNNNNNNNNNNNNNNNNNNNNNNNNNNNNNNNNNNNNNNNNNNNNNNNNNNNNNNNNNNNNNNNNNNNNNNNNNNNNNNNNNNNNNNNNNNNNNNNNNNNNNNNNNNNNNNNNNNNNNNNNNNNNNNNNNNNNNNNNNNNNNNNNNNNNNNNNNNNNNNNNNNNNNNNNNNNNNNNNNNNNNNNNNNNNNNNNNNNNNNNNNNNNNNNNNNNNNNNNNNNNNNNNNNNNNNNNNNNNNNNNNNNNNNNNNNNNNNNNNNNNNNNNNNNNNNNNNNNNNNNNNNNNNNNNNNNNNNNNNNNNNNNNNNNNNNNNNNNNNNNNNNNNNNNNNNNNNNNNNNNNNNNNNNNNNNNNNNNNNNNNNNNNNNNNNNNNNNNNNNNNNNNNNNNNNNNNNNNNNNNNNNNNNNNNNNNNNNNNNNNNNNNNNNNNNNNNNNNNNNNNNNNNNNNNNNNNNNNNNNNNNNNNNNNNNNNNNNNNNNNNNNNNNNNNNNNNNNNNNNNNNNNNNNNNNNNNNNNNNNNNNNNNNNNNNNNNNNNNNNNNNNNNNNNNNNNNNNNNNNNNNNNNNNNNNNNNNNNNNNNNNNNNNNNNNNNNNNNNNNNNNNNNNNNNNNNNNNNNNNNNNNNNNNNNNNNNNNNNNNNNNNNNNNNNNNNNNNNNNNNNNNNNNNNNNNNNNNNNNNNNNNNNNNNNNNNNNNNNNNNNNNNNNNNNNNNNNNNNNNNNNNNNNNNNNNNNNNNNNNNNNNNNNNNNNNNNNNNNNNNNNNNNNNNNNNNNNNNNNNNNNNNNNNNNNNNNNNNNNNNNNNNNNNNNNNNNNNNNNNNNNNNNNNNNNNNNNNNNNNNNNNNNNNNNNNNNNNNNNNNNNNNNNNNNNNNNNNNNNNNNNNNNNNNNNNNNNNNNNNNNNNNNNNNNNNNNNNNNNNNNNNNNNNNNNNNNNNNNNNNNNNNNNNNNNNNNNNNNNNNNNNNNNNNNNNNNNNNNNNNNNNNNNNNNNNNNNNNNNNNNNNNNNNNNNNNNNNNNNNNNNNNNNNNNNNNNNNNNNNNNNNNNNNNNNNNNNNNNNNNNNNNNNNNNNNNNNNNNNNNNNNNNNNNNNNNNNNNNNNNNNNNNNNNNNNNNNNNNNNNNNNNNNNNNNNNNNNNNNNNNNNNNNNNNNNNNNNNNNNNNNNNNNNNNNNNNNNNNNNNNNNNNNNNNNNNNNNNNNNNNNNNNNNNNNNNNNNNNNNNNNNNNNNNNNNNNNNNNNNNNNNNNNNNNNNNNNNNNNNNNNNNNNNNNNNNNNNNNNNNNNNNNNNNNNNNNNNNNNNNNNNNNNNNNNNNNNNNNNNNNNNNNNNNNNNNNNNNNNNNNNNNNNNNNNNNNNNNNNNNNNNNNNNNNNNNNNNNNNNNNNNNNNNNNNNNNNNNNNNNNNNNNNNNNNNNNNNNNNNNNNNNNNNNNNNNNNNNNNNNNNNNNNNNNNNNNNNNNNNNNNNNNNNNNNNNNNNNNNNNNNNNNNNNNNNNNNNNNNNNNNNNNNNNNNNNNNNNNNNNNNNNNNNNNNNNNNNNNNNNNNNNNNNNNNNNNNNNNNNNNNNNNNNNNNNNNNNNNNNNNNNNNNNNNNNNNNNNNNNNNNNNNNNNNNNNNNNNNNNNNNNNNNNNNNNNNNNNNNNNNNNNNNNNNNNNNNNNNNNNNNNNNNNNNNNNNNNNNNNNNNNNNNNNNNNNNNNNNNNNNNNNNNNNNNNNNNNNNNNNNNNNNNNNNNNNNNNNNNNNNNNNNNNNNNNNNNNNNNNNNNNNNNNNNNNNNNNNNNNNNNNNNNNNNNNNNNNNNNNNNNNNNNNNNNNNNNNNNNNNNNNNNNNNNNNNNNNNNNNNNNNNNNNNNNNNNNNNNNNNNNNNNNNNNNNNNNUGUUUCUACGCUCGCGGAAGCGAGGAGCACUACGUGUUGAGGCAUAGGUUUGGGCGGGCAGAUCUAAGCGUUAUAGUGGUGACCUUUUCGUCGCACUAUGAAAGCCCAAGGUUGAACGGUCUUGGCCCGGUAAGGCUCUUGCGGAGGCGUUAGGUACAGGGUGGAGCAGUGUGGCAUGAGCCUGGGAGGUCUUCGACCAAUUAGGGCAAUGAGAUAUGUGUUCGGGUUCUGGACCCAUUGGGGCUUCAUUGCCGCAGGUCAGGAUACAGGUAACAGUGUGGCAUGGCCUAAGGCUCUCGGAACCAAUAGGGUAGCGAGAAGCUUACGUGGAACCCAGGGGCUUCAUUGCGAAUGGUCAGGUACAGGGUGACAGUAGUGGCAUGCGCCUGAGGUGCUUCGGGACCAAUAGCGGCAGCGGAGAUUUGGGUACUUUUGAGGUUGAUCGGUCAGUGACGGCAUGGACAUACAGUAGCUGUAUGUUUAUUUCCAUACAUCCUCUAUCGUGUUUAUUGUAAGCGUAGCAUUACUGUUUUAGUUUACCUGCUCAUCUGAUACUUGUCAGGCUCCACUACUAUUAUCAGCAUCUUUACUUACCAAGCACUUAUAAACUAUCUAGUUUCUCGUGGACUAGUGAUACCCUCGCCCUCUCCGGCUUGCGGGUAACCCACUGGGAGGGGAGACAUGUUGUUACAUGUUCCUCACCUUUCCACCCCACCAUUUUUCAGGUAUUGCCAGGCGGAUGAGUUUUGGUGGGACGAGACAUGAGGUACGUUCGUACACGUCGAUAGAGCUUCCGACCCCAGGUAUUCGUUUAAGUUGCCUACCGCUUACUAUUCUGAUGACAUAUAAGUUUAGAUAGGUAGAUUACCCGGUUCAGUAUUUUUAUUACAUUUUGAAUAUUGUUGGAUUUUCAUGAAUAUAAUAAAAAGAUUUUUGGAAUUUUUGUAAAAUAAAAGGCUUUUCUAACCUCGUACGUUAGCCGUUUUAUAAAGAUAAAAGUUCCUGAGAGGAACAGUUUUCAAAAGGAUUUUCUGUGGAUUUUUAUUUACAUAUCGCAAUGGUAUAAUGUGACCUGUGCUGAAUGGGUGUGAAUUGAACUGUUAUAUCUGUUGGUCAUUUGGAUGUUCAUUCUAGGUGUGGUUGUAUCCUGCGUUGUGUAUUCUUGUACUUGUGCGGGACUCUCUUUUUGCAUAUAUAUCUCUAAGGAGUAGUUAUCUGGUUUUUUCUGUCCAGUAGUGACAGUGGAUCUACCUGUAUUUGUCGGCGAUCUGGACAUCUCUGGGAGUAGUUUUUCAAAAAAAAAAAAAUCAGAUGCUUUUCCGCUAUGCUUAAACUAAAAAGGGACCCCGGGGCGUGACGAUUAAAGAUAAUGUAAGGACUGAGAUUUUUACAGUGCAACUAAACUCUCUGUUGAUGAUGUUUAUGUGUGUAAUUUAAUUACAUAAGCACUCGUCAAGUUUCAGGAGAAAAUGAGCUAAAACGGAGAAGUUACGCGAUUAUUAGUUUUCACUUAAGUGAAUAGUAACUCCGGUUUUUCGGUGAAGCCACGGAGUAGAGUUGGCUUUUUGCGCGUAUCGAACUCCGUUCAUAGCGAUCCAAUAGCUCGUUUCGAUCGGGUCAGCUAUUCUGGAACCAAUGGCACUGACGGAUUUCAGAUCUGAUGCACGAUUUUUGAGAAAAAGGGGUUUUAUCAAAAAGAGGGUUUUCGUUCUUCGCUAUUCUUGCUUUAUGACACCCCUCGUGAUCUGUGUAUGUGACCUGGAGUAGGGGGAAGGAUGUUUCAGGUACCUACUGGUGGUAGGGAAUUCAAAUACGAGUUUGAAUUAAAGGAUUUCGGUUUUCCACCAAGGCCUAUGUGUGAUAUAUGGAUUAGUUGGAGAGAGGUCGGAUUUUGUCGCAAAUCGGCAAGCAAAUCGGAUGAAACGAAAUCGUAGUUUCGAUGCCCCCGUCGUGCUGAACGCGAUGGCGCUGUUGGAUCGAAAAUCCGACGGACGAAUUUUCGGAAAACGCGAAAUGUUCGCUGAGGGGUCGAAGGUGGCAAAUCGGAAUUUUUGCAGAAAGGUCCCCCAAGUCUUUCUAUAAAACCUCCAUCAACGAAAAGUCACCUGCGACAAUUUAUAGUCCUAGGUCUAAGACCUCACUUUCCACCUGACCAAAAGAUCCAACUGACAAUACCAAUUGCUAGACAAUUUUGUCCCCUGAAACUUAAUCCGGUACCAACAGACCACCAAAAGCUCUUUGCAAGUCCAUCACUUGAUGCACAGGUCGCUAAUCGCAACUGCGAAACUAACCAUCAGUGAUGCUCAACAUCUGUCUCCACAAGACCCUGUCGCCGCCGUCCUAUAAGGGACCCUAGCGAUCGAUGUUCCGAGCAACACCUAGAUACCUGUCUCAUUGAGACCCAGGCGCACCUGUCACCAAAUAACCGGACAAGCAAGCUAACCCAAGGUUUGCACGCUAAGCCGAGUCACAACCUUAUACGCUAUCACAUAUGGUGACAAUCAAGGCCAACAACCAGGUUCAAGUCACUCAACACUGUGCUUCAGAACCUCCCGGCAAACAGUCCGAGACUACUAACCAACAAACUCUUUUAGUCGCGGAAGGCACAACUAAAAAGCUAACGAAUACCCAAACUCGAACUAGAGUCAAAACUAUCUAUAGAGAAAGGAAAUACCGACCCAAUCCAUGAGUCCCAAAUAGGGAAAGGGUAUUUCGUUCCACUUUCGACAGUACAUUGUCUGCAGCCAAUGUACUUAUCAAAAGAAAAGCAAAAUAUCCGAAGAUUCACUGCCAACAACGAGUUGGAAGUGACACAUUGAAGUAUCAAUUCACUUGAUACCUCUUCACGGAACUAUGAGUUCACUACCAUUACUAUCGAAACAUCGACUUUACAAAUCGACAUUCGAAUUUAGAACGACCCUGAACCGACUCACAGGGAGUCCUAUAACUUUCAACAUCCGAAAGUUGCUAGCAACACUAAGCCGCGCACCGUACUAACAGGCUUUAGAAAACGGUUUCUCUAACCGAUUUUCGCACCACAACCGAGCUAUAGUCAAAGCUCCGAGAAUUCCUACAACAACCUGGAGUCUCUCGAAUCAAGAUGAAACCUAUCACCAACCACAAAUUAACACACAACACACUAAUUUAGGUGUUAGAAUAACCGCAUACGAUGUAUGCCUCAACGAAAACUUGACACCAAAAUUGUGUCAAUCCGACUCUAGUAGGAAGAAUGAACGAGGUAAAGGUUAAAAGAUCCGAACCGCUGAUUCCAAUCAUCAAUCAAAGAGGAUAGGUAGGCAUCACAACCCCACCCAGAGGUCUGCGGAAGCAACACUAAUAAUGCAGUCACUGAAACGACCGCUAUCCAAACCCUGGGCUACACCCUAGUAGCCCCACUGAAGUCGCGACCGUAACUGGUCUAAGCACCGUCUCCGUAGAGACAUUCGUAGUAGCUCUUGUGUCCUAAGUAGAGAGAGUGGCCUGGGCAUCGGCAGUUAUGACACUCGCCUAGGCCCAAAAAUCUCACUUGGCCCUUCAUGGCCCCACCUGACAGGAGUGGCAACACCUGGGGAAUAUCGUCCUACCACUCGAUGUCCGAAUAAGUACACCGCCACUACUCCCGACUUAGACACCAGCUUGUGCGAACCGUAACACCUACAGAAACCAUGCACUUCGAGUUUAACCCAACUCGAAUGCACGCCGGGACACAAGCCCAAACUCCGCACUCACGUGCCUAUAUAUCGUAGGUCUUCCUAUGGGUCAACCUAACCAAUGGUUCAGUUUCAUUUACUUUUCAAAACAACCUGUGAAUGGUGUUGUGGUUGUAUCCUGGUUGUAUUCUUGUACUUGUGCGACGCCGUGCAAAUACAGGGGAGACUCUGUCCGUGUGAACAGUGAAUCUCCUGUAUUUGUGGCGGAUCUGGCAUACUCUGGGGUUAGGUUUUCAAAAAAAAAAAAAUUCAAACGCUUUUCCGCUAUGCUUUAAACUAAAAAGGGACCCCGAGGCGUGAUAGAUUAAAGUGGUAUCAGAGCUGACGAGGACGUCAGGGCUUAAAGGAGGGGAGACUGUGAGACCCCAGAUAGUCCUAUAUAUAAGAUAUAAUAGGGCUAAACUUUUAACCCGGCUUAAGCAUUUUGGGUGGUGGCAAUGCCCAAGAGGUUAAGAGAGUUAAGUGUGCUAGGACGGGAGUAGUCCUAGGAUGUGUGACCCCCUGGGAAGUUGGGGCGUCACAUAUACGCUACGGGGCCUACACGCUCCAAAGUCUCAUACGGUCCAAUGAAAUGGGGACUCAACUUACCCCGAAUCUCAAAUCUCCUUAUUCCUCUAGUCGGCGAGACCUUUAAGAAUGUCACGCCCCGGGACCACUACCAAUUUGGUCCGGUUCAGGCGCGUCGAACAGACGCCGAACGGACAGCACCUCUCCUGUCCGCCCAAGGCCAAACAACCAGAUCAUGUACAGUUAAGCGCCCAGGGAAUGC
rnacentral:lncRNA from 1 species